rnacentral:lncRNA from 1 species
AUACGCUAAGUUUCCCAAAGGGAAUAUUGAAGAACCUCUACGUCCGAGUUGGUACCUUGUACGACCCAGCAGACUUCGUGGUGAUAGAGACCGGUUCUGAUAAGAGGGCACCCGUCAUCCUAGGGAGGCCAUUCUUGAACACUUCAGGAGCUGUCAUCUACGCUAAUGCUGCCAAGAUCAGUUUCUACAUCAAAGGGAGGAAGGAGACGUUUUCCUUCAAGAACAAGACUACACAAAUCUCAAAGCAAUCCCGACAUGAACCAAGGAAGAGGAUCAACAGGGGGAACAGGAACAAGCAAAUGUGGACUGAGUCAGCUAAGAUGGUCACUGCAGCUCAAGGAGGUCAAGAUCGUCAACUCAAGUCACCUUUCUUGAUCAAGAAGGACGACCCUGGUGUUCCAAGCAUCGAGUGCACAAUCAACGGAUAUUCUUUUCAGAAGACACUCUACAACACCGGAUCUGACGUCAACAUAAUGGCCGCAGUCACUUAUCAGCUCCUGCAUAGAACCAUGCCCCUACAACCAACAUACAUUCAGCUCCAGAUGAUUUUAAGGUUAUUGACAUGGGAGAAGACGAGUACAAUCCACCCAUCACCAUUGGGAGACUGUUCCUCAGCACCGUUAAAGCAAUCAUCUACAUUGGAACCGGCGGAGUCCACAUGCAUUUCCCCUCUGAGAAGGUACGCUGCUAUUUUACUGACCCUAACCAUAUAGUUGAAGACUCUAAGCAGGUCAGGACAAGAAGAAGACGACGCAACUGCAACCAGAGGAGGCAAAAUCAUCAAGGACGGAUGGGUAGACUAUGAAGGAGAAGUGGUAAGAUCUGAAGACAUACAGCUUGAACAGAACUGUCCUGAGGAGACCGUAGCACCGAGUCAGGUGUGUAGAGAGAAGUUAGUUAUACACGAAGAGGAGGCACUGCCGGAACCACCGACUACGUCAUCCAGCGAAUCCCAGGACAACUGAGAAAAUGGAGAGUCCCGUUCGGAGGACUUAAAAACGCCGAACACCUUGCCAAGAGGUAAACUUGGUAGUUAUCCUUUUCCUUUCAAUUAUUUUAAAAUAGUUUACUUAGUUAAUCAGGUCCAUACCAUCUUCAAAAGAAAAUAAAAAUGUUAAAAAUAGUAAGCCCCAUGUGAGUAUGCUCAUGGCAUAAAACCCAUAAGUACAUUCACUGUGGUGGCAUAAAAAUAAAAUAAAUAUAUUCUUGUCCUAUAAAAAUGAAAAUAUAAAAAUAAGAUUGUGAUCCUACUAAAAAGAGUGUAACAUUUAUUGAGGAGGCUCAACAUAAUAAAGGCUAGAUAUUUAUGCUAACACUUAACUAGUUUCACAACGCUUUGUUGUCUAUUUGAGCUCCACAGAAUUCAAGGAUCAAAGAAGACUAGCAGACGGAGGACAUCCUAAUCACUGUCAGGGUGCUGCUAACAUUAAAUACACCUCCGCCACCAGCUAGCUACAUCAGUAGAAAUUACGUCAAAAUCCAGCUUGGGGGAGAGCACUCAAAUUUAUCCAGCUAAGUGUUCUACUCAUGUUUAUACUUUACUCAAAUAAUAAAAAGAUGCAUAAUCAUAUAAACCCAAAUAAAGAUUUUGUGCUUAGAUAUCUUUGCUUAGUUUGCUAAAUAAAUAAAUAAAUAAAGUUUGCUAUGAACCCUCAUGAUAAGCUCUCACAUGGAAAUCAUGAAUAGUUGCUCUAUCAUGACUAGUUCUCAAAAUGGAAAUCUCUCUCAAGUUUAGGCAUUACUGUUAUUAAUUAAGAAUUGCUCUAAACCUGAACUUGUGGGAAGAGUACUUGAUCUAAUGUCUAAGUUGUUAACGGAUAUGAUAUGGGAAGGUUAAGCUGCUGUUUAUCUAUUCCUAGAGAUGCUAGAAUUCUAGAGAAUUUUAUCUUUGAAAAUCUUUAAAAUGUUGCAUGAUGAGUUCCUGUAUGAUGAGAGUUUAAAAUCCUACCACAGCCAUGUAUACAUGCUUAUUAGACUACGAACCAUACAUUUACUUUUUACUGCUUAUGAGCAUUGAGUGUGGUCAAGCUGUGUAGACCCUUAGGAGCUUGUCAUGUGGUUAAAAUCAAGAUUCAUUUGAACGUUCACUCAUACAUGCUGCUUCUACUCCAGGAGUACGCAUCCACAUAUAUCCACUCAUUUCCAUCUCCAGAACCAUCCAAAAAUAUUCUACUCCUAAUCCGAGAGAGAAUAGCCAAAAACAUUUCUGUUUUCCCCUGUGAAAUAAAUGCUCAAGUUAUUUUGUUUACUACCACUUGCUACACUAUUCUAGGAGGAUGAGUGCUCUGAAAAAAAGUGAAUACGAGGAAAUAAAAAGGGGCAAGUGCCCGGAACCUCGAAAAGAAAAAAAAGUGAGACGAGAGGUAAAAUGGACAAGUGUCCGACAGUAGAAUUAGGGAUACAUGAUACCCACCUGAGAGAAAAGAAAAAAAAAGAAAAUAUAGAGCAUCUCAUUCCCCUCAAAAAGCUUCAAAGUGCAAGAAAGGUAUGUAUCCCCUCAAAAGAGCACAAGUAGAAUUAGACUUUCACCAUUGUUAUCACCAUCAUCACCAUACACCAUUCAUUCGCCACACAUGCACAUCUUGAUUUGACUUUUUGACUUGUUCUUCUGGAUCCAUGGUUUGACUAUGCAAUAAAUGUCUUGUAAGUAUGUAUUAGCUGUCUCCCACCUAUGAGCUCUAGAUAUCAAAACCUUAUUAGAGUAGGGUGAGAGAGAAGGCAAUGCCACUAUGCCUUAUACCACAAAUACCACAUAUUUUGAGAGAAGGCAUACACCUUUACUGCCUUGGUAAGGAUCCAGAAAUACCACAAAAGAGAGACUAGAGAGAGUCAUACAAGGAAUCUCUGAGUUUUAUUUGAAAAUCUGUAAAAACUCUAGAGCUAUAGUUAAUCGAAGAACAAGAGACAUGGCGCUUGACUAGACCGUUCUAUCUUUUAACUACUCAAGAUAGAAGUGACGGUUACAAGUCCCAUGGUGAAAGGCAAAAUGAGUAAGUUUUAAAUAUUAACAGUUUACCCUAACUUAGAGAUGAGAUCUUGUUUGAACGAAUGUGUAUUUUUAAGGCAUAAAACCACUGCAGAAACUCUUGAGUCCAUCUUUGCUCAGGGACGAGCAAAGGUUAAGCUUGGGGGAGCUUGUUGACGGUCCUUAAUGCUCACAUUUAACCAUCAACAAAUCAUAGAAAAGGAUCCAUAUGCAACCAACACUCAGACUUAGGGUUUUAUCUGACAGAAUUCCACGAGUUUUGGUGUUUGUCUAUUUCUGCAGGGGGUUAUCAGGAAAUACGGAAGAAAGGCCCACACGUCGGGUUUACAUAGAGAUAUUAACGUGCCGCGCAAUUUUCUACCAUCUAGAAGACUCCAGAAGCCACGGGAAGGAAGCGGUGGCCGAGAGGACUCAGGGACAGGGCGCCCGCCCUACUUUCCUAGGCGCCCGCCCUCAACUAGAGUCCAAUCAGGACUCUCUUUCGGGAUCGUGCUCCACCGACCUAAGGGAUCAAGGAAAACUGUGCGAUUAAUGUCAGUUUGAUCCGACGGCCCAGAUUCAUCUGAAAAGACUAUAUAAGCAAGACCCCCUGGCCCCUGGAGAGCAUACCUCUUCUACAGAAUCAAAGCUAGGGUUUCAAUUCUUCAUCCAAGUAGAGAGGAUCCCUCUAGUUCUUCUAGUUCUACCUCUAGUUCAUCUAGAUCUAGUUCUAGUUCAUCUAGUUCUAGUUCUAGUUCCUCUAGUUCUAGUUCUAGUUAGUUCUAGUUGUAAUCUAGAAAAUAGGGAGAGAGAAGAGGAGAGCGGAGGAGGAGCCGGAUCUGUCGGAUCUUCCUCAACAUUAUACUUUUGCAGCAACUGGUUCGUUCUUCAUCGUUCUCCAAGUUCUUCAAUUCAUAAUUCCUGAGUUCUUUAAUUACUUUUAUUUACAUUCAAGUUAUUUAUUGGAUUCCCGCUUGCAUCAAGUGCUCUAGUCUUUAUAACGCUAGAGUAGUAAUUAAUAGAUUAGACGUGGUGUUUAGUCUUGCAAUUACCUGGAAUUGCACCCAAUCCUGCGGAUUGUUGUGGUAGCCUUAGGGUAGUGACAGCCCUAACGGUCGACGUAUUCAACCUCGUUCAGAUCGGUGUUUGUAGGACCGUAGUCAGACCUUCCUAACCCCCUUCUCAUCUCUUUCUGUGGUUAGUGCUCUGAUGUCCCGAAAUAGAUAAUCUUGAAGUAAUUCUUGAUUCUUAGAUCAACUAGAGAACUCUCAGGAAACUUCCUCUCUUCUCACCAAAAAUAAUUAUAUAGUUAUCCUUGGGCGAUCUUGGAUCUUAAUUAGUACACUCACGCUCUCUGUGGAAAAUCGAUACUCUGGAAUACUCCCGGGUGAAGGCUACAUCGGUAUCUGUGCGCUUGCGGAUUUUUCUGUUUGCGUUUAAAAUACCCAACAACCCCCAGAGCGGAAUCCCCCGAAGGGGGAACAGCCCCGAGAGCCAGGACUGUUUCCUCCGACUCCUAGGGCCUUGGCGUCUCCGCCUCCUUCGCCGGGGGAUCCGGUGUUUUCUGCCUCGUCUCCUGCCCCCCUUCCUCGUGGGGGCGCUCGCCCUCUUCGCGGUUCAAAGGGGGCGGUGACCUGGGUCUUGUUGACCCGGGGGUCGACUACGCCCCCCUCUUCACGGCCUUCAGGGGUGCAAGCCCCACUGAAGCCACCUUGUGCUUCCACCUGGAGGGGAGACGACGCGAAUUAGAAAAAAGAGAAAAACAAAAAACCAAAGAAAAGCCAAAUAGUAGCGUUUACCUCACCCAGGGGGCAGCACUCUUUUGGGAGCUCGGAGCUCCCUAGGCGCCUCCCAAAGUCCCGGGGGUCGUCGGGCGAACUCCCGUUUCCCCUGCAGAGGGCGCGGGGGCUCCGACGGUCGUCCCGGCACUCAGUGCCUCUGCCAAGCCCUCCAGCUCUGCCCUUGCCACUGGGCAGCGCUCGAUUGGGCCUUCCAACGCCACCGGCUUCGGGGGCAUCUCGGAUCCUCCGCCCGGCGCCUUUUCCCCCUCUUGGGGACCUGGGGGGAUAGACCCCCCUUGUGGGGCUCCGUCCUCCUCAUCGUCAACAAUAAUAAAGGGGGCAACUCUCACGCCCCUGGAGCCUGAGACCCCUCAGGGGCCUCUGACCCCCCUCGGGUCCUCGACCCCACUGGGACCUCGAUCCCCCCGCCGACGGGGGGGAUCACUUCAUCCUUGUAUUCUUCGUCGGCGAGCUCGUUCAGCCAGUGCGGUUCCUCCCCGCCUUCUAUCUCCGAGACCGAAGUCUCAGGAGAUUCAGACACGGGAAGACCCACCUUCUUGGCCGUGUUGACGGUCCUUAAGUAUCAAAUUUAAUUAUCAAAUAAACAAAGAAAAGGAUCCAAAUGAAAUCAACAUCUAGACUUAGGGUUUUAUCUGACAGAAUUCCACGAGUUUUGGUGUUUGUCUAUUUCUGCAGGGGGUUAUCAGGAAAUAUGAAAGAAAGGCCUGUUGACGGUCCUUAAGUAUCAAAUUUAAUUAUCAAAUAAACAAAGAAAAGGAUCCAAAUGAAAUCAACAUCUAGACUUAGGGUUUUAUUUGACAGAAUUCCACGAGUUUUGGUGUUUGUCUAUUUCUGCAGGGGGUUAUCAGGAAAUAAGGAAGAAAGGCCCACAUGUCGGGAUUACAUAGAGAUAUCAACCCACCGCACAAUUUUCUACCAUCUAGAAGACUCCAGAAGCCAUGGGAAGGAAGCGGAGCCCGAAAGGGGCCAGGCCCAGGGCGCCCGCCCUGAGGACCUGGGCGCCCGCCCCCCUCUGGACUCCGUUCUGGACUCUCUUCGCACACGACGUUCCACCGACCUAUUGGAUCCAGAAUAACAUAGUACCACCUCGCCUAUCGACCCAAAAACGCAUAGAAGGAGAGGACUAUAUAAGGAGACCCCCUCUGGCCCCUGGAGGAGACAAGAAAUUAUCAUAGAGAUUGAGGGGUGCCCUCGAAGGAAAACCUCUUCUCUAAAUAAUAUUUCUUUUUAGGCUUAGCAACCAAUGUAAAGUAGAAAUAGAUCCUCUAGUUUCUACUAGAUUGAGAGAGAUAGAGUGGAGGUGUGGAUCGGAGGAAGGCCGGCCUGUCGGUGUCUACUCCGAGUUGUACCUGCAGGAUCAAGUCUCCUAACCCGAGGCUUGCUUCUAAGAUUCUUCACUAAUUCGACUUCUAAUACUAGUAAGUUCUUGUUUUAUUGUUCUUUGGUUUAUGAGUUUACUUUAAUCCUCUUUCGGUUGAGUAUUAGAGUAAUCACUUGUUAGCGUAAACGUGGUGUUUAGGCUAGGGUACUCAUACAUAUCCCCUGACUAGCUGGACCGUGGUAGUAGCGAGGAACGUGACAUUUCCGAGUUACCUUUGCAGAUCACAUCUCGUUAGCAGGACGGGUAGGUUUAUAGGUGCGGGUCGAACAUCCUUUGUGUUGUCUAGAUUCCGUGAGCCUCCCUAAUAGAACAGUAGAUCAUCCUUACCAAGGUUAGAACGAGACUACGGUUGCAGUCUUCUCUAUACAUCACUCACAUCGAGAGACAUUCUUUGUAUCCUAAAGGGAUAGUAGCCUAGAUUUGGUUAGUCAGAUGCACCCUUUCUCCCAGUGGUAAAAAUAUAAAUACGAUAACUCUGGAUAACCUCCCGGGUGAAAUGCUCACCGAUAUCCGUGCGCUUGCGGAUCAUUUUCUAAUUGCGUUACCAAAUAUCAACAAGGCCCACACGUCGGGUUUACAUAGAGAUAUUAACGUGCCGCGCAAUUUUCUACCAUUUAGAAGACUCCAGAAGCCACGGGAACGAACGGGAGGCCGAUCGGGACCGGGGGCAGGGCGCCCGCCCAAGUCCCUUGGGUGCCCGCCCAGCUACAGUAACCAAUCAGCUUCAACUUCGCGGAUCAUGCUCCACCGACCUAAUACUUCAAGGAAAACCACACGAUCAAUGUCGGUUUGAUCCGACGGCCCAGAUUCAUCUGAAAAGACUAUAUAACCUGACCCCCUGGCCCCUGGAGGAGGCACCCCUUGAUCAUUAUUCAUAGACAGAGCAAAAGCUAGGGUUUAGAGAUGAGAGCUCUCCUCUCUUCUCUAAACUAGAGUAGAUCUAGAUAGUAGCGAGAUGGAGAGCGAAGGAGGAUUAGAGGAGAGGCCGGCCUGUCGGUUCUUCCUCCGGCUGUACUUCGUCAUGAUCAAGCUCUAAUCAAGCUUGCUCAUGGGAUGACUCUGGUAAUCUACUUCUAAUUCAUUAUGCAAUUACUAAUCAUGUAUGUUCUGGUUCACAACCCUUUUGAGUACUUCUAAUCUAUAGGACGCUAUAGGUUAGAGUUGUAGUAUAGGUGUAAGCGUGGUGCUUAGACCUAGAUUACUUGUGGAUAUCCCCUGUCUAGCUGGAUCGUGUGGUAGGCCGCGUAGGUGACAGUUACGUUGGUUCUCUGUAGUCCACCUCUCGUUAGCAGGACGGGUAGGGUUUAUCAGCCUAUGGAUAAGCAUCCUUUGUGGUGUAUUCUUAUCACGUGGUUCGUCCCAGACAUAGACAUACCCCUUUGAAGUAGAGAAACCAUAGUUAUCCUCUCUAUUCUGCUACCAUCGCCCAUAUACUAGAAUUGCUCUACUCUCUAUUCCCAUAUUAUCACUCACUGUUAUCUUACCUUUAAUAUUGUUCUUAUUCGAUUCUACCAUCUUUCCUAUUUACACUUAUUUACUUUUCUUGGUUAAGUUAGAGCGUAGAUCAGUUCUCCCGUUUCCCUGUGGAUACGAUAAAACCUUUAACCGGGUAAAAGCUUCAACGGUAUCCGUGCGCUUGCGGAUUAUCUGUGUGCGUAUAAAUACCAUAGUACAAUCUAGUGCCAUGCUGGGGAUGACAACCUAGUAUUCAAGUGGUGUUAGCAAGUGUCAACAAGCAUUUUUGGCGCCGUUGCCGGGGAAACGGUUGCUGAGUUGACUACGAACUAGCUUAAUCAUUUUCUAAAAAAAAAUAAUAAAAAAAUAUUUUCCUUUUAUCCUUUGCGUCAUCUCUGCUAAUCUUUCUUCUUAUCUAAUCCUUGAUCUCAGGUCUAUCAUGAAUUCAAACAUGUCUAUCUAUGAAUUUCAUAGACCUUCGGGCACACAUCUCGAACCACCAAAAUCUUCAAAGCCUAUGAUAGCAUCUAGUUUUGAGAUAAACCCCGAAUACAUAGAAUUUGUUCAAAAACAACCUUUCUCAGGAGAAGGUGAGAAAAACCCAUACACACACCAAAGAGAGUUUUAUCGAGUCUGUGACCUCCUUCGCAUAGAAGGAAUGUCCGAUGAGACCCUCAAAUGGAAGCUCUUUCCGUUCUCUUUAACGGGAAAAGCUAGACAUUGGUACAAACUCAAAGUAGGGAGUGUUCAUGGAGAUUGGAAGGAGUUACAUAAUAGUUUUCUUUUAAAAUAUUUUCCAAUCUCUAAAGUGGUGGAACUUCGGCGUGAGAUUAUUUCUUUCAGACAACUGGAAGAAGAAUCUCUUGGCAAAUCAUGGGACCGCUUUAUUAACCUUACUCUCACUGGCCCAAAGCUUUCUAUUCCAGAAGAAGUUCUUCUAAUUCAGUUUUUUGAGGGCCUUAGUGGGGAAAAUAAGCAAACCUUGAAUAUAGCCUCUAGAGGAUCCUUCUAUCACCUACGUGCUAGUGAAGCUUGGAAUUUGAUUGAUUUAUUAAGUGGAAAGUCUCCUAGCUUUUAUAUCCCUGAGAAAGAGACAGAACCAGUUCCUAGACAAGAAGAAGAAGUUUCGAUAGCCAGAUCACAACCACUUCAAUUCCAAACUUUAGCUAUCGAUCCUAAACCAUCAAUACCCCAAAAUUCUCCAAGGGAGGAAGGAAUUCCGACCUUAAAUCUUUCAGAUGCUGAUGGUUUAGACUUCUGGUUCCAUAAGAGACCUUCAAGCAGGGAUAAUUCAAAUCCUCGCAAUAAUGGUUCUCUUAGAGAAUGUCCUGGUUCCUGUUAUGAAGAAGCCGAGGAUGACACAUCAAGUAAAGGAGAGCUAAGCCAUAUUGAAAAUUCUAACACCUCUCCUUUCCUGAUCACAAGUUCUAAAUGGCUAGAAUGUGUAGAAUGGAUGGAUAAGGAAGAAGCCUUAAUGAAUUCUGACUUUGGUUCAAUUUCAAAUGGUGAGUUCUUGACUCCCUUUGAAGAUGGGAUUCAUCCAACUAUAGAAGAGGACAUAAGUGAGACCAAUCCAAGAGGAACUCUGAACAUUCAGAUUGGAGACGAAGAUAACAUUAAUGAGCAUGGAAUUUAUUUCAUAGCCACUUUGUUUACUCCAUGCUCAUAUGCAACAUCUUCCCAAUCUAUUGGUCUCUCCAACAUCACCACAUUUGAGAUCUCCAACCCCCUCUUCCUUUCUAUUUAUAAAAACUUUAAAAGGGCGGUUGUCGAUGCAUAUGUCUAUAAUAAAUAUUGCAGAUCCCGUUGAAUUGAUCUUGAUAUAGGUCAGCGUUGGAAGGGAAACCACUUCGCCGAUAUAAAUUGAUGGUUUCCCAAGGACAAGCUUGGUGCCCUAAAAUAAGCACUGAUCAGAUUGUAACAUAAGUUUUUAAUUAUUUGCAACAUUACCUUGUGUAUUGAGCAUAUAAGGAUAAUUGUAAAAAUAUUCCUUCGGGUAUUCUUGUCACUAACCUUUCCAGGAUUGGAGCAAGAAGAUCGGAUGAAUGACAAGCAAGUACAAGGUAUGUCCAACCAAUCAUCAUGCAACACUGAACUAAAUUCAUCCAAACUUGAAUUCUGCAGAAUUCAAGCUUGGGGGAGUACUUUACAUAAAAACAUCAUUUGCCAUGUUGCUAUGUUGGUUGUCUCUACAUUUAAGACAUGCUCAAAUUGUUAAGUACUAAUCACACUACUUCAUCUCCACUUGAGUAGAACUCUAUAAAUGCUGUCAUGUUACCUUUGUCUAUUUACUAGUAAGUGUUAGAUUGGAAGUACUGCACAUACUUCUAUUGGCUUUUAAAUUAAGCAUGGUGCUUAGGUUAAACAGCCUUCCUUAAUCUGAUUAGACAUGGAGCCUAGUUCGGUUAUUGAACUAAAAACUGCUUGUGUAGACAUUGGUAUAUUUUUGUCGAACUAACCCCUGCAGAAAAACUUUCAAUAUCGAUUUGGGAAGUCCUGAGAUAAACUCACAUCAGAGACGAAGAGAGUGACACAUGAAGUUUAACAAUUUGCACAAGAAAGACGUAGCUCAUAAGAGAUGAUCCAUGGAGGGUGCCACAAACAUGAUGCACAACCGCUAAGAAAGGAAAGCUUCCACAAGGUGAUACUGUACCGUCACUCUUCAAGUAAGGUAACACCUUAAGGUACUUGACUAUCACUUUUAUAAGCUUCUCCUUGGUUCUAGCAUUCACAUAAAUGAAGAGACAAACAUGUAUGAUUUAUAACUCCAGAUAACCAACUCAAUUAAUUCAACAUGUUUAGUCCUUUAAUCUUUGUUCCUAGUACUAUCCUCGUGAUCCCAUGCUCCUAAACAUAUAAACUAAUAUGUUGCACAUUCAAUAUUUGGAAGAUAUAAACAAAACAUAAAUAUAGAUAGAUUAUCUUUCCAUUAGGUUGAGCCAUCUGAUCUGACAAAUGUUUCAAAUACUACACUCAUGAUUUUAUUAUCCAUCAACUUUGUCUUGCUCACUAUGCUUAAGGUUAGAGAAGAACAAAUACACUUUUGGUUCUGUUGGUGUUUUCCACCAACAGAGCCCAUGCACUUGAUCUCUGCCUUGUCUCUAUGAACAGGUACACUUCAAGCAAAACAUGUAGGAGUUUUACAACUCCCAGACUCCACCAUGUGAAGGACCUGGAUCUAUGAGCACAAACACACUGAGCAGGAUAUUACCAACACCAUACUUCGAACUGCUGGGCAAAGAAGAACAUGGGUGACACCGUAUCAAGAGGUGCAGACGUCAAGGUCCACACCUAAUCAAAUGAUGCACCUAAAGGAUGAAGAUGGUGGAAAGUCUUGUCCAGAAGACUUAAAACAUUGGAUCCUUGUCGGGAGAGGUCAACAUUGUCGACUCAAGUCACCUUUCUUGAUCAAGAAGGACGACCCUGGUGUUCCAAGCAUCGAGUGCGCAAUCAAUGGAUACUCUUUUCAGAAGACACUCUACGACACUGGAUCUGACGACAACAUAAUGGCCGCAGUCACUUAUCAGCUCCUGCAUGGAACCAUGCCCCUACAACCAAUAUAUUCAGCUCCAGAUGAUUUUCAGGUCAUUGACAUGGGAGAAGACGAGUAUUGUAACGUCCCGCCUCCACGAGGCCGAGCCCGCUUACAUCUGGCUGCUUUUCUAGGACAUAGUCAGCCCCGACAGACCAACACUAGUCUUUUCUGCACACUUUGUCCUCACUCGUGCGCACCCGGGAACUAGUUCCCGGUCGGUCACCCAUCCCUAAAUUGCUCUAGGCCAAGCACGCUUAACUUUAGAGUUCUUUCGAGAUAGGCUUCCGAAAAAGAAGUUGCAACUUGUUGGUAUGAGUCUCCUAUUAAUCCUAUUAAGCAUUGGGCCAGGUGUUACAUCCUCACCCCCUUAAGAGAUCGACGUCCUCGUCGAUCAACCCCAAGCCAGGAACGUCCUCUCUUGACCACGUCCGUGCAUCCAGUGCCAGCGCAUGUGCCAUGCUGUGUGACCACUCUGGGUCCACACCAGCCAUGCACACCAUGCCUGCACAACUGCGACACACGCGCCCGUGAAACCGCGAGAGUCGGCUCUGAUACCAUUCUGUAACGUCACGCCUCCACGAGGCCGAGCCCGCUUACAUCUGGCUGCUUUUCUAGGACAUAGUCAGCCCCCACAGACCAACACUAGUCUUUUCUGCACACUUUGUCCUCACUCGUGCGCACCCGGGAACCACUUCCCGGUCGGUCACGCAUCCCUAAAUUGCUCUAGGCCAAGCACGCUUAACUUUAGAGUUCUUUCGAGAUAGGCUUCCGGAAAAGAAGUUGCAACUUGUUCGUAUGAGUCUCCUAUUAAUCCUAUUAAGCAUUGGGCCAGGUGUUACAAGUAUGAUCCACCCACCAUCCUUGGAAGACCGUUCCUCAACACUAUCAAAGCAAUCAUCUAUAUUGGAACCGGAGAAGUCCACAUGUACUUCCCCUCUGAGAAGGUACGCAACUAUUUUACUGACCAUAACUAUACAGUUGAAGACUCUAAGCAGGUCAGGACAAGAAGACGACGCAACCGCAACCAAGAGGAGGCAAAUCAUCAAGAACGGAUGGGUAGACUACGAAGGAAAAGUGAUAAGGACUGAAGUCAUACAGCUUAAACAGAACUGUCCUGAGGAGACCGUAGCACGGAGUCAGGUGUGGAGGGAGAAGAUAGUUAUACACGAAGAGAGGCACCGCCGGAAUCACCGACUACGCCACCUAGCGAAUCCCAGGACGACUGAGAAAACAGAGAGUCCCGUUCGGAGGACAUAAAAAUACCGAACGCCUUGCCAAGAGGUAAACUUGGUAGUUACCCUUUCCUUUUAAUUAUUCAAUUAUAAUUUACUUAGUUAAUCAGGUUCAUGCUAUCUUGAAAAGAAAAUAAAAAUAUUAAAAAAUAGUAAGCCCCAUGUGAGUAUGCUCAUGGCAUAAAACCCAUAACUACAUUCACUGUGGUGGCAUAAAAAUAAAAUAAAUAAGUUUUCAUCUUACAAUAAAAAUAUAUAAAUAUAUAUAUAUAUAAUAAUAAUAAGUGUAUGAUCCUGCUAAAUAAAUAACAUUUAUUAAGGAAGCUCAACAUGAUGAAGGCUAGAUAUUUAUGCUAACACUUAAUUAGUUCCACAAGCUUUGUUGUCUAUUUGAGCUCCACAGAAUUUAAGAAUCAAGAAGACUAGCAGACGGAGGACAUUCUAAUUGUUGUCACAAUGCUGCUGACUUUCAAAUACACCUCUGCCACCUGCUAGCUACAUCAAGAGAAAUUACGUCAAAAUUUAGCUUGGGGGAAAGCACCCCCAUUAUUCUCACUAAGUAUUUCUACCUAUCUUUAUACUUAUAUUAUGUUAGAAUAUUAAAAUACAUAAACUAUGAAAAACCAAAUAAAGAUUUUGUGCUUAUAUAUAUCUUUUGCUUAGUAUGUUUAAUAAAUAAAUAAAGUGGCUACGGUAAUCUGAAUGUUAAUAAUAAAACUCUAGCAUGAAUAUGAUGAAUAGUUGCUCUGCCUAAUUUGCAAUUUUGAAGUUCCCUCUCAAGUUUAGACAUAACUGUUAUAAUUUAAAGCUUGCUCUAGAUCUAAACUUGUGGGAUGAAAACUUGAUCUGAAAUCUAAGUUGUUAACGGAUAUGAUAUGUGAAGGUUGAGCUGCUGUUUAUCUGUUCCUAGAGAUGCUAAAAUCCUGGAGAAUUUUAUCUUUGAAAAAUCAUUAAAAUAUUGCAUGAUGAGUUUCUGUAUGAUGAGAGUUUAAAUUCCUACCACAGCCAUAUAUACAUGCUUGCUAGACUUUGAGCCACACAUUUAUUAUUUACUGCUUAUGAGCAUUGAGUGUGGUCUAGCUGUGUAGACCCUUAGGAGCUUGUCAUGUGGUUAAAUCAAGAUUCACUUGCACGUUCACUCAUAUAUGCUACUUCUACUCCGGAAGUACCAUCCACAUAUAUCCAUCCAUGUCCAUCUCCAGAACCACCCAAAAAUAUUCUACUCCUAAUCCGGGAGAGAAUAGCCAAAAAUAUUUAUGUUUUCCCUUGUGAAAUAAAUGCUCAAGUUAUCUUGCUACUACCACUUGCUAUAUUAUCUCAAGAGAUGAGUGCUCUGAAAAAAAAAAGAGAAGAAAAGAAAAAAAAUAAAUAAACGAGGAAAUAAAAAGGGGCAAGUGCCCGGAACCUCGAAAGAAAUGAAAAAAGAGUGAGACGAGAGGUAAAAAUGGACAAGUGUCCGACAGUAGAAUUAGGGGUACCGGAUACCCACCUGAGAGGAAAGAAAAAUGAAAGAUAGAGCAUCUCAUUCUCCUCAUAAAGUUUCAAAAAGCAAGGAAGAUAUGUAUCCCCUCAAAAGAGCAAAAGUAGAAUUAGACUUUCACCAUUGUUAUCACCAUCAUCACCAUAGACCAUUCAUUCGCCGCACAUGCACAUCUUGAUUUGGCUUAUUGAUUUGUUUCUUUGGAUCCAUGGUUUGACUAUACAAUAAAUGUCUUGUAAGUAUGUAUACUUUAUCUCCCACCUAUGAGCUCCAGAUAUUAAAGCCUUAUUAGAGUAGUGUGAGAGAGAAGGCAAUGUCACUAUGCCUUAUACCACAAAUACCACAUAUCUUGAGAGAAGGCAUAUACCAUCACUGCCUUGGUAAGGAUCCAGAAAUACCACAGAAGAGAGAUUUAGAGAGUCAUACAAGGAAUCUCUGAGUUUUAUUUGAAAAUCUGCAAAAACUCCAGAGCUAUAGCUGAUCAAGAAUAAGAGACAUGGCACUUGGCUAGACUGUUCUAUCUUUUAACUACUCAAGACAGAAGUGACGGUUACAAGUCCCAUGGUGAAAGGUAAAGUAAGUAAGUUUUAGUUCUUGACAGUUUACUCUAACUCAGAGAUGAGAUCUUAUUUAAAAGCAUGUGUACCAUCAAAUUUUUAUGAUAUUGCAACAACUUCUGGUCCAUUGCUGAGUCUAUCCUUGCUUAGGGACGAGCAAGAGGUAAGCUUGGGGGAGUUUGUUGACGGUCCUUAAGUAUCAAAUUUAAUUAUCAAAUAAACAAAGAAAAGGAUCCAAAUGAAAUCAACAUCUAGACUUAGGGUUUUAUCUGACAGAAUUCCACGAGUUUUGGUGUUUGUCUAUUUCUGCAGGGGGUUAUCAGGAAAUAUGAAAGAAAGGCCCACACGUCGGGUUUACAUAGAGAUAUUAACGUGUCGCGCAAUUUUCUACCAUUUAGAAGACUCCAGAAGCCACGGGAACGAACGGGAGGCCGAUCGGGCCCAGGGGCAGGGCGCCCGCCCAAGUCCCUUGGGUGCCCGCCCAGCUAUAGUAACCAAUCAGCUUCAACUUCGCGGAUCAUGCUCCACCGACCUAAUACUUCAAGGAAAACCACACGAUCAAUGUCGGUUUGAUCCGACGGCCCAGAUUCAUCUGAAAAGACUAUAUAACCAGACCCCCUGGCCCCUGGAGGAGGCACCCCUUGAUCAUUAUUCAUUAUUCAUAGACAGAGCAAAAGCUAGGGUUUAGAGAUGAGAGCUCUACUCUCUUCUCUAAACUAGAGUAGAUCUAGAUAGUAGCGAGAUGGAGAGCGAAGGAGGAUUAGAGGAGAGGCCGGCCUGUCGGUUCUUCCUCCGGUUGUACUUCGUCAUGAUCAAGCUCUAAUCAAGCUUGCUCAUGGGAUGACUCUGGUAAUCUACUUCUAAUUCAUUAUGCAAUUACUAAUCAUGUAUGUUCUGGUUCACAACCCUUUUGAGUACUUCUAAUCUAUAGGACGCUAUAGGUUAGAGUUGUAGUAUAGGUGUAAGCGUGGUGCUUAGACCUAGAUUACUUGUGGAUAUCCCCUGUCUAGCUGGAUCGUGUGGUAGGCCGCGUAGAUGACAGUUACGUUGGUUCUCUGUAGUCCACCUCUCGUUAGCAGGACGGGUAGGGUUUAUCGGCCUAUGGAUAAGCAUCCUUUGUGGUGUAUUCUUAUCACGUGGUUCGUCCCAGACAUAGACAUACCCCUUUGAAGUAGAGAAACCAUAGUUAUCCUCUCUAUUCUGCUACCAUCGCCCAUAUACUAGAAUUGCUCUACUCUCUAUUCCCAUAUUAUCACUCACUGUUAUCUUACCUUUAAUAUUGUUCUUAUUCGAUUCUACCAUCUUUCCUAUUUACACUUAUUUACUUUUCUUGGUUAAGUUAGAGCGUAGAUCAGUUCUCCCGUUUCCUUGUGGAUACGAUAAAACCUUUAACCGGGUAAAAGCUUCAACGGUAUCCGUGCGCUUGCGGAUUAUCUGUGUGCGUAUAAAUACCAUAGUACACUCUAGUGCCAUGCUGGGGAUGACAACCUAGUAUUCAAGUGGUGUUAGCAAGUGUCAACAGGCCGCACAACGGUUCUUCUCAGAAGUCUCGCGAUGCUUAGCCUUCCUCGCACUCUUCGCUUUCUUCUCCUCUUUGGCCUUUUUCUGUUCCUCAUUCCAGGCCCGGUUUCUGCCCUAGAGCUCCUUGUCCUCCGGGACUGGGGGCAGGGAGUCCUUGACGACCCCCAUCCCCUACAAAUGAACAGAAAAUCAAGAUCAAAGCGAGGAAAGAGGGAAACCAGCACAAGGUCAGAGAUAAAGGCGGCAUCUUACUAGAGAAAUCUAACCUCUGUUAGGGCGCAUCGGCGCCACCUGAGAGUCCUUCAGAUCCGAGUGUAUAGUCCUCGAGAUCUGGGUGGUUAUCUCCGUUGCAGACACUAGCGCCUCCAGCAUCCGCGCCCCGACCCAGGGGGUCUCCCGGGUCAUCUCCCACAUGAACACAUUCCGCUGCGUCAGUGGCAGUAGGCUCCGCUUGUGGAAAGCCACUGCCACCGUCGCCGCGGUAACCCCGGCGUGGCGGAGCUUCACGAGGCCUGCGAGAAGGACGUCGAGCCUCUUCUGCUCGUCCGCAGGGGCGCCCCACCCCCACUUCACGGGGCACUCAACCACCAUCCUACCGGUGUACUCCGGGAGCAGCCCGCCGUUGUUCCGAAGGUAGAACCAUCUGUUCUGCCACCCCCGGUUCGACGAAGGCAUGUUGCUUCGGAUAUACAGGUGGGAGCGUGACUGAUGGAGUUGCAACGUGCAACCGCCGGCCCGCAGGGGCCUCUUCUCCCCUCCCUCGUUGCGGGAGGACAUCUCCGCCAUGAAGAGGUGGAGCCAGAGGUUCCAGUGAGGAGGGACCCCCCAGGAACCCCUCGCACACCUUGGCGAAGACAGUCGCCUGCAUCAUGGAGUUGGGGUUAAGGUUGUGCAGCUCCACUUCGUAGUAGUGGAGGAUGGCUCAGAUGAGCCUAUCGCCGGGCGUUCCAAACCCCCGUUCCAGGAAUGACAGGAAGCAAACCACAUAGCCCGGAGGCGGGUUUUGCUCCCUGUUGUUCGCCGGGGGAACGAUCCACUCCGGAGCCCCCUCGUCCGUAAUAGGACAGAGAAGUCCGUUCUUCACUCGCGCAUCCAGCGCAGCCCUGGUUGUGUUGCAGGGAUACCAUGCGUUGUCGCCGGCCAUGUCAGCAAGGAGGAUUGGGCGCUUAGAGGAAAGAUGGGCGACGGUAGAAGAUUUGGGAGGCAAAGACGGCAGAUGAACAAGGGCAGGUAAAAAGGGUAAAGGACCCCCGCGGUAGCUUUUAUAGAAGGAGCGUGCCGCGGCUUCACCUCCCAUGCAGCAGAUCAACGAGGAAAAGGGCAACCGUUGUCCCCGUGUUAACCAGGUGAAAAACUCGAAGCGACCACUUCUCCCGAUUCUCACGCCCACUGCGCCCACGCGCGCAUUAAAUUCACAGGUGAGGCGUCACAUCCGGCUCAGGCACAACGGCACGGCUGUUCCGGCUCCCCAUGUGAGUCGCCUCAAAAGGAGCGCCCUGAGAAGCUAUGUUAAGGCAGUUCCUUCUAGGGUAAGUGGUACCCGACCCCCUGCUACGCCCGAGCCAAGCAGCAAGGUGGUUCCUUCUAGGGCAAGCUCCAUCUCGCCCGACCCCCCUGCUGCAACCAGACCGAAACCUCUCAAGGUAAAAAUCCCUAGGCUAUGGCCACCUACGUUCUAGAGGUUGCGAAACUGACCCACCAAAUGGGUUCGAACAGUCGCCUCAGGAUGACCGAGCAAGGGAUGACUGAGGAUGAGCACAAUAGAGGCCAUGAUCCGAGCCCCCUAGGGGAUCGGCGCAUCUUUGCCAGUCGUAUCCGAGACCCAUGCGGGUGUCGCGCGAGUGGGAUCCCAUCGAGGGAGGCACCGAGCCCUCGGAACCUAUCAAACGGUUCUGACAUCCACCGUGACUGCCCUCGGGUAUUUUGAGAUGUGCCCAUAGGGCCACCAGCCGACCCCUUGUUGACGGUCCUUAAGUAUCAAAUUUAACUAUCAAAUAAACAAAGAAAAGGAUCCAAAUGAAAUCAACAUCGAGACUUAGGGUUUUAUCUGACAGAAUUCCACGAGUUUUGGUGUUUGUCUAUUUCUGCAGGGGGUUAUCAGGAAAUAAGGAAGAAAGGCCCACACGUCGGGAUUACAUAGAGAUAUCAACGUGCCGCGCAAUUAUCUUACAUCUAGAAGACUCCAGAAGCCACGGGAAGGAAGCGGAGACCGAACGGAGUCAGGGACAGGGCGCCCGCCCAAGUCCUUAGGGCGCCCGCCCACCUUUUUCGGCCAAUCACGCUCAAUCUCGCGGAUUAUGCUCCACCGACCUAAAGGAUCAAGAAUAACCGUUCAAUCAAUGUCGGUUUGAUCCGACGGCCCAGGUUCACUUGAGGGGACUAUAAAACUAGACCCCCUGGCCCCUGGAGGAGGAACCCCUUGAUCAUUAUUCAUUAUUCAUAGACAGAGCAAAAGCUAGGGUUUAGAGAUGGGAGCUCUCCUCUCUUCUCUAAACUAGAGUAGAUCUAGAUAGUAGCAAGAUGGAGAGCGAAGGAGGAUUAGAGGAGAGGCCGGCCUGUCAGUUCUUCCUCCGGUUGUACUUCGCCAUGAUCAAGCUCUAAUCAAGCUUGCUCAUGGGAUGACUCUGGUAAUCUACUUCUAAUUCAUUAUGCAAUUACUAAUCAUGUAUGUUCUGGUUCACAACUCUUUUGAGUACUUCUAAUCUAUAGGACCCUAUAGGUUAGAGUUGUAGUAUAGGUGUAAGCGUGGUGCUUAGACCUAGAUUACUUGUGGAUAUCCCCUGACUAGCUGGAUCGUGUGGUAGGCCGCGUAGGUGACAGUUACGUUGGUCCCCUGUAGUCCACCUCUCGUUAGCAGGACGGGUAGGGUUUAUCAGCCUAUGGAUAAGCAUCCUUUGUGGUGUACUCUUAUCACGUGGUUCGUCCCAGACAUAGACAUACCGCUUUGAAGUAGAGAAACCAUAGUUAUCCUCUCUAUUCUGCUACCAUCGUCCAUAUACUAGAAUUGCUCUAUUCUCUAUUCCCAUAUUAUCACUCACUGUUAUCUUACCUUUAAUAUUGUUCUUAUUCGAUUCUAUCAUCUUUCCUAUUUACACCUAUCUAUCUAUCUUGGUUAAGUUAGAGCGUAGUUGGUUCUCCCGUUUCCCUGUGGAUAUGAUAAAACCUUUAACCGGGUAAAAGCUUCAACGGUAUCCGUGCGCUUGCGGAUUAUCUGUGUGCGUAUAAAUACCAUAGUACACUCUAGUGCCAUGCUGGGGAUGACAACCUAGUAUUCAAGUGGUGUUAGCAAGUGUCAACAAGCAUUUUUGGCGCCGUUGCCAGGGAAACGGUUGCUGAGUUGACUACGAACUAGUUUAAUCAUUUUAUAAAAAAUAAAUAAAAAAAAAUUAUUUUCCUUUUAUCCUUUGCCUCAUCUCUGCUAUUCUUUCUUCUUAUCUAAUCCCUGAUCUCUGGUCUAUUAUGAAUUCAAACAUGUCUAUCUAUGAAUUUCAUAGACCUACGGGCACACAUCUCGAACCACCAAAAUCUUCAAAGCCUAUCAUAGCAUCUAGUUUUGAGAUAGACCCCGAAUACAUAGAAUUUAUUCAAAAACAACCUUUCUCAGGAGAAGGUGAGGAAAACCCAUACACACACCUAAGAGAGUUUUAUCGAGUCUGUGACCUCCUUCGCAUAGAAGGCAUGUCCGAUGAGACCCUUAAAUGGAAGCUCUUUCCGUUCUCUUUAACGGGAAAAGCUAGACAUUGGUAUAAACUCAAAGUAGGGAGUGUUCAUGGAGAUUGGAAGGAGUUAUAUAGUAGUUUUCUUUCUAAAUAUUUUCCAAUCUCCAAAGUGGUGGAACUUCGGCGUGAGAUCCUUUCUUUUAGACAAGUGGAAGAAGAAUCUCUUGGCAAAUCAUGGGACCGCUUUAUUAACCUUACUCUCACUGGCCCAAAACUUUCUAUUCCAGAAGAAGUUCUUCUAAUUCAUUUUUUUGAGGGCCUUAGUAGGAAAAAUAAGCAAACCCUUCAUGCGGCCUCUGGAGGAUCUUUCCACCACCUAUCCGCUAGUGAAGCUUGGAAUUUGAUUGAUUUAAUGAGCAGAAAGUCUCCUAGCUUUUAUAUCCCUGAGAAAGAGAAAGAACCAGUUCCUAGACAAGAAGAAGAAGCUUUGAUAGCCAGAUCACAACCACUUCAAUCCCAAACUUUAGCUAUCGAUCCUAAACCAUCAAUACCCCAAAAUUCUCCAAGGGAGGAAGGAAUUCCGACCUUAAAUCUUUUAGAUGCUGAUGGUUUAGACUUCUGGUUCUAUAAGAGACCUUCAAGCAGGGAUAAUUCAAAUCAUUGCAAUAAUGUUUCUCUUAGAGAAUGUCCUGGUUCCUAUCAUGAAGAAGUCGAGGAUGACAUAUCAAGUGAAGGAGAGCUAAGCCAUAUAGACAAUUCUAUCUACUCCCCUUCCAUGUUCACAAGUUCUAAAUCCAUCCUUGACCUUAGAGAUCCCUCUUAUCCCUCUUCUUUUCAGUCUCAUGAUGAUCCUAGCAAUUCACCAAGACGACCAAACCAUAGGAGUCAUGAAGACCAUAAGGAUGGCAUGUCAAGUAAUGCCAUAGAAGGAGAGCUAAGCCAUAUAGAAAAUUCUAACACCUCCCCUAUUUUGAUCACAAGUUCUAAAUGGCUAGAAUGUGUAGAAUGGAUGGAUAAGGAAGAAGCCUUAAUGGAUUCUGACUUUGGCUCAAUUUCAAAUGGUGAGUUCUUGACUCCCUUUGAAGAUGAGAUUCACCCAACUAUAGAAGAGGACAUAAGUGAGACCAAUCCAAGAGAAACUCUGAACAUUCAGAUUGGAGACGAAGAUAACAUUAAUGAGCAUGGAAUUUAUUUCAUAGCCACUUUGUUUACUCCAUGCUCAUAUGCAACAUCUUCCCAAUCUAUUGGUCUCUCCGACAUCACCACACUUGAGAUCUCCAACCCCCUCUUCCUUUCUAUUUAUAAAAACUUUAAAAGGGCGGUUGUCGAUGCAUAUGUCUAUAAUAAAUAUUGCAGAUCUCGUUGAGUUGAUCUAGAUAUAGGUUGGCGUCGGAGGGGAAACCACUUCGCCAACAUAAACUGAUGGUUUCCCAAGGACAAGCUUAGUGUCUUAAAAUAAGCAUUGAUCAGAUCGUAACAUGAGCCUUUAAUUAUUUGCAACAUUACCUUGUGUAUUGAGCAUAUAAGGAUAAUUGUAAAAAAACAUAUUCCUUCGGGUAUUCUUGUCACUAACCUUUCUAAGAUUGGAGCAAGAAGAUCGGAUGAAUGACAAGCACAAGGUAUGUCUAACCAAUCAUCAUACAACAUUGAAUUAAAUUCAUCCAAACUUGAAUUUUGCAAAAUUCAAGCUUGGGGGAGUACUUUACAUAAAAACAUCCUUUGCCAUGUUGCUAUGCUGGUUGUCCCUACCUUUGAGACAUGCUCAAUUUGUUAAAUACUAAUCACACUACUUCAUCUCCACUUGAGUAGAUCUCUAUAAAUGCUGUCAUGCUACCUUUGUCUAUUUACUAGCAAGUGUUGGUUUGGAAGUACUCGCCAUACUUCCAUUGGCAUUUAAAUUAAUCAUAGUGCUUAGGUUAAAUAGCCUUCCUUAAUCUGAUUUGACAUGGAGUCUAGUUUGGUUAUUGAACUAAAAAAAACUGCUUGAGUAGAUAUUGGUAUAUUUUGUCGGACUAACCCCUGCAGAAAAACUUUCAAUAUCGAUUUGGGAAGUCCUGAGAUAAACUCACAUCAGAGACGAAGAGAGUGACACAUGAAGUUUAACAAUUUGCACAAGAAGGACAUAGCUCAUUCAUCAUAGAGAGAUGAUCCAUGGAGGGUGCCACAAACACGAUGCACAACCGCUAAGAAAGGAAAGCUUCCACAAGAUGAUACUGUACCAUCACUCUUCAAGCAAGGUACACUACGAGCACAAACACAUUGAGCAAGAUACUGCUAACACCGCACUUCGAACUGCUGGGCAAACGAAGAACAUGGGUGACACCGUAUUAAAAGGUGCAGACGUCAAGGUCCGCAUCUGAAUCAAAUGACGCACCUGAAGAAUGAACACGAUGAGAAGUCUUGACAAGAAGACUUAAAACAUUGAACCCUCGCCGAAAGGUAAGAUUGGUAGUUAUCCAUAUUUAUCCUUUCUGCAUUCACUUUUCCCUUUAAUUAUUUACUUUCCUUAAAUAGAUUAUUAGUUAAUCAUGCUAUCUUGAAAAGGAAAUAAAAAUAUUAAAAAAUACUAAGCCCCAUGUGAGUAUACGAGUGGCAUAAAACCCAUAAGUACCUUCACUGUGGUGGCAUAAAAAUAAAAUAAAUAUUUCUUUUCUGUUUAUAAAAUAAAAAUAUAAAAACAGGGAGUAAUAUUUAUUGAGGAAGCUCAACAUGAUGAAGGAUAGAUAUUUAUGCUAACACUUAAUUAGUUCCACAAGCUUCGUUGUCUUUUUGAGCUCCACAGAAUUUAAGAAUCAAGAAGACUAGCAGACGGAGGACAUUCUAAUCGCUGUCAGAAUGCUGCUGACUUUCAAAUACACCUCUGCCACCUGCUAGCUACAUCAAGAGAAAUUACGUCAAAAUUCAGCUUGGGGGAGAGCACCCCUAUUUAUCUCGCUAAGUAUUUCUACCUAUCUUUAUACUUAUAUUAUAUUAUAAUAUUAAAAUACAUAAACUAUGAAAAACCAAAUAAAUAUUUUAUGCUUAUAUAUAUAUAUAUAUCUUUUCUUAGUUUGCUAAAUAAAUAAAUAAAUAAAUAAAGUUUGCUAUGAAUCUUAAUAAUAAAACUCUAGCAUGGAUAUAAUGAAUAGUUGCUCUGCCUAAUUUGCAAAUUUAAAGUUCUCUCUCAAGUUUAGACAUAACUGUUAUAAUUUAAAGCUUGCUCUAGAUCUAAACUUGUGGGAUGAAAACUUGAUCUGAAAUCUAAGUUGUUAACGGAUAAGAUAUGGGAAGGUUGAGCUGCUGUUUAUCUGUUCCUAGAGAUGCUAGAAUUCUGGAGAAUUUUAUCUUUGAAAAUCUUUAAAAUGUUGCAUGAUGAGUUCCUGUAUGAUGAGAGUUUAAAUUCCUACCACAGCCAUAUAUACAUGCUUGCUAGACUUUGAGCCACACAUUUAUUAUUUACUGCUUAUGAGCAUUGAGUGUGGUCAAGCUGUGUAGACCCUUAGGAGCUUGUCAUGUGGUUAAAUCAAGAUUCACUUGCACGUUCACUUAUAUAUAUGCUAUUUCUACUCCGGAAGUACCAUCCACAUAUAUCCAUCCAUUUCCAUCUCCAGAAUCACCUAAAAAUAUUCUACUCCUAAUUCGGGAGAGAAUAGCCAAAAACAUCUGUGUUUUUCCCUUGUGAAAUAAAUGCUCAAGUUAUCUUGCUACUACCACUUGCUAUAUUAUCUCAAGAGAUGAGUGCUCUAAAAAAAAGGAAAAAAAAAGAAAAGAAAAAAAAUAAACGAGGAAAUAAAAGGGGCAAGUGCCCGGAACCUCGAAAGAAAAUAAAAAGAGUGAGACGAGAGGUAAAAAUGGACAAGUGUCCGACAGUAGAAUUAGGGGUACCGGAUACCCACCUGAGAGAAAAGAAAAGAAAAAGAAGAGCAUCUCAUUCUCCUCAUAAAGUUUCAAAAAGCAAGGAAGGUAUGUAUCCCCUCAAAAGAGCAAAAGUAGAAUUAGACUUUCACCAUUGUUAUCACCAUCAUCACCAUACACUAUUCAUUCGCCACACAUGCACAUCUUGAUUUGGCUUAUUGAUUUGUUUCUUUGGAUCCAUGGUUUGACUAUGCAAUACAUGUCUUGUAAGUAUGUAUACUUUAUCUCCCACCUAUGAGCUCCAGAUAUUAAAGCCUUAUUAGAGUAGGGUGAGAGAGAAGGCAAUGUCACUAUGCCUUAUACCACAAAUACCACAUAUUUUGAGAGAAGGCAUAUACCAUCACUGCCUUGGUAAGGAUCCAGAAAUACGACAAAAGAGAGAUAUGAGAGAGUCAUACAAGGAAUCUCUGAGUUUUAUUUGAAAAUCUGCAAAAACUCCAGAGCUAUAGCUGAUCAAGAAUAAGAGACAUGGCACUUGGCUAGACUGUUCUAUCUUUUAACUACUCAAGACAGAAGUGACGGUUACAAGUCCCAUGGUGAAAGGUAAAGUAAGUAAGUUUUAAGUCUUGACAGUUUACUCUAACUCAGAGAUGAGACCUCAUUUAAAAGCAUGUGUACCGUCAAUUUUUAAAGAUAUUGCAACAACUUAUGAUCCACUAGCUGAUUCUAUCCUUGCUCAGGGACGAGCAAGAGGUAAGCUUGGGGGAGUUUGUUGACGGUCCUUAAGUAUCAAAUUUAACUAUCAAAUAAACAAAGAAAAGGAUCCAAAUGAAAUCAACAUCGAGACUUAGGGUUUUAUCUGACAGAAUUCCACGAGUUUUGGUGUUUGUCUAUUUCUGCAGGGGGUUAUCAGGAAAUAAGGAAGAAAGGCCCACACGUCGGGAUUACAUAAAGAUAUCAACGUGCCGCGCAAUUAUCUUACAUCUAGAAGACUCCAGAAGCCACGGGAAGGAAGCGGAGACCGAACGGAGUCAGGGACAGGGCGCCCGCCCAAGUCCUUAGGGCGCCCGCCCACCUUUUUCGGCCAAUCACGCUCAAUCUCGAGGAUUAUGCUCCACCGACCUAAAGGAUCAAGAAUAACCGUUCAAUCAAUGUCGGUUUGAUCCGACGGCCCAGGUUCACUUGAGGGGACUAUAAAACUAGACCCCCUGGCCCCUGGAGGAGGAACCCCUUGAUCAUUAUUCAUUAUUCAUAGACAGAGCAAAAGCUAGGGUUUAGAGAUGAGAGCUCUCCUCUCUUCUCUAAACUAGAGUAGAUCUAGAUAGUAGCGAGAUGGAGAGCGAAGGAGGAUUAGAGGAGAGUCCGGCCUGUCGGUUCUUCCUCCGGUUGUACUUCACCAUGAUCAAGCUCUAAUCAAGCUUGCUCAUGGGAUGACUCUGGUAAUCUACUUCUAAUUCAUUAUGUAAUUACUAAUCAUGUAUGUUCUGGUUCACAACUCUUUUGAGUACUUCUAAUCUAUAGGACCCUAUAGGUUAGAGUUGUAGUAUAGGUGUAAGCGUGGUGCUUAGACCUAGAUUACUUGUGGAUAUCCCCUGACUAGCUGGAUCGUGUGGUAAGCCGCGUAGGUGACAGUUACGUUGGUCCCCUGUAGUCCACCUCUCGUUAGCAGGACGGGUAGGGUUUAUCGGCCUAUGGAUAAGCAUCCUUUGUGGUGUACUCUUAUCACGUGGUUCGUCCCAGACAUAGACAUACCCCUUUGAAGUAGAGAAACCAUAGUUAUCCUCUCUAUUCUGCUACCAUCGCCCAUAUACUAGAAUUGCUCUAUUCUCUAUUCCCAUAUUAUCACUCACUGUUAUCUUACUUUUAAUAUUGUUCUGAUUCGAUUCUAUCAUCUUUCCUAUUUACACCUAUCUAUCUAUCUUGGUUAAGUUAGAGCGUAGUUGGUUCUCCCGUUUCCCUGUGGAUACGAUAAAACCUUUAACCGGGUAAAAGCUUCAACGGUAUCCGUGCGCUUGCGGAUUAUCUGUGUGCGUAUAAAUACCAUAGUACACUCUAGUGCCAUGCUGGGGAUGACAACCUAGUAUUCAAGUGGUGUUAGCAAGUGUCAACACCCCUAUCGAAUGGGACUCGGGCAUCCACUUGGAUUUACACGCCUGCAGCUCUCGGGGAACAUCGAUACUCGCCCAUCGAGGGUAGUACGGCGUCUCCCAUCCCUCCUCCGAGCGAAUGGACGAAUAAGGGGCGUAACGACAAGACGGGAAAGAACCUGAUCGACCCUUGUGGGGAAAGGGCUCGGGGGCUUCCCCACAUAAGGGAACAGACACUGCGUGUAAAGAACACGUAACCUAUCCUUUGAAUACUCCCGACUACAACAUUCAGGGGUAAAAGCCUUUGAAGGAAUAACACCAUUCCUCCAAAAGGCUCGGGGGCUACACCCAAGAAUUGUCCCUUAAAAGAGAACCUCUGAAGGGGUGUCUUCACCCCUCUAAAGGCUCGGGGGCUACUGUUGGGUACCAUAAAAAGGGAUACCCAAAUCAGAGAAAUAAAAAUUGCAAAAAGGGGAUAAGGUGAACCCCUGAGAUUACCAGGGCUCGGGUGCGGGUUCCGUCUCGCCCGACUCCUUGGCCUCGGGUGCAAGCUCCGACUCACCCCAACCCUUGGCCUCGGGCGCAAGUUUCGCCUCGCCCGACCCCUCUUGGGCUCGGGCGCAAACACCGCCUCGCCCAGGCCCCCAUCUCGGAGCCAGGCUUCCAACGCACGAUGGUCGUACUCUUGACGUGACAUUCGCUAUGACCUCCACGUUGCGGCAGGGCAUGGCAGCAACUAUUCCAACUACCCCGGCCACUGUGUAGCCUUACCUCUUUCACUGUGAAGUACCGCCUCACAGUAAAAGAGGUAUGGAGGAGAUUAACCUGCAUCACUGUGGCUAUCUUCUCCUACUGUUAUAGAACGUGCUUCAGUAUCACCGACCCGACCCCCACGAUCUCAACAGGGCUCGGCAACUCUCCACAGGAGCAACCAUGCUGUCAGCCACGUCCCAAGGAUGAGAUGGGCAAGACUCCACAGGGUCAGAACUGUGACUUUACCAUUUACAAGAAGUAGAUCACUAGUCAACACAUGUAAAAACCCUGUGACCUCUUAUGACUAUAAAAGGGGAGCCAGGGCACACAUCCAAGACACGCUCACAACAUUGUAACUCAAGGUGAGACCACACACACACCAGAGUAGCAAGUAACGCUCUGUCCACCAUGCAAAGUCAAGACUUGGGACUUAGCCCACUCUCGCAACCAGCUUGUACACCCCUACUACAAGCACUUUCGGGUGCAAGGCAAUACAGACUUUGACUCUCACACUGGACGUAGGGCACACUUAGCGCGAACCAGUAUAACUCUCUGUGUUCCGCUUGCAUCACCAUUUGGGUUUAGGAGGACACGCAGACUUAUCAGUCGUUAGUGUCUAGACGACGAGUCUAGACGCCGACAAUAUAUAUAUGUGUCUCUUUGUGCGCAUAUCUACUAUUCAAGCUGUUUUAUGAACAAUAUGUGUUUUAGAACAUAUAUUCAAAGCAUAUCUACUAUUCAAGCUGUAUUAUGAAACAAUUAAUUGCUAAUGCUUUGUCUAGAUGAUAUACUAUGUUGUCCCAACUUGAUUGUAGAAUUUUUGGACUUGAAUUAAUAAAAGAACAAUAUGUGCUUGAUCCUGAUUUUAAAGAUGUGUUGCUAAAUUGUAAAGAGGGUCACAAAUGGAAAAAGUUUGUGAUAAAUGAUGGAUUUGUAUUUAGAGGUAACCGUCUAUGCACUUCAGUUGGUUCCAUUUGUGUGUUGUUGUUGCAGGAUGCACACAAAGGAGGACUGAUGGGCCAUUUUGGUGCUAAGAGGACCGCAUAUAUUUUGGCCACACACUUCUUUUGCCACAAAUAAGGAGAGACGUUGAGCGUUUCGUGGUACACUGCACCACAUGUCAAAAAGCUAAGUCUCACCUGAAAAAACAUGGUUUGUAUAUGCCUCUUCCUGUUCCUUCUAUUCCUUGGGUGAACAUUUCAAUGGAGUUUGUUUUAGGAUUUCCUAGGACUAAGAGGGGGAGGGAUAACAUUUUUGCUGUUGUGGAUCGAUUCUCUAAGAUGACAUAUUUUAUACCAUGCCAUAAAAGUGAUGACGCCACUCAUAUUACUGACCUCUUUUUCCAAGAGAUUGUUCGCUUGCAUGGUAUGCCUUCUACUAUUGUUUCAGAUUGCGAUGCUAAAUUCUUGAGUCACGUUUGGCGUACUCUAUGGAGCAAGUUAGGUAUAAAACUGUUGUUUUCAACAACUUAUCACCCACAAACUGACGGACAAAUAGAGGUAUUGAACCGCACUUUGGGCACCAUGUUGAGAGUUGUUUUGAAGAAAAAAUUGAAGAUAUGGGAAGAAUGUUUGCCUCAUAUGGAGUUUGCUUACAAUUGGGCAACACAUUCUACCACCAAAGGUGUAUGGUUUUAACCUGAGUGCUUCAAUUGAUCUUUUGCCUUUACCUACCACAGAAAGAACACAUAGUGAUGCUAGUGCAAGUGCUAAAUUCGUUCAUAAGUUGCAUGAAACCACAAAGGCAAAUAUUGAAGAGAUGAAUGAAAAGUAUAGAAUUGCUGGUAGUGAUGGUAGAAAAGAAAUUAAACUUGAACUGGGUGAUUUAGUAUUGUGACAUUUGAGAAAAGAUAGGUUUCUAGAGCUACGUAAGUCAAAAUUAAUGCCAAGAGCUGCUAGUCCUUAUAAAGUUAUUGAGAAAAUAAAUGAUAAUGCAUAGAAACUUGAGUUACCACCUGAGUUUGGGGGUAGUCCUUCUUUCAUCAUUUUAGUUUGAAGCCAUAUUUGGAAGAAGAAGAUGACAUUGAGUCGAGGAUGACUUCAAUUCAAGAGGGGGAGAAUGAUGAGGACAUCACUCCUUUGGAUGCACAAAAUGAUCCUACACUAGACAUUCAAGGUCCAAUCAUAAGAGCUUGCGCACGACAAUUAAAUUUACAGGUGAGCUUGUUCCUAAGCAAGUCUUUUUAUGAUUUUGAGAAUAUAUUGCUACCUAAUAAUUAUAUUAUGCUUAGGAAUCGUGGAGAGGACUAGGGGAUGCUUAAGGAAUGGCUUGGAGGCGUGGAGGACCAGCAAGGGGGCCCAAGUCAAGAAGAAGGCCCAAACCGAGUCGACUUCGAGCUUGUUCUGGAGUCCAGGACCAGUGAGAAGUAAAAUGGACACCUAGGACGCAUCUGGACACUGUUUUUGAUGAUCCACCCAUAGUUGGAAAGAUAAUUUCAUAAGGAAACCAAUUGCGUUGGUUUGAGGUCCAAAUUUCUUUCGAGUCAUCGAAAAACAUCAAAACAAGUCAGCAUCCAGAAUCUAUUUUGGUGUUGCGUCACCGUUUUUCGUCCAUUGUGUAUCGUUAUUGAGCCCGUUAGGGGGGCGCGUCCAGGGGUGGCGAUGACCCUUAGACCUCUAUAUCUAGCCACCGUCACUCUUAUUAGGUUUUGUGUUUUGCUUAGAUUAUUCUGUCAAGAAUAGUUUCACCGUUUCAUUAGAUUGUGAGACCUCAACUCAUGAAAUUAAUCAUUCAUCUACAAAUUGGUUUGUGUUCUUUGAUUCAUAGGCAAAGGAUUUAGCCUUCUUGGCGAGGUCAACCAUGCAAUACCUGUUAAUAACUAAAGAAGAUGUGGUGCUGUGAUUGCUGGGUUUCAGAUCGUGUUGUUCGGAAGUCGGAUCGAUUUGUGACUUAUAUCCACCAAAUUGAGAGUUACCAGAACCUUUCGGAAGAUCGGCCACCUUUGUUCACAUCACUCUUAUCCCAAGUUCCCCACCCUAUCUGAGCCUAAGCUCCCUACCUCCAAGUUUGACAUUGAGUAUAUACCCACGCACACGUCGUCCCAUGGACGCCGUUUUCAUGGGGAGUUUGAGCUUGUCGAGCGCAUACCGGGGCUGCGCCACUUAUCCAUGCUCCGAACCACCAUCGAUGUCUCUAUCCAGCACUCAACAGUUAAGGCUUUGUUUGAAAGCCCAAAACCUCAGAGCCUCCCUGCCUUUUCCUCGAGGAGAAUGCCCAUGCAGACCCAUGCCAUGGGCUAGACAACAUCUGGGUUUGGAAACUCAUUUGACGUGGGUUGCUAGACCAACCCACACACUUUCUAGGGGGAACGAUGCUGCAAAGACACAGGUCAGGCACAACAUCCCCAUCUUGCUUGUGAUUCAUGAUUUGUGGAGUUCCCAUUCCAUGACCACGGAGCUGCCUCCUCGUCAAUCUACCUCCCCAUCCAAUUAUCACGACGGCUCCUUGGGCCAAUCUGGCCCUUCCUCCAAACAACAAAAAGGGUGGGGGAGCACCUCCUAGGGAAAUGAGCGAACAUUGGGCACUUAAACCUUUGUUGGGGCUGUGCUUCCCUAGGCUAAGCUGCCCCUUGCUCCGAAAGGAACACUACUACAAAAAAAAAUUAUGGAGGCAGACGUUUUAGAUUUUUGGAGGUCGGCAACCCCAACCGCCUCGAACAAAAGGCCUCUGUUAAUGCAUAAACUAUGGAUUAGAGCUCGGUCCGUCGAGCCCAUCCAGGCACUGUUGGCCGGAUCUGCACCGCCGGUGUGCUCGCACGUUGGAUCUACACCACCGCUGCACCCGCUAGCUGGAUCCAGAAGCUUCUCGCCUAAUCCAACAUCCGCUUGCCGGAUCGGGUCGCCUGUGCCUAGAUCUACCGCCCCAUCGACCCAAUCUGCUGCCACCACGCCGUGGUGGAGACCAGGAGAGGGAGCAGGCUGCCGCUAGAGAAGCCGCUCGUCCAUCAUCAUCACCAUGGAUCUGUGAUAGAGAAGGUAAGGUGAAGGGCUAGAAAGAGAGAGAAUGAAGGGAGAGAGAGAUAGAGAGAGGAUGAAGUCAUACAGCGGCCUUCUCGAGGGAGUGCCGCCCUGCCGCCGCCGAACCUCGGAGUUGAGGGAGAGUGAAUCACAUACGCCACCGAAUCUCAGAGGGAGGGUGGGAGAGCCACCAGAGGGAGGGACGACCCCGACGAGAGGGGGAGUCCUGCGCACAACGCUCGGUGGAGAGGGAGGGGGGCCACGCAUGACGUGACACUCGAUGGAAAGGGAGACAUGCCACCUUUUUGUGAGGAGGGAUAGAAUGAGAAGGGGAGAGUAAGUGAAGGAGAAAUCUUAACUUUUUAUAUUUAUAGCGAUGACGGUUUAUGGAGGUGGGCAUUUUAAGACGAUCGACUCUGUUAAUAUAGAUUAAUGGAGAUGACCCUUUUAAUAUGCCCGCCUCCAAAAACCGAUUUAUGAAAGCGGGCACCUUAAAACGACUGUCUCCGUUAAUAUAGAUUAAUGGAGCUGGGUUUUUUAAUGUGCCCGCCUCUAAAAAUUGAUUUAUGAAGGCGGGCACCCUAAGACGAUCGCCUCUGUUAAUAUAGAUUAAUGGAGGCGGACUUUUGAACAUGCUCGCCUUCGUUAACAUUUAACCGAGGCGGGCUAGUUAGGGGUCGGCUGUGGCUCGCUUGGCUGAGAGCAAUGAAGGCGAGCAAAAAGUGUUCCCGCCUCAAAUCUAAAACCCCAAUAUCACGCAAAAGAAAUCUUGUACUAGUGGAAGCCUGGUACUUAGCCUAUGCCCUGAGGACAUGUUCGCCUAUUCAUCUUGUGCCAUCGUGGCCACCACUAAGGUAGGGGCUUGCAAAUCUCAAAGUGUUUGCAUUUUAGGGGGAGAUGGUUCUAGAUGAGGCGGUGGUGGUGGAAAGAAGCAGGCAGCGGUGGAAAAACAAAAACAAUGAAGAAAGGCUUAGACCUUACGCUACACCCACAAGAGAAGGUGCUCACAGGGUAGAUUUGACGAGCUCUGAGUAAAAGCCCGCUGGAGUUGUUUUUUUAUGUGAUCGUUCAGAUUCGAGUUUAUGAAUGUGACUAGAGUCUCGUGUUUGGCGCCAGCUACAGGAAACUACGUCUAAGAGCAAGUUUAAUAAUACAGCCCACUUACUGGCCGUAAGGUUUCUUGCAGCCUUCUCCCAACCCACUCAUACAAUAGUUAGCUCUUCACUAUUAAUACAUGGCCUACUUAUCUUUCUCACAAAGUUUCUUGGUUCUUGUGACUAAGCUGGCUGUAAGCUUACAGCCUGCUUCUCCUCUUUCUCAUCUCUUCUCUUCUCCACCUUAGUAUUUAGCCAAUUUACAGCCCACUGUAAUACUUACUCUAAUACCUCUAACCAUCGUGAGUUGUGGCGGGGGUAAGGAUUUUGGGUGCCACAGCAUGGUUCUGUGCUACAAAAAGCUAUGGCUACCUCAGUUGAAUAGCAAACCAAACAGCGGCGCCAUGAUUACCGUGGCGAGCCACAGGGGCGUGGCGUGCCGUGGCCGCCAACCAAACAUCCUUGCUUUCACAUCUCAGAAAAACGCACUAAAAAUAUAUUUAUGCUAUAUUUCAUAAACAUACUUUUCAUCAUAAACAGUAGUCGCUUGAUGCACACAAGCACUAGCAAGCAUUCUCAUGAGAGUCGUUUAGAUCUUUAUUAAGAGCACAACUUUGUUAAUUGUAAAUACUACUCUGAAAAUCAGGUGGUGGUUACCUAUAGUAGAGUAGACACUCAGACGACAUUCAGGGAUUCAGCGGUAGAUCGUAUGUACCCGAGCUUAAUAAAUGUAUAAACAUUGGCUGCCCCAACUCCUAAUAACUGUCAUGUCACAAGGGGGUGCAAAUCAGACGAUCCUCAUCAGCUGAUGAUGAUGACUCCAUUAGGUCAUGAUGAUACAAGAAUUGGUGUCAGGAUCGACCAGCGCUGGCACGAGAUACUUCCUGCCGUUCCGGCCGACCACGUUGAACCCAGCGCCGGUGGCCGUGUCGAGCCUGACCGCGCCGGGGUACCCCGGGUACGCGCCGCGGCCGUAGACGCCCGGGCACGCAGCCGCCACCUCUACGGGUGCGCCGGGGUCGCCCUGGAAGUAUCCGUGCCCAUAUGGGUUGGUGACCGCGGCGGCCAGCAGCGCCGCGAGGUUGAUCAGCAUGCCGUCGAUACCGACGUCGCCGUUGGGCGCGCGCAGCGUCUCGCCGCGGCCGCGCCCGGGCACAUGCCUGGCACCGUAGGCGAAGCCCUCCGCGGGGUGGAACGGCCACGUGCACCGCCCUGGGCACUGCACGGCGGCGUCGCCCACCCACACGUGCGUCGCUCCCCCCGACGCGGAGGCCCCGUGCGUUCCGCACGCGCUGCCGCAUUGCCCCUCGACGGCGACGUCGGCGGCCGUGAGCACGACGGCCACGCCCCUCGGCGCCACGCCGAGCCGCGACGCCAGCCGCUCGACCUGGACCCUGGACAGAGUCUUCCCCAGCGAGCACGACUCGUCGUGCACCUGGCUGGCCAGCAGUACCCGUGGGGGCCCUCGGCCGGCCUUGCGCACGUACCGGUCCACAGUCUCCCACCACCGCGCCACCGACGGCGCAGGCGCGGGCCCUGGCGCCCCGAACCUAUGGUGCUGCGGCUGGCGGCCGCGCGGGGAGAGGGAGAGCAGGAAGUCGGAGAUGAUGGCCUUCUGGUGUGGUGAGAAGGCGCCAUAGUAGAGGACAGAGACCGGCACAACGCCGUCGAGCACCUCGCCGGCGUGGUAGACCAUGACGGGCGGUGGCGGGCGGUAGAGGGAGGAGUGGCACGGGCGCGCGAAGCUGACCAACACGAGGACGAGGAGGGCGACGGCGCCACAGCCGACGUUCGAUGUUGCCCUGUCCAUAUGGUUGCGUCGUCGGCGAUCUGUUUUACGCACCGAGUUGCGCUUGCACACCAUGCAACGCAACGCAACGCAAGGUUGUGAGGCAGCUAUAUAGUAGUACAUGUCUCGGGCUCUCGGCUCGCUCUCCAACUCCAACGGCAUCUAAUUUGUUGCUUCCAUUGGCGGGCGCGGCGAGCAUCGCAAUGCAUGCAUGGAAUGGAUACCAGGCGUGCGUGCGGUGAUGCAACACAACACAACACCCACGGGAACUGAUUAGAAUUGCUUGCAAGGCAGGCUAGAGAGUCUAGAAAAACCGCAUAUCAAUAUUGUGUGUUGUUUGUCGACGCCGCACAUAGAAAUUGGGCCAGGGCCUGCCACCAUUACUAUGGAUUACAGCAUGUGUUCGGGUUCAUAAGUUUUUUAUCUCAGAAAAUUAGCUUCUCCAAUACUUCCUCCGUCCCUAAAUACUGCUAUUUCUAGCAGAUUUCAGACAGAUUAGUGUGGCAAAUAAAAGACCAUUCUACCCUCAAUUAAUUUGGGUUCCACCAUUUAAUCAUGCACGUUAAGCCAUGAUUCUCUAGUUCCAAUGAGCUGCAUUUAAUGUCAACUAAACAGACUCAAACAAUUACCAUACGCCAAAGUAUUACUCCUUGGAAGAAAUUAAAUGGGCUGGUGGACCACGGAAGUUCCGAGGAGAAAUUAAAUGGGCUAGUGGACCGAGAAUUCUAGUAGAAAUAACAGUAUUUAUAGAUAAAAUUUUCUCCUAGAAAUAGCAGUAUUAGGGAUGGAGGGAGUGGUUUGGCAAAUGACUUCGCAUCUAUAAUUUUUUUAGCAAAAUGAAAAAACUCUUUACCUAACUCUCUAUCUUUUCUAACUUGACAUAUCUCUGUGUCUAAUGCACAAAUAUGCACGCGGGCUCUGUACUUGGCAUCAGUCUUUCUCCUCAUGCUUAGUUGGGCUCUUUGUUCGCUUAGUGCGGUUUUUAUUCACUUAGCAGGGCUGUUCAUUUCAUUAGCGGAUUUUUAGGUUUUAGAAUGAAAUUUGUGUUAGAGAUAAUAUUUUUUUCUUCUCGUAGUUGACAAAUAAUAAGAUUUAGGAAAUAAAUAUUGCCAAACAGUUAGAGAUGGCUCUUAGAUAAGUAGUCGUUAAGCGGAUGACUGUAGUCGUUACAGGUCGGACUAUGUACGUACUGUGGUACUAACUUUUAUUUUACUCUUUUUUCAUAACAGUGCUUUUUUUAUCCUUUUUUCUAGCUAUUAGUAGAGAUGCACGCGUAGCACGCAUGUGCUAUGCAAACUAUUCAUAUUUACAUAUUUAAUGGGUGAUAUCAGUAAAAUUUUCUAGAAGUCAAUUCAUAUAUAUUAUACAUAAAAAUAUAAUCAACUUUUUACAACAAUACAAUAUUAAUAAGGUACUAACAUAUUCAAACCAUAAGAAAAUUUGGAUGUAGCAUUCUGCCAUGCACAUUCUGCACAUUAGCUAAGGUUGUGCAGUUGCCACAACUCGUGGAGAACAUGUUAGGGGACAAAUCCUUGACCAAUAGUUACGAGGGCUCGCAGAUGCUACUUGUUUCACUUAUAGCUCUUUUUUUUUUGCAAAGUGUGCAUGCCCCACACAGAUGUACCGUAACAUCUUGGGCUGCGGGUGUGCUUACUGGAGGAGCACCGGAGGAGCACCACUUAUAGCUCCUUUUAUCGAUUCAUCUCCUCACAAUGACUUCGACUGGCGCAUGCGAGCCCGUUCGCUUGUCUAUCAGUCGUACUUUUUCUACCAGGCAGUAGCAUUUUUCUCUCCAUUACUUUUUAGACCAGCUUACAUGUUAAGCAUAUCAACCAAUGUUUUAAAUAGCGCACUAUUUUCGCGCUAUAGCGCCGCUAUAGCGGCCAGAAUAAGUCGACGCGAAGCUAUACCUCAUUUUUACGCUAUCAGCGCUAUUGACGCUAUAGCACGCUAUAGCUCCGCUAAACUGAAAUAGCGCCAUAGCGCCGCUAUUUGCAUGCUAUUGCUGUUUAUUUGUGAUCAUGUUAUCAUGCACUUAUUUGUGGUGCUGUGCUUAUGCACUUAUGGUUAUACACUAUGCAGUCAUACAUUAUGCUUAUGACUUAGUUAUGUAUUAAACUUUUAAACUAUGUAACACAAGUGAUGAUUUGUGAUUUGUGAUUGUGAAAUAUGAUGGUUGUUUGAACUUGUUGCUGUCUAUUAUAUAUUUUGCCUGUUUCCAAUUAAAUAGCGCGCUAUAGCGCCGCUAUAGCGUGGAUAGCUACAACACGCUGCUGUGUACAGCAGCCGCUAUAGCGGGGCUAUAGCGUUCGCUAUAGCGCAAAUAGCGUCUAGAACAGAAAGACGCUAUUUUCUAUAGCUCGCUAUUUAAAACAUUGAUAUCAACUGAUAGUUCACAACUUGAACAUUAUGUAAGCAUAGCAACUGCACGGUUACCCUGCCAUAGCCAAGCAUAGCAACUGAUAGUUCACAACUUCACAUACCAUCUGGGAUUAAAUCUUUAUCUGUUACGGCGUCGGGCUUUGCUGCGUAGGAAGUAGGGCGGAGAGAAGGAAGCUCGUGUGCGUGUGUUUUGGCGGUGUGUAGGCGCCGUGGCAUGAAGCUGGCAGCAGGGGCUGGGCGCCCAAGGAAGAUGUAAAUCUCAAUCCCAAGCUAAAUUCUAUUACUCCAUAUGGUUAGCCUUUAUAGGCAUUACAAGACCGGCCAAUAAUAUGGCUAACUGACUUAAGUCCUGGCCUCCUAAAACAACUCUUAACCAACCAAUCUAACUAUGGCUAACCGACUCCAUAAGUCCUGGACUCCUAAAACAACUCUCAACCAACCAAUCUAACUCAGUCUCUAACUCUUCAUGCUAUCGGACUCUAUAGACACAGCGCAUGCAUGUGCGCCUGGAAUUAGGACUCCCAGCCAUGACCUGAUCGCAUGCUGUUGCUGGGCUUACCCCCUGCAUACUGAUUAACCCCUCUGCCUACAAUGAUAGGUCUUACCGACCAUAACAUCACUCCCUCCCUCUGGAAACAGCUCGUCCUCGAGCUAGAACGAAGGAUGAGCCACACGGAAGCUGUCCACCGAUUCCCAAGUCGCGUCUGACGGAGGUAAACCUGCCCACUGCACCAAGAUGUGCCAAGAGCCGCGAACAGAGAUGUGCUUGGCUGGAUCAGGCCGUUCUGCAGCAUGGCCUCAUAUUGGGCCUCAAGCUCAUCCUUUUGAAUUUGCGGAUAUCUGUAGGAGCGAACAGCCACCGUCUCGGCUGCGGGCUUGAGAUGGAUGCGAUGAUCGCAAGCACGAGCCGGGGGCAGACCUAUUGGAGCGGCGAAGACGGUACAGUAAGACUCCAGUAGGUCCUGUUCAGACCCAGUGUUGGUGAAGAGAGUGCUAGCCAGCAGGCCAUGAGCCUCUGGAGCUAACAGUGAGCGAGAGGCGCCCACGCCCUCCCAAACGACGCGACGCCCACGGAAGGUGAAGGCCAUGCGGCGCGUCGCGAAGUCGCACAAGCUGUUUAACUUUCUCCAAGGUAGACUUCAUCUCGCUCGACCACUAUUGCCGUGGAAACAACUCUGUCGGUUGCAGCAAUGUAAAGGAGCAGGUCUUCGUUGGGCUGAGGCGCUGUGAGAACAGGCGGUGAAGUGAGGAAGGUCUUAAGCUGAGUGAACGCAGCGUCGGCGUCUUCUGUCCAGGAGAAUUUUUCUGACGCUUUCAAUAGUUUGAAAAAGGGGAGGCCUUUUUCUCCCAGCCUUGAGAUGAAACGACUGAGGGCGGCCAUGCAUCCGGUUAGCUUCUGAAUAUCCUUGACGUUCUUCGGUGGUCGCAUGUCGAGUACGGCUUUGACUUUUGAAGGGUUUGGCCGUAUGCCGUCGCAACUGACGACGUUGCCGAGCAGUAGACCGGAAGGAACGCCGAAAAUGCAUUUCUUGGGGUUGAGCUUCCACUUGUACCUAUUGAGUGCCUUGAAGGUUCGGUCUAAGUUGUCGAUUAGGGUGCUCGCAUCCCUUGUUUUUACGACCACGUCGUCCACAUAGGCCUCGACGAGGUCGUCGCGAAUCUCGUCGUGGAGGCAUUGCUGGAUGGCCCUUUGAUAAGUGGCCCCGGCGUUUUUAAGUCCGAAAGACAUGGUAGUGUAACAGUAUGCGCCGAAAGGUGUGAUGAAGGAUGUUUUGAUCUGAUCUUCUUCUUUUAACGAGAUCUGGUGAUAACCAGAGUAGCAGUCUAGAAAGGAGAGGAGUUCGCAUCCGGCCGUUGAGUCGACCACCUCGUCGAUGCGAGGAAGACCAAAAGGAUCUUUAGGACAGUGUUUGUUGAGAUCGGUGUAAUCAACGCACAUUCUCCAUUCAUUAUUCUUUUUGCGUACAAGAACCGGAUUGGCGAGCCAAUCGGGAUGAUACACCUCUUUUAUGAAUCCGGCUGCUAGAAGCCGUGUUAUUUCUGUCCUAAUAGCCUCCUUUUUGUCACGAGCGAACCGUCGCAGUUUUUGCUUGAUUGGUCUUGCGGUCUUCGAGACGUUUAAGGAGUGCUCGAUCAGGUUCCGUGGGACGCCGGGCAUGUCUGCGGGUUUCCAUGCGAAAACGCUCACGUUGUCCCUUAGAAACCUGACGAGCGCGUCUUCCUAUUUUGGAUCCAGGUUAGCCCCGAUGAGGGCUGUCUUCUCGGGGUUGCCCUCGACCAGCUGCACUUCUUUGUACUCCUUGGAUUUCGAAUUCUUUCUGGCUGUCUCCUGCUCAGGUAAUCGGAGCUGGUCGGGGGGCAGCUGUGCGGCUUGGUUUGCUGUUUCCGCCAUGCGGAUUGAGAGGUCAAUUGCCUCGGUGAUCUUGAAACUUUCUUCUUCGCAGGUGUACGCAGUGUAGACGUUGCCUCUGACGGUCAGGACACCCUUCUCCGUGGGCAUCUUAAGCACUAGGUACGAGUAGUGCGGGACUGCCAUGAACUUUGUCAGCGAUGGGCGGCCCAGUAUGGCGUGGUAGGUCCCGUCGAAGUCCGCGACUACGAAGUUGAUGAACUCCGUCCGGAAGUGAUCGGGUGUGCCGAAUUGGACAGGCAAUGUUAUCUGUCCGAGGGGCACCGAACUUUGACCUGGCAAAACCCCCCAGAAUUGGGCGUCGUAAGGUUUUAGUUGGGCCGGUGAUAUCUUGAGGGCGGGCAGGCUGUUGCGGAAGAGGAUGUCAAUGGAGCUUCCCCCGUCCACGAGCACGCGCUCGAAUCUGAUGCUGUUGAUGCAAGGAUCGAGAAUUAGUGGGAAACGACCCGGCUCCGGGAUAGCGGCCCACUGGUCCUUCCUGCUGAACGCGAUCUCCCUGUGGGACCAGGCGGGAAAUUUCGGAUCUGCGAUCAGCCCGUCCGUGCUGUCUAUGUUGAGGCAGGCUCUCUUCAACAGCUUUCUUUCUCGCUUGGACUCAGUGGAGACCUUGCCCCCGAAAAUGGAGUGGACCACGUCGGUGGGGCUGACGUAUUGGUGUCGGGGGUCCCUGUCUUGGUCCUCGUCCUCAUCUUCGUGGUCGUGCCCGUCGCGUUUGUUACUUUUCUUGGCGGUGUCUUCUUGGGCGGCCCGCCGUGUAUAGAUAUUUUUGAGGACGCGGCACUCUUCCAUGGUAUGGUUAGACUUUGGAUGUAGCUGGCACGGUCCCUUCAACGUUUUGUUGUAGUCAUCUUGGUAGUCCCGUCGUCCAUUGGGACGUUUGACCGUGUUUACUUCGUGGUCGUAUUCGCGAGGGCGCUUUCCUCUGAAGUCGUCGCGGCUGUCGCGCCGCCGAUCCCAACCCUCUCGGUGAUCGCGGUUGUCGGAGCGACGGUGAUUUCUGUUGUCGUAGCGGCCGCGACCGUCGUCUCGCCGGGAGGGCUGGUCGGUGCCUCUCGCAUCGUCUCGGAUUAGUUUUUCUGCGUCAUCAGCAUCGGCAUAAUUUUUAGCCGUGGCGAGGAGCUCUGCUACCGUUGAUGGACGUUUACGCAACAGCUUGUUCCUCAGCGCUUCAUGGAAACGUAAGCCCUUGAUAAAGGCUGAUAUGGCCUCGUCAUGAGAAAUCUUCGGGAUUUUGAGACGCAUAUCCGAGAAUCGUCGGAUGUAAUCACGCAGAGGUUCAUUCUUCCUGUCUCUUAUCCUUUCAAGGUCAUACUUGUUUCCGGGCUGUUCGCAUGUGGCGAUGAAGUUGUCAAUGAAAGCCUGUCGUAGUUCUUCCCAAGAGUCGAAGGAGUCCUCGGGCAAGCCGAGAAGCCACUGAUGACCAGCCUGGUCGAGGACUACGGGGAAGUAGUUAGCCAUGACGUGCUCAUCUCCUGCCGCUGAUCGGACGGCGAUUUCGUAGAGGGUGAUCCAGUUCUCUGGAUUUUCCUUGCCGUCGUAUUUUUUAAGUUUUUCGAGCUUGAAAUUUCUGGGCCACACGACCUGGCGGAGGUGUGAGGAGAACUGCCUUAGGCCCGGGGGACCAUGGGUCGCAUCGUACUCGAUGCGGCGCAGGUUUUCGUGGACUGCUCUCUCUGCGGCGCGCCUGUUGAUGCGGUCCCGGGCAUCUUUGGGAGGGAUGUUGUGGCGGAGAUCCCUGUGUUGAUCUUCUUCUUCCUGGCCGCGUACGCGGUUCUGCUGGCGGCGGCCAUCGGCGUCUCGACCACCAUCGUCGCGCCGUGAGUCCCCUCGACGGUUGUCGGGGGAGCGGCUGCGGCGACGCCUGCUGGGCGAGGCCCGGCUACGAUGAGUCUGGUCGGAGGCGGCUUCCGUAUAAGGGACGUCCUGGACUCUCUUAAGCAGAGUUGCUGUCUGUCCCAUCGCGGCGAUCAGGUGUGCUCGGAUACUGGUCCGGACCCCCUGGCAUUCUGGUGUGUCAGGAAGCCGAUCCAGGUUGGCCAUGGCGACAGCCACGUUGGCGCUUGGCGUUUUGUAGACCGGCUGGUCCCCGACCAUGUCAAAGGCAUCGUUGAGGUUACCCGGUGGCGUCUGUUGUUGCUCGUCCGCACGCCGUCGGGCGCGAUCGGCGUUACGCUGUUCGCGGAGUUGCCUCUGGUCGUCUGUUUCUCCGUCAACAACCGGUUCGUCGGCGCUGACAUUGAAUACAAUGUCCCCUCGCCGGGGGGGGAAUAUCGGGAACCGGUCGAAACCCGGAGGGUGUGAAGGGAAAUCCAGGUCGUAGCCCUCGUCUUCGGUGUUUAUAACCUCGGUGGGGACGGAGCCGGUGCUUGAGUUGGUGCUGGAAACCUGGCCGUUCCGUAGCUCUCGGAUUGUCACCAUGUUGACAUGGUGACGAUUGUUCCUUGUCGGCGACCAGCCCGCUUUGCUGAAAACGGAUUGAACAUGCUGUGAGUAGACAGAGGCCGAGUUAUUCAGGCCGCAAGGAUGGUCUCCCUUUUUGAGCUCGACGGAUCGGCCUGAGGAGGUUGAGGUUAUCGCCAGGGACGUUCCCAGCCGUUCGUGUGUGGUGACACGAGUUGGCCGGCGGGAUUUCGAAAAAUCCGCUUGAGUGGCUUGGUCGGGCCGGCGCAGAACUCCAUCUAUUAGUUGGGAGACUUCGAGCAGCUUGGAGUCGGCGCGAUCGAGCGCUUGGAGGAGGUCCGAGCAGUCGAUCUCCUUUCCCUUGUAGAGUGGGAACGGUGGCCGGGAGUUUGGUGCCGUCAUGCGUGUGGUCGGAGACGGCGUGAUCUCAGAUUGGAUCUGGAUCUCUUUCGGGACCGUGGUCGGGAAGCCGCCGCUGCACGUCGUCCACGUGAUCUGGCCGACGGUAAACGUGAGGCCUUCGGGCACGGUCGCGGAAGCUGGGAUCGUGGCCAUCUUGUUCGCCGGAAAAGUUGCACGCACACCCCCUACCUGGCGCGCCACUGUCGACGAAAGCUGGUCGGCAGUCUACCUUGGGGUAUACCCACGGUAGUAGUUUAUCGGUAGACGGUGCGCAAACUACGAACUCGAUGGUGACGCAAGACACGGACAAGCUUUUUAUCCAGGUUCGGCCGCCGAGUUGGCGUAAUACCUACGUCCUGCGUCUGGUUGUAAUGGAUUGUGUUGAGAGAUAAUCUACCCUAGGGGGUCCCCUUGCCCCUCCUUAUAUAGUCUGGAGGGCAGGGUUACAGAUCUAGAAACUAAUCCUAGCCGGUUACAAUUGCCAUAGAUAAUUCGAUAUCAAUUCCUAUUCUAACCGACUAGAAUCCUGCUUGAUCUCCACGUCCUGCUUCCUUGCGCGAAACUCGGGCUAUCGGAUCAAGCCUUGAACUCGUCUCGUAGUGGGCCGAGCUUCCUAGCUGAAGUCUAGCCGUAAGGGUAUAGGGGUUUAUACCCCCACAAUGGGCCCUAGGGUACGCAACCAUGCGAUGCCCAGGACGAUGUCGCAGCCCUGCACCGGGAUGGAGAACAUGUUGACCCGAAAGAUUUCUGACCGAUCUGCAGGGGAACCGCAUGGGCCAUGCCCUGGCACGCGACACGGUCACCAUUGGCCACGACAACGUGCGCGCCCUUGCUGUCGAGGAGGUGCAGACCUGCACGGCGCGCGGCGUCCGAGCUGAUGAAAUUGUGCGUAGAUCCUUAAUCCAGCAGCGCUAUGAGCUCAUGUGCGCCAAUCUGGACGCACAGCUGCAUGGUGUCCGAUGCGCAGAUUCCUGUGAUAGCGGACAGAGAGAUCAAAGGAGCGUCAGGAUCAAAAGGCGGCUGAUCAGUACCAAGCGGCGCUGCCUUGUCGUCGUCGGCGUCGUCUGGCUCCUCGACGAUGUAGUCGUUGACCUCGAGGUAGAACAGCCGGGCACACUUGUGCCCCCGUACAUAUGGCUCAUCGUAGUUGUAGCAGAGCCCCUGUUUGCGACGGUCCGCCAUCUCCUCGGGUGAAAGGCGCUUGAACGGGUGCUGCACAGCUGCAGCGGGCGCUGGUGGUGUCGAGGAGGAGCUGGCCGACGCCGGGAACGUGUUAGGCACCUUGGUGGAUCGGCGUCGUGGCGGCGCUGGCAACGCGAGCGGGGCUGGUGCGUUGCGGCGUUCGUAGGCGCGCGCGAGGUGCAUGGCGCGCUGCAGGUCUUGUGGAUCAUGAAGCUCGACGUCGACACGAAUGUGAUCAGGCAGUCCACCAGUGAAGAGCUUUGCCUUUUGUCCCGAGGAUAAUCGGCCUGCAUGCGCAGCGCGUGCUUCGAACGCCUCCAUGUAGGCGUCCACUGUGGACGUGAAGGGAAGGCACGCCAAAUUGGAGAGGUGAUUGGUGCUGAGGGGCGGCCCGAAACGCUGCUGGCAGAGAGUACGAAACUCCUCCCAUUGCGGCCGGCCAGCAUCAGAUUCUAGCACCAGGUACCAUUGUUGAGCGACACCGGUGAGAUGGUACGAAGCGAGCCAGACCCGAUCAGCGUGACGUGUCUGAUGGCUGUUUAAGAACUGCUCGCACUUGUUCAACCAGCCGAGGGGGUCAUCCUUGCCGUCGAACAGCGGGAACACAAGUUUGUGAUAUUUGGGUACGACAUGCCCCGUGUGUGAGUCCUCCGGAGGCGCCGGGACAUGCACCCGAGGAGGCGCGGAUGUCAUGGCGCCAAGGCUACUGGCACGGUCCCGAGGAUGGCCUCGAGGGUUGGGAUCGGAGACGGCGACGCCGGAAAACGAAUGUGCUGAAUAGGGACGCCGAAUGGGGGGCAGCCGUGGAACCCUGCGGCGCCGCGGCCGGCCCGGUCGUCGAAGGUGCUGACGGCGUCGGUGCAGAUGAAGACGCGGACGUUGCAGAGCCGGCGUCCUGGAGCAGCGGUAAGGACGGUGUCGGCAGCGAGGGGAGAUGACCCGCGCUCGGUGUGGGUAGCUAUGGGAACUGCGCGGCGGUAGGCAGAGCACAACCGUCCAGGGCCGACAGACGCGUUGCCAGAUCGCCCAUCUGGAAGCUCAUGGGGGAGCUCUGGUUCUGGAUGCCCUGGAUGGCGCUGGUGAAGGAUGUAAGCACGUCGGAGGGGAUGGCCAGCAUUGGUGCUGGCGGCGUGGAGGACGCAGCUGGCGGCGAUGUGGUUGCGGUGACCAGAGCGCCGGAGGAUGUUGUCACGGUCGUGCUGGUGCCGGGCGGGGCACUUGUGGAGGGCGGAACAACAGCGGAGGAUGUCCCAGCUAACACCAUGUUCUCUGAUACCAGAUUGUUACGGCGUCGGGUUUUGCUGCGCAGGAAGUAGGGCGGAGAGAAGGAAGCUCGUGUGCGUGGGUUUGGCGGCGUGUAGGCGCCGUGGCAGGAAGCUGGCAGCAGGGGCUCGACGCCCAAGGGAGAUAUAAAUCUCAAUCUCAGGCUGAAUUCUAUUACUCCAUAUGGUUAGCCUUUAUAGGCAUUACAAGACCAGCCAAUAAUAUGGCUAACCGACUUAAGUCCUGGACUCCUAAAACAACUCUUAACCAACCAAUCUAACUAUGGCUAACCGACUCCAUAAGUCUUGGACUCCUAAAACAACUUCCAACCAACCAAUCUAACUCAGACUCUAACUCUUCCUGCUAUCGGACUCUAUAGACACAGCGCAUGCAUGUGCGCCUAAAAUUAGGACUCCCAGCCAUGACCUGAUCGCAUGCUGCUGCUGGGCUUACCCCCUGCAUGCUGAUUAACCCCUCUGCCUACGAUGAUAGGUCUUACCGACCAUAACAUUAUCUGCUUGGGACUAAUCUUUAAGACUCAUUAGCAGGAGAACCUCUAUUUCCUGUAAGUUUGUUGUCAUAGUGCACAAAAAGGCAUGCAAUCUUUAACAUUUUGGGUAGCCUCUGUUCACCAGUAAAAAAAAAUUGAGCAAAACCUUCCUAGAUUGUAGCUAUAAAUUCAGUAGAUCGACAUACUGGCAGCUAUUAGCCGUUUGCAUUUUAGCCUUAGAUACAAAUAUUCAUUUUGGGAUACUUUAAAAUAAAAUUAAUUAAAGAAAGAAGAACACAGUAUUAAGCAGUCAAUCUAAUUUAGAACUGUAAACCGAUGUGCUAUUUAAUUAUUUGCUAUCUAACAUAAACAUGAUACUGACCAUGGAAAAAGGUAGCAAGAGAUUUUUUUUUUGUCUUCUAUGUUAUAAACAGAGUGCUAUAGAAUAAAUAUAAGGGUGAUGUGAGCCUAUCUCCAAACGCAGUAUGGCCUCUGGAAAGCGCUCUUAACAACAAAACUUUUAGGUAGGCCCGCUCCUGCAAAAUGGAAACAAGAGGAACAAAAAAAUAAAAGAUUCCUUAGCAAAUGAGUUACAGAUAUAGUCUUCAUCCUGCUACCAAAACAUAUAUUACUCUCUCUAUCUUUAAAGCUUUAAUUUAUAAAAUCUAUGCCAGUCAAACUUUUUCAAAUUUGACCAACUUUAUAGAAAAAAAAUAUCAAUAUCUAUGACAUAAAAUAUGUAUUUUAUGAAAAUAUAUUCUAUAAUAAAUCUAAUAGGAGUACUAAUUUGGUACCGUAAAUCUUAGCUUUUUUUCUAAAAGUUUAGUCAUAGUUUAAAAGUUUGACUUGACAACUUUAUGAAUUGAAGUUUUCAGGGAUAGAGGGGGUACUUUGUGCCUCUCUUUCACUAAUUCCUCCCAUUGGAAGUCGGUCAAAGAAAAAACAAUUUGAAUGAGGGCAAUAAUUAAAUCAGAUGUAAGUACAGUAGUAAAAGCCUGGUGAGCUUGGCGUGGUGGUUGGGGAGAUCAACGGUUGUUGCUUGUUCUUGUCCUUGUUGCUUGUUCUUGUCUUUGUUCUUGUCCUUGUUGCUUGUUCUUGCCUUUGUUCCCGAAGAUAGUGACCCCCUUCGCUACAGUAAAUGAAAAAAGAGAGCACUCGUGAGACAACAGUGAGCACUCGUGCUCCCCCAGGCUUCAUGUUGUACGGAGCCGUCGUCUUGAGCCGACACUACACGGAUCUUGCUGCGUGCGUGAGGUGAAAGAAUCAUGCCAAAAAAUCAAAGCCGCCUUCUCUUCCCUUUUGUCCUCACCGGAGCGCGCACGGAGGGCGAGUAGGCGGCACCGGCAGCGAGGCAGGACAGGGCGAGUAGUGCAUCAACACCAGGGUAGGGCAGGGCGAGUAGGGCACCGGCACCGGCGCGGGUCCGGACGGAGCAGUGCCGCACAAUGAGGAGGCGGACCACAGCGGCACCGGCGAGGAAGAUCUGGGCCGCACGGCGGGGCAAGGUGAGGGUGAGUAGGGUGAACAUGGCUGAGGUGAGCUUCGCAGGCAUCCAUGAAAACUAAAUCCAGAAAUCCAUCGAGCAGUGCCAUUCCCUAGCAUCUCUUCUUCUAUCUACAGCCUACAGGAACCACGACUUGACUGCACCUAGAAAUCCAUUAGUGGCUUUGUAGCGACUUGGUUGUUCUCUCAUGCAUGGAUGCAUCGUCAAAUAUGGGAUUCGGCAACCAGGUAAUCUCCUUGUAAAUGUCACAUGUUUACUUGCAACUUUGAAAUUAGACAUGCACUACAAUUCUAUUUUUUGGAUAGCAUUUGCAACUUUGCAAGAUCCAUGUGUUAACAGAAUGUUUUCAGUUACUAAUAACUGAAUAUCUUUUGCUACUAGUAGCAAAAAUGAGGGAGCCAUGGUGAGUUGUGUUUUGCCACUACAACAUGGCUGUUUAUAGAAGGCGUUUAAAAAUGCCUUUAAAAGGCAUCAAAAUGCCUUCAAAAACCUUUUUUAGGCAUACUUAAAAAUGCCUGCUAUAAACUGGACUUAAAAAGUCUUUUGAGGAAUUUUUUCAAAACGCCUUCCAAUAUCAACAUAUAAAGGCAUUUUGUAGCUGCCUAUAAUAAUUUCUAAAGGCAUUCUGUAUAAGCCUUCAAACACUGAUAGAGGCAUUAUUGAAAAUGCCUCCAAAACCAACUCAUAUGUUAAAAUUUGCUAGUAAUCAAAACAGCAACAUCCAUUGAGAAAUUAACCAAUGAAAAUACACGUUAACAACAUGAUCCAAACAUUUAACCUUUCAGGCUAUACACAGUUAUAUUUGUAACCAAGCACAGUCAAUAAGGUUGAAAAAUAGUCAAUUCAAAUGAUGUUCCAAGUCCUGAUGUCUAGGUCCCUAUUCCUAAUGCAAGUUUCUUUCUCCUUUUAUAAGAGUGUCCACAUCACAGCUAUAUAUAUAUAUAUAUGUAAGUAUAAAUCCAUCUAAAUAUACUAUGUUGCCACAGUACUGGCCAUCAAUAUUCAGGAACCAAAUUAUGUUACUCCUGCUUGAAAAUGACAUGCCCACAUCCAGCUAUACAUGUCUGUUGUCCUCACUUGUCAAUUGCUCCUGCUUGAAACCAAACAUGUCCCAAUGAGUGAAGGUAUAUACACAAGAUUUGGACAAGAGUUACUAGACAUAGGUUUACGUUUCUGAUUAGGAAAAAAAGGUAAACAGGAAUGUUGCUUCAAACAGAAAUUCUAGUGACAAGCGACAUGGCCAUAUUAAUUCUAGAAUUAGUUGCUCAACAUAAAUUCUUGUCAACGCAUAUCUACAUAAACAAAGUUACACUGACAGAUUAUCCUGACCAUACUAUAGUAACAAAGCCAACUACUAGUAUCCAAGAAACAAAAAUAAACAAACUUAGUUCCAAGCACCUAAACCAGUCUACAUAUGUUUCUUAAGAACAUCAAGUUUGGCACUUCCCACCACCUAUUAUUGUCCUACUAGUGAGGAAAACAGAGACCUGAUGAAGAGGUCUAAAGGAAAACUUUGAUCCUCUAGUUCUAUUUAUAUUCUCACUGCUAGCUGACUAGUUUUUAACAGACAUUUACCAACAAGUAGAAUGGCAUAUGAAGUAGAAACCUAUUCUGUAACACCAUCCACAAGUCAUACUACAAGCCUAUGUGUUUCAUAUAUUCAUCUAGGGUAGAAAAAUGACAUGUUGCCUAGAGAUGCCAAAACUAAACUGUCAUAGUACCAUGAAUUUUUAGAAAUGACAAAGAAAAAUAGAAAACUAGAAGCAAGAAAUGCUUACUUUUAAUUGUACUAACAUCGAGACGUUGUUAUAUGUAUGCAUAAACUCUUGAGUUCAUCCUUGCUCAGGGACGAGCAAGAGGUAAGCUUGGGGGAGUUGUUGACGGUCCAUAAGUACCAAAUAUAAUCAUCAAAUAAAUAAAGAAAAGGAUCCAAAUGCAACCAACACCCAUACUUAGGGUUUUAUCUGAUAGAAUUCCACGAGUUUUGGUGUUUGUCUAUUUCUGCAGGGGGUUAUCAGGAAAUACGGAAGAAAGGCCCACACGUCGGGUUUACAUAGAGAUAUUAACAUGCCGCGCAAUUUUCUGUCAUCUAGAAGACACCAGAAGCCACGGGAACGAACGUGAGGGCGAACGGGCUCGGGGGCAGGGCGCCCGCCCACCCCCCUUGGGCGCCCGCCCUGACCUGGAUUCAAUUCAGAACUCUCUUCGCGGACUAAGCUCCACCGACCUAAUGGAUCAAGGAUAACCGCCCAAUCAAUGUUGGUUUGAUCCAGUGGCUCACGUUCACUUGAGGGGACUAUAAAACUAGACCCCCUGGCCCCUAGAGGAGACAAGUUCAUCAUAGAGUUGAGAGGAGCCCUCGAAGGAAUACCUCUCCUCUAAAUAAAAUUUAUUUUAGGCUUAGCAUCCAAUGUGAGUAGAAUUAGAUCUUCUAGUUUCUACUAGAUUGAGAGAUAUAGAGUGGAGGUGUAGAUCGGAGGAAGCCCGACCUGUCGGUGUCUACUCCGAGGUUGUACCUGCGAGAUCAAGUUCUCCUAACCCGAAGCUUGCUCCUAGGAUUCUUCAGUAAUUCGACUUCUAAUUCUAGUAAGUUCUUGUUUUAUUGUUCUUUGGUUUAUGAGUUUACUUUAAUCUCUUCCGGUUGAGUAUUAGAGUAAUCAUUGCUAGCGUAAACGUGGUGUUUAGGCUAGGGUACGCAUAGAUAUCCCCUGACUAGCUGGACCAUGGUAGUAGCGAGGAACGUGACAUUUUUGAGUUACCUUUGCAGCCCACAUCUCGUUAGCAGGACGGAUAGGUUUAUAGGUGCGGGUCGAACAUCCUUUGUGGUGUCUAGAUUCCGUAAGCUUCCCCAAUAGAACAGUAGAUCAUCCUUACCAAGGUUAGAACGAGACUACGGUUGCAGUCUUCUCUAUACAUCACUCACAUUGAGAAACAUUCUUUGUAGCCUAAAGGGAUAGUAGCAAUAGAUUUGGUUAGUCAGAUGCAUCCUUUAUCCCAAUGGUAAAAAUAUAAAUACGAUACUCUGGAAAACCUCCCGGGUGAAAUGCUCACCGAUAUCCGUGCACUUGCGGAUCAUUUCCUUAUUGCGUUACCAAAUAUCAACAGGCACAUUGAGGUGAGAUGACCCCAAGUGCGGCACUUGAAGCACUUGACAUGCUUGAGCCUCUCUUAUUCUUUCAUCUUCUUAAGCUUCUCUUUGUUUGGGCAACCAUUAGCAAGAUGUCCCACUUCAUGGCACCGAUAGCACAUGAAAUGAGAAAGCUUUCUCUUUUCUUCAUUUCUUUUGCCCUUUGUCAUCUUCUCCUUGAAGCCAAGGCCACACUUGUCACCAUAGAUUCUUUGAGUCUUCAAUAUAUGCUCAAAGGUGACUUUUGAAUUAUAGCACCUCUCUAGCUUGUUGCUCAAAUUCUUCACUUGUUCAUUGAGCUUAUUGUUCUCCUUCAAAAGGUUAGUCUCACAAGACAUAGAAGUAGAACAGGCAUCUAAAUGUGAAGAACAUGGCAUAGAUAAUAAAUCAUCACAAGAGGUGGAUACAUGCUUCUUGCCUACAUCACAAGGGUUAGUAACAAUAUGUGAUUGAUCAUUUCACCCAAAUGAUGAGCUCUCACUAGUUUUAGUUUCUUCAUUAGAAAGCCUCCUAGUGAGAAAAGCAUGAUCUUUUACCAAGUUGUCAUGAGCAACACAAAGUUCCUCAUGAACUAAUUUUAGUUCCUCAUGUGAACAAUUAGUAACAUAAAGUAGAUGUUUUUGUUGUUCACAUGCGGUCUUUAGAAAUGAGUUUUCAUUUUUCAAUUUAUUUGUUUUUGCUAACUCAUUUCUUAAAGCUUUUGAGAGUUUGCAUACAAGCUCAAAAUUUGGACCAUCACAAUCAAUAAUCACAUCACCAAUAGAUACCUUAGUGUCACCAUGUGACAUGAAGCAAUGUGGUGAUGUAGUAGAUGAGCUUGUAGAAGCAUCACUCUCAUAGCCAUCAUCUUCAUCAUCAAGUGUGCAUGAGGUAGCAUCAUCAUUUGCAUCACUUGUGGCAUCAUCAUCAUCCUUGUCAAGUGAUCUUGUGGUAGCAUUAUCAUCACCAUCACUUGACCAUGAGGUGGAGCAAUCCUCCACAAACACCAUGUUAUGGUCAUGCUCAACAACCUCAUGUAUAUCCACAUUUGGCACAUCAUCUUCUCUAGAUAUCGCCCCAUAUUUCUCAUUGAGAAAUACCCAAGUCUCAUGGGCGGACUUCGUAUCCAUGAUCUCACCAAAUAUAUUAUCUUUCAUGGAUGAAUAGAAGAUGUUAGUAGCUUGGCAAUUGAGAUGUAGGCAUUUCUUUUAUGCUUGAGUUGCAACCUUUUUAUCAAUUGCACAAGAAAAUCCCACAUCUACAUUCCACCACAUUUGAGGAGAAAUAAACUUGAAAUUGCAUUGCAUCCAAAUUCUCCACCGUGCAAAGUGUGUGCCAUCAAAAAUGUGUGGACACUCAACAUCUAACCCAUAAGCCGCCAUCCUCUUGGGUCGGUGAAGACCACAAAUGAGAGACCUAGCUCUGAUACCACUUGAAGUGUCGAGAUGGCGGACUAGAGGGGGGGUGAAUAGUCCUUUCUAAAACUUAUCACGCCGGCUAACCGAAAUAAGUGUGGAAUUAAAAGUAUCGGUCUAGCCAAGACUAUACCCCUCUAUCUAAGUUAUUUAGCACCUUGUAAAAGAUCCUAAACAAGCAAACAGGGUGCUACCUUAGCAAGAGCUCGCCUAACCGAUUCUAGGAGCAAGGUCACACAAACCUAUGCCACUAGUACUUUGCAAACCGGGAGAGCUCCUACACAACUAGUAAGCAAAAGCACAAAGCUCCUAAGCUCACUAGCAAUGCUCAAUAACAAGGCAACCAAUGCCAAAUUAGAGAGCGCAAAUUACUUAGCUACACAAACUAAGAAAUGUGACUAACAAGGUUACACAAACCAAAUUAGUCACGCAAGGGAACUACUUCUAGCUACACAAGCAAGAAGGUAACUAGCAAGCUACACAAGCUAACUAAUUACAAGAGCAACUACACAAGCACAAGUAUAUGAAUGUAAGAACAAGCUUGUGUUACGGACAUGCAAACCAACGGGAAGAACAAUGUUGACACGAUGAUUUUCUCCCGAGGUUCACUUGGUUGCCACCAAGCUACGUCCCCGUUGAGACAAGCUCCAAGGUUGCCGCCGGUCCUCUUGCUAGUGGUGACCCGCAAGUCACACUCACCCACGUGGAGUGCUUACCACAAGCUCUAGCACUUGACCCGGUCGGACCACUUGUUGCUCUUCACGUCUCACUCAACUAGAGUUGCUCUUCGCGAUCCCCGCGGCGUGAGCACCGUACCCCUCACAAUCUCUUCUCCGGAGCACCGCACAAUCUCCUUGCGUGCUUCGACGGAGUCACAAGCCACCAAGCCAUCUAGGAGGUGGCAACCUCCAAGAGUAACAAGCACCACCGGCUUGCAACAUGAACACCUAGUGCCAUUCGAUGCAAUCUCUCAAUGCAACGCACUAGAAUCACUCACUCGCUAUUGAUUCGCACUCUUGCAAGCACAAGUGAGUUAGAGGCUUUCCUAGCACUCCCCAAGCAUGGACACUAAGUCCCAAGGGUGCUCAGCGCAAGCCAAGGCCGGCCACCACUUCUAUUUAUAGCCCCAAGGGCUAAACUAGUUGUUACCCUUCACUGGGCAAAAGUCGACCACAACGGACGCGUCCUAGUUAACACCGGACGCGUCCGGUAUUGACCAGACCAGCGUCCGGUGCUCUUGACUGUUAGAAAACUAGCCGUUGCCCUCAAUGCUGACAAGGCACCAGACUCUCACUUUUGAACACACCGGACCAAAACUCAGGGAGCGUCGCAAAAACAUCACACCACCGGACUCACACACCGGACCUAAACUCAGAGUGCUCUAAAAACUGAGUUUGCACUAGACGCUCAACUCGGACGUGUCCGGUGUCACACCGGACGCGUCCGGUAUGCACCGGACGAAAACUCAGAGAGCUUCUCCGAGAAAGCGUUCUCUCUAGAUGAAACACAUCGGACUCCAGGUGGAAACUAUUUCCAAGUUCGGUGCCUCAACUCGGACACGUCCGACCUCAUAACGGAUGCGUCCGGCUUCACAUCGGACGCGUCCGACCUCACAUCGGACGUGUCCGGCCUAUACGCGCUGCACGAAACAAACUCCAACUUCUUCCCUUGCUUCCAUGUGCCAACACCAAAGUGUCACAACACUUGUGCAAGUGUGUUAGCAUUUUCACAAACAUUUUUCCAAGGGAGUUAGCCUCUCAACUUGCCACGCCACUCGAUCCUAACACGUAUGGAAAGUUAGAUCGCUCAAGUGGCACAAGAUGUCUGAUAUGCAAACAAGUUUGCCCCUCUUGAUAGUAUGGCCAUCUAUCCUAAAUCCGGUCAAAUACUUCUCUACACACCUGUGACCGGUGAAAUGGAAAUGCCCUAGGUUAUACCUUUGCCUCGCGCUUUCCAUUUCAUCUCCUCCAAUGUUGAUGCAACACAUGCACCAACCAAUCACCAAAUGAUAUGAUCCACUUCAUAUCAUCAUGUGACCGUAUUGGUUCAUCGAUCUAACCUCACUUGCUCUUCACCAUUGCCUCGGUCCAUCGGCGCCAAGUCUUGCUCAAGCUUCACCGUCACACGCGGUCCCUCGCUUCAAAGCCUCUGACUUUCCCUUCACUCUUGCAACCGGUCCAUCGAGCCAAGCCUCAUCUUGAUCUUCUCCACCUUGGUCACAUGACUCCAUGUCAUGUCUCAUAUGCAAUGAGCUCCUCCAUCAUCACAUCAUCACCUGUGGACUAAUCUUCUGUGUAUCUCACAUAAAUACUAUUAGUCCACCUAAGUUGUCACUCAAUUACCAAAACCAAACAAGGACCUUUCAGACGCUAAAGCACUUGUUGAGAAGAUGGCCUCAAAUUCAACAUGCAAUGAAGAACGUACUCAGUCUCGGAAGAAAGGAGGAGGAAUCCAUCAUCUCAAGGAAGCUGGCAUGGUCUCUGCCAAGCUAGACCUCAUCAUGAAGAAGCUUGACAUAGAGAAGAAGGAAGUCAUGCACAUCAAUGAUUCCCAUAUGACAUGUGAAGAAUGUGGAGACUACGGGCACUCAGGUACCAGUUACCCUACACUACAAGAGGAUGUGAACUUCAUCAACAAUAACACCUACUAUUGUCCUCAACAAAAUCAAGGAUAGAAUCAGGAACCUUGACAAGGUGAUUACCAAGGUAAUAACCAAGGUAAUAAUUUUAAUAAUAAUUUUCCACCUUUAAGAGAACUAGUUGCUAAUCAAUCCAAACUGCUAGAUCAAAUGACUAGGAAACUAGCAUCAAAUGAUAAAACUUUGGAAAACAUACAUACUAGGAUGGAUACAUUUGCUUCUGCUAUAAACAAUCAACAUAGUUUCAAUAAAAUGCUAGAAUCACAAUUAGGUCAAUUAGCUGCUGCUAUACCUCCAUUAGAAAAAGGAAAGAUUCCCGGCCAACUAGAAGAUUUAGAAACUGCUAACCUUAUUGAUAUCCACAAUGUAACCCAAUGUUAUAUUGAGCCUGCAGUUGUACAAUGGAUUGACCACUCUCUGCUAGAGAAGAUGGGAGACCCUGGAAGACCUGUCAUUCCUAUGUCUAUAGAUGCCAUAGCUUUCCAAAGGCUAUCUGUGAUUUUGGUGCAAGUGUCAACAUUAUGCCCAAGGUAAUUUAUGAGAAAAUACUAAAUGAUUCCUUGUUGUAUACAAAUAUGCAUUUACAGCUUGCUGAUCAGUCCAUUUGCUACCCUAAGGGAGUCCUAGAAGAAGUUGUCAUUAGAGUGGGGCAAUCGUACAUCCCAGUUGACUUCGUGGUCAUGGAGACAGGAGUAGAUGAGAAGGCACCAAUCAUUUUGGACAGACCAUUCUUAUGCACAACAAAAGCCAUCAUCUAUGCGAAGCACGCCAAGAUUGUCCUAUCCAUCAAGGACAAGAAGGAGAGAUUUGCAUUCAAGAACCGCGUCCUGAAAUCUCCUACAGCCCCGAAGCAAUUCUACCAACGAGGAAAGCAAGAACAGCAAUCAGUGCCAAAGAAGAAGAACAAUAGAAGAUGGAGGAAGACCAAGCAGGCAGAGACUGCUCAAUUGAUCACUGUUGACACUAGCUAACACCACUUGAAUACUAGGUUGUCAUCCCCAGCAUGGUGCCAGAGUGUACAAAGGUAUUUAUGAAUGUAAAGGCUCUCUAGAAAAUAAUCUAUUCUAUCCGCAAGCGCACAGAUAAAACACCUCAUUGUAGCAUUUCACCAGGAAAGUAUUCCUGGUAUCGUUAUUUAUAAUUUUGUUUAAGAGAACAAUGGAGAUGAAGAUAAGGAUAAAAUCUAUCAAGGCAUAGACUAGAGAUAAACUUGCAAGAACAUAAUUACUAAUGAGGAACUCGUCACACAGUCACUUACUUUAGCAGGGGGUAAGCCAUAAUAAUGAUGAUAAUGAAAUAUAAGCUCAUGGGUAAAUAACACAGCGAUUAGAAAAUAGACUACUCCUCAUAUAUGUAAGGUGACAUCGGAUUAGCUAGAGAAUGGAUUCUAAGUUAUCUACUAUCUACUAAGUGACAAUCUACUCUAGUUAUCUACAAGAUCAUGUAUAGCAUAAAAGACUCUUCAUUCAUGUAUAAGGAACAUUGCUAAAGUAAAUCAGAGCAUCACAAGACUUACUCCGCAAUACAAAUUCUGCCUGUCCUAUCAACGGAGGGUGGAAUAUGUAAGAAUCAACGAAGCUAUCACUAUCGCGAACUACCACACGACCCGGCCAAUAGGAUACAUUUGCAGGUAAAUAAUAUCUAAGCACCACGCCCACAUUUGAUCUACCACUUAACUCCCACGCGUCAAGAGCUAAGUGCUUUGCAAACUUAUACAUAAACUCAUUAUCAAUCAUAACUAUAUCAAAUAUAGAACUAGAGCAAACUAAGAUCAUAAUAAAUAGAGACAUAAUGCAAUUAGAAUAGAGUAGUAGAGAAAGAUAUGAAAUAAUACCAAUCUUAUUAAUGAAGAUCCGAAUCCAGAGCGCUAGGCUCUACUUCUCUAAUUCUAUCUAAUCAAUCCUCUAAAACUUGAAGGAUUAGGGAGUAGCUAAUUCUAAUUCUCUGUGGGAGAGAAGUUCUAAAACCCUAACUUUCAUGGCUUCCUCUAAUAAUGAUUUCUCCUCUCUCCCUGGGGUGGAGAGGCCUUGCUUACAUAGUCCCCUCAAGUGAAUUUGGGUCGUCGGAUCAAACCGACAUUGAUUGCACAUUUUUCCUUGAUUCUUUAGGUCGGUGGAGCAUAAUCCGCGAAGUUGAACGUGAUUGGCCCCGAGGCCAGGGUGGGCGCCCUACCCCCGAGCCCGUCCGGUCUCCCGUUCAUUCCUGUGGCUUCUAGAAUCUUCUAGAUUAAGAAAAAUUGUGCGGCACGUAAUUAUCUCGUUGUAAACAUGACAUGUGGGCCUUCUCUCCAUAUUUUCUGAUAACCCCCUGCAGAAAUAGACAAACACCAAAGCUCUUGGAAUUCUGUCAGAUAAAACCCUAAUUCUAGAUGUUUGGUGCAUAUUGAUCCUUUUCCAUGUUUAGUUGAUGGUUAAAUUUAGUACUUAAGGACCGUCAACAAACUCCCCCAAGCUUACCCUUUGCUCGUCCCUGAGCAAACAGCUAAACUCAGAUGGAUCAGGAGUUGCUUCGAUGUUUUCUUUCCUGACAGGCACACAUGCUUUCAUAUAAAAUUCUUCCAGAUUAGAGUGAAGUGUCAUGGAACUUAGUACCUGCACUUAAGUCUUAAGUAAUCAAAAGACAAAAUAAUUAGGUCAAGCACUAUUCCUCGUGUUUAUACUUCACCUUUGUUCCAGAGUUUUGCAUAAGUUUUCAAAAAUAAAACUUAGAGUUCCUAGCUAUGAUUCUCUCAAGUCUCUCUAUAUGUGGUAUUUGUGGAUCCUUACCAAAAAUGUCACUUACCUAUAGCUAAUGGAAUAUUUAAGUGGAGCUCAUAGAAGUGAAAAACGGCUCAUACAUAUGUUGUCUAAUCGAGCCAUGGAUCCAAAGGAACUCAGCAUAUAAUUAAAUCAAGAUGUGCAUGUGUGGUGGAGUAAAUGAUAGUGAUGGUAAAAGUAUAAGUGAUAAUAAAACUUACUUCUCAUUGCUCCUCAUAUUGCUAUCUCUCCUCCUUUCUUGAUCUUUGCUUUGAGAGAACAUGGGCUAUCUCUCUUUCUUUUUUUUAGUUGGGUAGUAGAUACCCCUAAUUCUACUGUCGGACACUUGUCCAUUUUUUCCGCUUAGGUGGGCAUCUUUGUACCCCUAAUUCUACUUUAGACACUUGUCCAUUUUUACCUCUCGUCUCACUCUUUUUCUUUCUUUUUCGAGGUUCCGGGCACUUGUCCCUUUUUAUUUCCUCGUAUAUUUUUGCAUAACCCAUGCCUCUUCUGCAUUAAAUCUUUUUGGAGAGAGAGAAUAACAAUACUUGGGACAGUGAGUGAUAAUAUUUUUUAGCAAUUUUAAUGAAUGGUGGUGGAUGGUGUAGUAGAUGUGUGCAAGUGAAUAUCUUAACUUAACCACAUGAAAAGCUCCUAAGGGUCUACACAGCUCGAUCAAACUCAAUGUGAAUGUAAGUAGCAAAAGAUGUUAUAGCAAGUAUGGGCUGUGGUAGGAAUUUUGUCAUGCUAGGAACUCAUCAUGUGAUUUGCAAGUUUUCAAAAUAAAUCUCCAAAACUUAGUGUAGUAGGAACAAGAUAAACAGUAGCUCAAACUUUAUAUCAUGUCCUUCUCUUAGACUCUAGUUUUAGAUUAAUGCUUCCCAUAGAUAGUAAAUUUUAGUUUUAGUAAUUCCUGGAAGAACUCUAAUAUAAAAGCUAGGUACUUGAAAGUAAGCAAACAGAGCAACUGUUCAUCAUUUCCAUCAUGCAUCUUUUUGGUCUUUUUUUUUCUAGAGAUUAAAAUUUAGCAGGAAAAUAAAGCACACUUAUCUACACACUCUUUUUAUUUUGUUUUCAUGUUUAUAGAAUGCAGUAAAUUAAAGCAAGAAAAUAUUUGUUGGGUUUUCUAAGUUUUUUUCUCUUUAAGAUAAAUAAAACACUAAAAUAGAAAGGAAUAAAUAAGAAGGGCAAAUAAAAACUUACUUGAUAAAACGGGGAGAAACUCCCCCAAGCUGGAUGUGGUUGUCGGUCUUAGCCAAUGUUCUAGAAUCGCAUCAUGGUGGUGAUGUUGUCGUUCAUCGUUGUGGUAUCUUGUCUCAGUUCUUGUACUGUAAUGGUGUGGUCCUGGUUCCACUUUUGUUGCUGUUCUAGGAGUCGUCCAUGUUCCGCUUGCGUAUUCUAGAUGUCGAGGAGGGUGUUGUCGGUACGGGUGAAGAAGGUGCCGGCCUCUUGGUAGUAGUCGUUCGUGAAAGCAUAAGAGGCAUCAGAGUAUCGUCCUGCAUCGAAUUGGGGCUGGGAUCUUGACCCUGAAGCUCCAAACGGAUCAGUGGAGUGCCUGCCCGUAUGGAAAGGCGGGUUUGUCCACUAGUGAUCUUGGCCCUCCGGCCAUGUCUCCUGUGUUGGCUCUUGUGGUUGAGCAUGUCUAACCCAUGGGCCCCGAAGGACUCAGGGGUUGUAGUCACAAUAAUGCAGGUGCAUUGCUUCUUCCGGCCCGGGAUCAGCUCCAUACCAGGUGCGUUCUUGAAGGGUGGUCAUCCUUUCAGAUGCCACUCGUUGUGGAGCUCUCUGGUUUACCGGUGUCACUGCAAUCUCAAUCAAAUAAUUUUGAACAACAUAGAGGCCAAGGUUCGGGUUAGGUAACCGAAUCUUGCCUUUAUUAUCGUAUAAUAUAUACAUUACGUUCCCCUCUUUUUUCAACAUCCGAGCUUGCCUAAAUGUGUCAUAGCCAUGAUAAAUUCGUAACUCGUCAAUGAAUUCCAGUGAUGAGUUUUUUAGCAAUUGAAGAUUAGAGGCUAGACGAGUGAUAAGUGAAGUACAACCGACAGGUCCCUGAAGACAAGGUAUACUAAGCCAAUGAGAAACCAAAAGUGUAACAGGUGAAGUGGGUAUUUUAUUUAUAGCAGCAUAUAGAAGUUGCAAAUCUCCUAUUCUUACUUUUCUAAUAUCAUCACGAUGGAAAAGAUUGUACCCGAGCCAUUUGUGGAACAUCCUAAAAGUGGAGUGUUCCAUGUCGCUGGUUCGAGCUUAGCUAUAAAACUCAUCUCUAGAUAUCUCUCUCCAGAACUGGUGUCUCUCAAAAUUGGGUAAGUCGGAGUUAAUGUCCAGGAUGCGUCUUGAAGAGAAACUGAGAUGGUCGCUUAGUUCUCUCCAAGACAACAUAAUGUCCUGUUUGAACAUCCGAAAAGCGAUUCCCCCUCAUAAUAUUGUAAAGUGCAAAGAAAUUCAAGGGUGAGAAGACGGGAACCCAGCUCAGUUAUGUUCCAAAAAUUUGUCCAUCCCACCAUCUGGAAAAUCAAGUCAAAUUCAGUAUCCAUACCUAUUUCUUGUAGCAGGAUAGGAUCAAGAGUGGGGGUGUGAAUGAAAUCCUUGUUCUUUAGCUGCUGGUAAACUUCCUUCUCCCUACGGGUCUUCAGUCCAAGGUCUCCUGUCUUGAGGAGGACCUUGACUUGUGGACCUGAUGAAGAUGACGGAGCUUGCGGGGGCGUUGGGUCGAUGCUCAUCUCUGACUGGUGCGAGGAGUGUCGGGACGAACUCCUCAUACUAAUGUUCUUGAGAACCUUGCCCGCGUUCUUUACCUUUUUGAACAUCCUGCAAACAAAAGUUGACACAAACACAACUAGUGGAAAAUGUGAGAGAAAUUGUUAGUGGUCAGCUGUCCAAAAUGUCAGUAGUCCAGGGGUUAGUCGUUCAAGACAAGUUUUUAUUUUGGCAGUACCUCCCCCUAAACAACUUUUACUUCCGCUCUGGACAGCGGGAUCACUACUUACUAGGUGAACCUUACUCUCUCACUCAAAGACUACGAACCUCUCUUCCACUCUUCUCUUCCUCUCUACUCUCCUUCUUACUUCACUACAAGAGCUCCUUCUCUGGAAACUGAAACUUGCGUGGUUUUCUGGGAGGCUUGUGUGAUGGAGAUGGAGGCAGGUGGUGGCAAUUUAUAGGAGUAAGGGGGGACAGGGCGGGCGCCCUCUGUAGGUGGGCGGGCGCCCACCUUUGGUGGCCAUCCUGGCUGCAACUUUUCUAUUCCCUCCUUUGCUUAACACUUACGCAAAAUAAUAGUUCAUGGGUGGUGGUUGGUCGAUGGAAAAGUGCAGGUGAGUGGAGUUAUGUUGGUGGAUCAAAUAAUGUGAUGGUAUGUGUGUGUAUGACAUGUGGGACCCAAGGAGUGUGGGUCAUGCUUCUAGAAGGUUGCUAUAAUUAAAUAUAAUGCAGGAAAAUCUAUGAGAAUUGAAACUUAUUGAAAUGAUAAUGGAAAAUAUUUUUUUGUGCCUCCACACUAAUUAAUAAAUAUGGGUUGUCACACACCAUAAAUAUUAUUUAUAUGGGGCUUUUUUAUUAUUAUAAUAAUGCUAUGAAUAAAUAUGGAUAAUGCAGGAAUUAAAUAUGAGAGAAUUAAUGAUGCGGAUAAAUACCGAUUUACCUCCUGGCGAGGGUUUGGGAUUUUUAGGUCCCCCAAGCUGGACCUCCAAAUCUUUUAAUCUUCUGAAUUACCUUCUUCUGGAGAUGGUGUCUCCAGUGGUUCUUCUUCAUGAACUUCCUUCACUGUAGAGUCUCUCUCUAGUCUGGGCUUGAAUGUGAAGUGUUUUUCUUGUCCGUUUAUGUUGAAUUUGAUUUCUCCCUUUCCAACAUCGAUGUGGGCAUUGGCAGUGCUCAGAAAUAGCCUUCCAAGGAUAAUGGACACUUUUGAGUCGGGACUCAUGUCUAGUACCACGAAGUCUACAAGCAUAAGGAAAUCUCUGAUCUUGACUAGGAUGUUGUUGACACCGUUUUUGGGCACGUGUCCAGGCCGGCAGGAUAAGACGGCAGUGUUUGUUUACAGGAUGAGUUGCCGAUGAGGAUGGUUGCCGAUGAAGGAGAGGUUGAACGUGACUAAGUCUACAGGCGGUGAUGUGUCUGUGCCGAUGGCUAUGAUGAGGAAGUCUGCCGAUGACUAUGGCAAGGGAGUCUGCCGAUGAUACGAAGGGAGAGUUCGGGAGCCGCCGAUGGUUUGUGGAAGAGUUUCAGUUUGUCACGGGGGAUAGUUUUGUUAUUUCCUUAAUUAUUUAAAUCGUUUUGUAUACGGAUUCCGUGUAAUUUGGAAUUCGAAUUCUAAUCGUGUCUGGCUGUAGCUCUUUGAGCAGGGUAUAAAUAUAGACCCUAGGACCUUAUAAUGAGACAUCUAUCAAUCAAUCAAACACACGUUUUUACUCAUAUUCCAGCAUCUACUUUUUUUCGACGACUUCGUCAUACUUUUUUUCCCUUUCAUUACGAGUUCUUAGGAAUUCGUCGACUCAAGCUCGGCGUAUUCUCAAAUUCCGCAUGAGUACCUCUUAGCCGUGACAUCCGGGCGCAUCGCUGUUGUCAGGACUAAAGUAUUCGAGUUAUCACCUUUGCCGAUAGUAAGGUCAAAUCGGCUGGCACACCUUAACAUUUGAAUCGGGUAUUAGCCCUUUAUGUUUGCAGACCAGUUUUUGCACCAACACAUCUUUUGGCACGCCCAGUGGGACAGAUCCAAGAUCAAGAUCAACAUGUCGACUUCUGAGUUUGAUCAAGAGAACGUCAUCCCCGUGACAGAAGCCAAUCUCAAGGAUGAGCAGAAGCAAGCUAUUGCUAAAGCCAUGGAGGAUUACAAGCAGCAAUGCCUGAGGUCCUUCAGCAUGAACAGGAGCGGUGAGGUAAUUCAGAAGGAUGCACUACCGGCUCCUCGGCAGGUUACUUUUGAGUCCAAUCCUGGCAAGCUUCAAGAGAUGGUUGACAGUGCGAUCAACCGCGCUUUGAUAAAUCAAGCUGGUGUACUGUCUAAUACGGUUUUCAAUGCCGUGGCGAGAACUUUCAAGGAGGGACAACUGCCACCAGAUUAUGUGGGCCCCACUUAUCACCAGCCAAAGUCACCAGUGGUCACAGCUCCAUCGGCUGUUACGGCCGCUGUGGGUAUGGAGAUUCCUGUUCCACCAAGCACGUUAGGAGUCACCAAUGGACAGUCUAUGCCGAUGACAACUAAUCCACAAACUUCAGAUAGGCAGAUUAAACUUGCCACAGAUCUGUUAGCAUCAGCAAUGACAGGGUUAACCCCUCCUCCCAACUGGUGGGUUUAUGGCAUGCCUCCAGAGUUAACGCCAGGUACAUCACAGACGACUGAUAUGAGAGGCAAGACUCCUAUGGCAUCGACACCUCCCAAUAUGCCGAUGAACCAGAGUCCGCAGUAUACUACAACUACUACUGCAAGACCUCACACUGGGAAUUCUCAAGCUCUAAUGUUCCAGAUGCCUAACGCAUCGGCAGACUCGAUGCUGAUGCAAUAGAGGUCUAUGGCUCAGUCAGGGUAUGUCAAUUCAAUGAUAAUGCCCAAUUAUCAGUCAUCGGCAGGGCCUAUGCCGAUGAACGCUAAUAAUGGAUGGCUUGGGCAGCAAGUCUUUCCGCAAACACCCCAACAGAGUCACCAGGCUACAGGGUUCCAGCAAGAACAGAUCUAUCCCGGGUUUCUGAAUCAGGGGAUCCCUAACCAGCCAGUGAAUCCCGGGCAGCAGUUCGUCGGACAGCAGAUUGGCGGGCAACAGCGUAGUGGUCCACCGGUCGGAGACCAGAUGAUCAACCCAAUGUUCCGUGCAGAUCGCGCACCGAACAGACACGUGGAGGCCUACCAGCAGGCACCUGAUCCGCAACCGCCCCAUCGGCAAGAUGCCGAUGCAUACUGGGCCGAUAAGAUUGCUGAAGUAAUGAGAGACCAAUUCGGGAUAAAACCCAAAGUCAAUACUUACUCUUAUCGGACACCGUAUCCUCCUGCAUACGACUUGAUCCCGCUUCCACAUCGGUACAAGGUACCGGAUUUCACUAAGUUUUCUGGGCAGGAUGAUACGUCAACCAUGGAGCACGUCAACAGAUUCAUUAUUCAGUGCGGUGAAGCUGGUAACAGGGACGAAUUGAGGGUUCGUUUAUUUUCAUCAUCAUUGUCUGGGUCGGCUUUUACCUGGUUCAUAUCACUACCUCCCAACUCAGUGAUUACUUGGGCCGAUCUGGAAAAACCAUUCCACAAAUACUUCUUUUCUGGGGUCCAUGAGAAGAAGAUCACCGAUUUGGUCAAAUUAAGGCAGCGUAAUGAUGAAUCAGUUGAGGGUUUUGUGCAGAGGAUACGGGAAGUCAAAAAUAAAUGUUAUAGUCUGGUCCUAGAUGAUCGGCAGCUAGCCGAUUUGGCUUUCCAGGGUUUAUUGCCACACAUCAGGGAUAAGUAUGCUUCUCAGGAGUUUGAAAGCUUAAGUCAUUUGGUGCAGAGGAUUUCUAAUCAAGACAUCAAGCCUUUCGAGCCCAAAAGAGCAUGGAACAAGAAGGUAUCAUUUGUUGAUGAGGCAACAGGCUCAGAUUCUGAGGAGGAACCAGUCAUCGGCUUGGCAGAGUGGGUAAAGAACAAGAAGCCGAUGUCUUGCCCUUUUGGGCAGAAGGAACCAGAGAAGUUCGCUUUUGACACCGCUAAGGCUGAUAGGAUAUUUGAUUUUCUACUUCAGGAAGGUCAGAUCAAGCUGUCUCCUAAUCAUGUGAUCCCAUCGGCUGAGGAAUUAAAGAGGAUGAAAUAUUGCAAGUGGCAUAAUGCAACUUCUCAUGACACCAAUGAGUGCAAGGUUUUCAGACAGCAGCUGCAAUCAGCUAUAGAGUCUGGGAGAAUCAAGUUUGACAGUUCCAAGACUCAGAAGCCGAUGAAGAUAGACCAACAUCCUUUCCCAACAAACAUGUUGGAUGCUAAGGGAAAGGCUAAGGUCUUAACAUCAGAAGCAGCCGAGAGGAGUGCAUCGGUAGAUCCUCAACAUCAAGUUACUACUACCGAUGCAAGAGGUAGGGGCUUGGUUCAGGAAGGAACCAGCUCAGGUAGGCCUCCCCGGUCUGGCAUCGUUAUAACUCAUAGAAGGCCUCGAGAUAACUGGCAACAACGGGUAGAUCGGUAUCGGCGCUAGCAAGAAGAUUAUCGUCGGGAGGAAGAGAGACGCCGACAGGAGUGGGAUCGGCAUAGAGAUCACUGGAACUGUCCGUUCUUCAUCCAUUGUUGGGAGGAGAAUAUUAAGCUUCCCACUGUCAGAGACUGCCCUGAGUGCAAUGGUUAUGAUCGGUAUGAUAGGAUCGAUCGGCGUUAUCAUGAUGACAAUCGGCGAUUUAAUGGGCCGAUCAGAGGAAGAGCAUCAGUUCAUGAUCGGCUGGGGGGCAGGCUCAAUGUGCAUGAUAGGCUUGGUGAUCGUGUCCAAUAUUUUCCCAGGAACCAGGAAGAGUUCGAGGAGAUGGCUAAUGCACGAGUUCCCGAUGAGUUCAUAUUUUGCAGAGAUGCUAAUACGCAUCGGAUGGAGUCGAGAGAGAAUCGACGCCCAGCAGCAAGGCAGAAGCCACUUCCUCCAUGGUGUCCAGAAGGGCUGACCAAGACACAGAAGAGGAGGUUGCAGCGUGAAAGGCAAGAAGGGCUAAGCAAGGGCGAAAGCUCUGGAAAACCUGAGGAUCGACAACAACCCGAUCCUAAGGGGGAAGGUCCAUCGGCAGGUGUCAACAUGGUCUUUAUGUUGCCGAUGGAAUUCCUUGCACCAUCCAGUGAUGAUGAGGUGGAGUUUUCCGAUCAAAUAACUCAGUUGGCUCUAGAUCCGAUGACGGAUAUCUUCGAGAAGCCUGCCGAUGAUGAAAAACAGCAUCUCAAGGCUCUGUUUGUCAAAGGAAGGGUUGAUGGGCAGCCGAUGACUAAGAUCUUAAUUGAUGGAGGAGCUGCUAUCAAUAUCAUGCCAUAUACGGUGUAUCGGAAGCUUGGAAAAGGAGAUCAAGAUUUAACCAAGACCGAUAUGAUGCUCAAAGACUUUGAAGGGAAUGUGUCUCCGGUCAAGGGGGCAGUAUGCGUAGAGUUGACUAUCGGCAGCAAAACCUUGCCGACAACCUUCUUCGUGAUCAGUGGAAAGGGUGCUUACAACUUGCUAUUGGGAAGAGAUUGGAUUCAUGCUAAUUGUUGCAUCCCAUCUACAAUGCACCAAUGUUUGGUUCAGUGGGUAGGUGACAAAAUUGAGAUUGUCCCGGGAGAUUCUUCUUAUGUCAUUGCGUCGGCCGAGGCAGAUACCUAUGAGAGGACCAGGUGCAUUUCAGGAGAAGUUUGGGAGAAAGAUUUUCUCAAGGUUGCCGAUUACGAGAUUCCACCGAUCCAAGCAGUCGGUUCUGACGACGGUUUUUAAUGGAUAGGUUCGCCGAUGAUGGAAAGUUAGGCCAGGGAUUCACAUCGGCCGAUGAUUUGGUAGAAGUAGAUAUCGGUAGUGGUGAUAAGCCUAGACCUACUUUUAUUAGUGCUAAGUUAAAUCCUGAGUGUAAGCAGCAAUUAACCAAUUUGUUAAAGGAAUAUAAAGAUUGCUUUGCUUGGGAUUAUACCGAGAUGCCUGGUUUAGACCGAUCAAUUGUUGAACAUCGGUUGCCUAUCAAAUCUGGAUUUCGGCCACAUCAGCAACCAGCUCGCCGAUGUAAUCCUAAUAUUCUUCCUGACAUCAAAGCCGAAAUAACCAAACUUAUUGAAGCUAAAUAUAUUCGGCAGUGUCGGUAUGCCGAAUGGAUUUCCAAUGUUGUUCCGGUCUACAAGAAGAACGGGAAACUUCGGGUCUGUAUUGAUUUCAGGAACCUUAACAAAGCUACGCCGAAGGAUGGAUACCCAAUGCCAGUUGCCGAUCUGUUGGUUGACGCUGCGGCUGGGCAUCGAAUUAUUAGCUUUAUGGAUGGUAAUGCAGGGUACAAUCAAAUAUUCAUGGCUGAAGAAGAUAUUCCAAAGACUGCAUUCAGAUGUCCUGGUCAUGUUGGAUUGUUCGAGUGGAUAGUUAUGACUUUUGGCCUCAAGAAUGCUGGUGCUACUUAUCAGAGGGCCAUGAAUUUUAUAUUUCAUGAGUUCAUCAGCAAACUGGUAGAAAUUUAUAUUGAUGAUGUGGUGGUCAAGCCCAGGGACUUCACAGAGCAUCUUGCCGAUCUACGAAAGGUAUUGGAGUGCACAAGGAAGCACGGAUUGAAGAUGAAUCCCAAUAAGUGUGCAUUUGGUGUAUCGGCAGGGCAGUUUCUCGGUUUCAUGGUGCAUCAAAGGGGGAUUGAAAUUAGUCGAAGAUCUAUUGAUGCCAUCAAUAAAAUAGUAGCCCCUACAAACAAGACUGAGCUCCAGUCCUUGAUCGGCAAGGUAAAUUUUAUCAGGAGAUUUAUAUCUAAUUUGUCUGGUAAAAUUCGUGCUUUCAGUCCUCUUCUUAAGCUAAAAGCCGAUCAAGAAUUUAUUUGGGGGAAAGAACAGCAGUUAGCUCUGGAUGAAAUCAAGGAGUUUCUAGUAAAUCCUCUAGUUCUAAUUCCACCUCAGCAAGGAAAGCCCUUCAGAUUGUAUUUGUCUACCGAUGGGAUGGUUAUCGGUUCAGCUUUGAUUCAAGAAUUUGAAGGGAAAGAGCGUGUAAUUUAUUACUUAAGCAGGAGGUUGAUUGAUGCUGAGACCAGGUAUUCGGCCAUUGAAAAACUAUGCCUAUGCUUAUAUUUUUUGUGUAUCAAGUUAAGGCACUACUUGUUAUCGGCCGAAUGCACUGUUGUUUGCAAAGAUGAUGUGAUCCGGUACAUGCUAUCUAUGCCGAUUAUGAGUGGCAGGAUCGGUAAAUGGAUUUUGGCGCUGUCGGAAUUCGAUCUGCGUUAUGAAUCGGCUAAGGCAGUUAAAGGGCAGAUUAUGGCCGAUUUUGUGACUCAACAUUGCGGUGCAGUGAAGGCUUUGGAAAUUGUGCCCUGGACGCUUUUCUUUGAUGGAUCUACAUGUGACCGGGGGGCAGGGAUCGGCGUAGUAUUAGUUUCCCCUAAGGGGAGGAAGUAUGAAUUUUCCUUGCCGAUUGUUGCUACAUCAACAAAUAAUCAGGCUGAGUAUCAGGCUUUGAUAAAAGGAUUGGAGUUGUUAAGGGAAGUUCAUGCGGACGCUGUCGAAGUCUUCGGGGAUUCUAUGUUGGUUAUAAAUCAAUUGGCCGGGAACUAUGAAUGCCGAAGUGAAGUUCUCAUAACUUAUUACGAGAGGAGUAUGCAACUGUUAAAGGAAUUCAAAGAUUUCCAUUUAGAGCAUGUUCCCCGAUUGCAUAAUGAAGAGGCCAAUCGGUUAGCUCAGCAUGCCUCAAGAUAUCAGCCUAUAAUUAAUACAGUAUCGGCAAUCGAUGCCGAUGAUUGGAGGAAAGAAAUUAUUGAUUAUUUGAAAGAUCCAUCUAAGAAAGUUGAAAGACGAGUUCGAUUUCAAGCGACCAAGUGAUGAUGAAGCUAGGAGUUUGGUGGGAGAAAUUCAUGAAGGGGUGUGUGGAGCGCAUCAGUCAGCUUUUAAGAUGAAGUGGAUGAUUAGGAGGAAUGGAUAUUAUUGGCCGACUAUACUUGAGGAUUGCUUUAAGUAUUUCCAAGGGUGUCAGAAGUUUGGUAACAUUCAAAGGGCACCUGCAUCGGCUAUGAAUCCUAUCAUAAAGCCUUGGCCGUUCCGAGGAUGGGCUAUUGAUCUGAUCGGCCAGAUUUAUCCACCAUCUAGCAAAGGGCAUAAGUUUAUUCUAGUUGCCACUGAUUAUUUCACUAAGUGGGUCGAGGCUAUUCCUUUAAAGAAAGUCACAUCGGCCAAUAUGAUUGAUUUUGUGAAGGAGCAUAUCAUUUAUCGAUUUGGAAUUCCUCAAACAAUUACUACCGAUCAGGGCACUAUGUUUACAUCAGGGGAGUUUGAUGAAUUUGCAAUCGGUAUGGGGAUUAAAGUGUUGAAUUCUUCUCCUUAUUAUGCUCAAGCCAAUGGGCAGGCCGAGGCGUCUAACAAAGGAAUUAUCAAGCUUAUCAAACGAAAGAUUGAAGACAAUCCUAGGCGGUGGCAUACAUUAUUAAAUGAAGCGUUGUGGUCCUAUCGGAUGGCUUGUCAUGGAUCAACCAAAGUGUCACCCUAUCAAUUGGUAUAUGGACAUGAUGCAGUGUUACCUUGGGAGAUUAAGGCUGGAUCUAGGUGAUUAUCUUUUCAAGAUCAAUUAGCUGCCGAUGAUUAUGCCACUUUGAUGACCGAUGAGUUAGAUGAUCUAGCGGGACAUCGGUUAAAGGCUUUAAUGAGUAUAGAAGAAAAUAAGAAAAGAGUUGCUAGAUGGUAUGACAAGAAAGUAAAGGCUAAGGAGUUUGCCGAUGGGGACUUGGUAUGGAAAUUAAUUUUACCAAUCGGGACUAAAAGUUCAAAGUUUGGAAAGUGGUCUCCUAAUUGGAAAGGUCCUUAUCGGAUAAGUCGAUCGGCUCCUGGAAAUGCCUAUAUUCUAGAAACUCUCGAAGGAGUUGAAUUUCCCAGAGCAUUAAAUGGCAAAUAUUUAAAGAAGUACUACCCCAGCAUAUGGGUCGAUGCAUAAAAGUUUAAGUGCCGAUAACACUCCUAUCGGCUGGAUUUAAAUGUUUGGGGGCAGGACUUAAUGUUUCAAAAGAUGCCGAUAACAGUCCUUUCAGCUAGACUAAAAGCUAAAAGAGCAGGAAAACACAGAUGUGUCGCCGAUGAGAGCUUCAUGUGUUCAGCAGCGCCUGGAUCGCCGAUAUGGCGCGUAGCCGGAUUUGGUUGGCUGCUUCUAUCUCCUUGAUAUCGUCAUCGGCAGAGCCUUCUAUCGGCUUCAGCUUCUUCUUCAACUGUAGUGCCUUGCGACCGUGGAUGUUCCGCUCAUGCUCAAGAAGCUUGAUGGUCUCUGGCAGUUGACUCUCUUCCUGUUGGGCUUGGGACAAGGCGUCCUCCACUUGUUUGAGUUCUGCCAACAGGGAUUCCCUUUUUCCCAAUAAGUCAGAUAUCUUCUGCUUCAGCGUGUCUCCUGAAGAUCUCAAGAUGCCGAUGUUCUUGUGCUUCUCAUCGGUCACGAGCUUCUCUUUCCUCAUCUCUUCAGAAAGCUGAGUCUGAGCUGCUCUAUCGGCAAGACGCCGAGAAGCCCUCUGGUACUGCAGCUGACGACUCUCCAAAUGUGCAGCUUGGAAAAGGAUUUCUUCGACAUCGGCUAGGAUCUGGCCUCUGAGAGUCCUGAAUAGAAUCUUGGCUGGGUCGGAGUCAUCGACCAAUUGCGCCGUGUCCUGGUGAAGGAGGGCCGACAGUUCUUCCAGCCUGGCCCUGAUCUCUGCCGAUGUAAUGCCAACUGUCUGGGAAGAGCAUGCUUCUUCACCUUCUUCUUCAGAGAGGUCGAUGGCGAAGGAGAAUAAGCUGUCGGGGGAAUCUUGUUCCUGUGAGGGAGAGCAAAGUUAGUUCAUAUUCGGAGAAUCGGCAAGUAAUGUUGAUAAAGAUUGGGUGACUUACUUGUUUCAAGGCUAUUUCCUGCCUUUGACUGGAAGAUGCCGAUGGAGCCGUAGGUUGAUCGGCCAGAGUUGCCGAUGGAACGACAUCAACUGAAAGAAGACAGGAAGAGUUAUGAGGCUGAAUGAGAAUAAGUUCAUCGGUGGUAGUAUUAUUAAAAUAUGUUACCCGGAGGAGGAAUGAUGAUUGUUUGAGUCGGGGGAACUGCCGAUGAUGUAAUUGGACCUACCGGGCCAGUUGUUUGUCCACCCACGUCAGCUGAAGUACCUUCUGCUUGGGGUUUUUCCUGCUGGGGUUCGUCUGCUUCUGGUGCUUCCUGCGGAUGAGGGGGAGAUGGUGCUUGCUGGAUCUCUACAUCUGGAGGGGAGGGAGAAGAUUCCACCGGAAUAGGAGAUACCAGAGGAGGAGGAGGAGUCGCCACUUUCUGGCGUUUUGUUCCAGCCCUGGUACCCUUGGUGCCCUUCCUCUUUGGCUGGCUGGACUGGGGGGCAUCGGCACCUUGACAUUUGGCUUUUGCCGAUGCACCAGUUUGCUGCAGCAACAAAAAGGAGUUUCUAAAUACAAAUGUAGCCGAUGUAAAGGUAAUCGGUAUAAGUAAAAGGGGUUUGACGAAUUGCUUUGAAAGCCUGGGCUAGAGUGGAAGCAGCUACCGUUGGUGAUGUCAAAGUUCUCUUGGUGGUGACUUUCUUAAGGCGCACGCCUCGGUGCACAAUGGUAGCCAAAGUAGGAGCAUUGUGGCCGAUUGAAGAGAUUGGGCCUGGUGGAAACAGGUCAAUCGGCCUACCACUUCUGCUAACCGAUGGGGGGAUGUUGUCAACCUGCAAAAGGGACACAAAGGUGAGUUACCGAUGGAAAUAGGAUUGAAAAAAUUGGAAUACCGGUUCGAGAUACUUACAACGUCAUCGGGGACUUUGUACUCGCGGUCGAUCAUGCCGCGGUACGAGAGGACUGAUUUGCAGAAUAGAUGCUCCUUCUAUUCUGCCCACCAUAGCUUGUAUGCCUGAGUAAUGAAAGCGGCUGGAACCCACUCUGACAAAUCUGCAUCUGUAUCGGCAUUCGGUGGUAGUUGAGCUACUCGAAUCCACUCAAGAAAGUUGGUGAUGGGUUCCCUGGGUUUUAUCACAUCGUCAUAACAGAGUGCAAUCGGCAGCUGGCCGAAAGCUAAUUGACGAGCUAAUGCCGACGGGUUGUAGAAUUCAUAAGUCUGGGGAGAGGUUUUUGUGCUACCAAAGGAAUUCACGGGUAUGGCUCUAGGAGUCACAAUUGCCAUCAUCACCUCAUUAUCCCUGUCAAGAGCUUCAUCAAAUGGAUUGAAAACCAGAGGGAGCAUACUGUCUGGGUCAUCAUAGGCCAACCAUGGUCGUUCAUCUCUGGCCAAGCCCUCAUACAAAGUCUGGAAGAAUCGGCUGAUCUGAUCUGGAUUACCCCCUUAACCAGGCAAGACUAUGACGGCUUCGCCAAAGUUUUGGGGAGCGCGUGUUGCCGAUUCUUCUUCACCCAACACAUGAUUUUCAGUUAUAUCUCUUGGGAAACGCUGUGUAAAUAAGUUAAAGUUGAGGCGCUUGUGCAGAUGCAGAUUAGGCCACAUAUUGAUAAACCACCAGGGGCCGCCUAAGUUGCCAGUAGACUGGCCGAGCAGGAGUUUCUUGGCCACCUGAUGGAGGAGAUGGUAAGCAGUGCCAAGCAAGUAUCGGCCGAGAGGGAAUCGGCCACCGUUAGCCAGUCUCUCUGCUGUCGAUAGAUAGACGGAAGUCGGUCCUGCCGAUCGACCACAGAACACAAACUUGUCCAGCCACAUGUUCAGAAAGGUGGUUUGUUCCUUUAUGCUGACAGGCCCCGUCCCACGAUACUUCUGAAUGUACCCUGACCAGCCGCCGAUGGAGCGAGUUUCCACUUUGGCACUAGGAGCGGUGUCAAAAAAGUGGGUGCUAUCGGCAGAAGAUAUAUCUAGACCGGUGAGCAUGGCUACAUAGGCAAGAGUAGGAGAAGCAGGGCCGUGGCCAAAGACAAAAGCGUUGAGGGUGUCUGACCAAAAGUAAGAUGCAGCUAUCAACAGUGACUCAUUCCUGUGCAUAUCGGCAAUGGACAAUCUAAUGCAUUGAUCUAGCUUUCUCUCACCCCACUGGACUUCAUUGGAGUUGCUGACCCUCAAGAACCAGUCUUUCCACCCUACAGUAGGGCUGGGCCAAGAACAGAAGGUGUCUUUCCACAGAUCUAAAGAAAAAUUUUCGGUUCUGAAAGGGAUCCUGUUGGUUUCUGUGUUAAUAAGAUCGGUUGGAUCUGGAUCCCCUAGGGGGCCGAGGCAUUGGAGGUGUGGUUGAUCGGUAGGGAUGACAAUUUUGUUGGACAAUUCCUGGUGGUUUUGGAAAUAAAGAAAAGGAACACAAAGAAAAGAAAAAAAUAUACAGUAAAAUGGAUUGCGGAUGAAUGGGGAUGUGAGGAAAAGUACAGGAGAUGGAAUGAAGAACUGACCUCAGGGACGAUGAAGCUAAUGGCCAUCUUGCGACGAGGAGGGUCUCUGAGGGCUCCGAGGUUGGUGAGGAAGAGUCUUUGUAGGAGGUCUUGGAGAUUUUGAAUGGCGCCGCCGCUAGGAAAGUAAAGUUCGGAUGGUGGAAUGAUGUGAUGGAGAAGGAGUACCCGAGAAGGAACUAUUUAUAGGACAAAAUGGGCAAGGGCAAAUCUGACUUAUCUCCUUGCCGCAUCUGAGAAAUCCGAGGGUGCUCAGGUAGAUAUGGUAACUGCUCGCACGAUAAUCAAGGGAUUGUGCAGGUGAUUUGACGGGAAGCGGUCAUUAUCUGGAGAUAUUUUACUGUGCGGGAUCUCCUGGUCGGUCCAUCGGCAGCGUCCUGUAACGGUCAUAUUGCCGAUGGGCGAGUAAAGUGAAGAUAGCCGUUUGUACGAACGUCCUGAUCAGUUCAUCGGCAGAUCUUUGUAACGGUAAUAUUGCCGAUGUGCGGUUGAGACGGAAAUGCCCGUUUAGGAAGUUGAGGAUUUCGAGGAAUAUGCAGAAGAAUAGGAUCAAAGUUGUUCAGAUUGAGGUUGUCGGUUACCAGAUUAGGAGCAUUAAUUGCGGGAAAAGGCAUCAUUACUGCAGAGAAUUUCGGAGCAUUGAUGAUUUCAUACUCCGUAAUUGGGGAGCAUGUGUUGACACCGUUUUUGGGCACGUGUCCAGGCCGGCAGGAUAAGAUGGCAGUGUUUGUUUACAGGAUGAGUUGCCGAUGAGGAUGGUUGCCGAUGAAGGAGAGGUUGAACGUGACUAAGUCUACAGGCGGUGAUGUGUCUGUGCCGAUGGCUAUGAUGAGGAAGUCUGCCGAUGACUAUGGCAAGGGAGUCUGCCGAUGAUAUGAAGGGAGAGUUCGGGAGCCGCCGAUGGUUUGUGGAAGAGUUUCAGUUUGUCACGGGGGAUAGUUUUGUUAUUUCAUUAAUUAUUUAAAUCGUUUUGUAUACGGAUUCCGUGUAAUUUGGAAUUCGAAUUCUAAUCGUGUCUGGCUGUAGCUCUUUGAGCAGGGUAUAAAUAUAGACCCUAGGACCUUGUAAUGAGACAUCUAUCAAUCAAUCAAACACACGUUUUUACUCAUAUUCCAGCAUCUACUUUUUUUUUCGACGACUUCGUCAUACUUUUUUUCCCUUUCAUUACGAGUUCUUAGGAAUUCGUCGACUCAAGCUCGGCGUAUUCUCAAGUUCCGCAUGAGUACCUCUUAGCCGUGACAUCCGGGCGCAUCGCUGUUGUCAGGACUAGAGUAUUCGAGUUAUCACCUUUGCCGAUAGUAAGGUCAAAUCGGCUGGCACGCCUUAACAUUUGAAUCGGGUAUUAGCCCUUUCUGUUUGCAGACCAGUUUUUGCACCAACAGAUGUUUUCGGCGAUGCCCAACGGGUGUCGAACUGAUUGAUCUGCUAGUUGUAGGCACAUUGAUGUUGGUUCUAGGGUCGUAUGCUCAAGCUUCUUGUAGACUGAUGCUGGCAUCACACUGACACUUGCUCCGAGAUCACAAAGUGCAUUGCUGAAGUGUUGGUCUCCGAUCGAGCAAUCAAUAGUGGGGCAUCCUUGAUCCUUCUUCUUCCUUGGUGGUUUAUUGAGGAUGGCCGCACUACAUUCUUCUGUCUGCUUGAUAACCUCAAUGGUGGGCAGUGGUCUCUUUUUGUUAAGAAUAUCUCUGAUGUACUUUGCAUAUGUUGGUACCUGUAUGGCUUCAAGUAGAGGUAUGUUGACAUAUAAUUUCUGAAUGACCUCUACAAACUUACCAAACUGCUCAUCCGACUGCAGUCCUCUGUUUCUUCUGGGAAAUGGCAAAUAGUUGGUGUCGUAAAAAUCUUUCCUCAUUUCUCCAGUACUUGGUGGUUGUAGCAGAUCUUCUCCUUCAACUGGGCUUUCUUCUUCCAUCACUGCUGGUUGCACUAGUGCUGAUGUUCUCUGUUUUGGGUAUGGGGGAUCCCUGGUGGCUUUGCCUCCUCUAGUAGUUAUGUUCAUUACCUACUCAAUGUUAGUGGCAAGAGGCAAUGCAGCAGCUAGCUUUAUUAAUUUAAGCUCUACCCUUUUAGAGAUGAUUCAUUUGUAUCUAGCCUUUAUUUAACUUCAUCAUUAGUUUUGGUUUGUUGAGCAAUUAUCUCUUUUAAUGAAAGUUGCUUUAAAGUGUUACCUGAAUUCAUACCUUUGCUAUUGGGUUGACUCGAAGUGGGUUGAUAUUUGUAUGCUGUCUCAAUGGCCCUUUGAUCUUCAUUGAACUUGGCCCUCUGGUCAAUCCAAUGGAGCAAAUUUUCCAUCUUGGUUGAUAGUGCAUUUACUUCUUCUCGUAUUUCUUCAGUUUGAUGACAUUGUUGAGCUUCAUCUUGGAACCAGCUUUGGUUUUCUGCUAUCUUAUCCAAAAGUAUCUCCACUUUUCCAAUUGUGAGCUCCAAGAAUGAACCUUUAGCAAAUGCAUCUAGACACUCAUGAGCCUUCUGGGUUAAUCCAUGGUAGAAGGUCUGCAUAAGUAACCAUGUGGCCAUUCCAUGGUGAGGACAAUCUGAUAUGUAUCCUUGAAAAUGCUCCCAUGCUUCUGGAAUGGUUUGUGUCUUCUGUUGUUGGAAACUGACAAUAUUUCCUCUUAAGGAAGCUGUCUUGCCUAUAGGGAAAAACAUUGAUAGAAAGGCAUCUGACAAGUUCAUCCAGUUGUUGAUGUUAUCUUGAUGGGUGUAGAACCACUUCCUUGCUUUCCCUUCUAGUGAGAAUGGAAAGAGGCGAAGCAGUUUGACGUCUUUGUCAACUCCGUUGAUGCGGAUUGUGCUUCUAAUCUCUAAGAAAUUCUACAAGUGUGUACUAGCAUCUUCAUGUGCCUUUCCACUGAAUUGUGUAGCUUGCACCAAAUUGAUGAGGCUUGACUUGAGCUCCAACUCGGGUGCUCCUUCUUCUACUGCAAAUCUUGGACCAGUUGGAAUGUUCUCAAGACUUGGAGCAGAGAAUUCUUGCAAGGUCUUCUGUGUCAUAGCUUCAGCAAUUGGUAGGUAGCUUCUUCUUUCUUUCUUGAUUGCUUUGGUUCUAAUGAUGAAGAGUUGAAUGUACCAAAGUCAAUCCUGAUAUACCCUGUAUAAAAAUAUAAACAUAGAAAAACAACAGGGUGAACCUGCCAAAGCAGAGGUGCCUUGUUAUGAUUUCUCACUUAGUAGCUGUUUUAUGCAAUUAUUUCUCCAUAGUCUAGUCUAAUAUUUUAUGUGAAUAACCUUGACUGAUUUCCUGACUUUCCUUACCGUUCCUAUGUGUUUCCCUUUUGAUUCCCUGGCAACGGCGCCAGAAAUGCUUGUUGACACUAGCUAACACCACUUGAAUACAAGGUUGUCAUCCCCAGCAUGGUGCCAGAGUGUACAAUGGUAUUUAUGAAUGUAAAGGCUCUCUAGAAAAUAAUCUAUUCUAUCUGCAAGCGCACAGAUAAAACACCACAUUGUAGCAUUUCACCAGGAAAGUAUUCCAGGUAUCGUUAUUUAUAAUUUUGCUUAAGAGAACAAUGGAGAUGAAGAUAAGGAUAAAAUCUAUCAAGGCAUAGACUAGAGAUAAACUUGCAAGAACAUGAUUACUAAUGAGGAACUCGUCACACAGUCACUUACUUUGGCAGGGGGUAAGCCAUAAUAAUGAUGAUAAUGAUAUAUAAGCUCAUGGGUGAAUAACACAACGAUUAGAAAAUAGACUACUCCUCAUAUAUGUAAGGUGACGUCAGAUUAGCUAGAGAAUGGAUUCUAAGUUAUCUACUAUCUACUAAGUCACAAUCUACUCUAGUUAUCUACAAGAUCAUGUAUAGCAUAAAAGACUCUUCAUUCAUGUAUAAGGAACAUUGCUAAAGUAAAUCAGAGCAUCGCAAGACUUACUCGGCAAUACAAAUUUUGCCUGUCCUAUCAAUGGAGGGUGGACUAUAUAAGAAUCAACGAAGUUGUCACUAUCGCGAACUACGACACGACCCAGCCAAUAGGAUACAUUUGCAGGUAAAUAAUAUCUAAGCACCACACCCACAUAUGAUCUAACACUUAACUCCUGCGCGUGAAGAGCUAAUUGCUUUGCAAACUUAUACAUAAACUCAUUAUCAAUCAUAACUAUAUCAAUAUAGAACUAGAGCAAACUAAUAUCAUAAUAAAUAGAGACAUAAUGCAAUUAGAAUAAAGUAGUAGAGAAAGAUAUGAAAUAAUACCAAUCUUAUUAACGAAGAUCCGAAUCCAGAGCGCUAGGCUCUACUUCUCUAAUUCUAUCUAAUCAAUCCUCUAAAACUUGAAGGAUUAGGGAGUAGCUAAUUCUAAUUCUAUGUGGGAGAGAAGUUCUAAAACCCUAACUUUUAUGGCUUCCUCUGAUAAUGAUUUCUCCUCUCUCCCUGGGGUGGAGAGGCCUUGCUUAUAUAGACCCCUCAAGUGAAUUUGGGCCGUCCGAUCAAACAGACAUUGAUCGCACGGUUUUCCUUGAUUCUUUAGGUCGGUGGAGCAUAAUCCGCGAAGUUGAACGUGAUUGGCCCCGAGGCCAGGGCGGGCGCCCAAGGGGGGAGGGCCGACACCUUGCCCCCGAGCCCGUCCGGUCUCCCGUUCGUUCCUGUGGCUUCAGGACUCUUCUCGAUUAAGGAAAAUUGCACGGCACGUAAUUAUGUCGUUGUAAACAUGACAUAUGGGCCUUCUCUCCAGAUUUUCUGAUAACCCCCUACAGAAAUAGACAAACACCAAAGCUCAUGGAAUUCUGUCAGAUAAAACCCUAAUUCUAGAUGUUUGGUGCAUAUUGAUCCUUUUCCAUGUUUAGUUGAUGGUUAAAUUUAGUACUUAAGGACCGUCAACAAUCGCCACUCUCAACACUAAAAAUGAUCAUAUGCUACCCAAGCCAUGUCCGACCAAGAGAGAGGUGAUCCAGAAGUUUCAAUCAUUGAAUGCACAAUCAACAACACCACCUUCCCUUACACCGUCUGCGACACUGGAUCAGGCUACAACAUAAUGUCAAAACAGGUAUAUGAUGAAUUAUUUGAUUUACCUUUAUAUCCAACACAUAUUCAGUUGCAGAUGGUGGAUCAACCACUAAGAUUCCCGGAAGGAAUAGUCAAGGAUGUAAUAGUAAGAAUUCAAGCAUAUUAUAUACCUAUAGAUUUUCUAGUGCUUGACAUGCAGGGAGACAAUGAGAUCCUAAUUGUAACAGAACCAUCCAAUUUAUAAGAAUUCAAGUGAAUUAGUGACCACGGAGGCAGUCAAGCCAAUGGACUUGAACCCAUAUAAACCCGGUAGUCCGACGAAAUCUCAAAAGACCUCGAUUCAACCAACAUACAACCAAGAUCGUACAUGAUCAAGCAUCACCAUCACAGAUUACAACAUUCAUCACAGAACAUAGUUUUACAUCACAUCAGAGUUUAAAAGUGGUUAUUACAAACCAAAGCAGUAGCGGCAACAAAGUAGUUUUGAAACAACACCAACUCAGUUUAUAUUACAUGCCAGUUUCAUGGUCAAGUCCCAACAAAAGCACAACUGAAGGUAGAGAAGUGAUCACGCCCAUGAUCUAUUCAUCAUCCGCAGCCGGGUGAUGGCAGUUAGCGCAAUAGCCGUGAUAAAAGACAUCAUCUGCAACAGGGGUAAAUAAAACCCUGAGUACGAGAAUGUACUCAGCUAGACUUACCCGUCAUAAACCAAAAAUAAAGUGACACCAAGGAGUAUGCAAGGCUGAUCUUUGUGGACUGGUUCGACUCACCUUUUUGCAUAAAAAGCUUUAGUAGAAAGUAACCCAUUUAUCAAAUUUCAGCAGCAGGUUUAUUACUUACAACUAUCCACUAGAUUAGCACCUGAUCUAAGCAUACACUUGAGUAUUUAAACAUCACAAUAAUAACCAUAUCCAGAUUUUCACAUAGCCAUCAUCAUUCUCAUCAUAACCAUUAAGUUUAUUUAGUGAAUUCUAUGUUGCCGCUGCCCAAGUCAAGUUCUCACUAUCCGGGAGAGACGGCGAUUCGAAUCGAUUCCUAUCCAGCUGGAGGGGUAUUCCUAACAUUCACCCAAGCAUACUUCAUGACGGCAGCUCGGAUCACCUUUAGCACAACUUCGGACCAAUUCCCGGGUCCGUACGGCGCCGCACACCCAGGGUUACCGCCAAUCUGCCAGGGUCAGGACUCUAACCUGACACCUCAGUCUUACGCCAUUGACUCCCCGCACAUCCUUACUACCAACCGGGGUGCGCACUUUAACCAGAUCGGGGUAUCCGGCCGGAGUUGCACUCGUAGGCUUCGUGGUCGGAACGACUUAUCCGGCCAACUAAGUGAUAGGCAUGCGUUCAACAUGACACGAGGACGUAUAUCGAUUCGGUCCUUAAACGACACAGACGGGGAUAGAUUCACACCCAAGACCUCCAUGCCUUGUUGCUGCACUAUCGUCAUCCCGCCCGGUCUCAAGUUCAUUAUUAGCAUCUGGUUAUUUCCACGAUAGCAAUAUAGCCAACCGUGAUCAUCAUCCACCUAACUCUCGCAAGUGACAGGAAAUCACCCGGCUUCUACCGAGCUAAGCAUGGCUAAGCAUCACUUCGAUCCUGGACCUACUUAGGUGAGAUGUGAGGUGGACAAGGUAGUCAUUAUGCAGCAAGGGUGUCAUAUCAACGCCUACCACUUAAUGCAGCAAUAUAUAUAACCAUAGUCAAAUGAUAGCUGAACACGACUAAUAAAAUAGUAGGAGGCUUAUAAUGCUCCGGGGCUUGCCUUCGACGUAAGUAGAGGGACGGUGAUCAGGGCACUCCGGCAAGUCCUCCUCCUCCUCAGCUCAUUGAGGUAGCUCCCCUUGCUGUCCUUCCGACGCCGGCAGCUCGAACUCCAAAACAGUCACGCCCUUGGGUACACCUAUGUAUGCAUGACAAGGACAAGAAUAUCGAGAAUGCACAUAUGAUGCAUGAUGUCAUGGUGAAGAGCCAAAGGGACAUAAAACAAGGUAUAACAUGAGCAUAAACUUCUGAGAGUAAGCGAAUCAUGGAAUAACAAGUAAGUGCAUACUUCUUCUCUGGUAGAGAGACUAACUAGACAAGUUAAACAAAUCCUAGCUACUCCUACUCAGUCACUGGUUUAGUAGACAAACCAAUCUGUCACAAGUUUCAGCCAUAACUUAAGCAUCAGUUAGCCAAACUAAGCAAGUAAGCACUUUAUGGAAAGCAUAGAACAUUGUCUACAAUUCACUUUUAGACAUCCCAGAGUGAUUCCCAACUGAAAUAUGCUAAAACAUACAAAGUUGGCUGGCUGCUCUGGAAAAUCCAGAGAGCAAGCACUUCACAGCAGCUACUUGCAACAUACAUAACUUUUAAACUACUCAACCAAAUGUCAUGAAAUUUGGACACGAAGUAGACAAGCAAGUUAGAUACAAGUUUGUUGUAGACAAGUUUCCCAGAAAACAUCAUCUUAAAUCAGUUCUUAAGCAAUUGCUAUUAGCUACACAGGAUCACUCUAGGAAAGACAAAUAGCAAAAAUAAUAUUUUGCACAUAUUGAGAAUGUAUCAAAGGGACAAUCCAAUUGCACCAGUAGGUAGAACAUAUCUAAGAAACACCAGAAAACAUCAUGGCAAGGUCUAAACCCAUUUCUAUCAUCACCUUUUCUAUUUAUUUAAUUAUUAAGGUGAUUUAAUGAACCUGUAUUCCAAUUGUUCCAAAAAUCCUACGAAAAUUACAGCAAGCUACUUAUGCUAAUAUAAGAUUACUGUAAAAUUUUCAGAACAUUUGCACAUACAUAUUGGGAGAUACAAAAACAACAAGCUAGUAAAGACAUGCAAGGCAUAAAUGUGAAACCCUAUCAAAAAGUGUCAAACAACAGAUUUCAGAUUUUUCCUAGCUUUGUCUACAUGUGAGUAUAGCACUCAGCAAGUUUCACCACAAAAGGAGCUAUAACUUAUUUAUUAAAAAUACCACAAGAAACAACUAUUUAAGCAAGAUUUAUUUUUAACUUUACAACUAGGCUGCCAAAAAUCAUGAUAAAUUUAUCAGAGCCUAUUCAUAACCUUAGUAACAACAUCCUAAAUUUGCAUGACCAGCAGAUCAAUAGAUUUCAAGAUAUAAUUACCUCCUAAAAAUCCAAGAUUAAUUUAUAUCUAAUUAUUUCCACAAAAACAUGGCAUGUCUCAUAUUUUUAUUAAAAACUAGACUCAUACUGGAACCUAGCAAAAUUGGAACCCUGUCAUUUGGAACUAUAAAACUCGAGAUAUGAAUUUUUCAAAAUCAGCUCAGGAUCUGCAAAACAGUGAAUCAGAGAGGUGAGAGGGAGAGGCUGACACCCGGGACCCGCGCGUCAGAGAGACAGAGACAGGGGAGAUGCUCGUCGCCGGCGAAGCUCAACGACGACGAGGUCUCGGCCGGAUACAAGGGCAUCUACAUGUUCCUCUCAUCAAGGCGACUCGGUUGACCUACUUUACCCGCGCUCUACUGGACUCUAGGGUGCUCGCCGUCGGGAAUGGCGGAGCGGCGGCGAUACGCGGCGUUACGCCGGUGGAUCCAGGCAAUGGCGACGCGGUAGAGCUUCAUGCCGAGCAUCAGUGAAUCAAGGGGAAGCGAUAGGAACAAGAAUGAAGGAGAAAUGGUCGAGCAGAGAGGCCUGGCCACGUUGCCGGUGAGCUCGGGCGGAACUCCGGCGAGGGAGAACGGCUCGGAGCUCGGCAAUGGCGCCAUACCCGUGCUCGACAGUGGCCAAGGAGGUGACGCCGAGGUAGAGGACGUCGAGGCAGAGCUCUGGGCGGGUUGGCUUGGCCGGAGGCGCGGUGGAACGGCCGGAGAAGCUCGCCGAAACGCGGUGGAGCUCCCUGAGGCGACGGUGGAGCGAAAUGGGAGGCGUUGAGCGAGUGGAGGGCGCGUCUGAGGCGUCCACUCAGUGCGUGGCGUCUUGUGGACGACGUCGGGGCUGACAGGCGGGGUCGCCGUCGACGUACGGCCACCAGGUGGCCGGACACGCGGCGGCGGGUGAGCUCUGUCCAACUGAAUCGUUUUUCUGAAUCGGCCGAUUGCAGUGACUGAAUCCCGAAGUUCGUCGACGUUUUACUCUCAGCUCACUCGGUGGUUUUGGCUGGGAUUUGAUCCUCUGGAUAGAGCUACACGAGUUCUACAACUUUGAUUACACGAGCUCAGUCUAAAUCGGUCUGGAUUUCAAACUACAAGGCUCCCAACAACCCUACCUCGAAACUGUGUAAACCAAGACUUAGCCAAAUUCGGCUAAGUGUGAAAUCAGCCCUGAUUUUUGGCUUGUGAGCAAAUUUUGGAGGUGUUCCAAGCUUUUUCAUAAAAAGUCAUCAACAUAACUUUUGUAGCUUAGGGAAUUCUCUACAACUUUGUUUCAGGGGUCACAGACAUGCAAGGUAUCUAACAUUACUUUCAUAAAACAUCUUUGAAAGGAGGUUUAGGGGGUCAAAUAAGCCAUUCUAGGGUUAACCAUGACUUGGAAACAUUUUUAAACAAAACCUCCAACAGGAACUUUGUUCCAAAAGAUGUUCUAAACAUGAUUAAAGUAUUUUGGAAAGGAUUGCACACUCACAUGUAUUGGACACCCACUAAAGUCACUCAAAACAAGUCACACAAGCAAUUUAAUCACAUGGUACAUGUAGUAAAUGGCAUGUGAUCAUGGUAUGAUGCUCAUGAGUGAUCAUGAUGAUGCUUAUGUUGAUGCAAUGCUCAUGGGUAACAUGCAAGCUAACACUAGGAGUGUUACACUAAUCCUCUUGGGAAGACCAUUCCUCUAUACAGCUAAAGCCAACAUCUACAUUGUAUCAGGGCAUAUCUUCAACCUACCCACCGGAAAGGUACACUGUCAAUUUAGAACACUAUGUAACCGUGAGCAAUCCAGAAAGCAAUGCAAUAGGAGAAGACGUCAAGCCCGUCAUCAGGCUUCCUAGCCUCACUGCGGAUGGGAAGACUUCCCUGGCAAGAUUGUGAAAUAUGAAGAUUGCUUCACGGAACAAGAAGAGAACACACAAGAACCUCGAUGGAGUGAGUGGGCCGAAGAAGAUGAAAGGAUGGACCAGAUCGCCAAGAAAGAGAAAGACGAGAUCUUAGCCCGAUUAGAAGCCUAGGAAAAGGAGAACAAAGCUGAAGAGUUGGAACUAGAGAAGGAAGAAGCAAAAGAAACAGAAGCAAGAUGGGAGGAAGAUGCAUGUUGACGGUCCUUAAGUACUAAAAUUAACAAUCAAAUAAACAUGGAAAAGGAUCAACAUGAAACAAACGUCUAGAAUUAGGGUUUUAUCUGACAGAAUUUCACAAGCUUUGGUGUUUAUCUAUUUUUGCAGGAGGUUAUCAGAGAAUAUGGAGAGAAUGCCCACAUGUCAUGUUUACAAUGAGAUAAUUACGUGCCGCGCAAUUUUCCUCAAUCUAGAAGAGUCUAGAAGCCACGGGAACGAACGAGAACACGAUCGGGCUCGGGGGCAGGGCGCCUGCCCACCCCCCUUGGGCGCCCGCCCUGGCCAGGAGUUGGAUCAGGACUCUGUUUCUGGACUAAACUCCACUGACCUAAAGGAUGAAUCUAAACCAUACAAUCAAUGUCGGUUUGAUCCAACGGCCCAAAUUCACUUGAAAGGACUAUAAAACCAAGGCCUCUCCACCCCUGCAGGAGAGAGGAGAAGAGAAGAAAUCAUUAUUCAGAGGUAGCCAUCAAAGUUAGGGUUUAGAGCUUCUGUCCCACAGAGAAUUAGAAUUAGCUACUCCCUAAUCCUUCAAGUUUAGAGGUUUGAUUAGAUAGAAAUUAGAGAAGUAGAGCAAUACGCUCUGGAUUCGGAUCUUUGGUAAUAAAGAUUGGUAUUGUUCAUAUCUUUCUCUAAUUCUUUGUUCUAAUUCCAUUAUGUCUCUAAUUAUUAUGUUCUUAGUUUGCUCUAGUUCUAUAUUUGAUAUAGUUAUGAUUGAUAAUGAGUUUAUGUAUAAGUUUGCAAAGCGCUUAGCUCUUGACGCGAGGGAGUUAGGUGAUAGAUCACAUGUGAGCGUGGUGCUUAGAUGUUAUUUAUCUGCAAAUGUAUCCUAUUGGCCGGGUUGUGUGGUAGUUCGCGAGUGACAGCUUCGUUGAUUCUUAUAUACUCCACCCUCCGUUGAUAGGACAGGCAGAACCGGUAUUGUGGAGUAAGUCUUGCGAUGCUCUAAUUUACUUUAGCAAUGUUCCUUAUACAUGAAUGAAGAGUGUUUUAUGCUAUACAUGAUCUUGUAGAUAACUAGAGUAGAUUAUGACUUAGUAGAUAGUAGAUAAUUUAGAAUCCAUUCUCUAGCUAAUCCAAUGUCACCUACAUAUAUGAGGAGUAGUCUAUUUUCUAAUCGCUGUGUUAUCCCUUGAACUUAUAAUUCAUUAUCAUUAUCUUUAUGGUUUACCCCCUGCUAAAGUAAGUGACUGUGUGACGAGUUUCUCAUUAGUAAUCAUGUUCUUGCAAGUUUAUCUCUAGUCUAUGCCUUGAUAGGUUCUGUCCUUAUUUUAAUUUCAUCCCUUUUGUUCUCUUAAACAAAAUUAUAACUAACGAUACCUGGAAUACUUAUCCUGGUGAAAUGCUACAAUGAGGUGUUUUAUCUGUGCGCUUGCGGAUAGAAUAGAUUAUUUUCUAGAGAGCCUUUAUAUUUAUAAAUACCUUUGUACACUCUAGCACCAUGCUGGGGAUGACAACCUAGUAUCUAAGUGGUGUUAGCUAGUGUCAACAAGCAUUUCUGGCGCCGUUGCUGGGGAUCAAAAGGGUAACACAUAGGAACGGUACGAAAGUCAGGAAAACAGUCAAGGUUAUUCAUAUAAAAUAUUGGACUAGACUAUAGAGAAAUAAUUGCAUAAAACAGCUACUAAGUGAGAAAUCAUAACAAGGCACCUCUUCUUUGGCAGGUUCACCCUGUUGUUUUUCUAUGUUUAUAUUUUUAUACAGCGUAUACCAGGAUUGACUUUGGGUACAUUCAACUCUUCAUCAUCAAGACCAAAGCAAUCAAGAGAAGAAGCAGCUAGAAAUGUGUUCAUCAAUGACGAAUCACUAAUGACGCUUACUAUUUUCGUCACAAAACUAGGUCAUUCGAUGACGAAAUUAGUAGCUUCGUCAUGGUUGACAAGUGACAGAGCUUUGGCACGUAGAACAGUGAUGAAAAUGGAAACAACGUCACUCAUCAUCGAAACUAAAUCGUCAUAGAUUGUCUGGCCAGUGUCACUACCCUGAGGAGGGGUUGUGGUCCCACCAGUGGGUCCCAUGUUCAUGACAUGGCGCCUUGGUCCCACCUUUGUGUCCCACGUCGUUGACACAGGCACCACGGUCCCACCAGCAGGUCCCACCUCUAGUGACGUGGCGCCAUGGUCCCAUCGGCGGGUCCCACAAUCAUGAUGUGGGGCAUGGUCCUACCAAUGGGUCCCACGGGCAUGACGUGCCUUGCUAGCGAGCCGAUUCUACUGCACAGAGUUCCCCCUCUAGUUUUUAUUUUAUUUGGCAAAAAAACUAGCUCCAUGGGAGCUUGGAUCCCACGACCUAUUGCUUUGGGCACAAGUGAGUCACCACCAGACCACUCAGUCGUUUGUGUUGUAGUCUUGUAUGUUAAUUUAUUUGUUUAGUUAUUAAACCCAACUUCCUUUUUUAUUUCCAAAAAAUUUAAAAAACCUCUCCAAAGAGGUUCGAACCUAUGACCUGUUGGUUUAGAGGUUGCUACCUUUACCACCAGACCGAUAAAGCUUUUAUGCUCCUAUGACAAAUGUUAUUUGUACACUGAUUAUUUUUUUAAUCUGACCGAUGGGCCCUAUACCCAUGAUCCGUCAUCGGUGGAACACUUCUACGUAUGCGCGAGGUGCAGAGGAACCCUCGCGCGAGUUCAUUCCUGGUGGCUACACACUUGUAUUGGGUCCCCAGGUGAUCGCCGCCGACGCCGUGCAUCCCCAGCAAGUGAUCGUCACUGACAUCAUGCGUCCCAGGUGAUCGUCACGUGCGUCCUAGCUGAUUGCCGCUGUGUGUCUCCAUGUGAUCGAUGCCGUGCGGACCAGCUUGAAUUCUCGCAUGCGUCUCCUGGUAUUUUUCUUUUGUACAUGCAUGUAUAUAGGAAGAAUCUUUUACCUUUUCUAUUUUUUCCUAAAUGGCUAAAUUUAUGCCGAGUACAAGCAUAUGUGUGAUUAGUUUUAAAAUUUUAUUUUUGUGUAUAUAUAUGCAUGUGUAUGUGUGAUUUGUUUUGAUUUUUUUACAUAUAUACAUAUAUGCAGCAGCGGGCGUGCGUGGGAGAGUGUUCCGCCAGCUAGCGUGGCAGUGUAGCGACCUAUCAUGGCGGUGCAGCGGCGGCAUGCGUGGGAGUUGCUAGUGUGGCACACUAUAAGAAAUUGGAAUUGCCUUGGGGGCCCCAAAUUUCCUUGAGGGCCAAAAACAAACCGCCAAGAAAAUUACAGAUUCCUUGGCGGUGCUACUCCAAACUUAAGGAAACAUAUAUUCCUUGGAGGUUUACAUCUCUCAUAUAGUUACAAAACUAUGUGAGAGACGUAUCCAUUUUCAAUACACCACAGCCCAACAUUAGCGUCGGUUGGGCGACGUUAAAAAUGCCAAUAUAACGUCGGAAGGUCGGACGUUAAAGAUUACUCACGAACUGUCCGACGUUAUAUCUCAUUUUGGCGAUACACCAUCCGACGUUAAAUAUAUUUGGCUUUAACGUCGGACGGUUUGUCCCUAUAUCCUACUUUUAACGACCCACUAAGCAUCGCCACAAAUUGACAGCCCUCUCGCGUGCGGCAUUUUGGCCCACUUCCCACCCAACUUAUAUGUCACUAGUACACAUAUGAUUUCUCUUGGCGGUGGCCUUUUAUUUCUAUAGGCAAUUUCUCUUGACGUUGGCGAGUAGAAAUCAAACGGUUCUGAACUGCCACUAAAAUUAAUUUUUUUCAAGUGGCGGUCCCAUAGAAAUAAUUUAAAAUUGAUUUUUUUUUGAAUUUUUCAAAUGGCCUCGUAUGAAAAAACCAACAAAAUGAAAGUUAUAGAUCUUGAAAAGUUAUAAAACUUUAUAGUUGACAUCUUUUUCUUUGGAAUUCAUUUAGGGUCUCAAAUUGAUUUAUGCUCGAUUUUGGAUAAUAUAUGGGGCCUCAAAUUGAUUUAUGCUCAAUUUUACGUGACUAGUGUGUCAGAAUUUUUUUUCUUAUUUUUACAAACCGAUUUACAUUUUGCUAGAGUGUGGCCCAUGUGUCAGAACAAAAAAAAGGAAGCCCACCAUUCCAGCCUGCCGUUCCUGCAGCCCAUUUGGUUAGCCGCUCAUCCCUUUCCCAAACCAGACACGCACAGACCACACAGCGCCGCCAAUCCACCCUGCUCGACCGAUUUCACGAAGAGGAAAAGAAACAUGCCGUUGUCAGGCGCGAGCUGCGUCCCCUGCCGCCGCUGCGACGAACCGAGCCAUGCAGCCGCGCCCUCCACCGCCCUGCAAACUUGCUGUGCCCUCAACUGGACUUCUCCAUCCCAACAGGCGAUCUAGGCUUGCUUCUCCCUGUCGGCAAACCCUAACGACGCUGGUGACCUCACCUCUCCCCUUCCUUCGUCCCCCGUAAGUGACCUUGGUCUCCAUCUUGUGCAGUGCCCCCACCUCCUCUGAGUUCAUGCGGAUGGUGCUCCAUCCCCUCUGGUUCCUCCAUUUUACUAAUUGAAUCAUGGAUUAUAAUUUCCUCUAUUGCAGCAGCAGGUUGUAGUCGUGGUUGCCUGAGGUGCACAAGAAGAAGGUGCUCCUUGGAUCUUUGCCCUAAGAAAAUCCGUAGCAGUUACAGGCGCCUCCUCACCAAACUCGUGGAUUAGACUGAGCAGUAUCAGGUAAAGCUCUCAACCACUUCACUGAAGUUGUUGUUGUUUGUCUUGCAUGGAAACUUAUGCUGAAUACAAUUGACGAUAUGUAUGCACAAUGUGGUUGAAUUUGAUGUCAUGAUCUAUUAUUGUGUUUAUAUUUUUAGAGUCUGUUUGGUCAGCUUCUGGUCCCCCCUAGUAAAGUCUGAUGGAUAUCUGAUGUAUGCACCUCUCGGUUGGUUUUUUUUUCUGAACAUGCCUUGGCACAUAUUUUUUAGUGCUUUACAGUGACUAUUUAUUCGGACAGAUGUCAAUUGAUUGAAAGCUACUUAAGAGGUAAGUCCAAAUUCAGUUCCUUUCCCCUGACGACAAGAGUCUGUUCAAAGAACAGUGAAUGAGAUAGCAAACUCUGUUUGUUGAGUGCUUUCACUUGAAUACCAUUCAAAGGAAAGUUCAUUUAGUUCAGAAAAAAUAAGAAUCUAUAAUCAGAAUAAAAGAAGAAAUAUCUCUCUUAACAAUGUCCUCUUUUAUUAUAAUCCAAUUUGAUCAGCCCACACAACAUGAUUAAAACAGUAGCCAUCAACAGCUAAAGUUGUCUAAUAAUAUCUAAAGUGGCCUAUGUCUGUCGUUAUAUCUUUUAUAUAACGUCGAGUGGUCUGACGUUAAAGUUUUUUAGCGUCGCCAGUAUCCAUGUCUGAUAUAUCUGUCCUUAUAAGUUUAUAACGUCAGACCGUAAGUCGUUGAAACAGCUUAUAACAACCCACCAUUCGACGCUAUAUUUAGGCUGUGGUGUAGUCUUUAUUAACAAUGUAUAUUACCACUUUGUUUAAAUCAUUUAAUUUUUUUACAAAUAUUAUACAUCAAUACCAUCCUGUCAUGCAAGUUUGCAGAAUUUUCUAACAAAGUUUAGAUAUUAUUAUAUAUUAUCUUAUGGUAGUUUGGAGACACGACUAUGAAUUAUCCCAAGCAAACAAAUAAUUUUUUUGUCUAUGUCCAAUAUAUUGUCUUCAAUGAAACAUAUGAUCUGCAGGAGAUGUAUCAUUAGUGCUUCCCUGUGUGACGUUGCUGGCAAUUUACUCAGGGUAUAUGUAUUAUCUAUGUGACUGUUGCAUAAUCUAUUCAUAUUAAAUCUUUAGCUCUAUUGUUAUGUAAAACAUGCAGUCCUUUUGUCUGUGCUUCCACCACACUAUCUUUAAAUAUCUGUAUAACUUAUUUUUUUUAUAGAGAUGCUCAUGUUAGAAGCAGCUAAAGCUACAACAGUGACUCAGAAAAUGUGAGCAGAUCUCAGAAAAUAUAUUCCUCUCAUGUUUACCUCUUAGUAAAUAAAUUUGAACUGAUCUGACUCAGUAUACAUAAGGAUCUUUGGUUCGAUCUAUGUGAUUAUAUAGUUGAACUGAUCCUCUCAGUAUACAUAAGGACCAUUGUUCUCUGAAGUUUGAACUCUGAACCAAGCAUGACUUAUGGUCAGUAGAAGUACUCAUUCAGAGUUCAAAAUAAACUUCAAUUCAUUCUCAAAUUAGCUACAAGUAUUAAGCCACUAAUUAAUCUAUUGCUCAUUACAAUUAGUUAUUAAUUUUGAUAUUUUCUUGCCAGAUUACUUUUCUGUCUAUUGGUAGCAGUAGUAUCGUUAGUUGUUAUAUUCUUUCAAGUACAUGUUGUCUGAUAUUUCCUCCUCAGAUUCAUGCAACAAUUAACAACUAAUUGGUGUUUUAGGUCAAUAUGGAAGCUUUGAGAGCAGAACCUGUUGGUGAAGGUGAGACAGAAGUAUCUAGUCUGUAGGUUGUGUCCCAAGUGCUCUCUAAAAAUAGCUCAAAUGUUUUUCUCAGAGUGUUGGCAUCAAACCAGUGUCAUCCUCCAAAUCAUUCACAUCAAAUGAAAGUGAGCUUCAGGAGCAACUAGCAGCUGAAGCUAAGGCUGCUGUACAAGGUGAGCUCGACGAUCUCAAGAGAAGAAGUGAAGAAGCUGAGGAACGGCUGGCGAGGACAUAGACAGAGAUGGAGGAGAUAAAGUAGCUGGCAGAGAUGAACAACAAGGUAAUGGAGAAGAACAAUGCGCUGCUCAAGCAUAUCUUGUCCAUCAACAAUGCUUCUUCGACAUGAGAGCUGCUCAGCUGCUGGUAGUAGGACUGACUAGGACUAUAGCUGCUGCUGCUUGGCAUCCUGUUGAUUUUGAUUUUGCAAUGACUUGUAUUUUGGUGGUUUGCAAAUGUUCUAUUUAAACCAAGUGUGGUGAACUAAGUUUAUGCACUUAUGUUGCUAGUGAACUGAGUGUAGUAGUGAUAAUUAAGUUAUGAGUAAUGGAUCUUUAGUUUUAUGCAUGUUUUCGGUGAAUUCAAUAUUUCUUGCAUUUUGAAAUAAAAUCAGCAGCUGCCACUGUGAUGAAAUAAUUAUUUUGUGAUGAUAUUAUAAUUCAGUCAGUGACGAAUUUAUAUUUUAAUCUAUGACGAAAAAUAUAUGCAAUCAGACCUGGACACGUGGACUAACCAGAGAAUGCCACGUCAGCAUGCCACAUGGAAGCCAUCGCAACACGACACGUAGCAGUCAGUCAGCACGCAACAUGGCAGCCACAUUAGCACGCCACGUGCAGCCAUGUCACCACGCCACGUGGCGGCCACGUCAGCAUGCCACGUGGCGGCCAUGUCAGCUGCCAGCAUGUCAAACGCCGUUUGGUAGCCUAACGGAUUGCCAUGCUAUGAUGAAAAGUUGGGCACAACAAUGACGAAAACGUUUUGUCAUGUAAUAAAAUCUCUUCAGUGACAACGGUAUUUUCGUCAUAGAAUGGGUCCUCAUCUAUGACAAAAAUUGCCAUUUCGUCACCGUUGUCAAUCAAUGACGCUCAUUCCAUGACGAACACUAAUUCGUCACUAAUUCGUCACAGAAGAAACUCUAUGAUGAUUUUGGUAUCUUCAGUGACGAAAGAGUAGUGUCAUUAAUAAGCACAUACCUAGUAGUGCAAUUGUUGAAGCUAUGGCACAGAAGACCCUACAAGAAUUCUCUGCUCCAAGCCUUGAGAACAUUCCAACUGGUCCAAGAUUUGCAGUAGAAGAAGGAGUACCCGAGUUCGAGCUCAAGUCAAGCCUCAUCAAUUUGGUACAAGCUACACAAUUCAGUGGAAAGGCACAUGAAGAUGCUAGUGCACACUUGCACAAUUUCUUAGAGAUUGGAAGCACAAUCCACAUCAACGGAGUUGACAAAGACGUCAUACUACUUCGCCUUUUUCCAUUCUCACUAGAAGGAAAACCGAGGAAGUGGUUCUAUAGUCAUCAAGAUAACAUCAACAACUGGACGAACUUGUCAAAUGCCUUUCUAUCAAAGUUUUUCCUUAUAGGCAAAACAACUACCUUAAGAGGAAAUAUUGUCAGUUUCCAACAGCAGAAGAUAGAAACCAUUUCAGAAGCAUGGGAGCAUUUUCAAGGAUACAUAUCAGAUUGUCCUCACCAUGGAAUGGUCACAUGGUUACUUAUGCAGACCUUCUACCAUGGAUUAACACAGAAAACCAAAGCUGGUUCCAAGAUGAAGCUCAACAAUGUCAUCAAACUGAAGAAAUACCAGAAGAAGUAAAUGUAUUAUCAACUAAGAUGGAAAAUUUGCUCCAUUGGAUUGACCAGAGGGCCAAGUUCAAAGAAGAUCAAAGGGCCAUUGAGACAGCAUACAAAUAUCAACCAACUUCGAGUCAACCCAAUAGCAAUGGUAUGAAUUGAGGUAACACUUUCAAGCAACUUUCAUUAAAAGAGAUAAUUGCUCAACAAACCAAAAUUAAUGAUGAAGUUAAACAAAGGUUAGAUACAAAUGAAUCAUCUCUAAAAGAUAUACACAAUAAAAUGGAUUUUCUACUAACUGCCUUUGAUGAGCAAAACAAUCUUAAUAAAAGGGUAGAGCUUAAAUUAAUAAAGCUAGCUGCUGCACUGCCUGUUGCUACUAACAUUGAGCAGGUAAAGAACAUAACUACUAGAGGAGGAAAAGCCACCAGAGAUCCCCCAUACCCAAAAGAGAAACAAAGAACAUCAGCACCAAUGCAACCAGCAGUGAUAGAAGAAGAAAGCCCAGUUGAAGCAGAAGAUCUGCUGCAACCACCAAGAACUGGAGAAAUGAGGCAAGAUUUUUACGACACCAACUAUUUGCCAUUUCCCAGAAGAAACAGAGGACUGCAGUCGGAUGAGCAGUUUGGUAAGUUUGUAGAGGUCAUUCAAAAAUUAUAUGUCAACAUACCUCUACUUGAUGCCAUACAGGUACCUACAUAUGCAAAGUACAUCAGAGAUAUUCUUAACAAGAAGAGACCACUGCCCACCACUGAGGUUAUCAAGCUGAUAGAAGAUUGUAGUGCGGCCAUCCUCAACAAACCUCCAAAGAAGAAGGAAGAUCCCGGAUGUCCCACUAUUGAUUGCUCGAUCGGAAACCAACACUUCAACAAUACACUUUGUGAUCUCGGAGCAAGUGUCAGUGUGAUGCCAGCAUCAGUCUACAAAAAGCUUGAGCAUGUGACCCUAGAACCAACAUCAAUGUGUAGCAGAACAAUGGGUUCGACACCCGUUGGGUAUCGCCGAGAACAUUCCAGUCAAGAUUAGAGAUUUCCUGGUGCCAGUAGACUUCGUGGUACUGGACAUGAGUCCUGACUCAAAAGUGUCCAUCAUCCUUGGAAGGCCAUUUCUGUGCACUGCCAAUGCCCACAUUGAUGUCGGGAAAGGAUAAUUCAAAUUCAACAUAAACGGACAAGAAGAACACUUCACAUUCAAACCCAGACCAGAGAGAGACUCUACAGUGAAGGAAGUUCAUGAAGAAGAACCACUAGAGACACUAUCUCCGGAGGAAGGUAAUUCAGAAGAUUAAAAGAUUUGGAGGUCCAGCUUGGGGGACCUAAAAAAAUCUCAAACCCUCACCGGGAGCUAAAUCGGUAUUUAUCCGCAUCGUUAAUUCUUGCAUAAUUAAUUCUUGCAUUAGUCAUAUUUAUCCAUAGCAUUAUUAUAAUAAUAAUAAGCCCCAUAUAAAAAAUAUUUAUGGUGUGUAACAACCCAUGUUUAUUAAUUAUUGUGUAGGCACAAAAAUAUUUUCCAUUAUCAUUAAGUUUCAAUUCUCAUAGAUUUUCCUGCAUUAUAUUUAAUUAUAUUAAUCUUCUAGAAGCAUGACCCACACUCCUUUUGUACUACAUGUCAUACACCACACCUCACAUACAUCCCAUCACAUUAUUUCAUCCACCAACAUAUCUCCACUAACCAGCACUUUUCCACCGGCCAACCACCACCCAUGAUCCAUUAUUUUGCGUGAGAAUUAAGCAAAGGAAGGAGUGGAGAAAGGGCAGCCAGAAUGGGCACCACAAGUGGGCGCCCGCCCACCUACCAAGGGUGCCCGCCCUGCCCCCUCUUCCUCCUAUAAAUAGCCACCUUCUACCUCCAUCUUCUUCACACAAACACUCCAGAAAACCACACAAGUUUCAUUUUCCAGAGAAGGAGCUCUUGUAGUGAAGUGAGAAGAGAGUAGAGAAAAAAAGAGUGGGAAAGAAGUUGGUAGUUUUUGAGUGAGAGAGUGAGUUUCACCUAGUAAGUAGUGAUCCCGCUGUCCAAAGCGGAAGUAAAAGUUAUUGAGGGGGAGGUUCUGCCAAAAUAGAAACUUGUCUUGAACGACUAACCCCUGGACUACUGACAUUCCGGACAGCUGACCACUAACAUUUUCUCUCAUAUUUUCCACUAGUUGUGUUUUUGCCAACUUUUGUUUACAGGAUGUUUAAGAAGGUAAAGAACGCAGGGAAGGCUCUCAAGAACAUUGGUACAAGGAGUUCAUCCCGGCACUCCUCACACCCAUCAGAGAUGAGCGUCGACCCGACACCCACACAAGCUCCGUCAUCUUCAUCUAAUCAGCAAGUCAAGGUCCUUCUCAAGAUAGGAGACCUAGGACUAAAGACCCGAAGGGAGAAGGAAGUCUAUCAGCAACUGAAGAACAAAGAUUUCAUUCACACCCCUACUCUUGGUCCAAUCUUACUACAAGAAAUAGGUAUGGACACUGAAUUCGACUUAAUUUUCCAGAUGUUAGGUUGGACAAAUUUUUGGAAUAUAACUGAGCUGGGUUCUCAUCUUCUCACCCUCGAAUUUCUUUGCACCUUACAAUAUUAUGAAGGGGGAAUUGUUUUUCGGAUGUUCAAAUAGGAGAUUAUGUUGUCUUGGAGAGAACUAAGCGACCAUCUCGGUUUCUCUUCAAGAUGCAUCCUGAACAUUGACUCCGAUUUACCCAACUUUGAGAGACACCAAUUUUGGAGAGAAAUAUCUAGAGAUAAUUUUUAUAGUCAAGACCGAACCAGUGACAUGGAACACCCCACUGUCAGGAUGUUCCACAAAUGGCUUGGGUACGAUCUUUUCUAUCGUGAUGAUAUUAGGAAAGUAAGAGUAGGAGAUUUGCAACUUUUAUAUGCUGCUAUUAAUAAAGUACCCACUUCACCUGUUACACUUUUAGUUUCUCAUUGGCUUAGUGUACCUAGUCUUCAGGGACCAGUAGGAUGUACUUCACUUAUCACUCGUCUAGCCUUUAAUCUUCAUCUGCUAGAAAACUCAUCGUUGGACUUCAUAGAUGAGUUAAGAAUCUAUCAUGGUUAUGACACAUUUAGACAAGCUCAGAUGCUAAAGAAAGAGGGGAAUAUAAUGUAUAUGCUAUAUGAUGAUAAAGGCAAGAUUCGGUUACCUAACCCGAACCUUGGCCUCUACGUUGUUCAAAAUUUUUUGAUUGAGAUUACAGCAACACCGGUGAAUCAAAGAGCUCCACAACGAGUGGCAUCUGAAAGGAUGACCACCCAUCGAGAACGCACCUGGUAUGGAGCUGAUCUCGGACCGGAAGAAGCAGCACACCUGCAUUAUAGCGACUACAACCCCCGAGUCCUUCGAGACCCAUGGGUUCGACAUGCGCAACCACAAGAGCCAACAGAGGAGACACGGCCCGAGAGCCAAGAUCACCAGUGGACAAACCCGCCUUUUCAAACGGGCAGGUACUCCACUGAUCCAUAUGGAGCUUCAGGAUCCAGACCUCCACCCCAAUUUGAUGCAGGAUGAUACUCCGACGCCUCCUACGCUUUCACGAAUGACUACUACCAAGAGGCCGGUGCUUUCUUCACCCGUACUGACAAAACUCUCCUCGACAUACAGAACACGCAAGCAGAACAUGGACGACUCCUAGAAGAGCCACAAAAAUGGAACCAGGACCACGCCACUGCAGUACAAGAGUGAGACGAGAGGUAAAAAUGGACAAGUGUCCGGAGUAGAAUUAGGGGUACAAAGAUGCCCACUUGAGUGGAAAAAAUGGACAUGUGUCCGACAGUAGAAUUAGGGGUAUCUACUACCCACCUGAAAAAAAGAGAAAAGAAAAGAAAAAGAUAGCCCAUGUCCUCUCAAAGCAAAGAUCAAAGAAGAGGAGAAAUAGCAAUAUGAGGAGCAAUGAGAACUAAGUUUUAUUAUCACUUAUAUAUUUUCACCAUCACUAUCAUUUACUCCACACAAAUGCACAUCUUGAUUUAAUUAUAUGCUGAGUUCCUUUGGAUCCAUGGCUCGAUUAGACAACAUUUGUAUGAGCUGUUUUUCACUCCUAUGAGCUCCACUUAAACAUUCCAUUAGUUAUAGGUAAGUGACAUUUUUGGUAAGGAUCCACAAAUACCAUAUAUAGAGAGACUUGAGAGAAUCAUUGUUGGGAACUCUGAGUUUUAUUUUUAACUUAUGGAAAAAAACUCUGGAACAAAGGUGAAGUAUAAAAAGGAGGAAUAGUGCUUGACUUAAUUAUUUUUCAAUUACUUAAGACUUAAGUGCAGGCACUAAGCUCCAUAACACUUCACUCUAAUCUGGAAGAAUUUGUAUAAAAGCAUGUGUGCCUGUCAGGAAAGAAAACAUCGAAGCAACUUCUGAUCCGUAUAAGUUUAGCUAUUUGCUCAGGGACGAGCAAAGGGUAAGCUUGGGGGAGUUUGUUGACGGUCCUUAAGUACUAAAAUUAAUAAUCAAAUACAAUCAAUGUCGGUUUGAUCCAACGGCCCAAAUUCACUUGAAAGGACUAUAAAACCAAGGCCUCUCCACCCCUGCAGGAGAGAGGAGAAGAGAAGAAAUCAUUAUUCAGAGGUAGCCAUCAAAGUUAGGGUUUAGAGCUUCUCUCCCAUAGAGAAUUAGAAUUAGCUACUCCCUAAUCCUUCAUGUUUAGAGGUUUGAUUAGAUAGCAAUUAGAGAAGUAAAGCAAUACGCUCUGGAUUCGGAUCUUCGGUAAUAAAGAUUGGUAUUAUUCAUAUCAUUCUCUACUUCUUUGUUCUAAUUGCAUUAUGUCUCUAAUUAUUAUAUUCUUAGUUUGCUCUAGUUCUAUAUUUGAUAUAGUUAUGAUUGAUAAUGAGUUUAUGUAUAAGUUUGCAAAGCGCUUAGCUCUUGGCGCGAGGGAGUUAGGUGAUAGAUCACAUGUGAGCGUGGUGCUUAGAUGUUAUUUAUCUGCAAAUGUAUCCUAUUGGCCGGGUUGUGCGGUAGUUCGCGAUAGUGACAGCUUCGUUGAUUCUUAUAUAGUCCACCCUCCGUUGAUAGGACAGGCAGAACCGGUAUUGUGGAGUAAGUCUUGCGAUGCUCUGAUUUACUUUAGCAAUGUUCCUUAUACAUGAAUGAAGAGUCUUUUAUGCUAUAUAUGAUCUUGUAGAUAACUAGAGUAGAUUAUGACUUAGUAGAUAGUAGAUAACUUAGAAUCCAUUCUCUAGCUAAUCCGACUUCACCUACAUAUAUGAGGAGUAGUCAAUUUUCUAAUCGCUGUGUUAUCCCUUGAACUUAUAAUUCAUUAUCAUUAUCUUUAUGGUUUACCCCCUGCUAAAGUAAGUGACUGUGUGACGAGUUUUUCAUUAGUAAUCAUGUUCUUGCAAGUUUAUCUCUAGUCUAUGCCUUGAUAGGUUCUGUCCUUAUUUUAAUUUCAUCCCUUUUGUUCUCUUAAGCAAAAUUAUAAAUAACGAUACCUGGAAUACUUAUCCUGGUAAAAUGCUACAAUGAGGUGUUUUAUCUGUGCGCUUGCAGAUAGAAUAGAUUAUUUUCUAGAGAGCCUUUACAUUUAUAAAUACCUUUGUACACUCUGGCACCAUGCUGGGGAUGACAACCUAGUAUCUAAGUGGUGUUAGCUAGUGUCAACAAUGCACUUACCGCAUCACCGCAAGACUGGGAGUUGACUGAGGUUACCUCAGAUAAUGAACCCACUGAGUAAGUCCUCUCUACUAUCUAAGUCCUAUUGGUAGACUUUAAAUUCCGUAUCCAAGCCAUAAGGUCAGAAUGGUAGUUAAGUUAGCAUGCAUUAGUAAUUUUGCUUUAAUACUCUUAGUAGCAUAUUUAAUUCUCUUAGCAUAUUAAUACAAAAUACAAACAAACAUUUACUGCUUUAAUUACUGCAUCAUAAAUACCAAAGCCCCAUGUAAAUAAACUUAUGUUUAGGAAUAUUUACUGUGGUGGCAUAAAAAAAUAUAAAAUAAAUAGCAUUCAUAUUUAAUUUCUGCAUCAUAAAUAGAAAAUUCAAAAAAUAGGAAUGUGAAAUCCUACUUAAUCAGACAACAUUAAAAUUAGCUCAUAAGAAUAAUCAAUUUCUCAUUGGUUGACCGCUAACUCAUUAUUAAAUUCAAGCCUCGAGUUUUGGUUUUCUUGUUGGAGUACUACUAUGCAGGAAUGACAUCAUAGCAAGGGGAGAGUCUAUCGGUGGCACCCAACAGGUUCAGCUCUAGUUAGCUCACUCUAAAGUACAUCUACACCAAGUAUUGCAAACAUCCAGCUUGGGGGAGGAGCAUCCCCUAGUUAUCAGGUAAUUAUACCUAAAUGAUUAUCGAGUCUAUAUAGUUAUAAAAAUAUCAAAAUAUGUGGGCACAUGAAGGUCCACAAGUCAUAGAGUCUUUUGUGAGUUUAUAAUUAGUUAAAUAUUAGAGUUUGUUUAGAAUCAGUCUAAGCUAGAACCAAAUAAAAAAUUGAUGAACAUUUGAAUUUUAUCUUGGAAAUGAUGAAUAGUUGCUCUAUUCUUUACAAGUACCUAGAUUCCAACAUUAAAUUUUCUUGAGUUUUAGGCAUUAUUGUUUUAAUUCGAAGAUUUACUUUAAACCUACAAUUUUUGGAAGCACAAGUUUGAGCUAAGUUUAGGUAAUUGGUUAUAUGAUCAUUGAAAGUUUGAGCUACUAUUUAUCUUAUUCCUAGCAUUACUAAGUUAUGGAGAUUUUUUUUGAAAACCUAAAAACCUACAUGAUGAGCUCUUGUAUGACAAAGUGUUAAUCCCUACCAAAGCCAUAUAUAAUAUACAUUUAGAAUUAGGAAAACAUUUGCAUGUUUAUGCUUCUUGCUUUGCAUUGAGUUCAGUCAACCUUUGUCGUAUACCUUAUGAGAGUCUUGUCAUGCUUUCUAAUCAAGACCACAUACACACUCCAGUUCAUAUAUGCAUUAUUCCUACACUGGGAGUAAACACCAGCAAACACCCCAUAGGAUAACCCUUGUCUUUAAAGUUCUUGUUGUUACCUCUCUAAUCAUUUAUUGUAUUCAAAGGAUACAUGUGGCUAUGCAAAAAUAUAAAAGAAGAAAAGGGAGUAAAAGAUGGACAAGUGUCCCAAUAAUUAAAACAAUGGGUACUAGGUGCCCACCUCCCUGUAUAAAAUAGUAAUAUUAAUAAUAAAGAUAGCCCAUGUCUUUCCUAAAAAAGUUUCAAUAGAGAGUUAUUCCCAAAGAAAUAUAAAUUAGCCACAAAUACCACAAAAACGCCAAUCCACCAUAUUCCAUACACAUGCACACUUUGGUUUGAUUGUAUGCCUCGAUUCUCUACGGAUCCAUUAGUUGACUUUACAAUACAUGCAUUGCAAGUAUGCUCAUCCUUGUUAUUAGCACUCCUAUAAGCUCCACCAUAUAUAUAUCUUUAGCUAUAGGAGGUAUAAAUGCCUCAAGAGAGAACCAUAAAUACCAUAUACAUCGAGAGACUAGAGGGUGUCAUACAAUUAAGCUCUGAGUUUUAUUCUGAAAACUUAUAAAAACUCUAGAAUAAUGGUUUGGAAAGAGUUUGAGACAUUGUGCUUGACCUGAUUGUUCUGUCUUUUGAUUGCUCAAGACUCAUGCAAAAGCUAUAAAGCCCCAUGGUUAAAGGUAAAAUGGGUAAGUUUGAAGAUUAGAGCAAGUAUUGACUAAUCCGGAGGAGAAUCUUUAUUUGGGAGCAUGUGUACUGGGAAAGAAUGAAAACAUUAUAGCAACUCUUGAUCCAAAUACAUAUACUGCUUAGGCUAAGUUUGCCAAGGGACUGGCAAAAGGUAAGCUUGGGUGAGUUGUUGACGAUCGAUAACGUCAACUUUUAUUAUAACUUUAAACAUGAAGGGGAUCAUGAAUACACACUAGUAUAGUGUUUAAACUAACAAUUUCCACAAGUUUGGUAUAUUCUAUAUUUUCCAGGGUGAAUUUCAGGAAAGCUGCAAAAGAGGGACUCUAAUGAAAAUCAAACAUGGAAACGUAUCCACCACGGGAAACAGCACUAGAGGAUUCAGCAAUACUCCGAAAGACACCCAACGCGAGGGGGGAGCCAGCGGUCACCAAGUGGGGCCGGCCAGCCCCACCCUAGCGUUGGCUGGCCCCCUGCUCUAGGGUUUGGUGCCCCCCUUCUAGAAGCUUCCUCCACCGCCUUUGGUUAAGUCGGUUUGCUCCGACGACGCACGCGACUCCCACUAGACUAUAAAUACGUGGGCAGACCCCUCCUAGAUAGACACCUCAUUAUUCAUCAAGGCCUCAAGCCAUCAAGCAUCAAGCCCCUUCAAGUUCAUCAAGAGCCUUCUAGUUCAUAGUUCUAGUUAGUUAGAUUAGAAGUAUAGGAGAUAUAGUUCUAAUCGAUCGUUGGGUAGAUGAUAGACAAUAUGUAGAUGUGGUGCCUAGAUAUCUUGUUUAUCUGCGAGUGCCCCCUGACGUGUCGGGUCGUGUCAUAGUCCGCGUAGGUGACAACUAUGUUGGUUCCUCUAUAGUCCACCUUCCGUACGUAAGGCUAGCAUGGGCACGGUCACAAAGGAGGUGACGGUUGCGUCUUAAAACCCUCAUUAGUUCAUGUCUCUUUAGAUGUAAUUGUGAUAUAGAGUUGACUUAACAAUGAUUUCUCAAUGUAAUUGCACUAAUUAGAGUUAUUCAUUGGCGUAGUUAUAGAAUUACCUUAGAUCCAAGUCCCUAGUUUAUCCAUUGGCUAACUAUGAUUUAUGACUAGUAGAUGCUCGGAUGAUUAUUCUUAUUUAUGAUACUUGAUGAGUAUGCUAUCACUAUUAUUUAUUAUUAUUUAUCUUGUGACCUCUGCCUGUUAUGAGUAGAUUAUAGGAAUUAGGUAAUGUCAUUUAUUUAUUCUUUUUAAUAUAAUAGAUAUAGUUUAACACCUAGCCUUCCUAAUGGUAUAAAUAUAAAUCGACAACCUGGAUACUUCCCUAGGUAAAAUGCUACUACGGUAUAAUUAUCUAUCUGCUUGUAGAACCCAUUUAGUUUACAAUUAUAAUCAUAUCUUUUAUUUCUACCUAGUCACAAUAGUACAUAUGAAUCUAUAAAUUCCUAGCAAUAUAAUUAGGGAUGACAACCUACUUCAUGUUUAGGAAUAUUAAUAAAGGAAGUGGCUAGUUGCUAAUUGACAAGUUAAUUAUAUACCGUGCAUUUCUGGUGUUGUUACUAUGAGUAGAGUUUAUCUCUGUUUUUAGUGAUGACGGUAGUAAAUGUCAACAACCACAUAUGAGAGAUGGGAAAGGGUCAUACAAGGAAUCUAUAAGUUUAAUUUGAAAAUCUUGCAAAAACUCUAGAGUAAUAGUUGAUCAAAGAGCGAGUGGCAUAGUGCUUGACUUAACUAUUCUGUCUUUCAACUGAUCAAGACCUAAAUGAUAGCUAUAAGCUCCAUGGUAAAAGCUAAUAUAGGUGAGUCUUGAGUUAGAAUAGUUCACUCUAAUCUAGAGGAGAGUCCUUGUUUGAACGCAUGUGUACUUGUGAGGCAUAAAAGUAUUGUAGCAACUCCUGAUCCAUCACUGAGUCUAUCUUUGCUCAAGGAUGAGCAAAAGGUAAGCUUGGGGGAGUUUGUUUACGGUAGAUAAGUACUCUUUUUAACCAUCGACUUAGCAAAAUAAAGGACUAAAAUCAAAAUAUCAUAUAGCUAACAGAAUUCCACAAGUUUUGGUGACUGUCUAUUUCUGUAUGGGUUUAUCGGAAUAAAGACAAAAGGAGGUCCACAUGUCAGAUUUACAUAGAGAGAAUACAUGAAACGUCAACUCAGGAAUACUCUAGAAGACUUGGGAAGACACCACCUGAAAGGUGGGGCCCACCUGCCAUAGGGCAGGGGUGGGUGCACCACCUUGUCAUGGGCGGCCGCCCGGAGGGUUCAGCCAAUGAGGGUGAACCUCGCGGAUCCUGCCUCCACCGACUUUGAUGAUUAAUCAUGAGCGCAUGUUUAAGUUGGUUUGAUCCAACGGCUGCGGUGCUUCCUAGGAGGCUAUAAAUACAAGCCUAACCCCCCUAGAAACCCUAAUUCAUAUAGAAGAAGUCAUUUAGACAGAGAGGGGUCCCUCGAAUAGAUCUGUCUCUUUAGAGCCACAUCUCAAUUAGAGCUCUAUAGUUUUAUAGCAUAGGUACAUAGGAAUAGAUCUAGAAGGAGUCAAGUUAAUCUUAGAGUCCGGAUCUAUCUUCAGUUCUUGGUAAACGCUUAUUCUUCUUUGUUAUAUUUAUAUUAAUUCUUGCUACUAUGAAUAUGACUUUGAUCUACUUGAUUAUACCAGAAUUGACUUUAUUCUAUUUGCUUAUGUUCUCAAUUAUAUUGUUAUUAGUCUACUUUGAUUAUAUGCUUAGUGUAGUUAGAUUAGAAUUAUGUUUAUGCAUAGGAUCAUAUAGCGCCUACUCAUUAGAUCAAUGGGUAAGUGGUAAAUAUUGUGUAGGUGAGGUGCCUAGACCGUAUUUAUCUACGAUUACCCCUUAUAGUCCGGAGCUUGAGGUAGAUCGUGGGAGUGAUAGUCCUAUUGAGUCCUCUAUAUUCCUUCUCCCGAUUAUAAGGAUUGUUGUCGGUGUUUUGACCCCAGGGGGUGACACCAACGAGUGAAUUUGUGUGCGUGCUCCCUUUUCCAGAUGGCGAUGCAAGAUUGACAUAGAGAUUUAUCCUGGUUCGGGCAAGAGAAGGCCCUACGUCCAGCGGGGGUGAAGACUUCGUAUUAUCUUACACAUAAGUGCUUGUAUAGGGGUGAAUACAAGUGGAUGUGGCCAAGGGUUCUAAGUCCUAGCCGAUGGUGGUGUGCGGAUCGUAUUCUACGAGUUGUGUGUUGGAUCUCUCCUUUUUUUGUGUGUCGUCCUUAGCGUCCCCUUUUAUAGUUCCAAGGGGAGACCUAAGUUACAGGGUGUAGGGAUUAGAAUAAGCCUCGAUAGGGCUAUGGCGCGCUGACCUACUCGAGGCCUCCGUACCGGCGUGGCCUCGAGCCGUCUUGUUACAGGGUACUUUGGUGAUGAUGGCGCGUGCGCUCCUGAAUUCAGCUCCUGUACAUCGUCUUGGAUUGGCUUAGGUGCAUGCACGCUUGCACGUUGUGGCAGUAGUCACGUCUGGGGUGGUUGAAGCACUGACUUCAAUCGCCUGAUCCUUUCCAGGGAAGGAACGCAUCUGCUCGAGGGUCGGGUCGCACGAGCGGCCUUGCUGUGUGGGAUCGCUGACUUCAUGCAUCUCGAGGGGUGCCGUGAUGGGAUAUCACGUCUGCCAUACUGUGUCGGGUCGUACCUUUAUCCAUCUGGGGGACAAAGCUGGAAAAAGUGGAGAUUUGACGGGUGCUUGCUCCUCUAUCACGCUUCCCAUGACUGUCGGGUUAGGUGGGAGCUUGGCAGACACAUUAAAUGCCCUGGCUUCCGUACCCAUGACAGGCAGCAGAGGACACUUUUGCGCUUGAGGCUCAUUGAUUUGCUCGAGCUACUCCAUUAUUUGAUGGUUGCUGGCUAUCGAGCCCCUAUCAAUUCGUAGGACCCUAUUUCCGUGUUCGAGGCCACGAUCGACAUCGAGCCCUGGUGAUUGCGUAUUUAUGUCGGAGCGUCGAGUCAGAGCCUCGAUUUGUUUUUGAAUCCUCUCGUUAUGAGUAUUGGCUGGGAUACCCCUAUUGACAUCCUCGACAGUAGCCCCCGAGCCUCUGUUCGAGCACUUGUGUUCGAGCAGAGGCUAUUCUGAUGGUCGAGUUUCCGUGGGGGUCACACGAGUGACCCCCGCAGGGGUAGCCUCCGAGCCCUUGGAGGAGUCUUGGACUUCUUUGAGGGCUGUAUUGCUUUUUUAGAUGCGACUGCUCUUGAUGUUCCUUUUCACCAAAGGGCGUUUGUUCCAGAAGGGAGCCUCCGACCCUCGUUGGUCGGACUUACCUUAUCAAGGCUAGGAGCGUGACGUACUCCUAGUGGAGCGAGUGUCAUUGUCCUGGGUGAGCUCCUAUCGGGUAAUCUAAGCGCGAACCCACGCCCCGUUCGAGGGGGUUGGCUGCAGCCCGGGGCGUUCUCAUUAAAGCUAGGCUAGCGUGGUCGGGGAUACCGGUCUCGUUCGAUAGAGUCCAGCGGCUCGACGCCUCCCUCCGUGGGGAUUCCUCUCGACCUUCUUGCCCCUGCCUUGGAUACCCCUAGCGAGUUCUCGAGGCAGGCCUCGUUUUCGACCCCUUGCUGGGCGCCCUUGACUCUGGUACUCGAGGGCGACCGUCGAAGCCGUCCGGUGGGUCGGUCUGCGCUCCCUCGAGAUUCUUAUGGCGGCGCGCGCUUGCCUUACCUUGCAACGGAAGGAAGUGUCAUGGCAGUUCUUUUUCUUGCCUGUUGGGUGCACCUUUUUAGGAGGGAGUCAUUGCGGCACAGUUCCGUUUGUGGAAUCCGUAACGUCCUGUCAGGGAGAGAAACAAGACCGUUAGGUGGCGCAUUUAUUGAGGAAGUUACCGCAUUUAUCGGAUCCGCUCGUUGGGGGGCGUCUAUAAAUAUUGAGGCAUUGCCUGGCUGUUGUUUCUUCUGCAUCCUGCCAUUGCACUCGCCCCUACUUACUUUGCAUUUUCUCGCACACUUGAAGCACGAUACACCCUCGAGCGGAGCGAUCCAUAGAGCCGCCCUCCACCUUCCGCCAAGAUGCCUAUGAGACUCAUCGCCGCUGACGAUUAGCGCCCGUCGACCAUGAUGGAGCACUGACUGAGGGAUCUGGAGAAGGAGGGGCUCCUGCGCCCCCGUGCUUCCUCGAUGCGGCCCGAGUGGAUCGCGCCGCCGGCGGAUCAUCGGGAGCCGAACCCACUUGCCAAGGUUACCGGGAUCGCCGGCCGCUAAAGUCGGGCUUUAUUCAUGCGACAAGAGGUGGCUGGUAGUAGAUUCCUCUCCUCAAGGGAGUCAUAGGAGAAGCUCCUUAAGGCAUACAAGGAUCUUACCGUAGCUCUGGAGGAGAAGAAGGAGAAGGAGGACGCUCUAACUGAUGCUCGGAAGACCCUGUCUAGUAUGAACGGCAAGGUCUCCUGGGCGGAGGAAGAUGCUCAAGUCGCUCGAGAGGCCUCAGAGAAGGCAAAGGAGGAGGCUACCCGGUCAAGGGAGUAGGCCGUCUCGGCCGAGGAGGCGGCCGCUAAGGCAUAGUAGGAAGGUGCACAAUAUAAGGAUGGAGCCGCCGAGCUAGACAAGGAGAAGAGGCUCGUGUAGUCGGACCUUGCCGCCGCUCAGAGCGCUUAUGGUGGGGUGAAGGAGGUACUCCUAAUGAGCGAGAUCACUCGAGGCGCCGCGGAGGAGGCCAAGAAGAAGGCCCGUGAGGACCUCGAGGCAGUGCAGGCCAGCUCUCACAGGCUUUCCAUCGACAUUGAUCGUCUAAAGAAAACACUUCGAGAGAAAGAGGAGGCUAUCCUUCAAUUGAGCAAGAUGAUUGAGGACCUGCGGGUCAAAGAGAUGGAGCUGGCUCACUCCUACAAGGAGAUCGAGAGGGCCAACACCAACCUGGUUGGUGAGAAUACAGCUCUCGAGGAGAAGAUCCGUGGAAAGUCUUCUGUGCCCUUGUGCUUCUUUUGUUUCUAUGACGUAGCUUUUCUCUCGUCUGACUCCUUAUCUCAAUUCUGCAGGGCUUAAGGACGAUCUGCUAGCCGCCUAGGUCGACGCCCAGUCUUCUAAGGCAUGGCUUGAGGGGGAGGUCGCCCUAACUGGCCGACUAAGGACUAUGAUAAACGACCUCUCGACCUCCUGGGAGCUCGAGCCUGCAGAUGAGGCGAGGGAGGCAGCUCGAGGCGACACCCUGGUCAACUAGCUGUGCUACCUAGGCGCCACCCUAAGGGACCGGGUGCAGGACGCGCUCCAUACUGGGGUGAAGCGGGCAAUGGUGGUUGUCUGCUCGGGCUUCUCCUAUGACAUGGAUGUAGUGUCCCAUGGUUUCAUCACUGACCUCCAAGACCGACGCUGAAAACGAGGAGAGGCUCCAUGCCUUGAUCGACGAUGUGGAGGUUCCUGGUGAAAGGUUGGCGAAGCUGUUCGAGCCAGAGGUACUACCUCCGGAGACCAGCGCGGGCGCAGAAGACGGUGGUGAGAGUAGAGAUGAGGACUAAGGCCUGCGAGCCUAAUUUGGGUACUUAGACCCAUUGUAAUAUACUUUAGCGUUUAAACAUUGUGGCCUUUGUGGCCUUAAGAUUCGUAUUUUCUGUAUGUUCUUGUUACUUUUAUGCUCAAGUUUCCUUUGUUUCAUUUGCUGCCUAAGUUUGUAUUCCUCGAUCGAUCUUUUGUUAGGACAACCUCGACUGCCUCGAGGGUAAGGGAGUGAGUAGAGUUACCAUAGCCCGGGGGUGUAGGGGUUCUCAGGCUCGACGUCCCUCGGCCCUUAAGGGGCUUGAGGUGCCUUUACUACUCGAUCGUGUGAGGUUUCUUUAGUUCUUAAAAGGAAAAAGGUAGCGUUGAGUUUUUGAAGAAACCAUUCAGUUUUUAAGAGCUUGUGGGGGGGGUCCCCUGUUAGCCCUCGAGGGAGUGUCAACUAUUGUAACAGAACCAUCAAAUUUAUAAGAAUUCAAGUGAAUUAGCGACCAUGGAGGCAGUCAAGCCAAUGGAAUUGAACCCAUGUAAACCCGGUAGUCCGACGAAAUCUCAGAAGACCUCGAUUCAACCAACAUACAACCAAGAUCGUACAUGAUCAAGCAUCACCAUCACAGAUUACAACAUUCAUCAUAGAACAUAGUUUUACAUCACAUCAGAGCUUAAAAGUGGUUAUUACAAACCAAAGCAGUAGCGGAAACAAAGUAGUUUUUAAACAACACCAACUCAGUUUAUAUUACAUGCCAGUUUCAUGGUCAAGUCCCAACAAAAGCACAACUGAAGGUAGAGAAGUGAUCAUGCCCAUGAUCUAUUCAUCAUCGGCAGCCGGGUGAUGGCAGUUAGCGCAAUAGCCGUGAUAAACGACAUCAUCUACAACAGGGGUAAAUAAAACCCUGAGUACGAGAAUGUACUCAGCUAGACUUACCCGUCAUAAACCAAAAAUAAAGUGACACCAAGGAGUAUGCAAGGCUGAUCUUUGUGGACUGGUUCGACUCACCUUUUUGCAUAAAAAGCUUUAGUAGAAAGAAACCCAUUUAUCAAAUUUCAGCAGCAGGUUUAUUACUUACAACUAUCCACUAGAUUAGCACCUGAUCUAAGCAUACACUUGAGUAUUUAAACAUCACAAUAAUGACCAUAUCCAGAUUUUUACAUAGCUAUCAUCAUUCUCAUCAUAACCAUUAAGUUUAUUUAGUGAAUUCUAGGUUGCCGCUGCCCAAGUCAAGUUCACUAUCCGGGAGAGACGGCGAUUCGAAUCGAUUCCUAUCCAGCUGGAGGAGUAUUCCUAACACUCACCCAAGCAUACUUCAUGACGGCAGCUCGGAUCACCUUUAGCACAACUUCGGACCAAUUCGUGGGUCCGUACGGCGCCGCACCCCCAGGGACCGCCAAUGUGCCAGGGUCAGGACUCUAACCUGACACAUCGGUCUUACGCCAUUGACUCCCCGCACAUCCUUACUACCAACCGGGGUGCGCACUUUAACCAGAUCGGGGUAUCCGGCCGGAGUUGCACUCGUAGGCUUCGCGGUCGGAACGACUUAUCCGUCCAACUAAGUGAUAGGCAUGCGUUCAACAUGACACGGGGACGUACAGCGAUUCGGUCCUUAAACGACACAGACGGGGAUAGAUUCACACCCAAGACCUCCAUGCCUUGUUGCUGCACUAUCGUCAUCCCGCCCGGUCUCAAGUUCAUUAUUAGCAUCUGGUUAUUUCCACGAUAGCAAUAUAGCCAACCGUGAUCAUCAUCCACCUAACUCUCGCAGGUGACAGGAAAUCACCCGGCUUCUACCGAGCUAAACAUGGCUAAGCAUCACUUCGAUCCUGGACCUACUUAGGUGAGGUAUGAGGUGGACAAGGUAGUCAUUAUGCAGCAAGGGUGUCAUAUCAACGCCUACCACUUAAUGCAGCAAUAUAUAUAACAAUAGUCAAAUGAUAGCUGAACACGAAUAAUAAAAUAGUAGGAGGCUUAUAAUGCUCCGGGGCUUGCCUUUGACGUAAGUAGAAGGACGGUGAUCAGGGCACUCCGGCAAGUCCUCCUCCUCCUCAGCUCCUUGAGGUAGCUCCCCUUGCUGUCCUUCCGACGCUGGCAGCUCGAACUCCAAAACAGUCACGCCCUUGGGUACACCUAUGUAUGCAUGACAAGGACAUGAAUAUCGAGAAUGCACAUAUGAUGCAUGAUGUCAUGGUGAAGAGCCAAAGGGACAUAAAACAAGGUAUAACAUGAGCGUAAACUUCUGAGAGUAAGUGAAUCAUGGAAUAACAAGUAAGUGCAUACUUCUUCUCUGGUAGAGAGACUAACUAGACAAGUUAAACAAAUCCUAGCUACUCCUACUCAGUCGCUGGUUUAGUAGACAAACCAACCUGUCACAAGUUUUAGCCAUAACUUAAGCAUCAGUUAGCCAAACUAAGCAAGUAAGCACUUUCUGGAAACCUUAGCAAAUUUUCUACAAUUCACGUUUAGACAUCCCAGAGUGAUUCCCAACCAAAAUAUGCUAAAACAUAAAAAGUUGGCUGGCUGCUCUGGAAAAUCCAGAGAGCAAGCACUUCACAGAAGCUACUUGCAACAUACAUAACUUUUAAAAUACUCAACCAAAUGUUAUGAAAUUUGGACACGAAGUAGAUAAGCAAGUUAGCUACAAGUUUGUUGUAGACAAGUUUCCUAGAAAACAUCAUCUUAAAUCAGUUCUUAAGCAAUUGCUAUCAGCUACACAGGAUCACUCUAGGAAAGACAUAAAUAGCAAAAAUAAUAUUUUGCACAUAUUGAGAAUGUAUCAAAGGGACAAUCCAAUUGCACCAGUAGAUAGAACAUAUCUACGAAACACCAGAAAACAUCAUGGCAAGGUCUAAACCCAUUUCUAUCAUCUCCUUUUCCAUUUAUUUAAUUAUUAAUGUGAUUUAAUGAACCUGCAUUCCAAGUGUUACAAAAAUCCUAAGAAAAUUACAGCAAGCUACUUAUGCUAAUAUAAGAUCACUGUAAAAUUUUCAGAACAUUUGCACAUACAGAUUGUUAGAUACAAAAACAACAAGCUAGUAAAGACAUGCAAGGCAUAAAUGUGAAACCCUAUCAAAAGUGUCAAACAACAGAUUUCAGAUUUUUCCUAGCUUUGUCUACAUGUGAGUAUAACAGUCAGCAAGUUUCACCACAAAAGGAGCUAUAACUUAUUUAUUAAAACUACCACAAGAAACUCCUAUUUAAGCAAGAUUUAUUUUUAACUUUACAACCCAGGCUGCCAAAAAUCAUAAUAAAUUUAUCAGAGCCUAUUCAUAACCUUAGUAACAACACCCUAAAUUUGCAUGGCCAACAGAUCAAUAGAUUUCAAGAUAUAAUUACCUCCUAAAAAUCCAAGAUUAAUUUAUAUCUAAUUAUUUCCACAAAAACAUGGCAUGUCUCAUAUUUUUAUUAAAAACUAGACUCAUACUGGAACCUAGCAAAAUUGGAACCCUGUCAUUUGGAUCUAUAAAACUCGAGAUAUGAAUUUUUCAAAAUUAGCUCAGGAUCUGCAAAACAGUGAAUCAGAGAGGUGAGAGGGAGAGGCUGACACCCGGGACACGCGCGUCAGAGAGACAGAGACAGGGGAGAUGCUCGUCGCCGGCGAAGCUCAACGACGACGAGGUCUCGGCCGGAUCCAAGGGCAUCUAUGUGUUCCUCUCAUCAAGGCGACUCGGUUGACCUACUUUACCCGCGCUCUACUGGACUCUAGGGUGCUCGCCGUCGGGAAUGGCGGAGCGGCGGCGCUGCGCGGUGUUACGCCGGCGGAUCCAGGCAUUGGCGACGCGGUAGAGCUUCAUGCCGAGCAUCAGUGAAUCAAGGGGAAGCGAUAGGAACAAGAAUGAAGGAAAAUGGUGGAGCAGAGAGGCCUGGCCACGUUGCCGGUGAGCUCGGGCGGAACUCCGGCGAGGGAGAACGGCUCGGAGCUCGGCAAUGUCGCCUUACCCGUGCUCGACAGUGGCCAAGGAGAUGACGCCGAGGUAGAGGACGUCGAGGCGGAGCUCUGGACGGGUUGGCUUGGCCGGAGGUGCGGUGGAACGGCCAGAGAAGCUCGCCGAAACGCGGCGGAGCUCCCUGAGGCGACGGUGGAGCGAAAUGGGAGGCGUUGAGCGAGUGGAGGGCGCGUCUGAGGCGUCCACUCGGUGCGUGGCAUCUUGUGGACGACGUCGGGGCUGAUAGGCGGGGUCGCCAUCAAUGUACGGCCGCCAGAUGGCCGGACACGUGGCGGCGGGUGAGCUCUGUCCAACUGAAUCGUUUUUCUGAAUCGGCCGAUUGCAGUGACUGAAUCCCGAAGUUCGUCGACGUUUUACUCUCAGCUCACUCGGUGGUUUUGGCUGGGAUUUGAUCCUCUGGAUAGAGCUACACGAGUUCUACAACUUUGAUUACACGAGCUCAGUCUAAAUCGGUCUGGAUUUUAAACUACAAGGCUCCCAACAACCCUACCUCGAAACUGUGUAAACCAAGACUUAGCCAAAUUCGGCUAAGUGUGAAAUCAGCCCUGAUUUUUGGCUUGUGAGCAAAUUUUGGAGGUGUUCCAAGCUUUUUCAUAAAAAGUUAUCAACAUAACUUUUGUAGCUUAGGGAAUUCUCUACAACUUUGUUUCAGGGGUCACAGACAUGCAAGGUUUCUAACAUUACUUUCAUAAAACAUCUUUGAAAGGAGGUUUAGGGGGUCAAAUAAGCCAUUCUAGGGUUAACCAUGACUUGGAAACAUUUUUAAACAAAACCUCCAACAUGAACUUUGUUCCAAAAGAUGUUCUAAACAUGAUUAAAGUAUUUUGGAAAGGAUUGCACACUCACAUGUAUUGGUCACCCACUAAAGUCACUCAAAACAAGUCACACAAGCAAUUUAAUCACAUGGUACAUGUAGUAAAUGGCAUGUGAUCAUGGUAUGAUGCUCAUGAGUGAUCAUGAUGAUGCUUAUGUUGAUGCAAUGCUCAUGGGUAACAUGCAAGCUAAUACUAGGAGUGUUACAGCCCUCCCCCCUUACAAAAAUCUCGUCCCGAGAUUUGAAAGACGUACCAUUUUUCGUAGAAUGAGGGAUAAGUUACUUGUAAAUAGUCCUCCCUUUCCCAAGUGGCAUCUCUCUCAUUUUUACGGUUCCACAAAACUCUAAAGAGUUUGAUCACCCUCCCAUGAGUAACUCGUUCUUUGACAUUGUUGACACCGUUUUUGGACACGUGACUAGGUUUGGUAGAGUAUGGGCCAGCAAGGUAAGUCAGCGGUGUUUUAUACAGGAUGCGUUGCCGAUGAGGUUGGUUACCGAUGAAGAAGGAGUUGGACGUGAUUUAGUCCAUAGAUGAUGAUGCGUCCGUGCCGAUGACCGCGACAAGGGAGUCUGCCGAUGGAUGCGACAAGGGAAUCUGCCGAUGACCGCGACAAGGGAGUCUGCCGAUGAUGCGGAGGGAUAGUCUGGAAGCUGCCGAUGGGUUCGUGAAGGUGUUCCAGUCUGUCACGGGGAUAGUUUUAUAUUUCCCUUAGUUGUUUAAAUCGUUUUAUAUACGGAUUCUGUGUAAUUUAGAAUUCGAAUUCUAGUCAUGUCUGGUUGUAGCUCUGUGAGCAGGGUAUAAUGAGACAUCUAUCAAUCAAUCAAACACACGUUUUUACUCAUAUUCCAGCAUCUACUUUUUCGACGACUUCGUCAUACUUUUCCUUUUCACUACGAGUUCUUAGGAAUUCGUCGACUUAAGCUCGGCGCGUUCUCAAGUUCCGCGUGAAUACCUCUUAGCCGUGACAUCCGGGCGCAUCGCUGUUGUCAGGACUAAAGUAUUCGAGUUACCACCUUUGCCGGUAGCAAGGUCAAAUCGGCUGGCACGCCUUAACGUUUGGAUCGGGUAUUAGCCUUUUGUGUUUGCAGAUCAGUUUUGCACCAACACAUCUUUUGGCACGCCUGGUGGGACCGAUUCAAGAUCAAAGAUCAACAAGUCAACUUCUGAGUUUGAUCAAGAGAACGUCAUCCCCGUAACAGAAGCCAAUCUCAAGGAUGAGCAGAAGCAAGCUAUUGCUAAAGCCAUGGAGGAUUACAAGCAGCAAUGCCUGAGGUCCUUCAGCAUGAACAGGAGCGGUGAGGUGAUUCAGAAGGAUGCACUGCCGGCUCCUCGGCAGGUUACUUUUGAGUCCAAUCCUGGCAAGCUUCAAGAGAUGGUUGACAGCGCGAUCAACCGCGCUUUGAUCAAUCAAGCUGGUGUACUGUCUAAUACGGUUUUCAAUGCCGUGGCGACAACUUUCAAGGAGGGACAACUGCCACCAGAUUAUGUGGGCCCCACUUAUCACCAGCCAAAGUCACCAGUGGUCACAGCUCCAUCGGCUGCUACGGCCGCUGCGGGUAUGGAGAUUCCUGUUCCACCAAGCACGUUAGGAGUCACCAAUGGACAGUCUAUGCCGAUGACAACUAAUCCACAGACUUCGGAUGGGCAGAUUAAACUUGCCACAGAUCUGUUAGCAUCGGCAAUGACAGGGUUAACCCCUCGUCCCAACUGGUGGGGUUAUGGCAUGCCUCCAGAGUUAACGCCGGGUACAUCGCAGACGACUGAUAUGAGAGGCAAGACUCCUAUGGCAUCGGCACCUCCCAAUAUGCCGAUGAACCAGAGUCCCCAGUAUACUACAACUACUACUGCAAGACCUCACACUGGGAAUUCUCAAGCUCCAAUGUUCUAGAUGCCUAACGCAUCGGCAGACUCGAUGCUGAUGCAACAGAGGUCUAUGGCUCAGUCAGGGUAUGUCAAUUCAAUGAUGAUGCCCAAUUACCAGUCAUGGAUGGCUUGGACAGCAAGUUUUUCCGCAAACACCCCAACAGAGUCACCAGGCUACAGGGUUCCAGCAAGGACAGAUCUAUCCCAGGUUCCAGAAUCAGGGGAUCCCUAACCAGCCAAUGAAUCCCGGGCAGCAGCUCGUCAGACAGCAGAUUGGCGGGCAACAGCUUGGUGGUCCACAGGUUGGAGGCCAGAUGAUCAACCCAAUGUUCCGUGCAGAUCGCGCACCGAACAGACACGUGGAGGCCUACCAGCAGGCACCUGAUCCGCAACCGCUCCAUCGGCAAGAUGCCGAUGCAUACUGGGCCGAUAAGAUUGCUAAAGUAAUGAGAGACCAAUUCGGGAUAAAACCCAAAGUCAAUACUUACUCUUAUCGGACACCGUAUCCUCCUGCAUACGACUUGAUCCCGCUUCCACAUCGGUACAAGGUACCAGAUUUCACUAAGUUUUCUGGGCAGGAUGAUACGUCAACCAUGGAGCACGUCAACAGAUUCAUUAUUCAGUGCGGUGAAGCUGGUAAUAGGGACGAAUUGAGGGUUUGUUUAUUUUCGUCAUCAUUGUCUGGGUCGGAUUUUACCUGGUUCAUAUCACUACCUCCCAACUCAGUGAUUACUUGGGCCGAUCUGAAAAAACAAUUCCACAAAUACUUCUUUUCUGGGGUCCAUGAGAAGAAGAUCACCGAUUUGGUCAAAUUAAGGCAGCGUAAUGAUGAAUCGGUUGAGGGUUUUGUACAGAGGAUACGGGAAGUCAAGAACAAGUGCUAUAGUCUGGUUCUGGACGAUCGACAGCUAGCCGAUUUGGCUUUCUAGGGUUUGUUGCCGCACAUCAGGGACAAAUAUGCAUCUCAGGAGUUUAAAAGCUUAAGUCAUCUGGUGCAAAGGAUCUCUGAUCAAGACAUCAAGCCGUUUGAACCCAAGAGAGCAUGGAACAAAAAGAUGUCGUUCCUUGAUGAAGCAACAAGCUCGGAUUCUAAUGAGGAACCAGUCAUCGGCUUGGCAGAGUGGGUGAAAAACAAAAAGCCGAUGUCUUGUCCUUUUGGACACAAAGAACCAGAGAAAUUUGCGUUUGACACCGCUAAAGCCGAUAGGAUAUUCGACUUUCUGCUCCAGGAAGGUCAGAUCAAACUGUCACCUAAUCACGUGAUCCCAUCGGCUGAGGAAUUGAAAAGGAUGAAAUAUUGCAAAUGGCACAAUGCAACUUCUCAUGACACUAACGAGUGCAAGGUGUUCAGACAACAACUGCAAUCGGCUAUAGAAUCUGGAAGGAUCAAAUUUGAUAACUCCAAGACCCAGAAGCCGAUGAAGAUUGACCAACAUCCUUUCCCAACGAACAUGUUGGAUGCUAAGGGAAAAGCCAAGGUCUUAACCUCAGAAGCAGCCGAAAGAAGUGCAUCGGUGGAUCCUCAGCAUCAAGUCACUACUGCCGAUGCGAAGGGAAAGGGCUUGGUCCAGGAAGGAACCAGCUCAGGAAGGCCUUCCCGAACUGGAAUUGUAAUAACUCACAGAAGACCUCGAGAAACUUGGCAGCAACGAGAAGAUCGGUACCGGCGCCAGCAAGAAGAUUAUCGUCGGGAAGAGGAAAGACGCCGGCAUGAGUGGAACCGGCAUAGGGAUAACUGGAAUUGCUCGUUCUUCAUCCAUUGCUGGGAAGAGAAUAUCAAGCUUCCUACUGUUAGAGAUUGCCCUGAAUGCAACGGUUACAAUCGGUACGACAGGUCCGAUCGGAACUAUCGUAAUAAUGAUCGGCGCUUCAAUGGGCCGAUUAGAGGGAGAGCAUCCGUCCAUGAUCGGCUGGGGGGCAGACUCAAUGUACACGACAGGCUUGGUGAUCGUGUCCAGUAUUUUCCCAGGAACCAGGAAGAACUUGAGGAGAUGGCUAAUGCACGAGUUCCCGACGAAUUCAUAUUUUGCAGGGAUGCUAAUACGCAUCGGAUGGAGUCGAGGGAAAAUCAUCGCCCAGCAGCAAGGCAAAGACCGCUUCCUCCAUGGUGUCCAGAGGGGUUGACCAAGACACAAAAAAGGACAUUGCAGCAUGAAAGGCAGGAAGGGCUAAGCAAAGGCGAGAACUCUGGUCAGUCUGGAGAUCAGCAGCAAUCAGAUCCCAACGGGAGAGGUCCAUCGGUAGGAGUCAACAUGGUCUUUAUGUUGCCAAUGGAGUUUCUUGCACCAUCUAGCGAUGAUGAGUUGGGAUUUUCUGAUCAAAUAGCUCAAUUGGCUCUGGAUCCGAUGACGGCUAUCUUCGAGAAACCAGCCGAUGAUGAAAGACAACAUCUCAAGGCUCUGUUUGUCAAAGGAAGGGUUGAUGGGCAGCCGAUGACCAAGAUCCUAGUUGAUGGUGGGGCUGCUAUCAACAUCAUGCCGUAUGCAGUAUAUCAGAAGCUUGGGAGAGGGGAUCAGGAUUUGACCAAGACCGAUAUGAUGCUUAAAGACUUUGAAGGGAACGUGUCUCCAGUCAAGGGGGCAAUAUGUGUAGAGUUGACCAUCGGCAGCAAAACCUUGCCGAUAACCUUCUUUGUGAUCAGUGGAAAAGGUGCUUACAACUUGCUGCUAGGGAGAGAUUGGAUUCAUGCUAAUUGUUGCAUCCCGUCUACAAUGCACCAAUGUUUGGUUCAGUGGGUAGGUGACAAAAUUGAGAUUGUCCCGGGAGAUUCUUCUUAUGUCAUUGCGUCGGCAGAGGCGGAUACCUAUGAGAGGACUAGGUGUAUUUCAGGAGAAGUUUGGGAGAAAGAUUUUCUCAAGGUUGCCGAUUACGAAAUUCCACCGAUCCAAGCAGUCGGUUCUGACGAAGGUUUUUAAUGGAUAGAUUCGCCGAUGAUGGAAAGUUAGGCUAGGGAUUCACAUCGACCAAUGAUUUGGUAGAAGUAGACAUAGGUAGUGGUGAUAAGCCUAGACCUACUUUUAUUAGUGCUAAGUUAAGUCCUGAGUGUAAGCAGCGAUUAACCGAUUUGUUAAAAGAAUAUAAAGAUUGCUUUGCUUGGGAUUAUACCGAGAUGCCUGGUUUAGACCGAUCCAUUGUUGAACAUCGGUUGCCUAUGAAGUCUGGAUUUCGGCCACAUCAGCAGCCAGCACGCCGAUGUAACCCUAAUAUUCUUCCUGACAUCAAGGCCGAAAUAACCAAACUUAUUGAAGCUAAAUUGAUUCGGCAGUGUCGGUAUGCCGAGUGGAUUUCCAAUGUUGUUCCGGUCUACAAGAAAAACGGGAAGCUUCGGGUCUGCAUUGAUUUCAGGAAUCUUAAUAAAGCUACACCGAUGGAUGGAUACCCCAUGCCAGUUGCCGAUCUGUUGGUUGACGCCGCGGCUGGACAUCGGAUUAUCAGCUUUAUGGAUGGCAAUGCAGGGUACAAUCAAAUAUUCAUGGCUGAAGUGGAUAUUCCAAAGACUGCGUUCAGGUGCCCUGGUCAUGUUGGAUUGUUUGAGUGGGUAGUCAUGACUUUUGGCCUUAAGAAUGCUGGUGCUACUUAUCAAAGGGCCAUGAAUUUUAUAUUUCAUGAGUUCAUCAGCAAACUGGUAGAGAUUUAUAUUGAUGAUGUGGUGGUCAAAUCUGGGGAUUUCGCAAAGCAUCUUGCCGAUCUGCGAAAGGUAUUGGAGUGCACAAGGAAGCAUGGAUUGAAGAUGAAUCCCAAUAAGUGUGCAUUUGGUGUAUCGGCAGGGCAAUUUCUUGGUUUCAUGGUUCACCAGAGAGGAAUUGAAAUCAGUCGAAGAUCUAUUGAUGCCAUCAAUAAAAUAGUAGCCCCUACCAACAAAACCGAGCUCCAGUCCUUGAUCGGCAAGGUAAAUUUUAUCAGAAGGUUCAUUUCUGACUUGUCUGGUAAGAUCCGUGCUUUUAGCCCUCUUCUUAAGUUAAAGGCCGAUCAAGAGUUUGUUUGGGGGAAAGAACAACAGUUGGCUCUGGAUGAAAUCAAGAAGUAUUUAAUGAAUCCUCCAGUUUUAAUUCCACCUCAGCAAGGGAGGCCCUUCAGAUUGUAUUUAUCCACCGAUGGGGCAGUCAUCGGUUCAGCUUUAAUUCAGGAGUUUGAAGGGAAGGAGCGUGUGAUUUAUUACUUAAGCAGGAGGUUGAUUGAUGCUGAGACCAGGUAUUCGGCUAUCGAGAAGUUGUGCUUGUGUUUAUACUUCCCCUGUAUCAAGUUAAGGCACUACUUGUUAUCAGCCAAACGUACCGUUAUUUGUAAGGAUGAUGUGGUCCGAUACAUGCUAUCCAUGCCGAUUAUGAGUGGCAGAAUCGGUAAGUGGAUUUUGGCACUGUCGGAGUUUGAUCUGCGUUAUGAGUCGGCCAAGGCAGUUAAAGGACAGAUUAUGGCUGAUUUAGUAACUCAACAUUGCGGUAUGGUGGAGGCUUUAGAAAUUGUGCCUUGGACACUCUUCUUUGAUGGAUCCACGUGUGACCGGGGGGCAGGAAUCAGUGUAUUGUUAGUUUCCCCUCUGGGAAAGAAGUAUGAGUUUUCCUUGCCGAUUAUUGCUACAUCAACAAAUAAUCAGGCUGAGUAUCAGGCUUAGAUAAAAGGACUGGAGUUAUUAAGGGAAAUUCGUGCUGAUGCUGUCGAAGUCUUCGGGGAUUCUAUGCUAGUUAUAAAUCAAUUGGCUGGGAGCCAUGAAUGCCGAAGUGAAGUUCUCAUAACUUAUUACGAGCGGAGCAUGCAAUUAUUGAAAGAGUUCAAGGAUUUCCGAUUAGAGUAUGUUCCUCGAUUGCAUAAUGAAGAGGCCAAUCGGUUGGCUCAGCAUGCCUCGGGACAUCAACCUAUGAUUGAUACAAUAUCGGCAAUUGGUGCCGAUGAUUGGAGAAAAGAGAUCAUUGAUUACUUGAAAGAUCCGUCCAAGAAAGUUGAGAGACGAGUUCGGUUUCAAGCCACCAAGUAUGUGCUCCUCGAAGAUGAAUUGUAUUACCGAACUAUUGAUGGAAUUCUUCUUCGAUGCUUGAGUGAUGAUGAAGCUAAAAGUUUGAUGGGUGAGAUUCAAGAAGGGGUAUGUGGAGCACAUCAGUCGGCUUUCAAGAUGAAGUGGAUGAUUAGGAGGAAUGGAUAUUUCUGGCCAACCAUACUUGAGGAUUGCUUUAAGUAUUUCAAAGGGUGUCAAGGUUGUCAAAAGUUUGGUAAUAUUCAAAGAGCACCCGCGUCGGCUAUGAAUCCUAUUAUCAAACCUUGGCCGUUCCGGGGAUGGGCUAUUGAUCUAAUCGGCCAGAUUUAUCCACCAUCUAGCAAGGGGCAUAAAUUUAUUCUGGUUGCCACCGAUUAUUUCACUAAAUGGGUUGAAGCUAUUCCUUUGAAGAAAGUUACAUCGGUCAAUAUGAUUGAUUUUGUGAAGGAACACAUUAUUUACCGAUUUGGAAUUCCUCAGACAAUUACUACCGAUCAGGGCACUAUGUUCACAUCAGGGGAGUUUGAUGAAUUCGCAAUUGGCAUGGGGAUUAAUGUGUUGAAUUCCUCUCCUUAUUAUGCUCGAGCUAAUGGGCAAGCCGAAGCAUCUAACAAAGGAAUCAUUAAACUCAUUAAACGGAAAAUUGAAGAAAAUCCUAGAAGGUGGCACACAUUGUUAAAUGAAGCUUUGUGGUCCUAUCGAAUGGCUUGUCAUGGAUCAACUAAAGUUACACCUUAUCAGUUGGUGUAUGGACAUGAUGCAGUAUUGCCUUGGGAGAUUAAGACUGGGUCUAGGCGACUAUCUUUUCAAGAUCAAUUGGCUGCCGAUGACUAUACUACUUUGAUGACAGACGAAUUAGAUGAUCUAGCAGGACAUCGGCUAAGGGCUUUGAUGAGUAUAGAGGAAAAUAAGAAAAGGGUUGCUAGAUGGUACGACAACAAAGUAAAAAUUAAGGAAUUUGCCGAUGGAGACUUGGUAUGGAAAUUAAUCUUACCGAUCGGGACUAAAAGUUCCAAGUUUGGAAAGUGGUCUCCCAAUUGGGAGGGUCCUUAUCGGAUAAGUCGAUCGGCUCCUGGUAAUGCAUAUAUCCUAGAAACCCUUGAAGGAGUUGAAUUUCCCAGAGCAUUAAAUGGAAAAUAUUUAAAGAAGUACCAUCCCAGUAUAUGGGUCGAUGCAUAAAGAUUUAAGUGCCGAUAACACUCCUAUCGGCUGGAUUAAAAAGUGUAUCUGGGGCCGGACUUAGUGUUUCAAAAGUUGCCGAUAACAAUCCUAUCGGCUAGAUUGAAACGGUAAGAAAACUGGAAGUGCAGGGAAGUAAAGAUGCGUCGCCAAUGAGAUCUUCAUGUGCUCAGCAGCGACUGGAUCACCGAUAUGGUGCGCAACCGGAUGUGGUUGGCUGUUUCUAUCUCUCUGAUAUCAUCAUCGGCGGAGCCUUCUAUCGGCUUCAACUUCUUCUUCAACUGCAGCGCCUUGCGACCGUGGGCAUUUCUUUCUUGCUCGAGGAGCUUGAUGGUCUCCGGCAAUUGGUUCUUCUCCUGUUGGGCUUGAGAUAAAGCAUCCUCCACUUGUUUGAGUUCUGCCAACAGGGCUUCUCUCUUUGCCGAUAGAUCAGAAAUCUUCUGCUCCAGUGCAUCUUCUGAAGACUUCAAAGCACCGAUGUUUUUGUGCUUCUCAUCGGUUAAGAGUUUCUCCUUCCUCAUUUCUUCAGAGAGCUGGGUCUGGGCAGUUCUAUCGGCGAGACGUCGGGCAGCCUUUUGGUACUGCAGCUGACGGCUUUCCAAAUGUGCGGCCUGGAAGAGAAUUUCUUCGGCAUCAGCAGGAAUCUGGCCUCUAAGAGUCUUGAACAGAACCUUGGCCGGAUCAGAGUCAUCGACUAGUUGAGCCGUGUCUUGGUGAAGGAGAGCUGAUAGUUCUUCCAGCUUGGCCCUGAUCUCUGCCGAUGUGAUGCCAACUGUCUAGGAAGAGCUUGCUUCUUCACCUUCUUCUUCAGAAAUGUCGAUGGCGAAGGAGAAUAGGCUGUCGGGAGAAUCUUGCUCCUGAGAAGGAAAACAAAAUAAGUUAGUUUAUACUCGGAGAAUCGGCAAAUAAUACUAAUGGAGAUUGGGUGACUUACUUGCUUCAAAGCAAUUUCUUGCCUUUGACUGGAAGAUACUGUUGAUAUUUGGGAACGCAAUAAGGAAUUGAUCCGCAAGCGCACGGAUAUCGGUGAGCACUUCACCCGGGAAAUUAUCCAGAGUAUCGUAUUUAUUUUUUUACCACUAGGAGAAAGAGUGCAUCUGACUAACCGGUCUAUUACUACUAACCUUUAGGCACAAAGAAUGUCUUUCGAUGUGAGUGAUAAAUAGAGAAGACUGCAACCGUAGUCUCCUUCUAACCUUGGUAAGGAUGAUCUACUGUUCUAAUGGGGAGGCUAACGGAAUCUAGACACCACAAAGGAUGUUCGACCCGCACCUAUAAACCCUACCCUUCCUGCUAACGAGAUGUGAUCUACAAAGGUAGCUCGGAAUUGUCACGUUCCUCACUACUACCACGGUCCAGCUAGUCAGGGAAUAUCUAUGAGUACCCCAGCCUAAACACCACGUCUACGCCAGCAAUGAUUACUCUAAACUCUACGCGAAGAGAUUAAAGUAAACUCAUAAACCAUAAGAACAAUAAAACAAGAACUUACUAGAAUUUAGAAGUCGAAUUAGUGAAGAAUCCUAGGAGCAAGCUUCGGGUUAGGAAAACUUGAUCCCGCAGGUACAAGCUUGGAGUAGACACCGACAGGCCGGGCUUCCUCCACUCUACACCUCCACUCUAUCUCUCUCAAUCUAGUAGAAACUAGAAGAUCUAUUUCUACCUUACAUUGAUUGCUAAGCCUAAAAAGAAAUAUUAAUUAGAGAAGAGGUUUUCCUUUGAGGGCACCCCUCAGUCUCUAUGAUAAUUUCUUCAUGUCUUCUCCAGGGGCCAGGGGGGCCUUGCUUAUAUAGUCCUCCCCUUCUAUACGUUUUUGGGUCGAUAGCCGAGGUGGUACUAUGUUUUUUCUUGAUCCAAUAGGUCGGUGGAAUAUCCCGAACGAAAGAGUCCUGAUUUGGCUCCAGCAGGGGGGCGGGCGCCCAGGCUACCAGGGCGGGCGCCCUGGGCCUGGCCCAGUUUUGCCUCCGCUUCGGUCUCGUGGCUUCUGGAGUCUUCUAGAUGAUGUAAAAUUGCGCGGUGCGUUGAUAUCUCUAUGUAAUCCCGACAUGUAGGCCUUUCUUCCUUAUUUCCUGAUAACUCCCUGCAGAAACAGAUAAACAACAAAACUCGUGGAAUUCUGUUAGAUCAAACCCUAAUUCUAGGUGUUGUUUGCAUAUUGGUCCUUUCUCUUGUUUAUUUGAUAAUUAAAAUUGAUACUUAAGAACCGUCAACAAAUACCCCCAUACUUAGGCUUUUACUCGUCCUCGAGAAAAGGAUGGUUAAGAAAAAUAUCUGGGGUAAAACAUUUAAAACAUUCUCUUUAUAUAAUUGCAGGGUGUUAAAAUUCCACUGUGUACCACAGUCAGGGAUGUUUAUGGUUAAGAGUAAAGAUCCUUUCUUCUCAAUCCUGUCACUUGGAGUUUUUGUUAUAUUUUUGAAAGAAAGUUAGCAUACCUUUUUAUCCUCAUAGGUUCUCUCAGAUCACUCAUUAUCUUUUAUAUAUAUAUCUCACUGAGGUUGUUUUAUUUUUGCAAAAAUUCUCAAGCAUUCUUACUUUGCAUUUAUUGCCUGAUCAAAACGGGAUCCGAGGAGGGGAAUGUCAUACUCUUAGAUCAAAGACUUUGGAAAUUAAAAUCUAUGUCAACUCUUGCUGGCAUAUUGCUUAUUAGAGGGACCAUGGGCUAUCAUUUUCAUUUCAUUUUUUUUAAGUGGAUACCGAGGUACCCCUAAUUCUACUGCCGGACACUUGUCCAUUUUUUCUGCGAGGUUGUCGAGCACUUGCUCCUUUUUAUUUCCUCGAAAUAUUUUUAUUUUUGCAUAGCCCAUGCCUCUAAUGCAAUAAUACUUCGGAAGAGUGAAUCUUUCUGAAAUAAUGUCUUGAUCUUAGGAGCAUGAUAAAUCUCUCAACAAGGGUCUAACUCAUUUUGAACAAACUCAAUACAGAGUAGAUAGCUUUAUAAUCAUCAUUAAUAUUUUUAUUUUUAUCAGGCAUAUAAAACACUGAGGAUGGUAGCUAGAAUUUUGAAUAUUUUGAAAUAAAUUCUCCAAGCAACAAUGAUAUCAAGAAUAAGAAACUCAUACUCUACCAUCACAUAUUCCAUAUUGACUUGAGUAACACAGGGUUUUAAAAUGAUUUUAUAAUAAUUGCAAGUUUUCAGGAAAUAUCACAGAUUGAGAUUAAUCAUGAUUAGAAAUAUUUUAAUCUUUUUAUUUUAUCAUUUCGGAAACAGUAAUCUGCAUAAUCCAAAAUAAAUGUAUGUAUGAAGUAAAGUGUGCAGAGUGUGUACCUGAAUCGUGGAGUGGUGUAGUCGGAGUGUGUUUGGCAUGUUAAGGGAUCUCCCCCAUACUUGUUUUCUGCUUUCUUGCACAAAAAUAAAGUAGAGACACACAAGACAUAAUAAUAAUAGUAAUACUCUUUUUUGAUCUUGAGGCAUUUAGUACAAAAGACUGAUAACAAACUGAUAGCAAACUGAUAAUAAUAGUAAACUGAUGAUAAUAGUAAACCUAAACCGAAUUUAAAGAUAAAUGACUAAGAUGCAUUGCCUCAAGGUCUAAUCUAGAUAACUUAACGGCGCUCUAAUUCCUUGAUCUUCUUGUUGGCACUGGCAAGAUCCUGCCUAAGGCCUAAUAUAACAGUGUUGUGGUUAGAGAGCUGCCUAGUGAGGGAAUUAAUUGAGGACUGGAGGUCUAUGAUAACUCUAUCUAGCCUGCGAACUUCCUCAUCAAUAUCCAUUAUAGUCUUGCGACGCUUGGGAGGUGUCUCAAAAGCAUUGAGAGAUUGCUUCGGGGCUGCCUUUGGAGGGAUGAAGCGGACUUUGGAUGCUCUAAUCCCUUCAAAGUAAGGCCUUUCCUCCUCCGUAGUGUAGCGAACGCUGCUGAUCUCGCCGCUCCGGUUGGUCUUGACUCCAACGACCCUCUCAUUGGGUCUAGGUGGAAGGAUCCUUGUACCGAUUGGUACCUUGAUAGUGGUCUUCGUCUUGGAUGAUGGUCCUUUGAGGAGUACGGGUUGUGGUGGUGCGGUGAGAACUGGUUGAGCAUGGUAGGAUUGGGCGAAGCUGCGUUGGCGUAAUGGCAUGGCUUCUAGUUGUCGCUCUGUGUUGGCCGGGACGAGAGCACGGGCAUCGGGGUCUUCCACCGGCUCCAUGUUGAGGUUGAAGGGGACGACUUCCCAAUCAUCGUGGUACUUCUUGGCCAUUGGAGUAGCAAGGAACUAAUAAAAUUUUAAUUGAAGUAGAGCUAAUUAAGCUCUAAUUGAAGGAGAGAAAGCUUGGUGGCUUGGUGUCUGAAAACUGAGGUCAGGGGUCUGUUUAUAUAGGGGUCAAAAGGAUGCCUCUAUGGGUUGUUCGGGUUGCUCCCGUCGAUGUGCGUGCGAAACUUUCCAUCUGAGGGAUUAUUCGGAUCACCCUAAGUGCAUUUUCCAUAUCAGAGAAAGUCGGGACCGAGGGGGAACAGGGGCUGGGCGCCCGCCCACUUGACCUGGGCGCCCGCCCUCUCUCUAGCUCCUCUGUGGGCCCACUUUUCCGAGCGCGUUUCUAGAUGCGAAAUUAUUUAGAAAAAUAUAUAUGCCCCAAAACCAUCAGACCAAAAGUGUCGGGCUCUAAUUCUCCAUGGGAAGGUAAAAAUGGACUACGUCUAUUUCUUCAAAUUCCUCAUUGGGCUCUAAAAAUAAUUUAAGACGUUGACCAUUUACCUUGAAUAACGUACCUUCGCUAUUUUGAAGUGUGAUGGCUCCGUGGGAUGAUGAAUUGAUUACCUUGAAUGGUCCUUCCCAUUUGCUCCAGAGUUUUCCAUGCCCGAAAAGCUUUACCCUGGAAUUAAAAAGUAAUACCUUAUCUCCGGGUGUGAACUCCUUCUUCUUGAUUCUCUUGUCAUGCCACCUCUUGACUCUUUCUUUGUAGAUUUUUGAAUUGUGAUAUGCCUUCUCUCGCCAUUCUUCCAAUUCUGAUAGUUGCAUUCUUCUAUAAUCUCCAGCAACAUCUAGGUCCAUAUUCCAUCUCUUUAUGGCCCAGUGUGCUUUGAACUCUAGUUCAACAGGUAGAUGGCAAGUCUUCCCGUACACCAAUUGGUAUGGAGACAUUCUAAUUGGGGUCUUGUAUGCUGUCCGGUAUGCCCAGAGUGCAUCGGGUAACUUGUCUUUCCACGCCGUUCCCAUUUCAUUUACUGUCUUCUGAAGAAUAUUCUUGAUUUGUUUGUUGGAAGUCUCUGCUUGGCCACUUGUCUGAGGAUGAUAGGGGGUAGCGACGUUGUGACGGAUUCCAUGUCUUGAUAGAUAUUGCUUGAAGCGUUUGUCGAUGAAGUGUGCUCCUCCAUCACUUAUCACUAUUCUGGGAACUCCAAAUCUUGGAAAUAUAAUUUCUUCAAACAUCCUCUUUGAACUGAUGUUGUCGGCAUGCUUGCAAGGUAAUGCUUCUACCCACUUGGAGACAUAGUCAAUCGCCACCAAAAUGUACUCACACUUCUUUGAUGGAGGAAAUGGACCCAUGUAGUCUAUUCCCCAGACAUCAAAGAGCUCAAUCUGAAGGUUGUUAGUGAGUGGCAUUGCAUCCCUUGUAUUUAUGUUUCCGUGCCUUUGACAUGGCCCACAUCUCCUGAUAUAUUGCUUCGUGUCUUCAUACAUUGUAGGCCAGUAGAAUCCACACUGCCAGAUCUUUGAAUGUGUACGGAAUGCUCCAUAGUGACCUCCAUAUGGUGAUGAAUGACAUCUGUCGAUGAUCUUCCAUCCUUCCUCAGUGGUCACACAUCUCCUGAGUAAGCCAUCAGAGCAUACUCGGAAGAGGUAUGGCUCAUCCCAUAUAUGUGAACGACUUUCUUGAAUAAGCUUCUUCUUGUUUGCUCCUGGUGGUACAUACCCUGAAACCAUAAAAUUAACAAUAUCUGCAUACCAGGGGUCAGACCUGUUAAUCCCGUAGAGCAUGUCGUCCCGGAGUGAAUCAUUGAUUGGGGUUUCCUUUGGACUCUUAAAAUACAUUCUAGACAGGUGAUCAGCAACAGAAUUUUCUACUCCCUUUUUAUCUUUUAUUUCUAAGUCAAAUUCUUGGAGUAAUAAAAUCCAUCUAAUCAGGCGAGGUUUAGCAUCUUUUUUAGUGAGCAAAUAUUUUAGUGCAGCAUGAUCAGUGUAAACAAUUAUUUUAGCUCCAACUAAAUAAGAUCUAAAUUUAUCAAGGGCAAAGACAACAGCCAGAAGCUCUUUUUCAGUGGUUGCAUAAUUAAGUUGAGCUCCUGUCAAAGUUUUACUGGCAUAAGCAAUUGCAUGAUGCUUCUUAUCUUUAGUUUGUCCCAAUACUGCCCCCACAGCAUAAUCACUAGCAUCACACAUAAUUUCAAAAGGUAACGACCAAUCAGGGGGUUGAAUGAUUGGUGCAGAGAUGAGUGCUUUCUUUAAUAAAUUGAAAGAUGUUAGACAUGCAUCAUCAAAUUCGAAAGGAGCAUCCUUGGCUAGCAAAAGAGUAAGUGGUCUAGCAAUGAAUGAAAAAUCUUUUAUGAAUCUACGAUGAAAACCAGCAUGGCCAAGAAAGCUUCGAAUUCCUUUUAUAUUCACAGGUGGAGGUAGUUGUUCAAUUACUUCAAUUUUAGCUUUGUCUACCUCAAUUCCUCUUUCAGACACUAAGUGUCCCAGCACUAUUCCUUCCCUAACCAUAAAAUGACAUUUUUCCCAAUUAAGGAUUAAGUGCUUUUCUUCACAUCUUUGCAAAACCUUAUCUAAGUUUUCAAGACAACUAUCAAAAGUUUUUCCAUAAACAGAGAAAUCAUCCAUGAAAACUUCCAUAAUCUCUUCAAUCAUAUCAGAAAAUAUAGACAUCAUGUAUCUUUGAAAAGAAGCUGGUGCAUUACAUAACCCAAAAGACAUUCUACGGUAAGCAUAAGUUCCAUAAGGGCAUGUAAAAGUGGUUUUGCUUUGAUCAUCGGGAUGGAUCGGGAUUUGAUGAUACCCUAAAUAUCCAUCUAAGAAACAAAAGAAUGAAUGGUUUGCUAACCGCUCUAGCAUCUCAUCUAUAAAAGGUAAAGGAAAGUGAUCCUUUCUCGUGGCUUUAUUUAGUUUUCUAUAGUCUAUGCACAUCCGCCAUCCUGUGACGGUGCGUUGCGGAAUUAGCUCGUUCUUUUCAUUCAUAAUAACUGUCAUGCCUCCCUUUUUGGGCACAACUUGGACUGGGCUCACCCACUCACUGUGCGGCACAGGAUAUAUAAUCCCUGCAUGCAGCAACUUAAUAACUUCCUUUUUAACUACCUCUCUCAUAGUGUUGUUAAGUCUACGUUGGGGUUCUCGAGAGGGUGUAACAGAAGGAUCUCUUGGAAUACGAUGGGUACAAAUUAUAGGACUGAUUCCUGUAAGAUCUUGAAGUGAGUAGCCAAAUACUGAGUGAUGUUUCUUAAGAAUGGUCAUUAAUCACAGAGUUUGAUCCUGAGUGAAUUUAUCGCUAAUGAUCACAGGAAACUUUGGAUUAUUGUUUAGGAAAGCAUAGGUAAGACCGGGUGGUAAAGUUUUAAGCUCUAUGGGGGGUCUAGGUGUUUCUGCAAACUCAUCUAAGGGUUCAGGCUCAGAAGGUUCGUCUUCUUCUUCUGUGAAGAAAGGAGUUUCGUCUUCUAAGUCUGGUUCAUCUAAAAGCUCUAGAGAUGCAGCCUUUACUUCCUCCAUAGGAUCAGGCAAAAGAUAUGACUCGGCCUUAUUGUUUAAGGAGUGAAAUUAUUAUUGAGAAUUUAAAGGUUUUUCCAAAAGAAAUGUGUAGCUUUCCAGUAUGACCUUCAUAAAGGAGUCUUCUAAAAGGUUGUCCUAUCAAUAGGUCGAAGUCCCAUGUAUCAAAGAUAUAGAAGUUCAAAUGAACCAUGGAGCCUUCUACCGUAAGAGGUAGGACAUUUAUAAUUCCAAGACUGGGGACUAAUCGUCCCGAAGAUUCCUUUAUGACCUUUGUUGUGGGGGUUAAGAUAAGAUUUUUAAAUAGUUUAAGUGCAAAGGAUUCAGACAUAAUGUUGAUCCCCACAACAGGAUUAUAAAGAGCAUUAAAUCGAUCAGAAUUAUAAACACAGCGUAUAGUUAUAGAGGGUGUGUCCAAACGGAUCACAUCAGAGGAAAGCUCUGAUUCCUCCAACCAUUCGCUACUCAUGACUGAGAUAAGCUCUCUCAAUUGAUAUUCACUUGGUAAAUAAAUGCUAAAUUGACCGUUUUGGGGUUUGUCAAUAGAAUGGUAGUUUGAAAUAUUUCCAAAAUCGGCAAAAAGAUCGGAUUCUAUAUCCAGCAUGAAGUCCGGUAGUGGAAUUUCUUCCUCUUGAGGCUCAGAACUUGGGAUAGCUAAAGUAGAUGAAGAAUUUGGCAGAGUGUCUACUUCGGCUUCGUAGGUUUCAUCAUGAAGGGUAUUAUCCAUCUCAGCUUCUAGGAUUCUAUCUAGGAUCACUCUUGCUUCAUCAGCAGGGAUGCGAAAGAAAGAACCUCUAGACAUUGUGUGUAGCAUUUGUUUGUGAUUUCUAUGAAGACCUCAAAAAAAGUGAAAUAAAAGAACAGGGUCUUCAAGAUUAAGGUUUGGACCAGAUUCUAAAAGAUCAGAAAAACGUUUCCAGGAUUUUCCCAAAGUUUCAUUAUCUUUUUGUUUAAAAGAUAGGACUUCGAGUCUAAGGUCGGCUAUACGGUCAAGGGAAUAGAAAUCUAGACAAAAGUUGGCUCAUAAAACUCCCCAUUCACCUUGUUGUUGACUUACCUUCUGACUGUACCAUUGUCUAGCUUCUCCCCUUAGAGAAAAAGGAAAAAGCUUCCAACGUAAAGUCUUAUCAGAAAUGCCUUCAAUGCGAAGACAAUCACAUGUUUGCUCAAAAUCUCUAAUAUGAAGGUAAGGGUUUUCGUCUUCCUUUCCCGAAAAAGAUAGGUUUUGAAUCAUGGCAAUCAACCUAGAACUUAACUUAUACUGGGGUGUUUGGAUAGGCUGUGAUGAUUCCCAUGGUAAAAGGUCAGUUGCUAAAGGGAUUGCAGACUCAUGGAUCGAUUUAGAAUUUUGGUUUUCCAUAAGGUAAGAAUAAAGAAAAUAAAUAAAGGAUAUAAAAGAUAAGAAAAGAUAAAAGUAUAGAUACAAGCUAGUAGCAAGACUCAAGUUAUCUCAGCAACCGUCUUUCUCCCCGACAACGGCGCCAGAAAUGCUUGUUGAUAUUUGGGAACGCAAUAAGGAAUUGAUCCGCAAGCGCACGGAUAUCGGUGAGCACUUCACACGGGAAAUUAUCCAGAGUAUCGUAUUUAUUUUUUUACCACUAGGAGAAAGAGUGCAUCUGACUAACCGGUCUAUUACUACUAACCUUUAGGCACAAAGAAUGUCUUUCGAUGUGAGUGAUAAAUAGAGAAGACUGCAACCGUAGUCAACUUCUAACCUUGGUAAGGAUGAUCUACUGUUCUAAUGGGGAGGCUAACGGAAUCUAGACACCACAAAGGAUGCUCGACCCGCACCUAUAAACCCUACCCUUCCUGCUAACGAGAUGUGAUCUACAAAGGUAGCUCGGAAUUGUCACGUUCCUCACUACUACCACGGUCCAGCUAGUCAGGGAAUAUCUAUGAGUACCCCAGCCUAAACACCACGUUUACGCCAGCAAUGAUUACUCUAAACUCUACGCGAAGAGAUUAAAGUAAACUCAUAAACCAUAAGAACAAUAAAACAAGAACUUACUAGAAUUUAGAAGUCGAAUUACUGAAGAAUCCUAGGAGCAAGCUUCGGGUUAGGAAAACUUGAUCCCGCAGGUACAAGCUUGGAGUAGACACCGACAGGCCGGGCUUCCUCCACUCUACACCUCCACUCUAUCUCUCUCAAUCUAGUAGAAACUAGAAGAUCUAUUUCUACCUUACAUUGAUUGCUAAGCCUGAAAAGAAAUAUUAAUUAGAGAAGAGGUUUUCCUUCGAGGGCACCCCUUAGUCUCUAUGAUAAUUUCUUCAUGUCUUCUCCAGGGGCCAGGGGGGCCUUGCUUAUAUAGUCCUCCCCUUCUAUGCAUUUUUGGGUCGAUAGCCGAGGUGGUACUAUGUUUUUCUUGAUCCAAUAGGUCGGUGGAAUAUCCCGAACGAAAGAGUCCUGAUUUGGCUCCAGCAGGGGGGCGGGCGCCCAGGCUACCAGGGCGGGCGCCCUGGGCCUGGCCCAGUUUUGCCUCCGCUUCGGUCUCUUGGCUUCUGGAGUCUUCUAGAUGAUGUAAAAUUGCGCGGUGCGUUGAUAUCUCUAUGUAAUCCCGACAUGUAGGCCUUUCUUCCUUAUUUCCUGAUAACCCCCUACAGAAACAGAUAAACAACAAAACUCGUGGAAUUCUGUUAGAUCAAACCCUAAUUCUAGGUGUUGUUUGCAUAUUGGUCCUUUCUCUUGUUUAUUUGAUAAUUAAAAUUGAUACUUAAGAACCGUCAACAGAUACCGGUGGAGCCGUAGGUUGAUCGGCCAGGGUUGCCGAUGGAACGACAUUGACUGAAAGGAGACAGAAAGAGUUAUGAGGCUGAAUAAGAAUAAGUUCAUCGGUGGCAAUAUUAUAAAAAUAUGUUACCUUGAGGAAGGACGAUGCUUGUCUGAAUUGGGGGAACUGCCGAUGACAUGAUUGCACCUGCUAGGCCAGUUGUUUGCUCACCUACAUCAGUUGAUGUACUUUCUGCUUGGGGUUCUUCCUGCUGGGGUUUGUCUACUUCUGGUGCUUGCUGGAUCUCUACAUCUGGAGGGGAAGGAGAAGAUUCCACUGGAAUAGGAGAUGCCGGAGGAGGAGUUGCCACUUUCUGGCGCUUUGUUCCAGCCCUGGUUCCCUUGGCGCCCUUCCUCUUUGGCUGACUGGACUGGGGGGCAUCGGCACCUUGACUUUUGGCUUUUGCCGAUGCACUGGUUUGCUGCAGCAACAAAAAGGAAUUUAUGAAUACAAAUGCAGCCGAUGUAAAGGUGAUCGGUAUAAAUGAAGAGGGUUAGCAGUUACCUUAAAAGCCUAUGCUAGGGCAGAAGCAGCUACCGAUGGUGAAGUCUGGGUCUUCCUGGUGGUGACCUUCCUCAGGCGUAUACCUCGAUGCACGAUGGAAGCCAAGGUAGGGGCGUUGUGGCCAAUUGAAGAGAUUGGGCCUGGUGCAAAUAGAUCAAUCGGUUUGCCACUUUUGCUGACCGAUGGAGGGGUAUUAUCAACCUGCAGAAAAGUUCAAAAGUAAUUUGCCAAUAGAAACAGGAUUGAAAGAAUUAAAACAUUGGUUCGAAAACACUUAAAGUGUCAUUGGGAACUUCGUACUCGGGGUCAAUCAUGCCACGGUACGUGAGGGCUGAUUUACAGAACAGAUGCUCCUUCCAUUCUGCCCACCACUGUUUGUAUGCCUGAGUGAUGAAAGCGGCUGGAACCCACUCUGAUAAAUCCACGUCUGUAUCGGCACUCGAUGGCAGUUGGGCUACUCGGAUCCAUUCAAGGAGACUGUUGAUGGUUUCCCUAGGCUUUAUCACAUCGCGUAGCAGAGCGCGAUCGGCAGCUGACCGAAAGCUAACUGACGGGCUAGUGCCGAUGGGUUGUAAAAUUCAUAAGUCUGAGGGGAGGUUUUUCCACUACCAAAGAAAUUCACUGGUAUGGCUCUAGGAGUCACUAUUGCCAUCAUCAUUUCAUUAUCCCGGUCAAGAGCUUCAUCAAAUGGGUUGAAAACCAGGGGAAGCAUACUGUCUGGGUCAUCAUAGGCUAACCAUGCUCGCUCAUCUCUGGCCAAGCCCUCAUACAGAGUUUGGAAGAAUCGGCUGACCUGAUCUGGAUUACCCCCUGAACCAGGCAAAACUAUGACAGCCUCACCGAAGUUUAAGGGAGCACGUGUUGCCGAUUCCUCCUCACCCAACACAUGAUUUUCAGUUAUGUGCCUUGGGAAACGCUGUGUGAAUAGGUUAAAGUCAAGGCGCUUGUGCAGAUGUAGAUUGAGCCACAUAUUGAUAAACCACCAGGGGCCUCCCAAGUUGCCGAUAGACUGACCAAGCAAGAGCUUCUUAGUUACUUGAUGGAGGAGGUGAUAGGCCGCUCCAAGCAGGUAUCGGCUAAGGGGAAAUCGGCCACCAUUGGCUAGAUUUUCCGCUGCUGCUAGAUGAACAGAAGUUGGUCCUGCUGAUCGGCCACAAAACACGAAUUUGUCUAGCCACAUGUUCAAGAAGCAGGUCUGAUCUUUUGCGUCAACAGGGCCUGUUUUGCGGUAUUUCUGGAUAUACCCUGACCAGCCGCCGAUGGCGCGGGUUUCUACCUUAGCACUGGGUUUAGUAUCGAAGAAGUGGGUGCUAUCGGCAGAAGAAAUAUCUAACCCGGUGAGCAUAGCCACAUCGGCAAGAGUGGGGGAAACAGGGCCAUGGCCAAAGACAAAGGCAUUGAGCGUGUCUGACCAGAAGUAUGAUGCAGCUAUCAGUAGUGACUCGUUCCUAUGCAUAUCGGCAAUAGACAACCUAAUGCAUUGGGCUAGAUUUCUUUCACCCCAUUGGACUUCAUUUGAGUUGCUGACUCUCAGAAACCAAUCUGUCCACCCCGCGGUAGGGCUGGGCCAGGAAGAAAAAGUGUCCUUCCACAGAUCCAAGGAAAAAUUCUCUGCCCUGAAAGGGAUCCUGUUGGUUUCUGCGUUUAUGAGAUCGGUUGGAUCUGGAUCCCCUAACAGGCCAAGGCAUUGGAGAUGUGGUCGAUCAGUGGGGAUGACAAUUUUGUUAGCCGAUUCCUAAUGGUUUUGGAGGUAUAAAAAACACAAAAAAAAGGGGAGAAGGGAAAAAAUAUUCAGUACGGCGGAUUGCAGAUGAACGAGGGUGCGAGAAAAGUACAAGAGAUGGUGCGAAGAACUGACCUCGGGGAUGAUGAAGUUUACGACCAUUUUGUCACAGAGGAGAAGAUUGAGAGUUUUGGAGUUGGUGAGGAAGGAGCCUCGUCGGAGAUCUUGGGGCUUUUUGGAACAGCGCCGCCGCCGGAAAAGUUGUGGUUGGAGUUGUAGAAUGAUGUGAUGGAGAAGGAGUACCCGAGAAGGAACUACUUAUAAGACAAAACGGGCAGGGGCAAAUCUGGCUUAUCUCUUUGCUGCAUCCGUGAAAUCCGAGGAUACUCAGGUAGAUAUGGUAACUGUUCGCACGGUAAUCAAGGGAUUGUGCAGGUGAUUUGAAAGGAAGCGAUCAUUAUCCAAAGAUAUUUUACUGUGCGGGAUCUCCUGGUCGGCCCAUCGGCAGCGCCUGGUAACGGUCAUAUUGCCGAUAGGAAAGAAAUGAGGAUAUAGCCGUUUGGAAAGAUAAGAUUCGGGUGUCCUGGUCAAUACAUCGGCAAAUCUCUGUAACGAUAUGUUACCGAUACGCGACUAAGAUGGAAAUAUCCGUUUAGGGAAGUUGAAGAUGUCGAGGGAUCUGCGGAAGGAUAGGGUCAAAGUUGUUCAGAGUAAGGCUGACGGUUGCCAGAUUAGGAGCAUUGAUUGUGGAAAAGGGUAUCAUUACUGCAGAGAAUUUCAGAGCAUUGAUGAUUUCAUACUCCGAAAUUGGGGGGCAUGUGUUGACACCAUUUUUAGACACGUGACUAGGUUUGGUAGAGUAUGGGCCAGCAAGGUAAGUCAGCGGUGUUUUAUACAGGAUGCGUUGCCGAUGAGGUUGGUUGCCGAUGAAGAAGGAGUUGGACGUGAUUUAGUCCAUAGAUGAUGAUGCGUCCGUGCCGAUGACCGCGACAAGGGAGUCUGCCGAUGGAUGCGACAAGGGAAUCUGCCGAUGACCGCGACAAGGGAGUCUGCCGAUGAUGCGGAGGGAUAGUCUGGAAGCUGCCGAUGGGUUUGUGAAGGUGUUCCAGUCUGUCACGGGGAUAGUUUUAUGUUUCCCUUAGUUGUUUAAAUCGUUUUAUAUACAGAUUCUGUGUAAUUUGGAAUUCGAAUUCUAGUCAUGUCUGGUUGUAGCUCUGUGAGCAGGGUAUAAAUAUAGACCCUAGGGCCAUGUAAUGAGACAUCUAUCAAUCAAUCAAACACACGUUUUUACUCAUAUUCCAGCAUCUACUUUUUCGACGACUUCGUCAUACUUUUUCCUUUUCACUACGAGUUCUUAGGAAUUCGUCGACUUAAGCUCGGCGCGUUCUCAAGUUCCGCGUGAAUACCUCUUAGCCGUGACAUCCGGGCGCAUCGCUGUUGUCAGGACUAAAGUAUUCGAGUUACCACCUUUGCCGGUAGCAAGGUCAAAUCGGCUGGCACGCCUUAACGUUUGGAUCGGGUAUUAGCCUUUUGUGUUUGCAGAUCAGUUUUGCACCAACAGACAUCAAGAACUUGUACAGGCUUUUCUUCAUAGGAUAGGUCGGACUGCAACUUGAUAUCUCUUGUUUCAACUCUCUCUUCGGGCACACGAAGACACUUCUUGAGUUGAGACACGUGGAACACGGGGAAAAUAGAACUCAUUUCGGGAGGUAGUUGCACUUUAUAAGCUACCUUGCCACUUUUCUCGAUGAUUUGGUAGGGACCCACAUACCUAGGGGCAAGCUUUCUUUUAACGCCGAAGCGAUUUACUCCUUUCAUGGGCGACACCUUUAGGUACACAAAGUCACCUACUUCGAACUCGAUUGGUUUUCUUCUUCGGUCAGCAUAGCUUUUCUGUCUAGCCUGGGCGGCUCUCAUGUGCUGUUGGAUAACGAGAACUUGCUUCUCGGCUUCUUUGACAAAGUCAAUUCCGUAGUACCUCCUUUCACUAGGUUCGACCCAGUUUAGAGGAGUUCUACACUUGCGGCCAUACAAAGCUUCAAAAGGAGCCAUUUGGAUGCUUUCUUGAUAACUAUUAUUGUAAGAGAAUUCAGCUAAUGGUAGCCACUUCUCCCAUGCACCCUUGGAAGAUAUAACACAUGCCCUCAACAUAUCCUCUAAAAUUUGAUUCACACGCUCAGUCUGACCGGAGGUUUGAGGGUGGUAGGCUCAACUGCAAACCAACUUUGUACCAAGGAGUGAAUGCAGAUGCUCCCAAAAGCGAGCAGUGAAUUGAGGACCUCAGUCAGAAAUAAUAGUGCGAGGCACUCCGUGCAAUUUAACUAUCUGAGAGAAUUACAACUCAGCAUAGUCGGAUGGUCGGUAUGUAGAGUGUACAGGAAUAAAAUGAGCUGACUUGGUCAAACGGUCAACAAUCACCCAUAUGGAAUUGUGUCCUUUCUGAGUAAGGGGAAGUCCAACAAUGAAAUCUAUGCUGAUUUCUUCCCACAUCCAACCUGGAAUCGACAAGGGUUGCAAUAAACCUGCAGGUUUGAGGUGAACUGCCUUUACCCUGCAGCAAGUAUCACACCUAGCAACAUAAGCUGCUAUCUCCUUCUUCAUUUUGGUCCACCAGAAACGAGAUUUCAAGUCUUGGUACAUUUUGCUACUCCCCGGAUGAAUGGACAAUUUGGAAGAAUGAGCUUCGUCUAGAAUUUUGUUGCGUAGGUCACGGUCUUUAGGUACAACUAGCCGAUUGUCAAACCACAGUACACCCUUCUCAUCCACCCUGAAAUGCUUGGUGUCUUGCUCUUGCAUUUUUCUUUUGAUAUUAAAAAUACCAGGAUCAGUCUUUUGGAGCUCUAUAAUUUGACUCUCUAGCGAGCAACUGACUACAAUGUUGUGCAAGACCACCGGAUGCAAUAAAUUGAAGCCUUCCUCUAGAAGAGGGUUCACAUGUUGUUUCCGACUGAGAGCAUCGGCUACAACAUUGGCCUUGCCUGGAUGAUAGUGCACUUCUAAAUUGUAGUCUUUUAUCAAUUCCAACCACCUUCUUUGUCUCAUAUUCAGCUCAGGUUGUGUGAAGAUAUAUUUGAGGCUCUUAUGGUCAGUGUAAAUGUGACAUAGAUUACCCAACAGAUAAUGCCUCCAGAGUUUCAAUGCGUGUACCACUGCUGCUAAUUCUAAAUCAUGGGUCGGGUAGUUGGUUUCAUGUUUUCUCAGCUGCCGAGAGGCAUAGGCAAUAACUCGGCCUUCUUGCAUAAGUACACAGCCUAGGCCAGUGCCAGAUGCAUCACAAAAGACAUCAAAUGGCUUUUCAAUGUCAGGCUGCGCUAGAACAGGAGCGGUGGUCAGCAAAUGGCGUAAAGUGGUGAAAGCGACUUCACACUCUUGGCACCACACAAACUUCACAUCUUUUUGCAGUAGCUUGGUCAUAGGCUUAGCUAUUUUGGAGAAGUCUGGAAUAAAGCACCGAUAAUAACCAGCUAGACCAAGAAAACUCCAGACCUCGUACACUGAAGUCGGGGCCUUCCAGUCUAGAACCUCCUGCACCUUUGAUGGGUCAACAGAAAUACCCUCUUCGGAUAAAAUAUGGCCUACGAAAGGCACUUUCUUCAGCCAAAACUCACACUUGCUGAACUUGGCAUAGAGAUGAUGUUCCCGCAAUCUAGUGAGUACAAUUCGAAGGUGCUCCUCAUGUUCUUGUGCAUUUUCAGAAUACACAAAUAUAUCAUCGAUGAACACCACCACAAACUUAUCAAGUUCAGGCAUGAACACCGAAUUCAUCAGGUACAUGAAAUGAGCAGGGGCAUUAGUCAGACCAAAGGACAUGACUAAAUAUUCAUACAACCCAUACCUGGUAGAAAAAGCCGUUUUAGGAAUGUCUUCUGGUCGGAUCUUGAUUUGAUGAUACCCAGAUCUCAGAUCAAUCUUGGAGAAUACUUUGGCCUUGGCUAAUUGAUCAAACAGGAUAUCAAUGCGAGGCAGUGGAUACUUAUUUUUAAUAGUCACAGCAUUGAGUGGACGAUAGUCUACACACAUACGUAGAGACUUGUCCUUCUUCUUGACAAAGAGAGCUGGACAACCCCAUGGAGAAGAACUAGGCCGAAUAAGACCCUUCUCUAGGAGUUCUUGCAAUUGCUUUUUCAACUCUGCCAAUUCAUUGGGUGGCAUUCGGUAUGGCCUUCUAGAGAUAGGUGCGGUACCCGGAAUUAGAUCAAUUUUAAACUCAAUGUCUCUGUCCGGCGGCAACCCGGGCAGAUCCUCUGGAAAGACGUCCGGAAACUCACAUACUACCGGGAUCUCUGCCAAAGCGAGUGGUUGAAUAGCAUUGGUACUGUGACGGAUGUCAUCAUUCUUGGGAAGCUGGACUAAGAAGGCUUCUUUGCUAUCAGGCUCUCGCAACAUGACUACUCUCGUGGAGGUAUCUAUUAACACCCCAUGCUUGCUCAUCCAAUUCAUUCCUAGAAUAACAUCUAUCCCUAAGCCUGGCAAUACUACUAAAUCUGCUGCAUAAUUACACCCUUCUAUGGCAAUAUGUACAUCCCUCACUACUUGAUUUGUAGCAAUUUGAUUACCAGCAGCACUAAUGCAAAAUUUUCCACUAUCAAGGUCAAUGACAUGUUGCCCAUACUUAGAUGCGAAUGCUUGACUCAUAAAAUGAAUGCUAAGCUCCAGAAUCAAACAAGACAACUGCAGGGUGUUGAUUUACAAGGAACAUACCAGCGGUGACUGCUUCACCCUCAGGGAUUUCUUCAACCGUAGUGUAGUGCACACGACCAAUACGGUUAUUGCCUCCAGCUGCAGAAUUUCUCUUAGGAUAAGGGCAAUCUCUCGCCCAGUGACUAACUUGCUUACAAUUGAUGCAGGGACGGUUAUCAGGAGGAGUCUUGGGACCUCCUUGACCCGUGGCACCUCUUGGGAGAGCAACUAUGAAGGACUUGCGAACUCCCGUCUUCACAUUUGACUUCUUCUGCGGUGGCCUGUACCUUGUCACAGCAUUGGGUGGGCGAUAGGCCGGUUUGCUUGUCACUGGAGCCUUAGACUGUGAAGCACCUGCCUCAUAGGCCCUCUUGCGGUUCUUGGACGUGGCAUACACAGCAUUAGAGUUCUCCUGAGUCAAUGCAUCACUCACGAACUCAUUAAAAGUGGUACUCUUGUUACCAGCCAUGUUCUUGGACAACUUGGGUCCCAACCCUCUCUUAAAACUAGCGAGCUUCUUGACUUCGGUGUCAACCAUCUUAGGAGCAUAGCAAGACAAAUUGUUGAAAGCAUGAAGAUAUUCAGUCAAGCUUUUAGUUCCCUGUGUCAGGUGCAUGAACUCAUUGUGCUUGAUAGUCAUUAAGCCCUGGGGAAUAUAGGUAUUUCUGAAAGCAGUUUUGAACUGAUCCCAGGUCACCUCAGCAUUGGCAGGUAAGCUGGUCCUGUAAUGACUCCACCAGACACCCGCUUUGCCCUCCAACUGGUGGGCUGCGUAUUCCGCCUUUGGCUCUUCGGUUACCCUCAGCAAUCUGAAUUUCUGCUCAAGAGUGUUGAGCCAUUCAUCAGCUUCUAGAGGUUCAAUAGCCUCCUUGAAAAGCGGCGGCUUGGUGUCCUGGAAAUCCUUGAAACUACUGUGCUGGUUUGCCUCUCCACCUUGACAGACAUGGCGACCACCCCGGUUGUGCUGCGCCAUAGCUUGCAUAGCCUCAUUGAGCAUGCGCUGGCCCUCAACAAGAGUUGCCAAGAGCUCAGCAGGCGUAGGCGGGGGAGGAGGUGGUGGCGGCGGCACCUCAUUGUGACCGGAGCGAGUAUUGCGAGCCAUCUGCACAAGGCAUACCAAGUGUCUGUUUAAGGCAACAGAUAUAAUUGUCAUGAACUUCGAUUGAUGCCAUACGGAAUUUAAUGAAGUAAAUUCACAUAAAUUACGGCACAACAAUCCAUGUACAAUAAGAGAAUAUCUUCCAUGACACUUGGUUAUUCUCGCGAUCAUUCACAGCCACAAUUCCUCAAGGAUUAAAGAUAUUGCAGAGAUUUAUUUAAGCUCAACAUAAACAUGGAGCAUCACAAAUAAGUGCAUAAGGUUACACAGAGUCAUCGCCACAACUUAAGUUUUACAGAAGGGGCACCAUGGCCAAAUACAUAGAGUCUCCAAUAAAUUCAGAUUACAUGUCUAUUACACAAAGAGAUGGAAACUGAUACAUGAUCAUGGAAUUAUUGCUAGGCUACAUAUCUUCAUCAGAUUCUCUAUUAGAAAUGAUGCCAUCAUCCUGAUCUUCCUCACUAGGAGCUUCCUCAUGAUUAAAAGGACUAGAUGUGGAAUAGGAUUUAUGAUAUUAUUUAAGUGGUGGACAUCUAACUGUAGCUCAGCAAUCCUAGUAAUCAGCUCUUCCUCUCUCAUUUCAGCAUGGAACAAGGCUCUAACUCUAGCAGCUCGGGUGGAACUCCGGCGAGGGAACAAGGCUCUAAUUCUAGCAGCUCGGGCGGAAAAUGGUGGAGUAGAGAGGCCUGGCCACGUUGCCAGUGAGCUCGGGCGGAACUCCGGCGAGGGAGAACGACUCGGAGCUCGGCAAUGCCGCCUUACCCAUGCUCGACAGUGGCCAAGGAGGUGAUGCCGAGGUAGAGGACGUCGAGGCGGAGCUCUGGGCGGGUUGGCUUGGCCGGAGGCGCGGUGGAACGGCCAGAGAAGCUCGCCGAAACGCGGCGGAGCUCCCUGAGGCGACGGUGGAGCGAAAUGGGAGGCGUUGAGCGAGUGGAGGGCGCGUCUGAGGCGUCCACUCGGUGCGUGGCGUCUUGUGGACGACGUCGGGGCUGACAGGCGGGGUCGCCGUCGAUGUACGGCCGCCAAGUGGCCGGACACGCGGCGGCGGGUGAGCUCUGUCCAACUGAAUCGUUUUUCUAAAUCGGCCGAUUGCAGUGACUGAAUCCCGAAGUUCGUCGACGUUUUUCUCUCAGCUCACUCGGUGGUUUUGGCUGGGAUUUGAUCCCCUGGGUAGAGCUACACGAGUUCUACAACUUUGAUUACACGAGUUCAGUCUAAAUCGGUCUGGAUUUCAAACUACAAGGCUCCCAACAACCCUACCUCGAAACUGUGUAAACCAAGACUUAGCCAAAUUCGGCUAAGUGUGAAAUCAGCCCUGAUUUUUGGCUUGUGAGCAAAUUUUGGAGGUGUUCCAAGCCUUUUCAUAAAAAGUCAUCAACAUAACUUUUGUAGCUUAGGGAAUUCUCUACAAAUUUGUUUCAGGGGUCACAGACAUGCAAGGUUUCUAACAUUACUUUCGUAAAACAUCUUUGAAAGGAGGUUUAGGGCGUCAAAUAAGCCAUUCUAGGGUUAACCAUGACUUGGAAACAUUUUUAAACAAAACCUCCAACAUGAACUUUGUUCCAAAAGAUGUUCUAAACAUGAUUAAAGUAUUUUGGAAAGGAUUGCACACUCACAUGUAUUGGUCACCCACUAAAGUCACUCAAAACAAGUCAGACAAGCAAUUUAAUCACAUGGUACAUGUAGUAAAUGGCAUGUGAUCAUGGUAUGAUGCUCAUGAGUGAUCAUGAUGAUGCUUAUGUUGAUGCAAUGCUCAUGGGUAACAUGCAAACUAACACUAGGAGUGUUACAACUAUGAUCUGUCAUAGUCGAGACUUCCUCCUAACGUUGAGGUUUAACCGGUAAUAACGUAUAUUACUUGAAAAAGUACUUUCGUUUAUUCACAUAUUCAUUCACGGGGUCUCGGUACAAGAUGUGCAUGAAAAUGUAAAGCCUUGAAGCUCUAAGGGUAGAAGCGACAUAGCUGUUCGAUGUUCCAUGCGUUGGUGAAGACCGCCCCCUUUUCGUCCAUGAGCUUGUACGUCCCUGGCUUCAAGACCUCGGCCACUACGUAUGGGCCCUCCCAAGGUGUAGUCAGCUUGUGGCGUCCUUGAUUGCUUUGUCGUCGAUGUAGGACGAGGUCGCCCAUGUUUAGAUCCCUUUUGUGCACAUGUUUGUUGUGGUAGCAUCGAAGCUUCUACUGGUACCUUGCUGAGUUGAGGAGGGCCGUGUCUCGAGCUUCCUCGAGUUGGUCGACCGUGUUCUCCCAGGUUUCCUUAUUUGUCUGCUCGUUGUAAGCCUUGAGUGGAGGUGACCCACGCUCGAGGUCUAUUGGGAGCAUAGCCUUGGAGCCGUAGACCAUGAAGAAUGGGGUAUAUUUUGUGGCGCUGCUUAGCAUCGUUCUUAAGAUCCAUAGGACCGAGGAGAGUUCCUCGACCCAUUUUUUGCCGAAUUUCAUCAACCGGUUGUAGAUUCUCAGUUUGAGCCCUUGUAAAAUCAUGCCAUUGGCACGCUCGACCUGGCCGUUAGUUUGAGGGUGAGCUACUGCAGACUAGUUCACACAGAUGUGAUAACGGUCGCAGAAGUCCAAGAACUUUUUGCCGGUGAACUGUGUGCCAUUGUCGGUGAUGAUGACAUUGGAUAUCCCGAACCGAUGGAUUAUGUCGGUGAAGAAGAGGACAGCCUGCUCGGAGUGGAUGUUUGUGAUGGGUUGAGCCUCGAUCCAUUUGGACAACUUGUCGAUGGCCACCAGCAAAUGGGUGUACCCACCCGCUGCCCUUUGUAGAGGACCCACGAGGUCGAGGCCCCAUACCGUGAACGGCCAAGUGAUGGGGAUCAUCUUUAGAGCAUGAGCGGGGAGGUGGGUUUGCUUGGUGUAGAAUUGGCACCUGUGGCAUGAGCGAACGAGCUCGAUUGCAUCAGCGACGGCCGUUGGCCAGUAGAAGCCUUGUCGGAAGGCGUUGCCUACAAGGGUUUUUGGAGCCGCAUGGUGGCCACAAGCCCCAAAGUGUAGAUACUGGAGGAGCUUUUGACUUUCUUCCACAGUGAUGCAGCGCUGCAAGAUCCCGGUCGGGCUUCGUCGGUACAGCUCUUUGCCUUCACCAUAGAUCACGUAUGAUUUGGCCCAUCGAGCGAUACGACGGGCCUCAGCUUGAUCUUCUGGUAACUUGCCUCAAAUCAUGCAGUCGAGGAAAGGCGUGCGCCAGUUGAAUGGUCGACCGGGGCGUUGGGGAGUUCGCUCGACCUCCAUUAUCUCUACCACUGUCAACAGGGCCUCGAUUGUGUCGGUGGGCUUGGGAGUGGAAGUUUUGAUGCUAGCCCCCAUGCCUAGGUCGACAGAUGGCUCGAGUAGGUCCCUUGAGAAUGCGUCUGGUGGGAUAGUGCCUCGACUGGAUGCAAUCUUGGCAAGCUCGUCGGCUGCUUCAUUGUAUCGCCGUGCGACGUGAAUGAGCUCGAGGCCAUGGAACUUGUCCUCAAGCUUGCUUACUUCCUUGCAGUAAGCCUCCAUCUUUGGGUCAUGGUAGCUCGAGGAUUUCAUGACCUUGUCGAUAGCUGAGAGUCGCCUCGAACAUUGAGGCAUCGGACCCCUAGCUCGAUGGCGAUCCUUAGUCCAUUGACUAGGGCCUCGUAUUGUGCAACGUUGUUGGAUGCGGCAAAAUGUAUUCUGAUGACGUACCUCAUGUGGACGCCGAGAGGUGAGAUGAAUAGCAGGCCUGCCCCAGCCCCUGUCUUCAUGAGUGACCUGUCGAAGUACAUCAUCCACAGUUCUGCUUGAACCUGAGCUAGGGGGAGCUGGGUGUGUGUCCACUCCGUGACGAAAUCCGCCAGCACCUGAGACUUGAUGGCUUUGCGAGGUGCAUAGGUGAGGGUCUCCCCCAUGAGCUCGACUGACCACUUGGUGAUCCUCCCAGUGGCCUCUCGACUCUAGAUGAUCUCGCCCAGCAGGAAGGACAAGACCACCGUGAUCGGGUGGCUCAGAAAAUAAUGCUGCAGCUUGCGUCGAGCGAGAAUUACAGCAUAAAUCAAUUUUUGAACCUAGGGGUAUCGUACCAUUCUAUCCGAGAGUACCUCGCUGAUGAAGUAGACCGGCCGCUGGACUAGUAGUGCAUGCCCUUCCUCUGGUCUUUCGACCACCAUGGCCGCGCUAACGACCUGGGUCGUCGCCGCGACGUAUAGGAGCAGAGUUUCCGCGGGUCGAGGACGCACCAGGAUCGGAGCAGUGGUCAGCAUCCUUUUUAGUUUGUCGAGGGCUUCCUCAGCCUUGAUAGUCCAAGUAAAGCACUCGGCUUUCUUCAGGAGGCGGUAUAAUGGCAAUGCCUCCCCCCAGCCUCGAAAUGAAACGACUUUCUCUACGCCCUUGACGUCUCGAAUAAGCCCCAUCUUGGUGAUGGCCGAGACUUUCUUGGGGUUAGCCUCGAUGCCGCGCUGGGAGACUAUGUACCCUAAUAGCAUGCCUCGAGGCACACCAAAGACACAUUUCUCGAGGUUGAGCUUGAUUUUAUUCGUGCACAAGCAACUAAAGGCGAUCUCGAGGUCCUGAAUUAGGUAAGCCUGUUUCUUUGAUUUGACGACAAUGUCGUCGAUGUAUGCCUCAACCGUCGACCCUAUAUGCUCCCCAAAAACAUGAAGCAUGCACCGUUGGUACGUAGCCUCGGCAUUUUAGAGCCGAAAGGGCAUAGUCACGUAGCAGUACAUUCCAAAAGGCGUGAUGAAAGAGGUCGCGAGCUGGUCGGACUCUUUCAUCUUUAUUUGGUGGUAUCCAGAACAAGCAUCAAGGAACGAAAGGUUCUCACAUCCCGCGGUAGAAUCAACGAUUUGAUCAAUGCGUGGUAAAGGAAAAGGAACUUUCGGACAUGCUUUAUUUAAACUGGUAUAAUCGACACACAUCCUCAUUUUCCCAUUCUUUUUCUUAACUAAUACAGGGUUUGCUAACCAGUCGGCAUGGUGAACCUCCUUGAUGAAUCCAGCCGUCAAAAGCUUGUGGACCUCCUCGCUAAUGAUCUUGCGCUUCUCCUCGUUAAAGCGACGCAAGCAUUGCUUCACUAGCUUGGAACCGGCUCGAAUCUCCAAGGAGUACUCGGCAAUUUCCCUCGGUAUGCCAGGCAUGUCCGAGGGACUCCAUGCAAACAUGUCGGCGUUUGCACAGGUCGACGAGCACGGUUUCCUAUUUGGGGUCGAGGUCAGCGCUGAUCGUCAGCACCUUGUCGUCAGAGCUAUUGGGGUCGAGCGGGGUUUUCUUUGUGCCCUCUACUGGCUCGAAGCUGCCCGCAUGGCAUUUAGGCUCUAGAGCCUCAGCGGCGAGGGCCUCGAGCCUUGAGGCGAGCUCGGUGGAGCUCUCUAUAGCUUCCCCGUAUUCGACGCAUUCGACGUCGUAUUCGUAUGCGUGCUCGUAGGAGGAGCUGACAGUGAUGUCCCCCUUGGGCCCGGGCAUCUUCAGCUUUAAGUAAGUGUAGUUGGGGAUCACCAAGAACUUGGCAUAUCCCGGGCGUCUGAUGAUGGCAUGGUUAGUGCCUCAAAAACCCACUACUUCGAAAGUGAGGGUUUCCUUCCUGAAGUUGGCUGCUAUGCCAAAAUAGACCGGCAGGUCGAUUCGACCCACAUGCAACGCUUUCUUCCCUAGCACAACGCCAUGGAAACCGCCAGCGCUGGAUUGGAGCUGUGCUCUCUCGAUGCCAAGGAGGUUGAGGGUCUUGAGGUAGAUGAUGUUGAGGCUGCUGCCUCUAUCCAUCAACACCUUUGAGAGCCGGGUGUUGACGAUGAUGGGGUCGACGAUGAGCGGGUAGAUGCCGGGAGUGACAACCUUGUCGGGAUGAUCGUCAUGGUCGAAGGUGAUGGGGGUGCUUGACCAGUUUAGGUACUGUGGCACCGCCGUUCUUGCCACGAAGACCUCGCGGCACUCCCUCUUACGCGAUGUGAGCUGCGUCGAGGGUCCGCUGUAGAUCAUGUAACAGUUGUGGACGGCGGGGAACCCCUCUUCUUCUUUGUUUCCACCCUUGUCAUCGCUUUUGUCUUUCCUCUGGUCAUCCUUCUUCAGCCCCAGGCUGUUGAAGUACUUCUUUAGCAUGCGGCAAUCCUCAAGCUUGUUAUUGGCCCCUCCCUUGUGGUAAGGGCAGGGCUCUUUGAGCAUCUUAUCGAAGACGACCACCUCUAGAGCGUCUCGAUUCUUCUUGUGCUCGACUGCGGCAACGAAAUCGUCGUCGAGGGCUUCCCGCUUGAUCUGCCGCGUCUUCUUCUUCUUCUUGUUCUUCUUAGGCCCGCUACUGGGGCCCUCGUCAUUAUUCGCUGGCGCCUUCCCCUUGUCAUUCUCGUGAUUGAAGAAAGCAUUGAUUGCCUCCUCGCCAGCGGUGUAGUUCGCCACCACGUCCAUUGGCUCGUCGAUGGUCUGCGGGCGAUUUUGACCUAACUCUCGCACCAAAUCCUUGCACGUGGUUCCUGAGACAAAGGCCAGAAUGAUGUCGUGGUCGGGGAUGUGUGGGAGCUCCGUGUGCUACUUUGAGAAGCGACGAGUGUACUCUCAGAGAGAUUCUCCCGAUUUCUACUUGCACUUGCUGAGGUCCCAUGAGUUGCCAGGGCGGAUGUAAGUCCCAUUGAAGUUCCCUUAGAAGACCCAGACCAAGUCGGUCCAAUCGUGGAUCAUGUUAGUAGGGAGCUCGUCGAGCCACCUACGAGCCGUGUCAGAGAGGAAGAGCGGUAGCUGCCGGAUGAUGGCUCGAUCGUCCCCUCGGGCGCCUCCCAACUGGCAUGCCAGCUGGAAGUCCGCCAGCCACAGGUCUGGCUUGGUUUGGCCAUUGUACUUGGCGAUGCUGGUCGGGGGUCGAAACGGGCAUGGCAGUGGCGUGCUGUGGAUCGCCCUGCUGAAGACUCGAGGGCCCAACAGCUCUGGAGCCAUUCGGUCCUCAUCACUAUCGUAACGUCCACCGCGGUGAGCGCUGUAGCCACGUUCCUCAGCUUCCCCAUGUUUGCAGCGAUAGUGCUCGUUGAUGCCAUGUCGAGCGUCGUGCUGCCUCGAUUAUCGAUGAGGCGCUCCUAGACAGGCACCAUUUUUUAGCACGAGGUGGUGGCCCCUGAUAAACAGACACCUCCCUCUCGUUCCGGGCUGGCUCUACGCAUUUUUCUGUGGCUGCCCCUCGACAUCGAGAGGCUGAGCUCUCAGCUUGUUGUGCUACCACCACGUGGAGCAGACCCUGUACCUCGUCUCAAAUGCAUCGUGCCUGGGAGUUCGAAGGCUCAGGAAUGUUACAUAGCAGCAUGGUUGCUGCCAUGAUGUUCGGGCUGGCUCGAGGGAAGCAGCUGACGAGCGUCUCCGGCUCCUCGUCCCCGACAAUCUGUUGAUACACUUCUCGUGCACGACCACGCGCGCCCCCGUCGUGCGGGUGCAGUUCAUCUCGCUCGAGAGCCUGCUCAAGUUGGAUGAGGCACUCGCGAUCCUCGUCAAACUGGGCCUUGAGCUCUCACAGCUGCGCAAGUUGCACGGCCUUGUCGUCCUGAGGCGGGGGGUGUCACAGAACCGACCAAAUUAUAAGAGUUCAAGUGUCGAAACGAUCGACAAGCAAUCAAGUUUCCAAACUUGAGCCCAUAUAAUCCCGGUAGUCAACUGAAAUCUCGAAGGACUUCAAACCAACUUGCAACAAACCAAGAUCGUAAUAGUUCAACAUAACACAGCGGAUGUUACAUAGUCAUUCAUUGCCGUCGAAGCGGCACCUCAUCGGAGUUACUCAGUUGUUACAACACAUGUUUAAAGUAGCGGAAGCAAAAUAAUUUACAACACAUGUUCCAAAGUUCAGUUCACAAGUUCUUGUUCAGCCAGGGUCUCAUGCCAUCCAUCCAAAAGCAACAGGUACGAAGUAGUUAGAGAACCGUGCCCAACGGUUAGUCCUCAUCCCCAGCGGGAUGGAGACAGGUCUUGCUGAAGCCAUCAUAAAAUAUAUCAUCUGCAACAUGUGGGGAUAAACCCUGAGUACGAGAAUGUACUCAGCUAGUGAAACAUAAAAGACACCAAGGAUCAUGCAAGGCUAAGUAUAAAGUGGAGCUGGUUGACUCACUGUUGCCAAAAGCUUAAUUAAUUACCUUCCAUGUGGUAAUAGCAUCAUAUUUUAUAUUGGUCAUCAUUAACCUACCACUAGAUUAGCACCUGUACUAAAACACAUCACUUGAUUAUUAUAAGCAUUAAUAACCAUAUCAAGUUCAUCAAGUGCUCUUUCUUGCUAUCAUCAUUAUCACGAACCAUUGUUCUUUAGUAGAUGCUACGUUGGCCGCUGCUAUGUCAAGUUCUCACUAUCCGGGAGAGACAGCGAUUCGAAUCGAUUCCUAUUCAGCUGGAGGGUUAUUCCUAGCACUCACCCAAGCAUGCCCCGUCGGAGAGCCAGCGGGUCACCUUUGGUACGACUCAAAAAUCACGGCUCCGAUCAGCGCCGCACUCCCAGGGCUACCACUCUGCCAGGGAGGUUAGGAAUUUUAACUCACCUGCCUUUGGUCUUACGCCAAUGGUCCUCCGCACACCGCACUUCCUCCGGUAGUGCGCACUUUAUACUUGCCGGUCUUCCAGCCUAAGUCAUACUACUAGGCUUCGCGGUCGGAACGAGUAAUCCGGCCAACUAAGUGUUAGGCAUGCGUUCAACAUGACAAGAGGACGUACAACGGUCGGUCCUUAGCUGCCAUAGACGGAGUUACUACAACCUUGCAAAACUACGCCCGGCUUAAGUCAAUUUAAUCAGGUUCCAUCCACGAUAGCACAUAUAGUCAAUCGUGAUCCGAUACAACCCUAUAUCGCGCAGGUGACAGGAUAUCACCCGACUUCUACCGAUUAAAGUAUGGCUAAGCUGCUACUCGAUCCUAACUCUAUAACCAGUUAAAGGUAAGAUAUCUGGACAAGGAUUGAGUAACAUGCAGCAAGGGUUUCAUCACAACUCCUAUACGUAAAUGCAUCAAUAGAUAUAACAUAAUCAAGGAAGCUUUUUGAAAGUAAAGUGGGAGGCUUAAGAUGCUCCGAGGCUUGCCUUUCACGAACGAUGCAGGCUCGUGAUUCGGGCACUCAACCUCCUCUUCGGGCUCCUCGAGUCCGGCUUGCUGGACCUCCGCCUCCGGAUUGCACUCCUGGCCUUCGGGGUUCACCUGAAGCUUGAAUGAAGCUGUCGUGUCCGGUGCACCUAUUGCAUGCAUGAUAAGUAAGAACGGGUGCACGCUGAACAGAAAUGAAUGCUUGACAAUGCAAUUAAGACUUCACUGGACACUCAUUUACUGAGUAAACUUCUAAGAUUAAAUCCCAAAGGAUAACUAAUUAGGUUAGCAAAACUUAACAGGUCCAACUAUAAACAGCAAGCAUUUCAAAACAGAGCAGCUCAGUAAACAGGUCAUAACUAUUGCUCUAAAGAUCCAAAAAAUAUAAAUGAGGACAUUAUGGAAAGCUUAUGAAAUUUUCUACGUUUCAUAUUUAGACAUCACAGCAAGAUUCAUAAGUUAACCAUGUCAAUUAAACAAAGUUCCAGGUUCUGUCCCAGAAAAACAGAAAGCACCUAUUUCUGGAACCCAACUUGGAAAAGCCAUAACUUCUAAACUAUUGGACCAAAUGAUCCCAAAUUUGAACCACAGCUAGUUCAUAAAGUUUACAACAACUUUGAUUUAGACAAGUCUUCCAGAAAACCAAGUUAUUAGUAAGCAAAGAUUGAAUUACUUCCUUGCUGUCCAAAACAGCUUUUAACCCUUUAAUUAAUUAUUUGAUGACAUAGCCAAAACAUAAUCAGUAUCAACCACAUGGCUUAUAAGCACAAGCAUAUCAUAAGACAACCAGAACAGCAUAUGUUAACCCCUAAACAUUUAAUAACAGGCAUUUAUUAAUUUGAUUCUAUAAAGGGACAUAAUUACAAGAUACCAGCAAAAGUGCUCAGAAAAAUCUACAAACAUUACAGAAGCACAAGAAUAGCAUCUUGACAUCACCAUAAAAUUUUCAGGGCAAUUGCACAUGCUAAAUUUAAGAUAAGCAUUUAACAUGUGGCAAGGUGCUUAUUUCACAAAUUAAGAAACAUGGCUUAUAUAGUGUCAAACAAAAGAUUUCAGAUUAUUUACUUGCUACAAAUACCAUAAGCAAGUUUGACACCAGAGUAGAGCAUCAGCAUAAGCACCAAUUAUUUACUAUGGUUUAAAUAAGAAAACAAGCCGUAGAACCAACAUAAAUUACAUAUCACAGAUAUAGUACUCCAAAAAUUAUUAAAUAUUUAUCAUAGCAUUCUCAUACCACUCAGAGCCUAGCAUAAAAGUUUCAGAACAAAAAGAGCAGUAUAUCAAGAGAUAUAAAUUUAUACAUAACUAAAAAGAUUAAAUCCUAAUAAUUAUUUAUCCCAGGAAACAUGAUACAUUUUAUAUUUUUAUUAAAAACUAGCCAUCUCAUGGAACAUCACAAAAUUUGUUUCACAAUUUUUAGAUCUCAGAAACAAAAGAUAUGAUUUUUGCAAUAAAGCCAAAAACCUGGAUUUGAAUAAAAGAAAAGGAGGGAAACGAUGUGUCACUGACAGCGGGUCGCGCAUGUCAGGGUCGUCUUCCUCACAGCCGAGGCGACUCUCACCGGCGAUUUCUCCGCGACGGCGAGGUCUCCGGCCAACCCACGGGCAUCAACGUGAUCCCCAGACCCUUGCGAACCGAUUGACCCCCUUUUCCCCGCGGCGGAGCCACUGGAAAUGGCUUGCCGUCGACCAUGGCGGCUCGGCGGAGGUGCUCGGUGGUACGCCGGAGCUCUCGAGCCGGUAGAGCGCGACCUAGUGUUUCCUACAGCACCAGCGAACUACGGCAAAGCUUCCUAGGUGGCUAGGCUUGAAACGGCGUGGAACGAGAUGGCCACGAGAGAGCCCAACUACGGCGGAAACACGGCGGCGCUGCGCGUCGUGUCCGGCGACGGUGAGCGCGGUAGAGCGUCCACCAGGUGGUGCAAACAUUCGCUAAGGACCUAAGCUACCUCUAGGACCUAACCAGAGAAGACGAGAGGCCCCGAGGAGCUCGGCAUUGAGUUCGCUGGAGAAGAAGGUCACGGUGACCCGAUUUUGGGGAAGUCGGAAAUGUUGGCUCACCGGAGGGUUUCACGGCGAGCUAGCGGGUGGAGGGUGGAGAGCGGUUCAUGGCGGAGCUGUGGGUGAGUUUUGGUGAGCAGCAAUGCAGUGACGAGCGCGAUUGAACUCGCCGGAGUGAGCUCGCGAUGGUGAGCUCACUGCGGCCGCUUUUCUGGCGAGAGAGCGAGAGGAAGGAGAGAAUGGACGCGUCCACUGCGUCCGGGGCGUCGCCGUGGAGGUCAUGCACGCGCUGGGAGCUGACGAGCGGGGCCAAUAGCGACGUACGGGCGCCAAAUGUCGACGAAGCUCUGUCGCCGGUCGGCCACGUCGACGAGCUCGGCUCCGAUUCAGACACGGCGUUGAUCGUCUGACAGAGCAACUUCAACGAUGAUUAACUUCCAAACCAAAGCGAGUUAGGAGAUGGUGUAGUUGACAAAGUUGAAGUACUAGCUGAGUUCUACAACAUUGUCAACUAGAGCAAAAGCCAGAUCGGCCUGGAUUGAGAGAUAUGAGGUUUUCAAAAUCGAUCGAGCAAACUGUUGCGUCCCCAGACUUAGAAAAUUUUUCUAAGUGUUGGAAACAGCCUCAAAUCUGCCUUGUGGGUCACUUUUGAGCUAGAUGUGAUCAUUUUCAUGAGAUGGCUAUAAAACAACUUUUGUUCCUUAUAAAAUUUGCUACAACUUUGCUGUAGAAAGUUUUGACAUGUAGACAUUUUAUGAAACACUUUUUAAAAGCCUAAGCAAAAGAGGUUUCUAGGGCCUAUACAUGGAAACAUGACUUAAGUAAUUAUUUUGGAGAAAUGAUCAACAUGAACAUUGUUCCUAAGGUUGAGUUAAGCAUAGAUAAACUAAUUACCAAGGCUUAACACACAAGCAAGAGCAUGGUUCACACAAACACAAGCAUAGGAGGCAUAAUUAAUCAAGUUAAAGCACACUUAAGCAUAAAAUAACAUGGAUCAAGGUAGAUGAUGAUCAUGAUAUGCUUGAGUAGAUGAUGAUGCUCAUGUUAUGCAUGUGAUUGAUGCAACCAUAACACUGGGGUGUUACGGCCCUCCCCCCUUACAAAAAAUCUCGUCCCGAGAUUUGGAAGCUUACUGAUUUUCAAAGAAGGUUUUAUAAACUUCUUUUAAGUAGUCCUCCGUUUCGAAAGUGGCAUCUUCAUCCCCGUGGUUACUCCACAACACCUUGUAGAACUUAACCACAUGAUUUCGUGUUACCCAUUCCAUGCGGUCAAGAACCGCUACAGGUUUCUCCUCGUACACCAAGUCAGAUUUCAACUUGAUAUCCCGAACUUCUACUCGUUCCUCCGGAACACGAAGGCACUUCUUUAAUUGUGACACGUGGAAGACAGGAAAAAUAGCUCGAAGCUCAACUGGAAGUUGAACUUUGUAUGCUAUGUUUCCUUUCCUUUCGAGAAUCCGAUAAGGUACCACAUAUCGAGGUGCAAGCUUUCGCUUGACUCCGAACCUUUGUACACCCUUCAUCGGAGACACCUUGAUAUACACAUGGUCACCGACUGUAAACUCAAUCGGCUUCCUUCUAUUAUCAGCAUAACUUUUCUAACGAGUUUGAGCAGCUUCCAGAUGUUGCUAGAUGGUACGGACUUGCUGCUACGCUUCGUUCACGAAAUCGAUGCCAUAAUACCUUCGUUCCCCGGAUUCCACCCAAUUCAACGGGGUUCGACACUUUCGACCGUACAGGGCUUCGAAUGGAGCCAUCUUGAUACUCUCUUGAUAACUAUUGUUGUAAGAGAAUUCAGCUAACGGCAAUCACUUAACCCAAGAAACCUUGGAGGAGAGAGCACAUGCCCUCAACAUGUCUUCUAGGAUUUGGUUGACCCGUUCAGUCUGGCCAGCCGUUUGGGGAUGAUAUGCCGAACUACGGACCAAGUGAGUACCAAUCUGCUCAUGUAGACACUCCCAAAAAACGAGCAGUGAACUGUGGUCCAUGAUCUGAGAUGAUAGUUUGAGGCACACCAUACUGACGAACAAUGUGCUCAAAAUACAACUCCGCAUAUUGAUGUGGACGAUAAUCAGUUCGAACUGGAAUAAAACGAGCAACUUUGGUCAAACGGUCUACAAUCACCCAGAUAGACUCGUAACCCUUGACAGAAGUUGGAAGUCCAACAAUGAAAUCCAUGCUGACUUCUUCCCACUUCCAACUAGGAAUUGAUAAGGAUUGAAGUAAGCCUGCUUUCAUGUGAACAGCCUUCACAUGACAACAAUUGUCACAACGAGCAACAAAAGGAGCAAUCUCCUUUUUCAUCUUUGUCCACCAAAAUAGAGGUUUCAGAUCCUGAUACAUCUUGCUACUACCAGGAUGGAUAGACAACUUGGAUGAAUGAGCUUCGGACAGGAUCUGAUUUCGCAGCUCACGGUCUUUUGGGAGCACAAGUCGAUCUUUGAACCAAAGAAUUCCGUUUUCAUCGACCCGGAAGUGUUUGGUUUCUUCUUCUUUCAUUUUCCUCUUUAUAUGGUAGAUGCCUACAUCGGUUCGUUACAAUUCGAUGACUCGAUUGCGAAGAGAACUCUCCAGAGAAAUUUGGUUGAGCACAAGUGGGUGCAUAAGAUGUGACAAUAAUGGAUCUUCCACCUGAACUGAGUGACAAUGUGCUUUCCGACUCAAGGCAUCCGCAACCACGUUUGCCUUGCCCGGAUGAUAGUGCACUGGUAGAUUAUAAUCUUUAAUCAACUCAAGCCACCUUCGCUGACGCAUGUUCAAUUCAGGUUGAGUGAAGAUGUACUUGAGACUCUUAUGAUCAGUGUAGAUAUUACACAGAUUACCCAGCAAAUAGUGCCUCCAGAUUUUCAAAGCAUGGACAACCGCAGCCAAUUCUAAGUCAUGAGUAGGGUAAUUUACCUCAUGCUUUCGAAGUUGGCGUGAGGCAUACGCGAUAACACGACCUUCCUGCAUCAGCACAUAGCCUAGACCAAUACCCGACGCGUCACAGAAGACAUCGAAGGGCUUCUCGAUAUCAGGUUGAGCUAGGACAGGAGCUGAUGUUAGCAGUGUCCUCAACUUGUGGAAUGCCUCUUCACAUUCCAGCGUCCACACAAACUUCUCAUCUUUCUAGAGCAGGCGAGUCAUAGGCUUGGAUAUCUUUGAGAAUUCCGGAAUGAAUCGACGAUAAUACCCAGCCAACCCAGAAAACUCCGAACCUCGUGCACCGAAGUUGGAACUUUCCAAUCCAGCACUUCUUGCACCUUAGCUGGAUCCACCGAUAUUCCUUCUUCAGAUAAGACAUGGCCCAAGAAAGGCACUUUCUUAAGCCAAAACUCGCAUUUGCUGAACUUAGCAUAAAGCUGAUGCUCACGCAAACGUGACAACACCACGCGCAGAUGCUCUGCAUGCUCUUCUUCAUUGCAAGUAUAUACCAGGAUAUCAUCAAUGAAGACCACCACAAACUUGUCCAAUUCGGGCAUGAACACCGAAUUCAUGAGAUACGUGAAGUGAGGAGGUGCAUUGGUAAGACCGAAGGACAUGACGAGAUACUCAUACAAUCCAUACAUCGUCGAGAAAGCUAUCUUAGGUACAUCUUCAGGACGGAUCUUGAUCUGAUGAUACCCAGAUCGCAAAUCAAUCUUGGAGAAUACCUUGGCUUUAGACAACUAGUCAAACAAGAUAUCGAUGCGAGGAAGAGGGUAUUAAUUCUUGAUGGUCACCGCAUUCAGAGGGCGAUAGUCCACACACAUGCGCAAGGACUGAUCCUUCUUCACAAAGAUAGCUGGACAACCCCAAGGAGAAGAACUAGGACGGAUAAGACCCUUCUUCAACAACUCAUUUAACUAGGUCUUAAGCUCAGCUAGCUCAUUUGGUGGCAUUCUAUAAGGUCUUCUAGAGAUAGGAGCGGUACCUGGGAUCAAUUCGAUUUUGAACUCCACAUCCCGAUCUGGAGCAAGCCUGGUGUUGACGGUCCUUAAGUACCAAAUAUAAUCAUCAAAUAAAUAAAGAAAAGGAUCCAAAUGCAACCAACACCCAGACUUAGGGUUUUAUCUGACAGAAUUCCACGAGUUUUGGUGUUUGUCUAUUUCUACAGGGGGUUAUCAGGUAAUAUGGAGGAAAGGCCCACAUGUCGGGUUUACAUAGAGAUAUUAAUGUGCCGUGCAAUUUUCUAUCAUCUAGAAGACUCCAGAAGCCACGGGAACAAAUGGGAAGCUGAGCGGGCUCGGGGAAAGGGCGCCCGCCCUACUAUUUCCACCAAUCACGUUCAAUCUUGCGGAUUAUGCUCCACCGACCUAAAGGAUCAAGGAUAACCGUUCAAUCAAUGUCGGUUUGAUCCGACGGCCUAGAUUCACUUGAGGGGACUAUAUAAGCAGGCCCCCUGGCCCCUGGAGGAGGCAACCCCCUUGAUCCCUAUUCAUUAUUCAUAGACAGAGCAAAAGCUAGGGUUUGGAGAUGAGAGCUCUCCUCUCAUCUCUAAACUAGAGUAGAUCUAGAUAGUAGCGAGAUGGAGAGCGAGGGAGGAUUAGAGGAGAGGCCGGCCUAUCAGUUCUUCCUCUGGUUGUACUUCGCCAUGAUCAAACUCUAAUCAAGCUUGCUUAUGGGAUGACUCUGGUAAUCUACUUCUAUUUCAUUAUGCAAUUACUAUCCAUGUAUGUUCUGGUUCACAACUCUUUUGAGUACUUUAAUCUAUAGGACGCUAUAGGUGAGAGUUGUAGUAUAGGUGUAAGCGUGGUGCUUAGACCUAGAUUACUUGUGGAUAUCCCCUGUCUAGCCGGAUCGUGUGGUAGGCCGCGUAGGUGACAGUUACGUUGGUCCCCUGUAGUCCACCUCCUGUUCGCAGGACUGGUAGGGUUUAUCGGCCUAUGGAUAAGCAUCCUUUGUGGUGUAUUCUUAUCACGUGGUUCGUCCCAGACAUAGACAUACCCCUUUGAAGUAGAUAAACCAUAGUUAUCCUCUCUAUUCUCCUACCAUCGCCCAUAUACUAGAUUGCUCUACUCUCUAUUUCCAUAUUAUCACUCACUAUUAUCUUACCUUUAAUAUUGUUCUUAAUCAUUUCUACCAUCUUUCCUAUUUACACUUAUCUAUCUAUCUUGGUUAAGUUAGAGCGUAGUUGGUUCUCCCGUUUCCCUAUGGAUACGAUAAAACCUUUAACCGGGUAAAAGCUACACGGUAUCCGUGCGCUUGCGGAUUUAUCUGUGUGCGUACAAAUACCAUAGUACACUCUAGUGCUAUGCUGGGGAUGACAACCUUUUAUUCAAGUGGUGUUAGCAAGUGUCAACAAGCAUUUUUCGUGCCCUUGCCGGGGAAACGGUUGCUGAGUUGACUACGAACUAGCUUAAUCAUUUUCUAAAAAAUAAAAAUAUAUAUAUACUUUUCCUUUUAUCUUUUGCCUUAUCUCUGCUAUUCUUUCUUCUUAUCUAAUCCUUGAUCUCUGGUCUAUCAUGAAGGCAAACAUGUCUAUCUAUUAGUUUAAUAGACCUACGUACACACAUCUCGAACCACGAAAAUCUUCAAAGCCUAUCAUAGCAUCUAGUUUUGAGAUAGACCCCGGAUACAUAGAAUUUGUUCAAAAACAACUUUUCUCAGGAGAAGGUGAGGAAAACCCAUACACACACCUAAGAGAGUUUUAUCGAGUCUGUGACCUCCUUCGCAUAGAAGGCAUGUCCGAUGAGACCCUUAAAUGGAAGCUCUUUCCGUUCUCUUUAACAGGAAAAGAUAGACAUUGGUAUAAACUCAAAGUAGGGAGUGUUCAUGGAGAUUGGAAUGAGUUAUAUAAUAGUUUUCUUUUUAAAUAUUUUCCAAUCUCCAAACUGGCGAAACUUCGGCGUGAGAUUAUUUCUUUUAGACAACUGGAAGAAGAAUCUCUUGGGAAAUCAUGGGACCGCUUUAUUAACCUUACUCUCACUGGCCCAAAGCUUUCUAUUCCAGAAGAAGUUCUUCUAAUUCACUUUUUUGAGGGCCUUAGUGGGGAAAAUAAGCAAACCUUGAAUACAACCUCUAGAGGAUCCUUCUAUCACCUACCUGCUAGUGAAGCUAGGGAUUUAAUUGAUUCAUUGAGUGGAAAGUUUCCUAGCAUUUAUAUCCUUGAGAAAGAGAAAGAACCAGUUCCUAGACAAGAAGAAGAAGUUUCGAUAGCCAGAUCACAACCACUUCAAUGCCAAACUUUAGCUAUCGAUCCUAAACCAUCAAUAUCCCAAAAUUCUCCAAGGGAGGAAGGAAUUUCGACCUUAAAUCUUUCAGAUGCUGAUGGUUUAGACUUCUAGUUCCAUAAUAGACUUUCAAGCAUAGAUAAUUCAAAUCCUUGCAAUAAUGGUUCUCUUAGAGAAUGUCCUGGUUCCUAUUAUGAAGAAGUCGAGGAUGACAUAUCAAGUGAAGGAGAGAUAAACCAUAUAGAAGAUUCUAUCUGCUCCCCUUCCAUGUUCACAAAUUCUAAAUCCAUCCUUGACCUUAGAGACCCCUCUUAUCCCUCUCCUUUUAAGUCUCAUGAUGAUCCUAACAAUCCAUCAAGACAUCAAACCAUAGGAGUCAUAAAGACCAUGAGGAUGACAUGUCAAGUAAUGUCAUAGAAGGAGAGCUAAGCCAUAUAGAAAAUUCUAACACCUCCCCUUUCCUGAUCACAAGUUCUAAAUGGCUAGAAUGCGUAGAAUGGAUGGAUAAGGAAGAACCUUAAUGGAUUCUGACCUUGGCUCAAUUUCAAAUGGUGAGUUCUUGACUCCCUUUGAAGAUGAGAUUCAUCCAACUACAGAAGAGGACAUAGGUGAGACCAAUCCAGGAGAAACUCCGAACAUUCAGAUUGGAGACGAAGAUAACAUUAAUGAGCAUGAUAUUUAUUUCAUAGCCACUUCGUUUACUCUAUGCUCAUAUGCAACAUCUUCCCAAUCUAUUGGUCUCUCCAACAUCACCACAUUUGAGAUCUCCAGCCCGCUCUUCCUUUCUAUUUACAAAAACUUUAAAAGGGCGGUUGUCGAUGCAUAUGUCUAUAAUAAAUAUUGCAGAUCUCGUUGAGCUAAUUGUUGGUUUCCCAAGGACAAGCUUAGUGUCCUAAAACAAGCACUUAUCAGAUCGUAACAUGAACUUCUAAUUAUUUGCAACAUUGCCUUGUGUAUUGAGCAUAUAAAGAUAAUUGUAAAAAUAUUCCUUCGGGUAUUCUUUUCACUAAUCUUUCUAGGAUUGGAGCAAGAAGAUCGGAUGAAUGACAAGCACAAGGUAUGUCCAACCAAUCAUCAUACAACAUUGAAUUAAAUUUAUCCAAACAUGAAUUUUGCAAAAUUCAAGCUUUGGGGAGUACUUUACAUAAAAACAUCCUUUGCCAUGUUGCUAUGUUGGUUGUCCCUACCUUUGAUACAUGCUCGAUUUGUUAAAUACUAAUCACACUACUUCAUCUCUACUUGAGUAGAUCUCUAUAAAUGCCAUCAUGCUACCUUUGUCUAUUUACUAGCAAGUGUUGGUUUGGAAGUACUCGACAUACUUCCAUUGGCAUUUAAAUUAAGCAUGGUGCCUAGGUUGAUUUUUGAGCCGAUAGUAUGCUAUAGUAGAUAUUGGAUAUUUUGUUGGACUAACCCCUGUAGGAAAACUUUCAAUAUCGACAUGGGAAGUCCUGAGAUAAACUCACAUUGGAGACAAAGAGAGACACACAUCAAGUUUAACAAUUUACACAAGGAAGACGUAGCUCAUAAGAGAUGAUCCAUGGGGGAUGUCGCAAACACGAUGCACAACCGCUAAGAAAGGAAAGCUUCCACAAGGUGAUACUGUACCAUCACUCUCCAAGUAAGGUAACAUCUUAAGGUACUUGACUAUCACUUUUAUAAGCUUCUCCUUGGUUCUGGCAUUCAUAUGAAUAAAAGAGACGAACAUGUAUAAUUUACAACUCUAGAUUAACCAACCCAAUCGAUUCAACACGUUUAGUCCUUCCACCUUUAUGAUCCCACACUCCUAAUCAUAUGAGCUAAAAUGUUGCACAUUCAAUCUUUGAGAGAUAUAAAGAAAAAGACAUAUACAUAGAUAGAUUAUCUUUCCAUAAGGUUGAGCGAUCUGAUCUGACAAAUGUUUUAAAUUCUACACUCAUGAUCUUAUUAUCCAUCAACUUUAUCUUGCUCACUAUGCUUAAGGUUAGAGAAGAACAAAUACACUUUUAGUUCUGUUGCUGUUUUCCACCAACAGGGCCCAUGCACUUGAACUCUGCCUUGUCUCUAUGAGCAGGUACACUUGGAGCAAAACAUGGUGGAGUUUUACAACUCCUAGAUUCCACCAAGUGAAGGACCUAGAUCUACGAGCACAAACACACUGAGCAGGAUGCUGCCAACGCCGCACUUCAAACUGUUGGGCAAACAAAGAACAUGGGUGACACCGUAUCAAGAGGUGCAGACAUCAAGGUCCACACCUGAAUCAAAUGAGGCACCUAAAGAAUAAACACAGUGAGAAGUCUUGUUCAGAAGACUUAAAACAUUGAACCCUUGCCAAAAGGUAAAAUCGGUAGUUACCCAUAUUUAUCCUUUCUGCAUUCCCUUUUCCCUUAAAUUAUAUACUUUCCUUAAAUGGCUUGUUAGUUCAUCAUGUUAUCUUGAAAAGAAAAUAAAAAUGUUAAAAAUAGUAAGCUCCAUGUGAGUAUGCUCGUGGUAUAAAACCCAUAAGUACAUUCACUGUGGUGGCGUAAAAAUAAAAUAAAUAUAUUCCUGUCCUAUAAAAAUGAAAAUAUAAAAAUAAGAUUGUGAUCCCACUAAAGAGAAUAACAUUUAUUGAGGAGGCUCAACAUGAUAAAGGCAAGAUAUUUAUGCUAACACUUAACUAGUUCCACAAAGCUUUGUUGUCUAUUUGAGCUCCACAUAAUUUAAGGAUCAAAGAAGACUAGCAGACGGAGGACAUCCUAAUCGCUGUCAGGGUACUGCCAACAUUCGAAUACACCUCCGCCACCUGCUAGCUACAUCAGAAAAAUUACGUCAAAAUCCAGCUUCGGAGAGAGCACCCCCAUUUAUCUAGGUAAGUGUUUCUACUCGCGUUUAUACUUUACUCAAAUAAUAAAAAGAUGCAUAAUUGUAAAACCCAAAUAAAGAUUUUAUGCUUAUAUAUAUAUAUCCCUGCUUAGUUUGCUAGAUAAAUAAAUAAAUAAAUAAAUAAAGUUUGCUAUGAACCCUCAUGAUAAGCUCUCACAUGGAAAUGAUGAAUAGUUACUCUGCCAUGACUAGUUCUCAAAAUUGAAUUCUCUCUCAAGUUUAGGCAUGACUGUUAUGAAUUAAGAUUUGCUCUAAACCUGAACUUGUGGGAAGAGUACUUGAUCUAAAGUCUAAGUCGUUAACGGAUAUGAUAUGGGAAGGUUGAGCUGCUAUUUAUCUGUUCCUAGAGAUGCUAGAAUUCUGGAGAAUUUUAUCUUUGAAAAUGUUUAAAAUAUUUCAUGAUGAGUUCCUGUAUGAUGAGUGUUUAAAAUCUUACCACAACCAUAUAUACAUGCUUAUUAGACUAUGAAUCAUACAUUUACUUUUUACUGCUUAUGAGCAUUGAGUGUAGUCAAGCUGUGUAGACCCUUAGGAGCUUGUCAUGCGGUUAAAAUCAAGAUUCACUUGCACGUUCACUCAUACAUGCUACUUCUACUUCGGAAGUACGCAUCCACAUACAUCCACUCCUUUCCAUCUUCAGAUUCACCCAAAAUUAUUCUACUCCUAUUAAGGAGAGAAUAGCCAAAAACAUUAUUCUAUCCCUAUUAUUCCUCGUGAAAUAAAUGCUCGAGAUAUUUUGGUUACUACCACUUGCUACAUUAUUCCACGAGGGUGAGUGCUCUGAAAAAAAGUGAAUACGAGGAAAUAAAAAGGGGCAAGUGCCCGGAACCUUGAAGAAAAGAAAAAGUGAGAUGAGAGGUAAAACUGGACAAGUGUCCGACAGUAGAAUUAGGGGUACAAGAUACCCACCUUAGAAAAAAAAUAAACAUAGAGCAUCUCAUUCUCCGCAAAAGUUUCAAAGAGCAAGAAAGGUAUGUAUCCCCUCAAAAGAGCAAAAGUAGAAUUAGACUUUCACCAUUGUUUUCACCAUCAUCACCAUACACCAUUCAUUCGCCACACAUGCACAUCUUGAUAUUGACUUAUUGACUUGUUUUUCUGGAUCCAUGGUUUGACUAUGCAAUAAAUGUCUUGUAAGUAUGUAUACUUUAUCUCCCACCUAUGAGCUCCAAAUAUCAAAACCUUUUUAGAGCAGGGUGAGAGAGAAGGCAAUGUCACUAUGCCUCAUACCAAAAAUACCACAUACUUUGAGAGAAGGCAUAUAUCAUCACUGCCUUGGUGAGGAUCCAGAAAUACCACAAAAGAGAGAAAUGAGAGAGUCAUACAAGGAAUCUCUGAGUUUCAUUUUGAAAAUCUACAAAAACUCUAGAGCUUUAGUUGAUCAAAGAACAAGAGACAUGGCACUUGACUUGACCGUUCUAUCUUUUAACUACUCAAGAUACAAGUGACGGUUGCAAGCCCCAUGGUGGAAGGUAAAAUGAGUAAGUUUUAAAUCUUAACAGUUUACUCUAACUCAGAGAUGAGAUCUUGCUCGAAUGCAUGUGUACAUUUAAGGCAUAAAACCACUGCAGAAACUCUUGAGUCCAUCCUUGCUCACGGACGAGCAAGAGGUAAGCUUGGGGGAGUUGUUGACGGUCCUUAAGUACCAAAUAUAAUCAUCAAAUAAAUAAAGAAAAGGAUCCAAAAGCAACCAACACCCAGACUUAGGGUUUUAUAUGAUAGAAUUCCACGAGUUUUGGUGUUUGUCUAUUUCUGCAGGGGUUUAUCAGAAAAUAUGGAGGAAAGGCCCACAUGUCGGGUUUACAUAGUGUCGACGAAAGCUGGUCGGCAGUCUACCUUGGGGUAUACCCACAGUAGUAGUUUAUCGGUAGACGGUGCGCAAACUACGAACUCGAUGGUGACACAAGACACGGACAAGCUUUUUAUCCAGGUUCGGCCGCCGAGUUGGCGUAAUACCUACGUCCUGCGUCUGAUUGUAUUGAUUUGUGUUGAGAGAAUCUGAUGUCCUAGGGGGGUCCCUUGCCUCUCCUUAUAUAGUUCGGAGGGCAGGGUUACAGAUCCGGAAACUAAUCCUAGUCGGUUACAAUUGCCAUAGAUAGUUCGAUAUCAAUUUCUAUUCUAACCGACUAGAAUCGUGUUUGAUCUCCACGUCUUGUUUCCUUUCGCGAAACUCCGAGCUAUCGGAUCAAACCUUGAGCUUGUCUCGUAAUGGGCCAAGCCUCCUGGCUCAAGUCUAGCCGUAAGGGUAUAGGGGUUUAUACCCCCACAGCUAGUCCCCGAGCACCAUGUAUUGUGAUGUAACACGCCGUCUUGAGCUUCUUCGAUCAGUGAGGCUUGACGUCUUCAGUAAACAGAGAAGUCGCCCAAACAGUUGCAACGGUACUUUGACCAACUCAAAAGACAGUUGAUCAACAUUGACAUCGAAGAAGCUGGUUGUUCAAAGAAUGCAUGGUGCUCUAAAUUAAAAAAGAUUUCUUUCCUGGUGAAGUGUGCCCACUUUACUUUUAAGAAAAGUAUGAACCUCAAAAAAGCAAGCAUAUUCACCGCAAGGUGAAGUGUGCCCACUUAGUCCCCGAGCCUGGUAGUAGGUAACGUAGGCACGUGGUGCCAGGGUCAAAAGAAAAAUCCUCAAAGAAAUUCUGUAACUGAGAUGCAUCGCCAGAUGCAUCGUACCGAUGUAGUCCCCGAGCUUGCUGGAAGGCGAAGUAUGAGCCUUGUAGCAAGGUCUAAAAAAUUAAAUUUACCAGUCUGUCUGCAAUUGAAUUGAAUAAUCGACCAGUCCCUAGGUGUACAAUAGUAUGACCACCAGGACCCAAGCACCAAGUGCACUCCUUAGAAUUCUGCGUUGCUAUACUGGACAACCAGUCCCCGAGCAUCGAGCGCUCAGUGGUUGGUGCGAUAUUUUGAAGUUCCGAGCUGAUAGACUAGGCGACCAGUCCCCGAGCAUCAAGUGCUCGGUGGUCGGUGCAGUCUUUGAAGUUCCGAGCCGAUAGACUGGGCGACCAGUCCCCGAGCAUCAAGUGCUCGGUGGUCGGUGCAGUCUUUGAAGUUCCGAGCCGAUAGACUGGGCGACCAGUCCCCGAGCAUCAAGUGCUCGGUGGUCGGUGCAGUCUUUGAAGUUCCGAGCCGAUAGACUGGGCGACCAGUCCCCGAGCAUCAAGUGCUCGGUGGUCGGUGCAGUCCUCGGAUUGUUGACUUCCUACCAGUUUUGUCUGCUUGUUCUGAAAAUUUUCCACACAAAGAGUUGACGUGACGAGUCCUUCUGACGGGAUGUCAGAUGGAUGCAUGAAAAGUUGCGCCUGGCAACUGUACAGCCGCCCUUUGCGCUGUUUGAGAAAAGGAAACCAUCAAUUUGUACGAAAACUCCGCCGCAUUAAUUGUCGAUAAUCAUUGAAAACCGAAACACCGCAUCCGCCGUAUGGCCCGCCCACUUCCCGAGGAUGCGGGAAGUGGGAGGGGUGAAGUUGUGGGUUAUAAGAGCUCGACAGUUCCCCCUUUACAUCUUACCCUUCAAGCCUUCACUCUUGCCUCCUUCAAUCAUCUACACCUUCCAAACUCGAAUCCACUUCCUCGACAAAAAAUGGCGAAGAGCGAAUCCAAGAAGAGGGCCGAGCUGAUGGCCAAGGAGUGGAAGAAAUCCCGCAGCACCGCCAAGUCUCUCGGUGACCUCGUCGAUAUGGGGCUUCUGCACGGCCUAGAGCUCGGCGGCUGGAGAGCGCCGGAAGGAGAGAGCUUCCCCGACCCCCGUGCCGGUGAGAUCGUGGUGUUCGAAGACUUCGUUAAGAGGGGUUUUGGGGUUCCUGUUCAUCCCUUUCUUCAGGGUCUUCUUCUUUAUUAUGCGAUCGGGAUUUGCAAUCUGCACCCGAACUCAAUCCUUCUUAUUUCUACUUUUAUCCAUUUGUGCGAAGCCUAUGUUGGCAUAGAGCCGCACUUCGACCUUUUCCGCUAUCUUUUUUGUUUAAGAAAGAAGGGAGCAGUUGGAGGCUCCAAGGUUGCUGGUGGAGUAUACCUCAACCUUCGCGACGGAAUGAAGAACCACUACCUGCACUGUCCAUGGAACACUUCCCUGACCGAAUGGUACAGGAAGUGGUUCUACAUCAGGGAGGAACCGGGCAGCUCCACGUUCUGCGACGUGGGAUACAUCCCUGAGAAGAGGGUGAGCUGGACCGAUCGCCCAGAGUUCGACGGUCAAGUGGCGGACCUCAUGAAGCUGAUCGACUGGUCGCGCCUGGACGGGCUUGGCGUGGUCGGCAACUUCAUUUGUCGUCGGGUGAUGCCCUGUCAGAAAAGGGUGCACUCGGCGUACGAAUAUGCCGGAAGCGUGGACCCGACCAGGAUGCGACCUGAAAUCUUGGAGAAGGCGGAGGUACAGCAGCUGCUGAACGAGCUGUUCAACUUCGCAGACGGAGGCUUCAUCCGUGGCAGUGAUCGGGUGCAAGCCUUCAAGUUGGGGCGACCAGCGCCUAAGGUAUGUUAUUGAUUACUUCGCUUUAGCGUCCGUAUAUUGUCUGCGGCUAACUUAUCUUUGUUACUUUUGCAGAUCGGAGAUGUCGACCGGUGCACAGUGUAUGUAUCACUGGCACCGGGAAUGGAGAAUCCUGCGGGAGAAGAUCCACCAGAGGAAGACGCUGCUCGAUGUACUCGUUACACCAGCAGUGAGGAAGACCAGGCCCGCCCCGUCCCGACCACCAAGGAUAGAGUGACGGGGAAAAGGCCAAUGCCCGCGGAUCCGUCGCCGGCACCGACGUUGCCGGCAGAGAGCAGCCGAGCGUCAAAGCGCUGUCGGUUUGUUCGGAUCGACGACGACGACGAGGAGGAGGAGGCCGUACCGUCGUUGGUCCGGAGGCCUCAUAGCCGUCCAGACAGCGUGCCGGCCACUGCUGAUCGGGUGGCCAGCGACCCUCCUGCGCCUCGCAUGGAGGAGAUGGGGGCACAGGUGCCAACCGGCCGGGCAAGAAGGAGGUUCACCGCGGCCCACCGUCGAUCGGACCUGUAAGUGUGCGACUUACGUAUUUUAGCCUUUCUUUUUUUUUGAUCUGUUGUUGAAAAUAUCGCUCUGUUAUGCAGCGCGGCGUCGGACGUCAACCCCGACCAAGCCGCAGAACAGGGGACGACCGCUCCUGUUGCCGCUGCUGAAGACGCCGCACCACGGGUCACAGGGCAACCUGCAGCGGUGGCGGGCACCGAGGAUCAAUCUGUUCCGACGGGUGCCGCGCCGAGCACUCAGCCGAGGGGUGAGGAGGCAACAGGGACCCCUCCCCCGAGUACUAUUGCAGUGGAGGGGAGCAGAGUCCCGACUCCUCCAGCCGAAGAAGGGAGGGUGCCGACACCGCCCCGAGCAGGGGCUUCUUCGCCCGUGGGCUCCCCUGGCCCAUACCAGGGACCAGUGAUGCCCUCGACCGCAGCCGGAGGCAGUGCGGCGAACGAGGAGCCCCAGGAGGCCUCCGAUGACGACGUGGAGGAGGUCCAGGGUCGUCCCCAUGAUGGUCGCCAGCACGUCUAUGUGUGGCGCAAACGCGGGGACCACUUUAUUGGUCAUGAGGAGCUCGCGGAAACGAAGGAGGCCGCGAGGGUGGAGCGCACGGCUAAACGCCUCGUGGACGAGGUUAAGGUAGGUGGUCCUAUGUGUUGCUUGGAUAACUUUAUGCAGUGUUCCCGUAUUCGACAUGUGUUCUUUUUUGCAGGGCGCAAUGAAAACGGCGAAGUACCGGAAACGGUGCUUCGACCAGAUCGAAGGAAUCGUGGCCGAGAAUAAGGCCUUGUCCGCGGAGGUAGACCGGCUGCGGUCGGAGGUUGGGGAGAAGGUGGCCGAGAUGAAUGCCUAGGAGGAGCAUCGUCUCGAGCUUACCCGUCGCUUGGCCGACCAGUACCGGCAGCGAUCCGGUUAGUCACGCGCUCUGAGCAGCUUUGUGUAGCUGUGUAGUUGGCUUUAUUGACCAGGUUAUGAUUCACGUAGUCUUGGAGGAGGAGGUGGCGCGGCUCCGACAAGAGAAGGAGCAGCUCAGCCAAGAGCUUGCCGGUUCGCUGGAGUCCGGGCGCCGAGCAGGAGAGGAGUUGGGCCGGAAGGACCGGGAGUUAUCUAGUAAUACGUGUCGCCUCGUUAUCUGCCGCUUGUCGCCCCUUUGUUUCUUUUGAUAUAACGUCUUGCUUGAUUUGCAGUGCUUAAAGUGAACGCCAAGAAGCACCUGGACGAGCUGAUCAAGGACCGGGACUCCUGGAAGGUCAAUUGUUGUAAGAUCUGGAAAGGAGUAUCCCCGGUCCUGGAUCUGAUCAGUCCCGAGCUCCCGGAGAGCCAGCCCCGCGCGCCGAGGUUGACUCCAGUGGAGAAAGCGCAACGGGCGUGGGACUGGCUCCAGCAAUUUGUGAAGGACGCCGGGGAGUUUGCUGGCGCGCAUGUCCUUAGCAUGGUGUGCGCCCACUAUCCCCUGGUCGACUUGACCAGGCUGGAGAAGGGGUACCCCAAGGAGGUCGGCCCGCAGGAGGCGGACGAGCUUCGGGGUGGUCUGCUAGACUUGUCGUCGACGGUGAUCGGCGACAUCAAUCUAUGCGGAACGGCCACUCCCCCCGACCAGCCGGGUUCAGACAGGUCAGCCAGGGAGCUGUCGGGCGCGUCUAUUGCGGGAGAUGGCCGGUCGACGCCUGCGGUCUCGACCAGCCAGGCGCCGGUGGCCCCGACCCCUUCGUCCGGGCAGCAGGGCCAGACGGGUGAUCAGCCCGAGCAGUAGGCCAAUAGGGUAGUCUGUAGGAAUAGACUAGCGUCUGCCCGUCAGGGUAUUUAUUGUAAACUUUGUAUGUAAAGUUUGUAAUAAAGUUUGCUUUUGUCAUGACUGUUGUUUUGAGCGCUGUACAAUUAUCUGAGUGACGUGCCACUAUAUUUGGCUUUGUAGUCGCUAAGAGCUUCUGGUGCAGAAGGCUUUCCGAGUUCUGCGUGUAACAAAGUAUAGGCAAAAAAUAGAAACCUUUGUUAUUGACAGCUAUAAGAUAUUUACAAGCGAAAGUUAUUAGAACUUAUGGAUAAAAUCGGCGCAGUUUGUCUAUGUGCCAAGAGUUAGGCACGCGUGUUCCGUCUGGGUAUACCAAUCUGUAGGACGUGGGUCGUGUAACUUCGGCGACCACAGUGUCGGACCAGUUUUUCUGCGUCACCGAGCGCGGUUGGCCAAUAAAAACCUGCUCGGAAGGCUUUCCCGAUCAGCAUUCUGGAUGCGGCGUGAUUGCCGCAGGAUCCAUCGUGUAUGUCUUCUAGGAGCUUGAUGCCGUCAUCUUGGGAUAUGCAUUUGAGCAGUACUUCAGAACUUGCGUUUUUUCGCAUAAGUUUGCCGUCCACCAGUAUGUAGUUCUUUGAUCGUCGAAUGAGGCGUUCAUUUUCUAUUCUGUCCUGAAAGCCCGACCCGUCCGAUAUAUAUCUUAUGCACGGGGUGCGCCAGUCGCGGCCACUGGUUGUCGGAGUGGCAUCGUCUAUGAGCAUUGCCCCAGUGAGUUGCUUUUCGACCAGUCCUGUGCCCACACUUGGCUCGUGGAUGUCCUGGACGAAAAUACCCCGCGGGAUCUGUGCCUGAGAUGACCCUAGCUCUGACAACGCAUCUGCUGCCUGGUUCUUAUCCCGGACCACGUGAAUGUACUCUAUGCCGUAAAAGUUGGUUUCCCAUUUGCGAAUUUCUUUGCAGAAGAGAUCCAUCUUCUCGUGGGUUGCGUCCCACUCCUUGUUGAGCUGGUUGAUAACUAAAGCAGAGUCGCCAUAGACAUAGAGGCGUUUGACUCCCAGCUCAACGGCUAACCUUAUGCCGUGCAGGCAUGCUUCGUAUUCGGCAACAUUGUUUGACGCCGGAAAGAGGAUCCUAAGGACGUAACGUAGUUUGUCCUUGUUAGGCGACACGAACAGUAUCCCAGCGCCGGCGCCGUUGAUGUUCAAGGAUGCGUCAAAGAACAUUGACCAGUGGUCGGAGACAUCGGGAACGGGAGGCUCGUUGAGAUCUGUCCAUUCAGCAAUGAAAUCGACCAGGGCCUGAGACUUGACUGUGGUGCGGCUCUGGAACUCGAGGGAAAAUGGGCAUAAUUCCAUCGCCCAUUUUACGAUUCUGCCGUUGGCAUCUUUAUUGCGCAGAAUGUCCUCGAGAGGGAAACUGGUGGUUACCAAGACUCGAUGGCCGUCGAAGUAGUGCUUCAGCUUUCUUGACGUUAUUAGAAUGGCGUAUAUGAGCUUCUGUAUUUGUGGGUACCUGGCCUUGGACUCGUUUAAGACUUCGCUUAUGAAGUAAACGGGCCUCUGGACCUUGUAGACAUGACCUGGCUCAUCUCGCUCGACCACUAUUGCUGUGGAAACAACCCUGUCGGUUGCAGCAAUGUAAAGGAGUAGGUCUUCAUUGGGCUGAGGCGCUGUAAGGACAGGCGGUGAAGUGAGGAAAGUUUUAAGCUGAGUGAACGCGGCGUUGGCUUCCUCUGUCCAAGAAAAUUUUUCCGACGCUUUCAAGAGUUUGAACAAAGGGAGGCCUUUUUCUCCUAGUCUUGAGAUGAAGCGACUGAGGGCGGCCAUACAUCCGGUGAGCUUCUGAAUAUCCUUGACGUUUUUGGGUGGUCGCAUGUCGAGUACUGCUAUUACUUUUGAAGGAUUUGGCCGUAUGCCGUCACGACUGACAACGUUGCCGAGCAGUAGACCAGAAGGAACACCGAAGAUGCACUUUUUGGGGUUAAGCUUCCACUUGUACCUAUUAAGUGCCUUAAAAGUUCGGUCUAUGUUGUCGAUUAGGGUGUUCGCAUCCCUUGUUUUGACGACCACGUCGUCUACAUAGGCCUCGACGAGGUCAUCACGAAUCUCGUCGUGGAGGCACUGCUGGAUGGCCCGUUGAUAAGUGGCUCCGGUGUUUUUGAGUCCGAAUGACAUGGUCGUGUAGCAAUAUGCGCCAAAAGGAGUAAUGAAGGAUGUUUUUAUCUGAUCGUCUUCCUUUAGCGAGAUCUGGUGAUAACCAGAGUAGCAGUCUAGAAAAGAGAGGAGUUCGCAUCCGGCCGUUGAGUCGACCACCUCGUCGAUGCGAGGGAGACCAAAAGGAUCUUUAGGACAGUGUUUAUUGAGAUCAGUGUAAUCAACGCACAUUCUCCAUUCAUUAUUCUUUUUGCGUACAAGAACCGGAUUGGCGAGCCAAUCGGGGUGAUACACUUCUUUUAUGAAUCUGGCUGCUAGAAGCCGUGUUAUUUCUGUCCUAAUAGCCUCCUUUUUGUCACGAGUGAACCGUCACAGCUUUUGCUUGAUUGGUCUUGCGGUCUUCGAGACAUUUAAGGAGUGCUCGAUCAGGUUUCGUGGGACGCCAGGCAUGUCUGCGGGUUUCCAUGCGAAAACGCUCACGUUGUCCCUUAGAAACCUGACGAGCGCGUCUUCCUAUUUUGGAUCCAGAUUGGCCCCGAUGAGGGCCGUCUUCUCGGGGCUGCCGUCGACCAGCUGCACUUCUUUGUACUCCUUAGAUUUUGAGUUCUUUCUGGCGGUCUCCUGCUCGGGUAAUGGGAGCUGGUCGGGAGGCAGCUGCGUGGCUUGGGUUGCUGUUUCUGCCAUGCGGAUUGAGAGGUCGAUUUCCUCGGUAAUCUUGAAGCUUUCCUCUUCGCAGGUAUACGCGGUGUAGGCGUUGCCUCUGACGGUUAGGACACCCUUCUCUGUAGGCAUUUUAAGGACCAAGUAUGAGUAGUGCGGGACUGCCAUGAACUUUGUCAACGAUGGUCAGCCCAGUAUAGCGUGGUAGGUCCCGUCGAAGUCCGCGACCACAAAGUUGAUGAACUCUGUCCGAAAGUGGUCGGGUGUGCCGAAUUGGACAGGCAAUGUUAUCUGUCCAAGGGGCACUGAACUCUGACCUGGCAAAACCCCCCAUAAUUGAGCAUCGUAGGGUUUUAAUUGUGCAGGAGAUAUUUUGAGGGCGGGCAGACUGUUGCGGAAGAGGAUGUCGAUGGAGCUUCCCCCGUCCACGAGCACGCGCUCGAAUCUGAUGCUGUUGAUGCAAGGGUCCAGGAUCAGAGGGAAGCGACCUGGCUCUGGGAUAGCGGCCCACUGAUCCUUCCUGCUGAAUGAGAUCUCCCUGUACGACCACGGGGGAAAUUUUGGGUCUGCGAUCAGCCCGUCCGUGCUGUCUAUGUUGAGGCAGGCUCUCUUUAAUAGCUUUCUCUCUCGCUUAGAUUCGAUGGAGACCUUGCCCCCGAAGAUGGAGUGGACCACAUCAGUGGGGCUGACGUAUUGGUGUCGGGGGUCCCUAUCUUGGUCCUCGUCCUCGUCUUCGUGGUCGUGCCCGUCUCGCUUGCCAUUUUUCUUGGUGGAGUCGUCUUGGACGGCCCGCCGUGUGGAGAUGCUUUUGAGGAUGCGACACUCCUCCAUGGUAUGAUUAGACUUUGGAUGCAGUUGGCACGGUCCCUUCAACGUUUUGUUAUAGUCUUCUUGGUAGUCCCGCCGCCCGUUGGGACGCUUGACUGUAUUUACUUCAUGGUCGUAGUCGCGGGGGCGCUUUCUUCUGAAAUCGUCGUGAUUGUCGCGGCGCCGAUCCCAACCUUCUCUGUGAUCACGGUUGUCGGGGCGACGGUGGUUCCUGUUGUCGUAGCGACCGCGACCAUCAUCUCGCCGGGGAGGCUGGUCGGGACCUCUCGCAUCGUCUCGGAUUAGUUUCUCUGCGUCGUCGGCAUCGGCGUAAUUUUUAGCCGUGGCGAGGAGCUCCGCCACCGUUGUUGGCCGUUUGCGCAACAGCUUGUUCCUCAGCGCUUCAUGGAAACGCAGGCCCUUGAUGAAGGCAGAGAUGGCCUCGUCGUGGGAAAUCUUUGGGAUCUUAAGGCGCAUAUCCGAGAAUCGUCGAAUGUAAUCGCGCAGAGGUUCAUUCUUCCUGUCCCUUAUCCUUUCGAGGUCGUACUUGUUUCCCGGCUGCUCGCAUGUGGUGAUGAAGUUGUCGAUGAAAGCCUGGCGUAGCUCUUCCCAAGAGUCGAAGGAGUCCUCGGGCAAGCCAAGGAGCCACUGAUGACCAGCCUGGUCGAGGACUACAGGGAAGUAGUUGGCCAUGACGUGCUCAUCUCCCGCUGCUGAUCGGACGACAAUUUCAUAGAGAGUGAUCCAGUUCUAUGGAUUUUCCUUGCCGUCAUAUUUUUUAAGUUUUUCGAGCUUGAAAUUGCGGGGCCACACGACCUGGCGGAGGUGUGAAGAGAACUGUCUUAGGCCCGGGGGGCCGUGCGUUGCAUCGUACUCGAUACAGCGUAGGUUUUCAUGGACUGCUCUCUCUGUGGCGCGCCUGUUGAUGCGGUCCCGGGCAUCUUUGGGAGGGAUGUUGUAUCGAAGAUCCCUGUGCUGGUUUACUUCUUGACCGCGCCUGCGGUUCUGCUCGCGGUGACCGUCAGUAUCCCGACCACCAUCAUUACGCCGUGAAUCUUUUCGAUGGUUGCCGGGAGAGCGGCUGCGGUGAUGCCUGCUGGGAGGCGGUGAGGUCCGGCUACGAUUAGUCUGGUCGGAGGUGGCUUCCGUAUAAGAGACGUCCUGGACUCUCUUGAGCAGAGUGGCUGUCUGUCCCAUUGUGGCGAUCAGGUGCGCUCGGACGCUGGUUCGGACUCCCUGGCACUCAGGGGUAUCAGGGAGCCGAUCUAGAUUAGCCAUGGCGACAGCCACGUUGGCGCUUGGCGUUUUGUAGACUGGCUGGUCGCCGGCCAUGUCAAAAGCGUCGCUGAGGUUAUGCGGUGGAAUUUGUCGUUGCUCAUCUGCACGUCGUCGGGCGCGAUCGGCGUUGCGCUGCUCGCGGAGCUGCCUCUGCUCGUCCGUUUCUCCAUCAACGACCGGCUCGUCGGCGCUGAUGUUGAAAACAAUGUCUCCUCGCCGGGGAGGAAAUACCGGGAAACGAGGGAAACCCAGAGGGUGUGAAGGCAAAUCCAGAUCGUAGUCCUCGUCUUCGGAGUUUAUAACUUCGGUGGGGACGGAACCGGUGCUUGAGUUGGUGCUGGAAGCCUGACCGUCCCGUAGCUCUCGGAUCGUCACCAUGUUGACGUAGUGACGAGCAGGUCGAUCGUUCCUUUUCGGCGACCAAUCUGCCUUGCUGAAAACAGAUUGGAUGUGCCGUGAGUAGAGAGAGGCCGAGUUGUUCAGGCCGCAAGGAUAAUCUUCCUCCCUAAGCUUGACGGUCCGUCCUGAGGGAGUUGAGGUUAUCGUCAGACACGUUCCCAGCCGUUCGUGUGUAACGACACGAGUUGGCCGGCGGGAUUUGAAAAAAUCCGUUGAAGCGGCUUGAUCAGGCUGGCGCAGGAUUCCAUCUACUAGUUGGGAGGCUUCAAGUAGCUUGGAAUCAGCACGAUCAAGCGCUUGGAGAAGGUCCGAGCAGUCGAUCUUCUUUCCCUUGUAGAGAGGGAACGGUGGUCGGGCGCUCGGUGCCGCCAUCCGGUGGUCGGAGACGACGUGAUCUCAGAUUGGAUCUGAGUUUCUUUCGAAACCGUGGUCGUAAGGCCACCGCCGCGCGUCGUCCACGUGAUCUGGCCGAUGGUGAACGUGAGGCCUCCGGGCACGGUCGCGGAAGCUGGGAUUGUGACCAUCUUGUUCGCCGGAGAAGUUGCACGUACACCCCCUACCUGGCGUGCCACUGUCGACGAAAUCUGGUCGGCAGUUUACCUUGGGGUAUACCCACGGUAGUAGUUUAUCGGUAGACGGUGCGCAAACUACGAACUCGAUGGUGACACAAGACACAGACAAGCUUUUUAUCCAGGUUCGGCCGCCGAGUUGGCAUAAUACCUAUGUCCUGCGUCUGAUUGUAUUGAUUUGUGUUGAGAGAAUCUGAUGUCCUAGGGGGGUCCCUUGCCUCUCCUUAUAUAGUUCAGAGGGCAGGGUUACAGAUCCGGAAACUAAUCCUAGUCGGUUACAAUUGCCAUAGAUAGUUCGAUAUCAAUUCUUAUUCUAACCGACUAGAAUCCUGUUUGAUCUCCACGUCUUGUUUCCUUUCGCGAAACUCCGAGCUGUCGGAUCAAACCUUGAGCUUGUCUUGUAAUGGGCCAAGCCUCCUGGCCCAAGUCUAGCCGUAAGGCUAUAGGGGUUUAUACCCCCACACAUAGAGAUAUUAACGUGCAGCGCAAUUUUCUAUCAUCUAGAAGACUCUAGAAGCCACGGGAACGAACGGGAAGCCGAGCGGGCUCGGGGACAGGGUGCCCGCCCUCCCCCCUUGGGCACCCGCCCUACUAUUUCCACCAAUCAUGUUCAAUCUCGCGGAUUAUGCUCCGCCGACCUAAAGGAUCAAGGAUAACCGUUCAAUCAAUGUCGGUUUGAUCCGACGGCCCAGAUUCACUUGAGGGGACUAUAUAAGCAGGCCCCCUGGCCCCUGGAGGAGGCAACCCCCUUGAUCCCUAUUCAUUAUUCAUAGACAGAGCAAAAGCUAGGGUUUGGAGAUGAGAGCUCUCCUCUCAUCUCUAAACUAGAGUAGAUCUAGAUAGUAGCAAGAUGGAGAGCGAGGGAGGAUUAGAGGAGAGGCCGGCCCGUCGAUUCUUCCGCUGGUUGUACUUCGCCAUGAUCAAGCUCUAAUCAAGCUUGCUCAUGGGAUGACUCUGGUAAACUACUUCUAUUUCAUUAUGCAAUUACUAUCCAUGUAUGUUCUGGUUCACAACUCUUUUGAGUACUUUAAUCUAUAGGACGCUAUAGGUGAGAGUUGUAGUAUAGGUGUAAGUGUGGUGCUUAGACCUAGAUUACUUGUGGAUAUCCCCUGUCUAGCCGGAUCGUGUGGUAGGCCGCUUAGGUGACAGUUACGUUGGUCCCCUGUAGUCCACCUCCUGUUCGCAGAACUGGUAGGGUUUAUCGGCCUAUGGAUAAGCAUCCUUUGUGGUGUAAUCUUAUCACGUGGUUCGUCCCAGACAUAGACAUACCCCUUUGAAGUAGAGAAACCAUAGUUAUCCUCUCUAUUCUCCUACCAUCGCCCAUAUACAAGAUUGCUCUACUCUCUAUUUCCAUAUUAUCACUCACUAUUAUCUUACCUUUAAUAUUGUUCUUAUUCAAUUCUACCAUCUUUCCUAUUUACACUUAUCUAUCUAUCUUGGUUAAGUUAGAGCGUAGUUGGUUCUCCCGUUUCCCUAUGGAUACGAUAAAACCUUUAACCGGUUAAAAGCUACACGGUAUCCGUGCGCUUGCGGAUUUAUCUGUGUGCAUAUAAAUACCAUAGUACACUCUAGUGCCAUGAUUGGGAUGACAACCUAGUAUUCAAGUGGUGUUAGCAAGUGUAAACACCUGGGUAAAUCAUCAGGGAAUACAUCCGAGAACUCACACACCUCCAGAAUGUCCUUGAUGGUCCUAGAUGUAACUGCAUUCAUCGUGCUACGGAUAUGGAUAUCCUGAGGAAGUUGCACUAAGAAUGCCUCUUUGGUAUUCGGGUCUCUCAACAUCACUACCCGAGUGGUGGUGUCGAUAAGAACUUCGUUGCCACUCAUCCACUUCAUACCCAGAAUUACAUCUAUACCCACACCGGGUAAAACAACCAGAUCAGCAAGAAACUGACGGUCUCCUAUUUCCAGAGUUGCCCUCAAAACCACUUGAUUGGAAGAAAUAUCGUUCGCAGAAGCACUAAUGCAAUAACUGCCCUUAUCAAGUGUAAUUGCCUUGAGAUUAUGCUUAGACACGAAGUCUGAACUCACAAAAGAAUGCGAUGCUCCUGAAUCAAAAAGCACAAGUGCAUCACAUUGGUUAACCAGAAACUUACCAGCCGUAACUACCUCACUAGCAGGGAUUGCCUCCACAGUCGUGUAGUGAACACGCCCCUAGCGGACGUUCCCUUGGUUGCCCUUCUUUGGUGGGUAAGGACAAUUGCUCUGCCAGUGCCCGGUCUGAUUGCAGUUCCAGCAUGAACGGUAGGCAGGUGGAGUCUUCGCAUAGCUGAGACCUGUGUUGCCCCUAGGAAGAGCAAUAGAGUACCCCUUGCGGAAACCCAUCUUCGCCCGAUUCUUCUUCACUGGAGGGUGAUACCGCUGGUUAGGAGUCGGAGCACGGUACUGGGGUCUAGCUGCCACUGGAGCCUUGGACUGAGAUGCCCCUGCCCCGGCCUCAAAAGCCCUCUUGCGAGUCUUGGUUGCAGUGUACACAGUGUUAUAGUUCUCUUGAGUGAGAGCAUCACUGACAAACUCAUUGAAAGUUGCACACUUAGAGCGGCCCAUAGUUUUCAGCAACUUGGGGCCAAGACCCCGCUUGAAGCUAGCAAUCUUCUUCGUCUCAGUGUUCACAAACUCAGGAGCAUACCUUGACAGGUGGUUGAAAGCAUGCAAGUACUCCUUCAGAGUUUUGCUACCCUGAGUUCACUGCAUAAACUCAUUAUGCUUCAUCUCCAUAACACCAGGAGGGAUGAAAUGCCCCUUGAAGGCUUCACGAAAGAGAUUCCAGUCAAUCACAGUAUUACCAGGGAGAGCCUCCCGAUACUGAUUCCACCAUAUGCCUGCUGGGCCCUGCAGUUGGUGAGCUGCAUACUCGGCCUUCAAACCCUCAGUCAGCCGAAGGAAGCGAAACUUUUGUUCCACCAUCUUCAACCACUCCUCAGCUUGAAGGGGUUCUUCAGCCUCUCUAAACGAUGGAGGCUUUGUAUUCAUGAAAUCCUUGAAGCUACUGUACUGGUUAGGUGCUGGCCCUUCUUGUGCAUUACGACCACCCUGAUUUGCCAUCUGGUUUAUGGUCUCAGUGAGCAUCCUCUGAUUUUCCACCAUCAUUUGCAUCAGCUCAGCAGGAUUUGGUGGUGGAGGAGGAGGGGGUGGGUUCAUGUUUGCACGUUGUUCCGCACCUCGAGUGCCACGAGACAUCUGUAAAAAUACAGUCAGUGAGUAUUGAUGAUGACAAGAUUUGCCUUAGAAGAACUUAUAUUCAUGCCUGAAAGUAUUCGAGAGAAUAGCUUUACAGAAAAGGCACAAUAAUUCAAUUCCACAAAACAACAUCACCAAUCUAACACAUGACAAAGAUAUCCGUAAUAUGCACCACGUAGAAAAACAUCGUCAUAACCGAUCGAACAUGUUAAGGUUACACAUUGGGUCCAUAAAGUUAUUACGCCAUCACAGUACAUGACAUGAGUCAAAGAUCAAGGUUCCGGAUUACAAAAUGAUUACAAAAGCACCACUGCUGACUGCCAUACUACAAAAGAUCCUCUCAUAACAACUAUCCACUACCCACUACACUCCAGGCUCGUCGCCCGAGUCAGCGUCGAAGAUCGCCUCUCCAUCCUUAUCACUAACUGGCUCAAGCUCCUCGUCCUCCACGUCCUCGUGCAAAGGUGGUGCAGCCAUGGCUGGUCCACCUACCUCCAUGCCGUCAUCAUCGGCCACAAUCACCUGGGGACCCACCUCUAGGUACACUGGUACAGGGCGAGGAAUAGAGUGUAGUAGGUUGUUGAGACAGUGAAUCUCCACAAGACCAGCCUCAAUCUGAUACUGUAGAUAGUUCUCCCGCUUAAGCGACUGGAUCCGGUGCAUCUCCCAUGCCCGGCGCCUGUUCUCCGACACACGGAGCGCAGUAUCCCUCUCAUGAGUGACCUGCACCGAGCACUCCUGCACUGUCUCCCUCUCUCGGGCUAACUGACUCAUCUAAUCCUGCUUAUGAUCUCUCUCCCUAAUGGCCUUUACCCACUGCUGCCUACAGUACUCCGCAAUAUCUUCCCAGUCAUUGCGGUCCUUCUGAGCUUGCUCCAGGAGUCUAGCCUGCUUGCAAAACUUGCGAGCAUGCUUUUCAGCCUUCUAUUGCAUCUCCUGAGCUUGGCGAACAGCAACCAUCACGUGUGCAUAGGUGCCCUCUCGCUGACUGAACAGCUUGAGCACAGCCAUCAUAGCACUCAUAGCAGGACUGGAACUCUCAGCUCACUGUCCUCUACCUCGGACCAACGCACAACCAUCAGCCUGCUUCCACUCCGCUACUGCUGGGUCAGCACGGGGAAUGGAGGCCGCUGGUCCUCCUGUCAGCUCAUCGCCAAACCUCUGACAGAUGUUGAGCAGCAUCGCAUGGGCUGCAAACUGAGCUGCUUCCCAUGGGUCUGCCCAUCGGAGUUACAGGUCCACCCAGUCCAUGCAGGCCUGCCCCCAUGUGGAGGGACAACUCCCUGCAUAGCAAACCACUGCAACUCUCCUGUCAUAUCCACCUCCCACCAAGAAUACUGAGGUGGCUCAGUAUAUCCUACAGACUGCAGCACCCUCCAGAGCAAGGUAGGAGUGCCAAACUCGCUCAAGAAGGUGUCACUGGGGCGAGGUGAAGCGGGCACGUCCAUCUGUGGAAAGAAAUAACCGUGGGUAAAAGAGGAUUAGUUUAAGAAACGAUUAUUUAAUUAAAAGGGAUGGCAUUGUAUGGGAAGGAGUAGACAGAAUGUAUGUAUGAAUGCGACAUGAUGCAUGCACGAACCGUACGUCCUCACAAACUUAGAAAAUUAAUAUUCUAACGGAUAUACGGUGGCAUACAUUCGUCUCUCGAUACUAUAACUAUCGAUUUACACGCACGCUAUUAGAGUACCUGCAGAAAACUUUAUUUCAGCCCAUCAAUUCCCAAUAUAUCACUCAAGAUAGCAGUAAACUAAGUGCACAUUGCUUGUACAUGCCCAGCAUGCACAAACCAUUACACCACAGCUACCCGAGAAAUUAAAUACUCCCCAAUUAAGUUUCUCUCGUGGUUCUAUGGUUUUGACAUGUAACCACUCCAGAAAACCACCGCGAACACUCCCCUAGACCGCUAUUUGGACGAUCAUGCUCUCACAGCUCACACUUACCAGAGCGUAGGUGCGACGUUGCAUAAUUUAAAUCUAGCGACAUAUGUGGCUAAUUCACAUAUGAAGGCUACCUCUACCAUUAGACCACAGGGUAGCAUAGUGCGGUCAUCACACAUCCAUACCUGAGUACUGCCGAAGAUGCAUAGAAUAAAACCCCCCAAGUCAGUACUUAAUUAGCCACCAAUAGUCCUUAUAUGGGCAAGGAGGAUUCGACCACUGGCAUAAUUAGGUGUAAAUUUUCACAAUUUUAUUCAAACUCUUUUGUUUUUAAAUACACAAACGCUGCACUUAUAAUGCUGAACUUGCUCCGAUGCCAGCUGUCACAGAACCGACCAAAUUAUAAGAGUUCAUGUGUAGAAACGAUCGACAAGCAAUCAAGUUUCAAAAUUUGAGCCCAUAUAAUCCCGGUAGUCAACUGAAAUCUCGAAGGACUUCAAACCAACUUGCAACAAACCAAGAUCGUAAUAGUUCAACAUAACACAGCGGAUGUUAUAUAGUCAUUCAUUGCCGUCGAAGCGGCACCACAUCAGAGUUACUUAGUUGUUACAACACAUGUUUAAAGUAGCGGAAGCAAAAUAAUUUACAACACAUGUUCCAAAGUUCAGUUCACGAGUUCUUGUUCAGCCAGGGUCUCAUGCCAUCCAUCCAAAAGCAACAGGUACGAAGUAGUUAGAGAACCAUGCCCAACGGUUAGUCCUCAUCCCCAGCGGGAUGGAGACAGGUCUUGUAGAAGCCAUCAUAAAAUAUAUCAUCUGCAACAUGUGGGGAUAAACCCUGAGUACGAGAAUGUACUCAGCUAGACUUACCCAUCUAGUAAAACAUAAAAGACACCAAGGAUCAUGCAAGGCUAAGUAUAAAGUGGAGCUGGUUGACUCACAAUUGCCAAAAGCUUAAUUAAUUACCUUCCAUGUGGUAUUAGCAUCAUAUUUUAUAUUGGUCAUCAUUAACCUACCACUAGAUUAGCACCUGUACUAAAACACAUCACUUCAUUAUUACAAGCAUUAAUAACCAUAUCAAGUUCAUCAAGUGCUCUUUCUUGCUAUAAUCAUUAUCACGAACCAUUGUUCUUUAGUAGAUGCUACGUUUGCCGCUGCUCUGUCAAGUUCUCACUAUCCGGGAGAGACGGUGAUUCGAAUCGAUUCCUAUCCAGCUGGAGGGUUAUUCAUAGCACUCACCCAAGCAUCCCCCGUCGGAGAGCCAGUGGGUCACCUUUGGUACGACUCAGAAAUCGCGGCUCCGAUCAGCGCCGCACUCCCAGGGCUACCACUCUGCCAGGGAGGUUAGGAAUUUUAACGCACCUGCCUUUGGUCUUACGCCAAUGGUCCCCCGCACACCGCACUUCCUCCUGUAGUGUGCACUUUAUACUUGCCGGUCUUUCGGCCUAAGUCAUACUACUAGGCUUCGCGGUCGGAACGAGUUAUCCGGCCAACUAAGUGUUAGGCAUGCGUUCAACAUGACAAGAGGACGUACAACGAUCGGUCCUUAGCUGCCACAGACGGAGUUACUACAACCUUGCAAAACUCCGCCCGGCUUAAGUCAAUUUAAUCAGGUUCCAUCCACGAUAGCACAUAUAGUCAAUCGUGAUCCGACACAACCCUAUAUCGCGCAGGUGACAGGAUAUCACCCGAUGGCUAAGCUGCUACUCGAUCCUAACUCUAUAACCAGGUAAAGGUAAGAUAUCUGGACAAGGAUUGAGUAACAUGCAGCAAGGGUUUCAUCACAACUCCUAUACGUAAAUGCAUCAAUAGAUAUAACAUAAUCAAGGAAGCUUUUUGAAAGUAAAGUGGGAGGCUUAAGAUGCUCUGAGGCUUGCCUUUCACGAACGAUGCAGGCUCAUGAUUCGGGCACUCAACCUCCUCUUCGGGCUCCUCGAGUCCGGCUUGCUGGACCUCCGCCUCCGGAUUGCACUCCUGGCCUUCGGGGUUCACCUGAAGCUCGAAUGAAGCUGUCGUGUCCGGUGCACCUAUUGCAAGCAUGAUAAGUAAGAACGGGUGCAUGCUGAACGGAAAUGAAUGCUUGACAAUGCAAUUAAGACUUCACUGGACACUCAUUUACUGAGUAAACUUCUAAGAUUAACUCCCAAAGGAUAACUAAUUAGGUUAGCAAAACUUAACAGGUCCAACUAUAAACAGCAAGCAUUUCAAAACAGAGCAGCUCAGUAAACAGGUCAUAACUAUUGCUCUAAAGAUCCAACAAAUAUAAAUGAGGACAUUCUGGAAAGCUUAUGAAAUUGUCUACGUUUCAUAUUUAUACAUUACAUCAAGAUUCAUAGGUUAAACAAGUUAAUUAAACAAAGUUCCAGGUUCUGUCCCAGAAAAACAGAAACCACCUAUUUCUGGAACCCAAUUGGAAAAGCCAUAACUUUUAAACUAUUGGACUAAAUGAUCCCAAAUUUGAACCACAGCUAGUUCAUAAAGUUUACAACAACUUUGAUUUAGACAAGUCUUCCAGAAAACCUAGUUAUUAGUAAGCAAAGAUUGAAUUACUUCCUUGCUGUCCAAAACAGCUUUUAACCAUUUAAUUAAUUAUUUGAUGACAUAGCCAAAACAUAAUCAGUAUCAACCACAUGGCUUAUAAGCACAAGCAUAUCAUAAGACAAUCAGAACAGCAUAUGUUAACCCCUAAACAUUUAAUAACAAGGCAUUUAUUAAUUUAAUUCUAUAAAGGGACAUAAUUACAAGAUACCAGCAAAAGUGCUCAGAAAAAUCUACAAAAAUUACAGAAGUACAAGCAUAGCAUCUUGACAUCACCAUAAAAUUUUCAGGGCAAUUGCACAUGCCAAAUUUAAGAUAAGCAUUUAACAUGUGGCAAGGUGCUUAUUUCACAAAUUAAGAAACAUGGCUUAUAUAGUGUUAAACAAAAGAUUUCAGAUUAUUUAGAUGCUACAAAUACCAUAAGCAAGUUUGACACUAGAGUAGAGCACCAGCAUAAGCACCAAUUAUUUACUAUGAUUUAAAUAAAAAAACAAGCCAUAGAAACAACAUAAAUUACAUAUCACAGAUAUAGUACUCCAAAAAUCAUUAAAUAUUUAUCAUAGCAUUCUCAUACCACUCAGAGCCUAGCAUAAAAUGUUCAGAACAAAAACAGCAGUAUAUCAAGAGAUAUGAAUUUAUAUAUAAAUAACAAGAUUAAAUCCUAAUAAUUAUUUAUUCCAGGAAACAUGGUACAUUUUAUAUUUUUAUUAAAAACUAGCCAUCUCAAGGAACAUCACAAAAUUUGUUUCACAAUUUUUGGAUCUCAGAAACAAAAGAUAUGAUUUUUGCAAGAAAGGCAAAAACCUGGAUUUGAAUAAAAGAAAAGGAGGGAAACGAUGUGUCACUGACAGCGGGUCCCGCAUGUCAGGCUCGUCUUCCUCACAGCCGAGACGACUCUCACCGGCGAUUUCUCCGCGACGGCGAGGUCUCCGGCCAACCCACGGGCAUCAACGUGAUCCCCAGACCCUUGCGAACCGAUUGACCCCCUUUUCCCCGCGGUGGAGCCACCGGAAAUGGCUUGCCGUCGACCAUGGCGGCUCGGCGGAGGUGCUCGGUGGUACGCCGGAGCUCUCGAGCCGGUAGAGCGCGACCUAGGGUUUCCUACAGCACCAGCGAACUACGGCGAAGCUUCCUAGGUAGGUGGCUAGGCUUGAAACGGCGUGGAACGAGCUGGCAACGAGAGAGCCCAACUCCGGCGGAAACACGGCGGCGCUGCGCGUCGUGUCCUGCGACGGUGAGCGUGGUAGAGCGUCCACCAAGUGGCGCAAACGUUCGCUAAGGACCUAAGCUACCUCUAGGACCUAACCAGAGAAGACGAGAGGCUCCGAGGAGCUCGGCAUUGAGUUCGCCGGAGAAGAAGGUCACGGCGACCCGAUUUAGGGGAACUCGGAAAUGUCGGCUCACCAGAGGUUUCACGGCGAGCUAGCGGGUGGAGGGUGGAGAGCGGUCCACGGCGGAGCUGUGGGUGAGUUUUGGUGAGCAGCAACACAGCAACGAGCGCGAUUGAGCUCGCCGGAGUGAGCUCGCGACGGUGAGCUCACUGCGGCCGCUUUUCUAGCGAGAGAGCGAGAGGAAGGAGAGAGUGGAUGCGUCCACUCCAUCCGAGGCGUCGCCGUGGAGGUCAUGCGCACACUGGGAGCUGACGAGUGGGGCCAAGAGCGACGUACGGGCGCCAAAUGUCGACGAAGCUCUGUCGCCGGUCGGCCACGUCGACGACCUCGGCUCCGAUUCAGACACGGCGUUGAUCGUCUGACAGAGCAACUUCAACGAUGAUUAACUUCCAAACCAAAGCGAGUUAGGAGAUGGUGUAGUUGACAAAGUUGAAGUACUAGCUGAUUUCUACAACAUUGUCAACUAGAGCAAAAGCCAGAUCGGCCUGGAUUGAGAGAUAUGAGGUUUUCAAAAUCGAUCGAGCAAACUGUUGCGUCCCCAGACUUAGAAAAUUUUUCUAAGUGUUGGAAACAGCCCCAAAUCUGCCUUGUGGGUCACUUUUGAGCUAGAUGUGGUCAUUUUCAUGAGAUGGACAUAUAACAACUUUUGUUCCUUAUACAAUUUGCUACAACUUUCCUGUAGAAAAUUUUGACAUGCAAAUAUUUUAUGAAAUACUUUUUAAAAGCCUAAGCAAAUGAGGUUUCUAGGGCCUAUACAUGGAAACAUGACUUAAGUAAUUAUUUUGGAGAAAUGAUCAACAUGAACAUGGUUCCUAAGGUUGAGUUAAGCAUAGAUAAACUAAUUAGCAAGGCUUAACACACAAUCAAGAGCAUGGUUCACACAAACACAAGAAUAGGAGGCAUAAUUAAUAAAGUUAAAGCACACUUAAGCAUAAAAUAACAUUGCUCAAGGUAGAUGAUGAUCAUGAUAUGCUUGAGUAGAUGAUGAUGCUCAUGUUAUGCAUGUGAUUGAUGCAACCAUAACACUGGGGUGUUACACGGGGUCCACCUGCCCAUCAUUCCUGGGUGUCCUGGGAUCUUCCCUUGCUACAAGAGCUCGACCACCGGUGGCAGCAUCCUGUGUGUCGUCCGUGGUAGCCACGGCCCCGUCGAGGUUGAAGCACUCCCUCGUAGGGUCAUAGCUGUCGGAUUUAGAGUCGGGGUCUGGCUCGGCGAUGUAGAAGCAUACGCGCCCCUCCUCCACCAACUGCUAUCUGAACAUGGUGAUGGUGUAUCGCCCAGGUCCUAGGCGUCGAAGUCUGCAUGUCUGGGGAAAAUCUGACCGCUCAGCCACUUGCUGAUUUUGCUGCCGUGUCUCCGUGUCGCGCAGGAGGACCAGUGGUUGCUCCUCGCUCGUCCUGGCACCGGGACAUAUUGUCCUGGCGAGCGAUGUGGCAGCGUUGUCCAAGCCGAACGGGUACAUCCACCUGGUGGCGAACAGACCGUGUGGCAGCAGUGUAGAUGGAGGCAUGGGUGCACGAGAUGUGCUGCCGCCUGACGCCGUUGCGCGGCCGUUCUGUCGUCUGGCCAUCGUGACUGUGGUCUCGGCACGUGGAGCUGUCGGCUCCUCCCCCGUUGCCCGCUCCGCACGAGGCGAUGAUCGCGCAGCAGCGGUGGGGCAGUGGCGACGCUGGCCACGCCUCCUCUUGGGCGAGGAAACGUGGUGGCGAGGCCGUCUCAGAGCCUUCGCUCAUGUGGGCAAGAUAUGAGCCCCUCUAGGUCCUUUGAUCGAGAGCAGGAUCAUGUCAUAGCUGAAGCCGGUGGACAUGAACUCAAGGCUCCCAAACCAAAUCACCGUGGAGCGUGGGAUCGGUGAGACGUGAGUGGCCAUCCAGAAAGAGAUGGGAAAUCGGUGGUAACACACAGGACCCCUACCUGGCGUGCCAACUGUCGGUGUUUUGACCCUGGGGGUGACACCAACGAGUGAAUUUAUGUGUGUGCUCCCUUUUCUAGAUGGUGAUGCAAGAAUAACAUAGAGAUUUAUCCUGGUUCGGGCAAGAGAAGGCCCUAUGUCCAGCGGGGGGGAAGACUUUGUAUUAUCUUGCACCUAAGUGCUUGUACAGGUGUGAAUACAAGUGGAUGUGGCCAAGGGUUCUAAGUCCAAGACGAUGGUGGUGUGUGGAUCGUAUUCUACGAGUUGUGUGUUGGAUCUCUUCUUUUUUUGUAUGUCAUCCUCAGCAUCCCCUUUUAUAGUUCCAAGGGGAGACCUAAGUUACAGGGUAUAGGCAUUAGAAUAAGCCUCGAUAGGGCUAUAGCGCGCUGACCUACUCGAGGCCUCCGUACCGAUGUGGCCUCGAGCCAUCUUGUUACAGGGUACUUUGGUGAUGAUGGCGCAUGCACUCCUGAAUUUAGCCCCUGUACAUCGUCUUGGAUUGGCUUAGGUGCGUGCACGCUUGCACGUCGUGGCAGUAGUCACGUCUAGGGUGGUUGAAGCGCUGACUUCCAUCGCCUGAUCCUUUCCUGGGAAGGAACGUGUCUGUUUGAGGGUCGGGUCGCACGAGCGGCCUUGCUGUGUGUGAGCACUGAUUUCAUGCAUCUCGAGGGGUGCCGCGAUGGGAUAUCACGUCUGCCAUACUGUGUCGGGUCGUACCUUUAUCCAUCCGGGGGGAUAAAGCUAGAAAAAGUGGAGAUUUGACGGGUGCUUGUUCCCCUAUCACGCUUCCCGUGACUGUCAGGUUAGGUGGGAGCAUGGCAGACGCAUUAAAUGCCCUAGCUUCCAUACCCGCAACAGGCGGUGGAGGAUGCUUUUGCGCUCGAGGCUCAUUGAUUCGCUCGAGCUACUCCCAUAUUCGACGAUCGCUAGCUAUCGAGCCCCUAUCGAUUCGUAGGACCCUAUUUUCGUGUUUGAGGCCACGAUCGACAUGAGACCUUGUGAUUGCGUAUUUAUGUCGGAGCGUCGAGUCGGAGCCUCGAUUUGUUUGUGAAUCCUCACGUUAUGAGUAUCGGCUGGGAUACCCGCUAUUGACAUCCUCGACAAUUAUAGAGCACCAUUAUUACAGGGAAGUGAUUGCAUGUUCAUGAUCUUUCUUGCUAAUAUCACUAUGCAUAGAUAUAACCUUUUCUUGUGCUGAUGCAAAGUAUAAUUGCACUAAUCAAUGUAUGCUUUAGCAGUAUAGUUAGAAUACUUAGGAUUUAUUCUUGUAGAUCGUCCUAAUACCAUGCUAGUGUUAUAGACUUAGACUAUUCUAUUGACAUGAUUAUUAUAUUUAUAAGGCUAUGUUGACGGUGGUUAACGUCAACCUUCAUUAGAACUUUAGACCCAAAAGAAAACAUGAAAACACACUAGUCUAGGGUUUUAACCGACCGUUUCCACGAGUUUUGCAUAUUCUGUAUUUUCCAGGGUUUAUUUCAAAAAAGCUGAAAAGAGGGAUUCAAGUGCAAAAUAAACAUGAAACUUAUCUGUGACGCAACAACACCGGCAAUGGGAUCAGGAAGGCUCCAGAAGACACCCGAAGCAGCGGGACCGACAAAGGCCACCACGUGGAGCCGGCCGGUCCCACCAUGGCGUCGACCGUCUCCUAGGGUUAGGGUUUGCGUGCCCCCUUCCAGAAGCUUCCUCCACUGCCUCCCAUAAUGCAUCCUAGCCCUUGGAUCAGUCGGUUUGAUCCUGCGGCGCACGUGCACUCCAUUAGGCUAUAAAUAAAGAGGCAGACCCCCCUGAGGGAACCAAUUCAUUCCUCCUGCUUCAUUUGUCAAGAGUAGUCAGAAGUUAGGGUUUCUAGAGAUUAGAAACAGAGCUCUAGUUCUUCAUGUUCUUAGUAUAGGCGUCUAGCAAGAUUCAAGUAGAGAUCAGGUGCUCCGCUCAGGAUUCCAGAUCUGUCUUCUAGAAAUUGGUAAUAUUAUCAUGUAUUUCAUUAUGACUUUGCUCUACUUUAAUAUAUUGCUAUUUAUUUAGUUCUUAGUUUAUUGUUGUUGCAUAUUCGAUAUAGAUGUGGUUUAUGAUGAUUAUCGUUAUAUGAUCGUAAAGCACCUGAUUCAGUACUUGAGUGAGUCAGGUGGUGCGCAUUAUGUAGAUGUUGUGUCUAGAUAUAUUGUGUACCUACAGAGGCACCAUGAUGUGCCGGGUCGUGUGGUAGUCCACGUAGGUGAUAGCUGCGUUGGUUCCUCUGUAGUUGACCCCCCAUACGUAGGACUAGCCAAGCAUGGUCACGAAGGAGGUGACCCUUGUGUCUUAGUAUCCUCAUUAGUUGAUGCUCCUUAUGAUGUCUUCUGAGUUUAUCAUGGUAUAGAUGAAGAUGUGUAGCAUGGCGUAGGCUUUAUCCUUUAUAUUAGUAAUUUCAUAGGUUUUCUUUAUUCUAACUGAAUCUCGAGAUUGCUUUACUACAUUAGUUAGUCUCUAUUUUCUAUCUCUGGAAUACCAUUUAUCUCAUUUACUCAAUUAUCAUUUAUCAUUUAUCAUACUGUUGACUAGUUAUCACUAAAACAUUUGUGCAAUUGGCUAUGAUAGAUUUACAUAAUUUCUUUAAUGCUUAUAAUAUUACCUAAGCCUAAUGAAUAGAAUGUUGCUUUAUCCUUUUGGCAUAAAAUUAAUCAACAAUACUCAAAAUACUUCCUGGGUGAAAUGCUACAACAGGAGAAUUAUCUGUGCGCUUGCAGAUAUAUUCUAUUUAGAGUCAUUGCGUAUAGAUUAUUUUUAUCCUUGAUUUUUGGCAUCAUGUUAGGGAUGACAACUUAAUAUGAAGUGAUGUUAAAAAUACCAACAAGCAUUUCUGGCGCCGUUGUCGGGGACCGAAAAUUUUAUUUAUUAGGAUAACUUUAAAAGGAUUUACCGAUUAGCCAGGAUUUAUACACUUUCUAGAAAUUUCAUACGAGUAAAUAUUUCAUAGAACCAUAUAUAGAAAACCAAACAUUUAAAUAUAUCUAGGACAUAGCCUUUUGCUUUAGCAGACUUACCAAAGUUUUAUGUAGCAAUUUUUUAUAGGAUAAGAGCAGGAUUGGUUGUAGUAUUUUAACCCUUAUCAGAAACAACCAUAGGAAGAAGGUUCUUACAUUAUUUUGAGAAGCGAUGGCUGAGAAGACUCUGCGUGAAUUCUCUGCUCCAAGCACCGAGAAUACUCACGUGGGUCCAACUUUUGACCUUGGAGAAUAUGAUUAUGAGAUCAAGCCAAGCCUCAUCAAAAUGGUGCAAGUUAUCAUAUUUAGUGGAAAGAAGGAUGAAGAUGUCAUUGCCCAUUUGUAGAAUUUUCUAGAGAUUAUACCAUUCACAUUCAAGGCAUUCCUCAAGAUGUUGUGCUACUUCACUUGUUUCCUUUCUCAUUAGAGGGAAGUGCGAAGCAGUGGUUUUAUCAGAGUAAAGAUCAAUUCAAGACAUGGGCAGAAUGUUCGAAAGCUUUCCUAGAGAAGUUUUUCCUAAUAGGCCAAACGAAUAUCUUACGAGAGAAGAUUUUGGAAUUUCAUCAGCAGAAAGGUGAACCUAUUCUAGAAGCAUGGGAGCGUUUUCAAGGAUACAUAUCAGACUGCCCGCAUCAUGGAAUGGAGAAGUGGUUGCUCAUGCAAAUAUUCUAUCAUGGACUAACCCAAAGGUCAUGUGAGCAAUUAGAUGCCACUAUGGAAGGAUCAUUUAUGUCACUCACCCCUAGAAAAGCUAAAGCUAUUAUGGCAAAGAUGGUAGAAAAUCAAAAUUAGACAUUCAACACUCAGACAUAUCAUGAAAGUGAAGAAGUUCUAGAGGAGUUGUUUGCACUAUCAACCAAGAUGGAUGUAUUAUUGAGCUAGCCAAAGCAGUGGGAUAAUUAUAAAAGAAAUUGUCAAGCCAUUCAAGAUGCAUUCAAAUCUCAAGAUCAAUAUGAAGAAGAUAUUAGUGCAAUCAUUAAGAAACAACGAUGGAGUCAACCUCAAGCAACAAGCCAAGGUAAGUAUCAAAGUAAUUACAAUUCAAAUCAAAGCCAACCACCCUUGAUAGAAUUAAUAUUAGAACAACCUAGAAUUAAUGAGAGUAUUUAUAAGAAGCUUGCUUUUAAUGAUAAAAUGUUAGAAGGAAUUAAUUCAAAAUUGGACAAUUUCUCUUGUAAUACCCGAUUUUAAGAACAAAAUCAAAUAUGCAACAUAUGUGAGUCUUAGAAGCCAAACCUCACAUAUAGCUACAAAUAAGGGGUAAUAUCAAAAGACAAUGCAUAAAUAUAUAGUGUACUUAGUAUAAAAGAGAUAACCUUUGGUACCAAACAGCGGAUAGACAACUCCAAACUUCGGGUAUUAACUUCACUCUACAGGAUUCCAACUGACUGGUUGAUCACAAGCCUAAACUUCUCCUGAGGUUUGGGGGAAAUAACAAGAGUGAGUCCAUGUCGAACUCCACAAAUAUAGCAACAAGGUUGUAUGAUCCCACAAACUCAUCGUCAAUGUGACAUAAAUAAUGUAAAGCAUUAAACAAUAAAUAAUGAGUAUCUUAACACAACAAGAAUCAUCACCAUUAAUGUAAGAAUCCCCAAAGCCGCUCCUGACCGUGAGCUCAGCUAGUAUACCAGUUUUAACACUCUGCGGAGGUUGUACAUCUUUACCCAUGAGUCAUGAUUUACCCUUUGGCCCGAGGUAGCUAAUCUCUUAACCCCCUUCCUAGGGAGGUCGGCAGGGAUCACUAUGACGUCUUUUAAAGGUUCAUCUAACAAGUUAGGUCCACUUGGUUUCAUUAGUCAGUCCGUGUGAUCCACCCGCAGGAAUCCACGGUCUGCUAUUCCCCAAUUGCGCCACACGGGUAACCGCUAAUGAGCUAGAAAAGUUACUCAUACUUGACUUAAGCCAGAGCCAUUAUAGCCCUCAUAGUUACACUAUUGUCCCAGUUAUCACUUACAGAUAAAUCAUCAAGUUGCUAAAAAGUCAUUUUUAUCGUUUGUUACUUAACAUUAAUCUAGUCACCUGAUCAUGGUCACAAAAAUAAAAUCCAAAUGCUAUACUUGCCUUAAACUAGUUGCUCUUGCUGAUCCUUUAGGUUCUGCUGGUCUUGUUGCCAAUGCUCUGAUCUUGAUCACUGAAGUAAUGCUCACCGUCUAAUCUCGAUCAUCAUUCAUCAACACACAAACAAUCGGUGACAACAUACACGAAGCAAAUAAGGCUACAAUUAGAACAGUACACCAAUCAUAUAAAAACAGUAGGAAAAGUUUAUAAAAUGAUUCUACGCAGCGCUACGAUCACACAGACGUAAAGAUCACGAAAAUCAGAGUUAAAAGAGAGAAGAUAUGAAUUUUGUAAGAUUUCCUAUAGAAAAGUAAUUAAUUACACAGGGUCAUGAGAUUAAAAAGUUUCAAACUAGUGAAUAAAGUUUACUAACAUGUAGAUCUCGCGAAGACGAACUUAACGCAAUUUGAAUGGACCAAAUCGAAGUUAAAAUAAAUAUUUUAUGGCCAAAAGAAAAUCAGUGGCAAACUUGUAAUUUGCUGAAAACGUAUUUUGAAAUGACCUGAGACAGUUUACGUUUUCAAAACAGCAAAACGUAUUUUCCGAAGGCGUAAAGGACUACGGGUUUGAUUCUUAAAAAUUUCAGGGGCUCUUUAGCAACUUUUACCCCGAAGGGUAUCUUCUAAUCGUGACCAUUGAUUUAAGAUCGGAAGGCUCAGGAUCAAUCCAAGGAGGGAAGAGGGGCUCCACGGCCGGAAUAGUGCUUCCGACACGGCGGUCCUCCAUUGCCGGCGCUAGAAACUCACCGGAGACCAUGGGGAAACACAGUAGAGUGCACCAAACUCAAAUCUGAGAACAUGCGGAGCACGAGGGGAUUACCGCGAGCUCACCUAGGGGAAAAACGAAGGCAAGGGGGUCUCGAGGAAGUCUGGCAACACAGGAUGGCGAACAACGGGUCCCUGCAAGGUUCGGUGAACAUCUGAGAAGGGUAGGGGCUGGUAGAGCAUUCGGAAAGAGGACCAGGAGCUUCCUUACCAAGUAGUGAAGCUCGGCCACUGCUGAAAUUCGACGGCCCGACAAUGCUUUGCGAGUUACACGGCAGUGGCUCUUGCUCUGUUUGCGGUGAGAUCCAAAACGAGGAUCCUGGCGGCUAGGAGGCUCGGGGUGCUGCCCAUACGGGAAAAAGGGAGUUGCUGAAGAGGGCACAAAGCUUUAUUGCGACUUGGGGCGUGUAUUGGCGAAGAAUCCCGGGAAGUAUGAGAUUUUGGAGGCCUCGGUGCUGUGAGUCCUAUCCGGCCACGAUGAGGAAGAAAGGGAGGGGAGGGAGGAAUCUAACGUGUGGGACCGAGGUGGCAGCGAGACACAGGAGGGUGCGGGGCAGGCUGGUCUUGGCUUCUGGGCCAGUUGCGCGCACGCUGGGCCACGGGAGAAGGAGAACGUGCUCCGGCCCAAAUGAGAAGGAGGGAGGGCGCGGCGCUGGCUGGGCCGCGUCUGCUCGCUGGGCCAAGACCGCGAGGGGGAGAGGGGGAGCCGGUUGGGCCACUGGGAAAGAAGAAAGGGGAGGGGCCCAAGGAAAAGAAAAACAGGCCGAGCGGGAGGGUUUAGCUGGGCCUUCGGGCCAGAAUCAGGGAGAGGGAGAGUUUCUGUUUUCUUUCAUUUUUCUUUUAUUCCAAAAUCCAUUUGAAACUCAUUUCAAAAUCCUUUUAAAUCAUUUUGAAUUUUGUGUUCAAAUACACUCAUCACAAUCAAUAAAAUGCCACGGUAUGCAUGCUCAAACACAUUGCUAACUCCUAUGAUAAUUUUUAUCUAAUGAAAAAUAUUAUUUUCCUAUAUUUUCAUGAGCACUAAAAUGCAAAAUUAAAUUAUUUUUCCUCUGUUUCCAAAGAUCAAAUUUUAGGGUGUUGUUGGGUAUUUUAAACGCAAACAGAAAAAUCCGCAAGCGCACGGAUACCGAUGUUGCUUUCACCCGGGAGUAUUCUAGAGUAUCGAUUUUCCACAGGGAACGUGAGUGUACUAACUAAGAUUCAAGAUCGCCCAAGGAUAACUAUAUAAUUAUUUUUGCUGAGAAUAGAGGAAGUUUCCUAAGAGUUCUCUAAUUGAACUAAGAAUCAAGAAUUACUUUAAAGUUUAUUUAUUUCGGGACAUCAGAACACUUACCACAGAAAGAGAUGAGAAGGGGGCUAGGAAGCUAUGACUACGGUCCAACAAACACCGAUCCGAACGAGGUGGAAUACGUCGACCGUUAGGACUGUCACUACCCUAGGGCUACCACAACAAUCCGCAGGAUUGGGUGCAAUUCCAGGUAAUUGCAAGACUAAACACCACGUCUAAUCUAUUAAUUACUACUCUAGCGUUUCAAAGACUAAAGCACUUGAUGCAAGCGGGAAUCCAAUAAAUAACUUGAAUGUAAAUAAAAGUAAUUAAAGAACUCAGGAAUUAAGAAUUAAAGAACUUGGAGAACGAUGAAGAACGAUCCAGAUGCUGCAAAAGUUCAAUGUUGAGGAAGAUCCGACAGAUCCGGCUCCUCCUCCGCUCUCCUCUUCUCUCUCCCUAUUUUCUAGAUUACAACUAGAACUAACUAGAACUAGAACUAGAUGAACUAGAACUAGAACCAGAUGAACUAGAGGGAUCCUCUCUACUUGGAUGAAUAAUUGAAACCCUAGCUUUGAUUCUGUAGAAGAGGUAUGUCCUCUAGGGGCCAGGGGGCCCGCUUAUAUAGCCCCUCCAAAUGAAUAUGGGCCGUCGGAUCAAACCGACCUUAAUCGCACGGUUUUCCUUGAUCCUCAAAGGUGGUGGAGCAUGAUCCGCGAGACCUGCCCCGAUUGGUCACUAGGGCAGGGCGGACGCCCAAGGGGGGAUGGCGGGCGCCCAGCCCCCGGGCUCACUCGGCCUCCCACUCGUUCCCGUGGCUUCUGGACUCUUCUAGGUGUUGGAUAAUUGCGGUGCACGUUAAUAUCUCUAUGUAAACCCGACGUGUGGACCUUUCCUCCAUAUUUCCUCAUACCCCCCUGCAAAAAUAGACAAACACCAAAACUCGUAGAAUUCUGUCAGAUGAAACCCUAAUUUUGGAUGUUAGUUGCAUAUAGGUCCUUUUCCAUGAUUAUUUGACGGUUAAAUGUGAGCAUUAAGGACCGUCAACAAGCUCCCCCAAGCUUACCUCUUGCUCGUCCCUAAGCAAGGAUGGACUCAAGAGUUUAUGCAGUGGUUUCAUGCCUUAAAGGUACACAUGCGUUCAAACAAGAUCUCAUCUCUGGGUUAGGGUAAACUACUAAGAUUUAAAUUUACUCUUCCACCAUGGGGCUUGCAACCGUCACUUGUGUCUUGAGCAGUUAAAAGAUAGAAUGAUCUAGUCAAGCGCCAUGUCUCUUGUUCUUCGAUUAACUAUAGCUCUGGAGUUUUUGCAGAUUUUCAAAUAGAACUCAGAUAUUCCUUGUAUGACUCUCUCGAGUAUCUCUUUUGUGGUAUUUCUGGAUCCUUACCAAGGCAGUAAUGGUGUAUCCCUUCUCUCAAAGUAUGUGGUAUUUUUGGUAUGAGGCAUAGUGGCAUUGCCUUCUCUGUCACCCUACUCUAAUAAGGUUUUGAUAUCUGGAGCUCAUAGGUGGGAGACAACUAAUACAUACUUACAAGAAAUUUAUUGCAUAGUCAAACUAUGGAUCUAGAAGAACAAGUCAAUAAGUCAAAUCAAGAUGUGCAUGUGUGGCGAAUGAAUGGUGAUAAUGGUGAAAAUAAUGGUGAAAGUCUAAUUCUACUUUUGCUCUUUUGAGGGGGUACAUACCUUCCUUGCACUUGAGGCUUUUGAGGGGAAUGAGGUGCUCUAUAUUUUAGUUUUUUCUCUCAGGUGGGUAUCUUGUACCCCUAAUUCUACUAUCGGACACUUGUCCAUUUUUGUCUCUCGUCUCACUUUUUCUUCUUUUUUUUCUCUAAGGUUUCGGGCACUUGCCCCUUUUUAUUUCCUCGUAUUCACUUUUUUUUAGAGCACUCACCCUCCUGGAAUAAUGUAGCAAGUGGUAGUAACCAAAAUAUCUCGAGCAUUUAUUUCACGGGGAAUAAUAGGGAUAGGAUAAUGUUUUUGGCUAUUCUCACCUAGAUAGGAGUAGAAUAAUUUUGGGUGAAUCUGGAUAUGGAAAUGAGUGGAUGUAUGUGGAUGCUUACUUCCAAGGUAGAAGCAGCAUGUAUGAGUGAACAUGCAAGUGAAUCUUGAUUUUAACCACAUGACAAGCUCCUAAGGGUCUACACAGCUUGACCACACUCAAUGCUCAUAAGCAGUAAAAAGUAAAUGUAUGGUUCAUAGUCUAAUAAGCAUGUAUAUAUGGUUGUGGUAGGAUUUUAAACUCUCAUCGUACAGGAACUCAUCAUGCAACAUUUUAAAGAUUUUCAAAGAUAAAAUUCUCCAAAAUUCUAGCAUCUCUAGGAACAGAUAAGCAGUAGCUCAACCUUCCCAUAUCAUAUCCGUUAAUGACUUAGACUUUAGAUCAAGUACUCUUCCCACAAGUUCAGGUUUAGAGCAAAUCUUAAUUAAUAACAGUCAUGCCUGAACUUGAGAGAGAUUUCAAAUUUGAGAACUAGUCAUAAACACAAAAUCUUUAUUUGGGUUUUGAUGAUUAUGCAUCUUUUUAUUAUUUGAGUAAAGUAUAAACGUGAGUAGAACACUUAGCUGGACAAAUGGGGGUGCUCUCCCUCAAGCUGGAUUUUGACGUAAUUUCUUCUGAUGUAGCUAGCCGAUGGCGGAGGUGUAUUGGAAUGUUGGCAACACCCUGACAGCGAUUAGGAUGUCUUCCGUCUACUAGUCUUCUUUGAUCCUUGAAUUAUGUGGAGCUCUAAUAGACAACAAAGCUUUGUGGAUCUGGUUAAGUGUUAGAAUAAAAUCUCUUAGCCGUUAUCAUGUUGAACUUCCUCUAAUAAAUAUUACUCUCUUUGGUAGGAUCAUUAAUUUAUUUUUAUAUUUCAUUUCUAUAGGACAGGAAUAUAUUUAUUUUAUUUUCACGCCACCACAGUGAAUGUACUUAUGAGUUUUAUGCCCUGAGCAUACUCACAUGGGGCUUACUUUUUUUAACAGUUUUUAUUUUCUUUUCAAGAUAGCAUGAUUAACUAACAAGCCAUUUAAUGAAAGUAAAUAAUUUAAGAGAAAAGGGAAUGCAGAUAGGAUAAAUAUGGAUAACUACCGAGUUUACCUUUCGACAAGGGUUCAAUGUUUUAAGUCUUCCGAACAAGACUUCUCCGUUUUCUCAGUCGUCCUAGGAUUCGUUGGAUGGCGUAGUCGGUGGUUCCGGCGGCGCUUCCUCUUCGUGUAUAACUAUCUUCUCUCUCCACACCUGACUCGGUGCUACGGUCUCCUCAGGACAGUACUCUUCAAGCUGUAUGUCUUCAGACCUUACCACUUCUCCUUCGUAGUCUGCCCAUCCGUCCUUGAUGAUUUGGCUCCUCUGGUUGCGGUUGCGUCGUCUUCUUCUUGUCCUGACCUGCUUAGAGUCUUCAACUAUAUAGUUAGGGUCAGUAAAAUAGCGGCGUACCUUUUCAGAGGGGAAGUGCAUGUGGACUUCUCCGGUUCCAAUGUAGAUGAUUGCUUUAACGGUGUUGAGGAACGGUCUCCUAAGGAUGAUGGGUGGAUCGUACUCGUCUUCUCCCAUGUCAAUAACCUGAAAAUCUGUAUGGACAAAAUGAUCGUCUAUUUUGACAGGGACAUCAGUUACUAUACCUUCAACCUUUCGGAAUCUCUGAUCUGCCAUCUGGAGCUGAAUGUAUGUCGGUUUUAGGGGCAUGGUUCUGAACAUGAGCUGAUAGGUGACUGCGGCCAUUAUGUUGACGCCCGACCCGGUGUCGCAAAGCAUAUUCUGGAAGUUGUAUCCAUCAAUGGAGCACUGGAUGCUUGGCAUACCUGGGUCGUCCUUUUUGGUUAGGAACGGUGACUUAAGUCGAUGAUCUUGACCUCCUUGAACUGCAGUGACCAUCUUAGCUGACUCGGUCCACAUUUGCUUGUUCCUGUUCCUCCUGUUGGUCCUCUUCCUUGGUUCAUGUCGGGAUUGCUCUGAGAUUUGUGUAGUCUUGUUCUUCAAGGAAAACGUGUCCUUCCUCCCCUUGAUGUAGAAACUAAUCUUGGUAGCACUAGCGUAGAUGACAGCUCCCGAGGUGUUUAGGAAUGGCCUCCCUAGGAUGAUGGGUGCCCUCUCAUCAGUACCAGUCUAUAUCACCAAGAAGUCUGUUGGGGCGUACAAGGUACCAACUCGUACGUAGAGGUUCUUCAAUGUUCCCUUUGGGAAACUUAGUGUCCGAUCUGCAAACUGCAAAUACAUGGUUGUUUCUAGUAAAGGAUGUGUAAAGAAUUUUUCAUAGAGUACCCUAGGCAUAAUGUUGAUGCUGGAGCCAAAGUCGCAAAGUGCUUCUAGGAAGUCCACCAUGCCGAUGGAGAUCGGGAUGACGGGGCGUCCUGGAUCGCCUCUCUUGACCGGAAGAAGGUCAGUAAUUACUUCCACAAUGGGGUUACUCUAGUAGUUACCUGCACCAAACAUGUCUACAAGAUUUGCAAAUUCUAAUCCUUCCGGUUGUGAUGGUAUACCGGGGUUAGUAGCAGGAACAGUAGCAGCUAUUUGAUUUAACUGAGAUUCAAUCAUUUUAUUAAAGCUAAUUUGAUUCUUGAUGGCAGUAGAGAAAUUAUCCAUUCUAUUAUUUAUAUUUUCUAACAUUAUAUCAUUAGAUGCCAAUUUCUUAGAUAGGUUAUCCAUUAGCUUUCCUUGAUUAGACACUAACUCUCUCAGAGGUAGAAAAUUAUUAUUAUUAUUGUAAGAAUUAUUACCUUGAUAAUUACUUGAGUAUUUAGGCCUCUGUUGAUAACAACCUUGAUUUUGUUGAGGACGGUUGUAGUAGUAGUAGUAGUUGUUGAUGUAGUUUACGUCCUCAAGCAUCUCAAGGCAGUGAUUACCUAAGUGUCCAGUAUCUCCAGUGUGUUUGUGCUCGUAGAUCCAAGUUCUUCACUUGGUGGAGUCUGGGAGUUGUAAAACUCCUUCAUAUUUUGCUCGAAGUGUAUCUGCUCAUAGAGACAAGGCAGAGAUCAAGUGCAUGGGCUAUAUUGGUGGAAAACACCAACAGAACGAAAAGUGUAUUUGUUCUUUUCUAACCUUAAGCAUAGUGAGCAAGACGAAGUUGAUGGAUAAUAAGAUCAUGAGUGUAGCAUUUAAAACAUUUGUUAGAUCAGAUCGCUCAACCUAAUGGAAAGAUAAUCUAUCUAUACUUAUGUUUUUUAUAUAUCUUCCAAUGAUUACGUAUGCAACAUUUUAGCUCAUAUGAUUAGGAGUGUGGGAUCACAAAGGUGGAAGGACUAAACAUAUUGAAUCGAUUGGGUUGGUUAAUCUAUAGUUGUAAAUCAUACAUGUUUGUCUCUUUUAUUCAUGUGAACCCCAGAACCAAGGAGAAGCUUAUAAAAGUGAUAGUCAAGUACCUUAAGAUGUUACCUUACUUGAAGAGUGAUGGUACAUUAUCACCUUGUGGAAGCUUUCCUUUCUUAGCGGUUGUGCAUCGUGUUUGUGGCACCCUCCAUGGAUCAUCUCUUAUGAGCUAUGUCUUCCUUGUGUAAAUUGUUAAACUUCAUGUGUCUCUCUCUUUGUCUCCAAUGUGGGUUUAUCUCAGGACUUCCCAGGUCGAUAUUGAAAGUUUUCCUGCAGGGGUUAGUCCAACAAAAUAUCCAAUAUCUACUAAAGUAUACUAUCGCGUCAAAAAUCAACCUAGACACCAUGUCUAAUUUGAUUUAGGUGGGCAUUUUAACCUAAGCACCAUGCUUAAUUUAAAAUCCCUUGGAAGUAAGAUUAUCAUUCCUAAACUAAGCACCAUGCUUAAUUAAGAGAUAAAUGAAACUACUCCAAACCUAGACAUAUACUAAAGCAAAUAAAGGUAGCAUGAGAGCAUUCAUAGAGAUCUACUCAAGUGGAGAUGAAGUAGUGUGAUUAGUACUUAACAAAUUGAGCAUGUCCCAAAGGUAGGGAUAACCAACAUAGCAACAUGGCAAAGGAUGUUUUUAUCUAAAGUACUCCCCAAGCUUGAAUUUUGCAAAAUUCAAGUUUGGAUGAAUUUAAUUCAAUGUUGUAUGAUGAUUGGUUGGACAUACCUUUAGUGACAAGAAUACCCAAAGGAAUUUUUUACAAUUAUCCUUAUAUGCUCGAUACACAAGGUAAUGUUGCAAAUAAUUAAAAGCUCAUGUUACAAUCUAAUCAGUGCUUAUUUUAGGACACUAAGCUUGUCCUUGGGAAACCAUCAAUUUAUGUCGGCGAAGUAGUUUCCCCUCCAACGCUGACCUAUAUCAACUCAACAAGAUCUGCAAUAUUUAUUAUAGACAUAUGCAUCGACAACCGCCCUAUUAAAGUUUUUAUAAACAGAAAGGAAGAGGAGGUUGGAGAUCUCGAAUGUGGUGAUGUUUGAGAGACCAAUAGAUUUGGAAGAUGUUGCAUAUGAGCAUGGAGUAAACGAAGUGGCUAUGAAGUAAAUUCCAUGCUCAUUAAUGUUUGGAGUGAAAUCCAUGUGGUAUGGUGAAAAUGGUAAGCUGAGUGUGGUAAAAAAGGAAAAUAAAAAGGAUACAUGGACAACUUGGUUCGAAACUAGCACAGCUACCGUUCCCCAGCAACGGCGCCAGAAAGCUUGUUGGGUAAUUUAAACGCAAACAGAAAAAUCCGCAAGCGCACGGAUACUGAUGUAGCUUUCACCCAGGAGUAUUCGAGAGUAUCGAUUUUCCACAGGGAACAUGAGUGUACUAAUUAAGAUUCAAGAUCGCCCAAGGAUAACUAUAUAAUUAUUUUUGGUGGAAAGAGAGGAAGUUUCCUAAGAGUUCUCUAAUUGAUCUAAGAAUCAAGAAUUACUUCAAAGAUUAUUUAUUUCGGGACAUCAGAACACUAACCACAGAAAGAUAUGAGAAGGGGGCUAGGAAGCUCUAACUACAGUCCUACAAACACCGAUCCGAACGAGGUGGAAUAUGUCGACCGUUAGGGCUGUCACUACCCUAGGGCUACCACAACAAUCCGCAGGAUUGGGUGCAAUUCCAGGUAAUUGCAAGACUAGAGCACUUGAUGCAAGCGGGAAUCCAAUAAAUAACUUGAAUGUAAAUAAAAGUAAUUAAAGAACUUAGGAAUUAUGAAUUAAAUAACUCAGAGAACGAUGAAGAACGAACCAGAUGCUGCAAAAGUACAAUGUUGAGGAAGAUCCGACAGAUCCGGCUCCUUCUCCGCUCUCCUCUUCUCUCUCCCUAUUUUCUAGAUUACAACUAGAACUAACUAGAACUAGAACUAGAUGAACUAGAACUGGAUGAACUAGAGGGAUCCUCUCUACUUGGAUGAAUAAUUGAAACCCUAGCUUUGAUUCUGUAGAAGAGGUAUGUUCUCCAGGGGCCAGGGGGCCAGCUUAUAUAGCCCCUCCAAAUGAAUAUGGGCCGUCGGAUCAAACCGACCUUAAUCGCACAGUUUUCCUUGAUCCUCAAAGGCGGUGGAGCACGAUUCGCGAGACCUGCCCUAAUUGAUCACCAGGGCAGGGCGGGCGCCCAAGGGGGGAGGGCGGGCGCCCAGCCCCCGGGCCCGCUCGACCUCCCGCUCGUUCCCGUGGCUUCUGGACUCUUCUAGAUGUUGGAUAAUUGCGGUGCACAUUAAUAUCUCUAUGUAAACUCGACUUGUGGACCUUUCCUCCAUAUUUCCUGAUAACUGCCUGCAGAAAUAGACAAACACCAAAACUCGUGGAAUUCUGUCAGAUGAAACCCUAAUUUUGGAUGUUGGUUGCAUAUAGGUCAUUUUCCAUGAUUAGUUGACGGUUAAAUGUGAGCAUUAAGGACCGUCAAUAGGUGUUACAUCUCUCUAGUAGUUAAAAAGCAAAUAAUGUUCAAUAAAAAGGUAGAAUCAUAGAUUACACAUCUAGCUUCUACUUUGUCUGCACUAACGAUGAACAUAUUAAAGGAAUAUCUACUAGAGGAGGUAAGGUUACAUGUGAUCCACCCUACUCAAAAGGGGCACAUAGACAAAGAAGCUGGAAAGAACAAUAAAGAAAAAGAAGUUGAAGCACCUUCAUCAAUAGUUGAUCCACAAGAGCCCAAAUUAACGCAAGACUUCCACGAUACAGUUGACGGUCCUUAAGUACUAAAUUCAACUAUCAACUAAACAUGGAAAAGGAUCAAUAUGCACCAAACACCUAGAAUUAGGGUUUUAUCUGACAGAAUUCCACGAGCUUUGGUGUUUGUCUAUUUCUACAGGGGGUCAUCAGAAAAUAUGGACAGAAGGCCCACAUGUCAGGUUUACAAUGAGAUAAUUAUGUACCGUGCAAUUUUCCUUAAUCUAGAAGAGUCCAGAAGCCACGUGAACGAACGGGAGGCCAAACGGGCCCAGGGGCAGGGCGCCCGCACAACCCCCUUGGGCGCCCGCCCACCUGCAGCAGCCAAUCAGGCUCCGUCUCCUGGAUCGUGCUCCACCGCCUUUAAUCUUCAAGAAUAACAGUGCGAUUAAUGUCGGUUUGAUCCGAUGGCCCAAAUUCAUCUGAGGUGGCUAUAUAAGCAAGGCCUCUCCACCCCAGGGGAAGAGGAGAAAUCAUUAUCAGAGGAAGCCAUCAAAGUUAGGGUUUAGAAUUUCUCUCCCACAGAGAAUUAGAAUUAGCUACUCCCAGUUCCUUCAAGUUCUAUAGGAUUGAUUAGAUAGAAUUAGAGAAGUAGAACCUAGUGCUCUGGAUUUCGGAUCUUCAUCAAUAAAGAUUGGUAUAAUUUCAUAUCUUUCUCUACUACUUUAUUCUAAUUGCAUUAUGUCUCUAUUUAUUAUGCUCUUAGUUUGCUCUAGUUCUAUAUUUGAUAUAGUUAUGAUUGAUAAUGAGUUUAUGUAUAAGUUUGCAAAGCGCUUAGCUCUUGACUCCAGGAAGCUAAGUGGUAGAUCAUAUGUGGGCGUGGUGCUUAGAUAUUAUUUACCUGCAAAUGUAUCCUAUUGGCCGGGUCGAGUGGUAGUUCCCGAUGGUGACAACUUUGUUGAUUCCUAUAUAGUCCACCCUCCGUUGAUAGGACAGGCAUAAUUUGUAUUGCGGAGUAAGUCUUGCUAUGUUCUGAUUUACUUUAGGAAUGUUCCUUAUACAUGAAUAAAGAGUCUUUUAUAAUAUAUAUGAUCUUGUAGAUAACUAGAGUAGAUUGUGACUUAGUAGAUAGUAGAUACUCAGAAUCCAUUCUCUAGCUAAUCCGACGUCAUCUUACAUUUAUGUGGAGUAGUCUAUUUCUAAUCGCUGUGUUAUUUACCCAUGAGCUUAUAUUUCACUAUCUUUAUUAUUAUGGCUUACCCCCGGCCAAAGCAAGUGACUGUGUGACGAGUUCCUCAUUAGUAAUCAUGUUAUUGCAAGUUUAUCUCUAAUCUAUGCCUUGAUAGAUUUUACUCCUGUUUUCACUUUCGCCAUUCUCUUAAGCAAAAAUAUAAAUAACGAUACCCGGAAUACUUUUCCUGGUGAAAUUCUACAAUGAGAUAUUUUAUCUUUGCGCUUGCGGAUAGAAUAGAUUAUUUUCUAGAGAGCCUCCAUAUUCAUAAAUACCUUUGUACACUCUGGCUCCAUGCUGGGGAUGACAACCUAGUAUUUAAGUGGUGUUAGUAAGUGUCAACAAGUAUUUCUGGCGCCAUUGUCGGGGAACGGUAAAGAAAGUCAGGAAUUCAGUCAAGGUUAUUCACAUAAAAAUAUUAGACUAGACUAUGGAGAAAUAAUUGCAUAAACAGCUACUAAAUGAGAAAUCAUAACAAGGCACCUCUGCUUUGGCAGGUUCACCCUGUUGUUUUUCUAUGUUUAUAUUUUUAUAUAGGUGAUAUCAGGAUUGACUUUGGUACAUUCAACUCUUCAUCAUCAGAAGCAAAGCAAUCAACAAAGAAAGAAGAAGCUACCUACCAAUUGCUGAAGCUAUGGCACAAAAGACCUUGCGAAAAUUCUCUGCUCCAAGUCUUGAGAACAUUCCAACUGGUCCAAGAUUUGCAGUAGAAGAAGGAGCACCUGAGUUCGAGCUCAAGUCAAGCCUCAUCAAUCUGGUACAAGCUUCACAAUUCAGUGGGAAUCCACAUGAAGAUACUAGUGCACACUUGCAGAAUUUCUUAAAGAUUGGAAGCACAAUCCGCAUCAACGAAGUCAACAAAAACAUCGUACUGCCUCACCUUUUUCCAUUCUCACUAGAAGGGAAGGCGAGGAAGUGGUUCUACACCCAUCAAGAUAACAUCAACAACUGGACGAACUUGUCAGAUGCCUUUCUAUCAAAGUUUUUCCCUAUAGGCAAGACAGCUGCCUUAAGAGGAAAUAUUGUCAGUUUCCAACAACAGAAGACAGAAACCAUUCCAGAAGCAUGGGAGCAUUUUCAAGGAUACAUAUCAGAUUGUCCUCACCAUGGAAUGGUCAGAUGGUUACUUAUGCAAACCUUUUACCAUGGAUUAACCCAAAAAGCUCAUGAGUGCCUAGAUGCAUCUGCUAAGGGAUCAUUUUUGGAGCUUACAAUUGGAAAAGCAGAGAUACUUUUGGAUAAGAUAUCAGAAAAUCAAAGCUGGUUCCAAGAUAAAGCUCAACAUUGUCAUCAAACUGAAAAAAUAUCAGAAGAAGUAAAUGCACUAUCAACCAAGAUGGAAAAUUUGCUCCAUUGGAUUGACCAGAGGGCCAAGUUCAAAGAAGAUCAAAAGGCCAUUGAGACAGCAUACAAAUAUCAACCCACUCCGAGUCAACCCAAUAGCAAAGGUAUGAAUUCAGGUAACACUUUCAAGCAACUUUCAUUAAAAGAGAUAAUUGCUCAACAAACCAAAACUAAUGAUGAAGUUAAACAAAGGCUAGAUACAAAUGGAUCAUCUCUAAAAGAUAUAUACAAUAAAAUGAAUUUUCUAUUAACUGCCUUUGAUGAGCAAAACACUCUUAAUAAAAGGGUAGAGCUUAAAUUAAUAAAGCUAGCUGCUGCAUUGCCUGUUGCCACUAACAUUGAGCAGGUAAAGAACAUAACUACUAGAGGAGGCAAAGCCACCAGGGAUCCCCCAUACCCAACAGAGAAACAGAGAACAUCAGCACCAGUGCAACCAGUGGUGAUAGAAGAAGAAAGCCCCGUUGAAGCAGAAGAUCUGCUACAACCACCAAGAGCUGGAGAAAUGAGGAAAGAUUUUCACGAAACUAACUAUUUGCCAUUUUCCAGAAGAAACAGAGGACUGCAGUCGGAUGAGCAGUUUGGUGAGUUUGUAGAGGUCAUUCAGAAAUUAUAUGUCAACAUACCUCUACUUGAUGCCAUACAGGUACCCACAUAUGCAAAGUACAUCAGAGAUAUUAUUAACAAGAAGAGACCACUGCCCACCACUAAGGUUAUCAAGGUGACAGAAGAAUGUAGUGCGGCCAUCCUUAACAAACCACCAAGGAAGAAGAAGGAUCCAGGAUGUCCCACCAUUGAUUGCUCGAUCGGAAACCAACACUUCAAUAAUGCACUUUGUGAUCUCAGAGCAAGUGUUAGUGUGAUGCCAGCAUCAGUCUACAAGAAGCUUGAGCAUACGACCCUAGAACCAACAUCAAUGUGCCUGCAACUAGCAGAUCAAUCAGUUCGACACCUGAUGGGCAUCGCUGAAAACGUCCCAGUCAAGAUAAGAGAUUUCCUUGUGCCAGUAGACUUCGUGGUACUGGAUAUGAGUCCCGACUCAAAAGUGUUCAUUAUCCUUGGAAGGCCAUUUCUGAGCACUGCCAAUGCCCACAUUGAUGUCGGGAAGGGAGAAAUCAAGUUCAACAUAAACGGACAAGAAGAACACUUCACAUUUAAGCCCAGACCAGAGAGAGACUCUACAGUGAAUGAAGUUCAUGAAGAAGAACCACUGGAGACACCAUCUCUGGAGGAAGGUAAUUCAGAAUAUUAAAAUAUUUGGAGGUCCAGCCUGGGGGACCUAAAAAUCCCAAACCCUCGCCGGGAGGUAAAUCGGUAUUUAUCCACAUCAUUUAAAUUCUUGCAUAAUUAAUUGUUGCAUUAUCCAUAUUUAUUCAUAGCAUUAUAUUCAAAAGCCCCAUUUAAAUAAUAUUUAUGGUGUGUAACAACCCAUAUUUAUUAAUUAUUGUGGAGGCGCAAAAAAAUAUUUUUCCAUGAUCAUUUUCCAUAAGUUUCAAUUCUCAUAGUUUUUCCUGCAUUAUAUUUAAUUAUAGCAACCUUUUAGAAGCAUGACCCACACUCCUUGGGUCCCACAUGUCAUACACCAAUCCUCACAUAUAUGUCAUCACAUUAUUUGAUCCACCAAGAUAUCCUCACCAGCAUUUUUCCACCAACCAACCACCACCCAUGAGUCAUUUUUUGGCGUAAAGACUAAUCAAAGGAGGGAGUAGAGAAAGGGCAGCCAGGAUAGCCACCAGAAGAGGGCACCUGCCCAAUUACAGAGGGCGCCCGCCCUGUCCCCCCUUCCUCCUAUAAAUUGCCACUUCCUACCUCCAUCUCCAUCACAUAAGCAUUCUAAAAAACCCACGCACACGUCAGUUCUCGGUUUCUAGAGGAGGAGCUCUGGUAGUGAAGUAAGAAGGAGAGUAUAGGAGAAGAGAAGAGAAGAGUAGCCUGGGAGUAAGAGAGCAAGGUUUAUUAUUAAGUAGUGAUCCUGCUAUCCAAAGUGGAAUUAAAAGUUGUAUAGGGGGAAGUGUUGCCAAAAUUAAAACUUGUUUCGGACGACUAACCCCUGGACGACUCAUAUUUCGGAUAGCUGACCUUUAACAUUUUCCACUAGUUGUAUUUGUGUCAACUUUUGUUUACAAGAUAUUCAAGAAGGUAAAGAACGUGGGAAAGACCCUCAAGAGCAUAGGUACUAGGAGUUCAUCCCGACACUCCUCACACCCGUCAGAGAUGAGCAUCGACCCGACGCCCCCGCAAGCUCCGUCGUCUUCGUCAGGUACACGAGUCAAGGUCCUCCUCAAGACAGGAGACCUUGGACUGAAGACCCGCAGGGAGAAGGAAGUUUUCCAGCAGCUAAAGAACAAGGAUUUCAUUCACACCCCCACUCUUGAUCCUAUCCUGCUACAAGAAACAGGUAUGGAUACUGAAUUUGACUUGAUUUUCCAGAUGGUAGGAUGGACAAACUUUUGGGAUAUAACUGAGUUGGGUUCCCAUCUCCUCACCCUUGAAUUUCUUUGCACUUUGCAAUAUUAUGAGGGGGGAAUCGCUUUUUGGAUGUUCAAACAGGACAUUAUGUUGUCUUGGAGAGAAUUGAGCGACCAUCUCGGUUUCUCUUCAAGAUGCAUCCUGGGCAUUGACUCCGACUUGCCCAAUUUUGAGAGACACCAGUUCUGGAGAGAGAUAUCUAGGGAUGAGUUUUAUAGUCAAGCCCGAACCAUCGACAUGGAACACCCCACUCUUAGGAUGUUCCACAAAUGGCUCGGGUACAAUCUUUUCCAUCGCGAUGAUAUUAGAAAAGUAAGAGUAGGAGACUUACAACUUCUUUGUGCUGCUAUAAAUAAAAUACCCACUUCACCUGUUACUCUUCUGGUUUCUCAUUGGCUCAGUAUACCUAGUCUUCAGGGACCUGUCGGUUGUAUUUCACUCAUCACACGUCUAGCUUCUAGUCUUAAUUUACUAGAAAACUCGUCAUUGGAAUUCAUUGACGAGUUACGGAUUUAUCAUGGCUAUGACACAUUUAGGCAAGCUCGGAUGCUGAAAAAAGAGGGGAACGUAAUGUAUAUGUUAUACGAUAAUAAAGGCAAGAUUCGGUUACUGUUGACGGUCCUUAAUGCUCACAUUUAACCGUCAACUAUUCAUGAAAAAGGAUCCAAAUGCAACUGACACCUAGACUUAGGGUUUCAUCUGACAGAUUUCCACGAGUUUUGGUGUUUGUCUAUUUCUGCAGGGGGUUAUCAGGAAAUACGAAGGAAAGGCCCACACAUUGGGUUUACAUAGAGAAUUAAUGUGUGUGGUAAUUUUCCAUAAUCAGGAAGACUCUAGAAGCAACUGGACUGAAGCGGAGCCGAGACGGGCCUGGGACCAGGGCGCCCGCCCUUGAUCCUAGGGCGCCCACCCUGGUACAAGCACUAAUCACAGAAUGGAGCACACCAUUACAAAGAUCUCGUCGAGCUGAUCGAAAUGCAUAUAUUAUUUGCUAUAUUUGGAGUUCGGAAUCAAGAGAUAUUAAUAAAAGAAGGACUCUACAUAAAAGAGCUACGGGAUUAAUUGGGCCCAAAUCAGAUUUUGAUCCAUUAAGGCCUAUGUGCAUUUUAAUGAGAUAUGGUGGAAAGUUAAGUACCACAUCGCCUGCUGAACCAAAAACGCACAAAGAAGGAGGACUAUAUAAGCAAGGCCCCUGGCCCCUGGAGGAGAACAUAUCAUUAUAGAGUUGAGAGGUGCCCUCGAAGGAUAACCUUUCCUCUAUAGAGAAUUAGGGCUAGACAUUCCAAUGUAGUAGAUUAGUUCUAGUCGGGAGUUAGGGAGAGCGGAGCUGCGCUUCGGUUCUGGAGUAGUCUUCAGAGUUUUGGUAUGUCUUUAUAUUUAUUGUAAGACUUAUGCUUUACUAUAUUUAUCUUCUCUAUUUACGUUUAUGCCUUUAUUAUUAUCGAGUAGUGUAGUUGUUAUAUUUUGGCAUAGGAUCUCCGUUCGCAUCGAGUGCUCUAGUUAUUCAUGGUAAUUAGAGUAGUAAUCGUUAGUGUAGACAUGGUGUCUAUACUAGAGGUUACCUGAGGUUGCACCCAGUCCUGCGGAUUGUUGUGGCAGCCCUAGGGUAGUGACAGCCCUAACGGUCGAUGUAUUCCACCUCGUUCAGAUCGGUGUUUGUAGGACCGUAGUCAGAGCUUCCCAGCCCCCUUCCAGUUCUCUUUCUGUGGUUGGUGUUCUAAUGUCCCAAAGUGCUAAUAUGUGAUUGCUAUAUUUAUUCAUUCUUUGUUAUCAUAGAACUGAAGUAAUAGAGAAGUAUACAGGAACUUAGGUCACUCCCGUUGUCCUCCCGCUAUGGCUAUCUAUGCAUUUAUCAUUGAAUUCUCACCUUUAUAUUAUUACCUAUCAUAUACCAUUUACCCCUACUUUAGUCUAGUUGGUUUAUUAAAUUAGUAGAUGCAUGAUAGUAAGUUAUCAGAUUCUUUGACCUUAGCUUCCCAGUGGUAAAAUAUAAAUAACGAUACCUGGAAUACUCCCGGUAAAAUGCUACGAUGAUGUUCUGUGCGCUUGCAGAAUUUUUCUUAUUCUUAUUGCACUUAACGAAUGUCAACAAGCAUUUUUGGCGCCGUUGCCGGGGAAGCAAUUGGUGUGAAGAUUUUGAUAAUGAUCUUGAUGUCAGCUAAUUUAAUGUAUCACUAGCUUUAGUAGGUUUAUUGUAUUUAUCUUUUCUGCAUUUGUUUUUAGCAUAUUUAUUUCUCCAUAACAUAUUUAUCUUUCUGCAUUAUUAUUGCAUUAGAAAAUAUAAUAAAAAUAUUUUAUAUAACUCAUUGCAUCUUAAAUACUAAAACCCAAUGUGAAUAAAUUGUGUGGUGUGUAAAAGCCCACACGGAUAUUCACCGUGGUGGAAUAAAAAAAAUAUAAAUAUAAAUAAACAUGCAUUCAUCCUGUUCCAUUUUGUUUUUGCUUCAUAGAAAGAUUAAAACCCAAAAAUAUAUAUAUUGAGAAAGAGAUCUUAUUGAAACUCUGCUUAGAAAAAAGAAUUAAGAACAAUCUAAAAAGCUUGGACAACAAAGGCUUAAGUGGCCAACUACUAAUGUUUAAUCGACGCCACAAGUUGUAUUGUCUAUUUGAGUUUAACAUGAUUUAAAAAGAGAAUCCCCAAUGAUCAAGAUAUCUUCAUCAACUUGGAAGCGCUGCAAUCAUCACUAACAUUUUGAAGCUCAAGAAUAUUGAAGAACAUCUGUGUUGUGCGGAUUCAAGAUUAAAGACUAUGUCAACAUUCAGCUCUGGGGAAGCAAUCCCAUUAUCUUCGCGAUUCAGGCUUGAAGUAAAAGAGUGAUGAAUAACAACAAGGUAUGUCCAACCAAUCAUCAUGCAACAUUGAAUUAAAUUCAUCCAAACUUGACUUGUUCAAGCUGGGGAGAAUACCUUACACAAAAACAUCCUUUGCCAUGUUGCUAUGUUGGUUGUCCCUACCCUUAAGACAUGCUCAAUUUGUUAAAAACUAAUCAUUCUACUUCAUCCCCACUUGAGUAGAUCUCUAUAAUGUUGUCAUGCUACCUUUGUAUAUUCACAAGUAAGUGUUGGUUUGAAAGUACUCGACAUACUUCCAUUGGCAUUUAAAUUAAGCAUGGUGCUUAGGUUAAAUAGCCUUCCUUAAUCCAAUUAGACAUGGAGUAUAGUUUGGUUAUUGAACUAAAAACUGCUUGUGUAGACACUGGUAUAUUUUGUUGGACUAACCCCUACAGGAAAAUUUUCAAUAUCGAUUUGAGAAGUCCUGAGAUAAAUUCAGAAUGGAGAUAAAGAGGGAGACACAUGAAAUUUAACAAUUUGCACAAGAAAGACAUAGCUCGAUAAUCCAUGGAAUGAGACGAAAAGUGCCACAAACAAGAUGCACAACCAUUGAGAAAGAAAAGCUUCCACAAGGUGAUAUUGUACCAUCACUCUUCAAUUAAGGUAACAUCUUAAGGUAUGUGACUGUCACUGUUAUAAGCGUCUCCUUGAUUCUGGCAUGCACACGGAUAAAAAGACAAACAUAUAUGAUUUAUAACUCCAAAUUAACCAACCCAAUUGAUUCAACAUGUUUAGUCCUUUAAUCUUUGUUCCCGGUACUACCUUCUUGAUCCCACACUCUUAACCAUAUGAGCUAAAAUGUUGCACAUCCGAUCUUUAGAAAAUGAUAGUCAUGUAAAGAAAAAAACAUUUACUUAGAUAGAUUAUCUUUCCAUAAGGUUGAGUGAUCUGAUCUGACAAAUGUUUUAAAUGCUACACUCAUGAUCUUAUCAUCCAUCAACUUUGUCUUGCUCACUAUGCUUAAGGUUAGAGAAGAACAAAUACACUUUUGGUUCUGUUGGUGUUUUCCAGCAACAGGACCCAUGCACUUGAUCUCUGCCUUGUCUCUAUGAGCAGGAUACACUUCGAGCAAAACAUGGAGGAGUUUUCCAACUCCCAGACUCUACCAAGUGAAGGACCUAGAUCUACGAGCACAAACACACCGAGGAGGAUGCUAAAACGCCGCACUUCGAACUGCUGGGAAAACAAAAAGCAUGGGUGACACCGUAUCAAGAGGUGUAGAUGUCAAGGUCCACACCUAACUCAAAUGACGCACCUAAAGAAUGAACACGGUGAGAAGUCUUGUUCAGAAGACUUAAAACAUUGAACCCUUACCGAAAGGUAAAAUCGGUAGUUAUCCAUAUUUAUCCUUUGUGCAUUCUUUUUUUUCUUAAAUUAUUUACUUUCCUUAAAUAGCUUGUUAGUUAAUCAUGCUAUCUUGAAAAGAAAAUAAAAAUGUUAAAAACAGUAAGCCCCAUGUGAGUAUGCUCAUGGCAUAAAACCCAUUCACUGUGGUGAUGUGAAAAUAAAAUAAAUAUAUUCUUGUCCUGUAAAAAUGAAAAUAUAAAAAUAAAUUUAUGAUCCUACUAAAGAGAGUAAUAUUUAUUAGAGGAAGCUCAACAUGAUAAAGGCUAAGAGAUUUUAUGCUAACGCUUAACCAGUUCCACAAAGCUUUGUUGUCUAUUUGAGCUCCACACAAUUCAAGGAUCAAGGAAGACUAGCAGACGGAGGAUAUCCUAAUCGCUAUUAGGGUGCUGCCAACAUUCAAAUACACCUACGCCACCAGCUAGCUACAUCAGAAGAAAUUACGUUAAAAUCCAGCUUGGGGGAGAGCACUCCCAUUUAUCCAGCUAAGUGUUUCUACUCACAUUUAUACUUUACUCAAAUAAUAACAAAAUUCAUAAUCAUAAAAACCCAAUUAAACAUUUUGUGCUUAUAUAUAUCUUUGCUUAGUUUGCUAAAUAAAUAAAUAAAGUGUCUAUGCCAAACUGAACUUCAAUGAUAAACUCUUACAUGGGUAUGAUGAAUAGUUGCUCUACCAAGUACCUAGUUUUCAAAUUUGAGCUCUCUCUCAAGUUUAGGCAUAACUGUUAUAAUUUAAAUCUUGCUCUAAAUUUGAAUUUGCGGGAAGAGUACCUGAUCAAAAGUCUAAGUCAUUAACAGAUAUGAUAUGGGAAGGUUGAGCUGCUGUUUAUCUGUUUCUAGAGAUGCUAGAAUUCUGGAGAAUUUUAUCUUUGAAAAUCUUUAAAAUGUUGCAUGAUGAGUUCCUGUAUGAUGAGUGUUUAAAAUCCUACCACAGCCAUAUAUACAAGCUUAUUAGACUAUGAACCAUACAUUUACUUUUUACUGCGUAUGAGCAUUGAGUGUGGUCAAGCUGUGUAGACCCAUAGAAGCUUGUCAUGCGGUUAAAGUUAAGAUUCACUUGCACGUUCACUCAUACAUGUUGCUUCUACUCCAGAAGUACGCAUCCACAUACAUCCACUCAUUUCCAUAUCUAGAUUCACCCAAAAUUAUUCUACUCCUAUCUAGGAGAGAAUAGCCAAAAACAUUAUCCUAUCUCUGUUAUUCCCCGUGAAAUAAAUGCUCGAGAUAUUUUGGUUACUACCACUUGCUACAUUAUUCUAGGAGGGUGAGUGCUCUUAAAAAAAAGUGAAUACGAGGAAAUAAAAGGGGCAAGUGCCUGAAACCUCAAAAAAAAGAGAAAAAGUGAGACGAAAGGUAAAAAUGGACAAGUGUCGGACAGUAGAAUUAGGGGUACAAGAUACCCACCUGAGAGAAAAGAAAAAUAAAAUAUAGAGCGUCUCAUUCCCCUCAAAAGCCUCAAGUGCAAGAAAGGUAUGUACUCCCUGAAAAGAGCAAAAGUAGAAUUAGACUUUCACCAUUAUUUUCACCAUUAUCACCAUUCAUUCGCCACACAUGCACAUCUUGAUUUGACUUAUUGACUUGUUCUUGUGGAUCCAUGGUUUGACUAUGCAAUAAGUGUCUUGUAAGUAUGUCUUAGCUGUCUCCCACCUAUGAGCUCUAGAUAUCAAAACCUUAUUAGAGUAGGGUGAGAAAGAAGGCAAUACUACUAUGCCUCAUACCAAAAAUACCACAUACUUUGAGAGAAGGCAUACACCAUUACUGCCUUGGUAAGGAUCCAGAAAUACCACAAAAGAGAGACUAGAGAGAGUCAUACAAGAAAUCUCUGAGUUUUAUUUAAAAAUCUGCAAAAACUCCAGAGCUAUAGUUAAUUGAAGAACAAGAGACAUGGUGCUUGAUUAGACCGUUCUAUCUUUUAACUGCUCAAGACAUAAGUGACGGUUGCAAGCCCCAUGGUGGAAGGUAAAAUGAGUAAGUUUAAAUCUUAACAGUUUACCCUAACCUAGAGAUGAGAUCUUGUUUGAACGCAUGUGUACCUUUAAGGCAUGAAACCACUGCAGAAACUCUUGAGUCCAUCUUUGCUCAAGGACGAUCAAAGGUUAAGCUUGCGGGAGCUUGUUGAUGGUCCUUAAUGCUCACAUUUAACUGUCAACUAACCAUGAAAAAGGAUCCAAAUGCAACCGACACCUAGACUUAGGGUUUCAUCUGACAGGUUUCCACGAGUUUUGGUGUUUGUCUAUUUCUGCAGAGGGUUAUCAGGAAAUACGAAGGAAAGACCCACACAUCGGGUUUACAUAGAGAAUUAAUGUGUGCGGUAAUUUUCCAUAAUCAGGAAGACUCUAGAAGCAACUCGACUGAAGCGGAGCCGAGACGGGCCUAGGACCACGGCACCCGCCCUUGAUCCUAGGGCGCCCGCCCUGGUACAAGCACUAAUCACAGAAUGGAGUACACUAGUACAAAGAUCUCAUCAAGCUGAUCGAAAUGCAUAUAUUAUUUGCUAUAUUUGGAGUUCGGAAUCAAGAUAUAUUAAUAAAAGAAGGACUCUACAUAAAAGAGCUGCGAGAUUAAUUGGGCCCAAAUCAGAUUUUGGUUCAUUAAGGCCUAUGUGCAUUUUCAUGAGAUAUGCUGGAAAGUUUAGUCGCACAUCGCCUGCUGAACCAAAAACGCACAAAGGAGGAGGACUAUAUAAGCAAGGCCCCUGGCCCCUGGAGGAGAACAUAUCAUUAUAGAGUUUAGAGGUGCCCUCGAAGGAUAACCUUUCCUCUAUAGAGAAUUAGGGC